UAAAAACGCUUCAUUCCAGGCACUGUUCCAAAGCAGGAAAGCCAUACAAGAUCUCUACAAUACAUCUGCGGUACACAGUCCAGCUGCAAAAUACAAUGAACAGGUGCCUCAUGUAAACAUGACGGUUGUACCAGAAUUACAGCCACAGGGAAAGCAAAACGGAUAUCCAGACAAGCAAACAAGCGCCACCGUGCAGACCCCUUGAGAUGAAACUAGUCAUCAUCCUUGUAGGGAUAUUCCUCUGGGACUUGCUUGGUGAGCUUCACCCGCAUCUCGUAGGCGUCAUCCCCGCGAAACAUAUCGCGGACCCAUGUAACCUCCGUCUUCAUGGAAACCUGCACUGCCACAUCAAUUAAACUUGAUCAGCGAAUGGUAAAUGACUUCUGAAACUGGUACGAUCAUAGCACUGGGAUCACAAUUCUAUAAAUAUCACAUAAGCUGGUAAUAGACUGUUUCACUCAAACACUUCAACUAGCAGAAGUUAUGUAUAAUACUCCAUACUGCAGCAGGUACGCCACUGGCGGUACCAUGCAACAGUGGGUUACAGAGAUUCAGCAUGAUAUGCCUUAAGAUCUGGAUAUCAAGAACAUGCAAUUCUCAAAUGGAAAUGGUAUACUCUUUUAAUGCCAGUUUCAUAGAAUCGAAUAGCAUGAGGUCAGAGAUCCCAGCUCCAUUUUAUAGAUUUAUUUAUUCUUAAACUGUUUGACAAAAGAAAAUUAUAAAAUAUAUAGCAGCAAAAGAAGACAAACUAUUUCCAGUGCUCCCCUGAUAACUCCACUCAACACAUUGCAAUACUGAAGGCCUUGGCAAGUAUCAGGAAGUUCAACAAAAUCUACAAGUGGGUUGUCCUCCAAUACAAAGUUGCAAGUUGUACCCUCAGCAUCCCAAUUGGUUACAGUCGCAGUCACACCGAGGAACAUUUUGAACCCAAGCUGGUUUGGAAAGGAUAAAAAAGGGAGAUUGUCAGAGAAUAAAGCCAUAAGAUGGAUAUGCCGAAGGGGUGACCAGCAAGGGGAUGAGUUUGAUAGUUCUAGAAAGCAAACAAGUGUUGAACAACUUGAAAAUAUGGUAGAGAGUCCUGGGCCUUCGAUUAAUGAACAAGUUGAAAUGAGCUUAAUGUACUACAUAUAGAAUCUGCAGAAGAAAGAGAAGGCAUGGAAUGUCCCUGAAUGGUGCACAGCUACUAUAGCAGUAAAGAUUGCUAUCAAUGGACAGAAAAUAGCUAAGUGUCUGCAUCUCAAAAAAUUGAAACCACUGUUAUACAGUGGUAAAAACUGCUACACUGUCGACUUCUGCUUUUUUUUUUGAGGAGAAACCACGUGUUCAUUACCCAAGUAGUAACCAUAGCAUACACGCAGCACUCGCUAGAAGGGUGCAGAAACACAGCUGUCCCAGCACACAUUGCAGUAAAGCCCCCAAGAAAAACACAUAAAGCCCGGGGAGGCAAAACGCAAAAACACCAAACACUCCACGCCCAUCCGCGCCGCCGCCGGAGCGCCGUCGAGGAAGGGGACAAGUCGCCAUCCAACCCUGAACCGGAGAGACGCCAUCGCAGUCGAAGCCGCUUUGUGAGCCGAAGAAGCAGUCCGCCGCUGGCAGACCCAAAACACUGGGGCGCGUCGGCCGGGGAUCCUCCCCACGCUCGCCAGUCCUCGACUCCGUCGUCUCCGUCCGACCACGACGGAGGAGACCACCGAAGCCGCACGCCGCAGACCGCAAACCCAGCACUGAGCCAGCCGUCUUCCCGCACAGGCCAACACCGCGCGUCGGCCAGAUCUCCUGUACACAUCUCUCCCAUCUUCGCUGACGAUGCCGGAGUAGACAACACCAGGGAAGGAGCGGGAUGGGGAGAUCAAAAUCUCCUGAUGUGGCCGCCGCCGCCUCGCCAACCACAUCUGAGCAGACGAUGCCUGCCAUCGCGCACGCCGGCGAGGCAGAACCUAACCUCACCGCCCAAACAGAGCGGCAGGAAUCUACCCCAAAGGCUCCUCGAUUCCAUCCUGUAGGACGUCGUCGAGGUGGACGGAGCCUCGGAAGAAACAAAGGCCAAUGAGACACCGCCAUCACCAGAGCGCUGCCUCGGCCAAAUCCUAAACCUAACCUAUCUACAUGCCGGGAACGAAGCACCGGGGUUCCCCUCCCCUCCCGCCGCCGGAGCGGCCAACGGAGGGAAGAGGAACCACCGGGCUCGCCGGCUUUCGACGGUGGAAACGAAGCCUUCUCCCUCUUCGCCUCUCGCUGGAGCAGAGGAUGGAGAGGUUGGGGAAACCGUGAAGUGUAGGGUAGUGCUUAGUCUCCGUUAGCAUUUACUAAAGAAACGACUAAACAAAACUAUGUACCCCCUUUCUGGCCUCUCAAAACAUUUUGUCCUACAAGUCUAGGAAAUAUGAAUACAUGCAAAUAACUUGAAAUAUAUGCAUGCAUUAUUUUUGUGCUAAUCUCAACCAAAGAAUAAGAAGUUUAGCAAAGGACCUUUGCUAUAGUAUCACCAGUCUCCUUGAAGUCAGCACAAUUUGAUACAUUUGACUUGGCUAAGAAUUCAUCGACCAACCGAGUUCCAAUAUUGUAACCCCUGAAAAUUAAAGAAGAUAUAUAACACAUAAGAAAGGUUUCCCAAGCAAAGUUAAAUAGCGCAAUCGUAGUAAUAGCCGGUGUAAGGACAUAUUUAUCCCUAAGAUGUUUUGGUGAUUGAUGACAAUGCUUUUGCGGACUAAUCGUGUGCGUUGAGUGUUUUUCAGAGAUUCAUUCUUUUGGCACGAGACGAUUUCCUCCCCUCGGAGCUUAAAGCGAAGACGGUGUAGUCCUUUCGGAUUAGUUUGGUGGACUAGUUUCAUAGGGAUCACCGUACUAUCAAAAGGGGGUCCGUUUUGGAAAGGCUAGGGCGGAAUCAUCAUGUACACUUCCUUUGCCCCUCCCUCCGAGCCUUUCCGUUUCGAUGAUGGGCUUGGUUCUCCUUCUUUGUGCCCUCUCUGGUCCCUGCGGUAGUACCGCGGGCCAGAGCGGUAGUACCGCUUGGGUGCUACAAGCGUUAGUACCGCCCAGAGCAGUAGUAGCGCUAGUAGCCCCAUGUGUGUACUGUCUCUGGUCCCAGCGGUAGUACCGCGGGACGGAGCGGUAGUACCGCAUGGGUGCCACAAGCGGUAGUACCGCUCUGGGCGCGGUAGUACCGCUCUAGAGCCGUAGUACAGCGGUGGUCUCGUGCUAGUACCGCCUCGAUUCGAGGGCUUCUUUUUUGUGUCGGGUUUUACGGUACCGGCCGCGGCUGUGGGGGGCCGUAGUACCGCUCCUGUGCGGUAGUACCGCCCUCCCUCCGCGGUAGUACCGCUGUGGGCCAAGCGGUAGUACCGUGCUUUGGGGCGGUAGUACCGCUUAUAGUGGCAAGCGGUAGUACCGCUGGCACAGCGGUACUACCGCUCUCUUCGGGGCAGAAGGGGGGUAACGGUUGGUUUGUUCCCCCCACUAUAUAAAGGGGUCUUCUUCCCCAAAGUUACCUCACCUCUUCCCCCAAAAGCUCCAUUGUUGCUCCAAGCUCCAUUUUCGCCCGAUCUCUCUCCCUAGCCAAUCAAACUUGUUGAUUUGCUCGGGAUUGGUUGAGAAGGCCACGAUCUACACUUCCACCAAGAGAAAUUUGAUUCCCCCCACUUAUCCCUAGCGGAUCUUGUUACUCUUGGGUGUUUGAGCACCCUAGACGGUUGAGGUCACCGCGGAGCCAUAGUCCAUUGUGGUGAAGCUUUGUGGUGUCGUUGGGAGCCUCCAAUUAAGUUGUGGAGAUUGCCCCAACCUUGUUUGUAAAGGUCCGGUCGCCGCCUUCAAGGGCACCAAUAGUGGAAUCACGGCAUCUCGCAUUGUGUGAGGGCGUGAGGAGAAUACGGUGGCCCUUGUGGCUUCUUGGGGAGCAUUGUGCCUCCACACCGCUCCAACGGAGACGUACUUCCUCUCAAAAGGAAGGAACUUCGGUAACACAUCCUCGUCUCCACCGGCUCCACUCUUGGUUAUCUCGUUCCUUUACUUUCGCUAGUUUACUUGUGUUAUAUCUCUUACUUGCUUGCGUGCUUGUUGUCGUUGCAUCAUAUAGGUUGCUCACUUAGUUGCAUAUCUAGACAACCUAUUUUGAUGCAAAGUUUAAUUUGGUAAAGAAAAGCUAAAAAUUGUUAGUUGCCUAUUCACCCCCCCUCUAGUCAACUAUAUCGAUCCUUUCAAUUGGUAUCAGAGCCUCGUCUCUUUAUUAAGGACUUUACCGUCCAAAGAGUAUGGUUGACGUCGUAGACGGUGCGAAGGAGCACUCCGGUGAGAAACCAGUCUCGUCUACGGGAGAUGGGGGAACCGCGGUCUCUCGUGAGGAAUUCAAUGUGGCGUUGGACACAUUGAAAACCUCCAUGACGACCAAGGUCAAAAGCAUGUUGAAUAAACUCUUAGAAGGGCUUAAACUUACCACCGCACCGUUGAAAGUGGGUGAUCCCGCUAACAAGGUGACGGAUGCUACCUCCGACAAGGGUGAAGCUUCGAGCGAGAAGGCUCCUUGUUCUAGUGAUAAAAAUGGGACCGGCAUCUUUGCCCAUGUGGAACCUCCACCCGUCUACGGUGGACCGCUCCCUUCCACUCAUUUGAAUCAUGCCGGCCCAGCCCCUAAGAUUGAGAAGAAUGUAGAUUUUGAUUCUUGGGUCUAUCGUUUUAAGCGUCAUUUAAAUCAUGUGAACACUAACCUUUGGAGAAUCAUUGAAGAAGGCUUUUAUCCGCAUGACCGAAGUAACUUCACUCCUAGAGAAGUUGUGGAUCAUCAAUUCAAUGAGAAUGCUCUCUUCAUCAUCCAAGAAGCCAUCCCACCCGAAGAUCUUCCUCAUCUUCGGCCUUACACCAUGGCCAAAGAUGCGUGGCUCCAAGUUGUUUCCCUUUAUCGGGGAAGCGCAAGCAUUCAACGCUCCAACUAUGAAGUGGUGCAAGAUGAAGCCGACGAGUUUGCAAUGAAAGAAGAUGAAGAACCUCGUGAGCUUUUUGGAGAGUAACCAAACUCGCGGUCUCGCUCCGAGAUCAUGGAAGUAAGGACACGGAUGACAAUUGGAUCAAGCGCAAGUUCCUCAAGGCAAUGAUGCCCUACCACAAAGCCAUGUCCUCCGUAAUUCGUCAAAGGCCGGACUUUCACACCUUGUCCUCAAGUGAAGUGUUGGAUGAGUUUGUGGCUAUGAGCAUCUUGGACAAGACCGCCGACAAUGCGGUUCUUCGCUCUCAAAGAGUUAAGAAGCCCAACCUCGCUCUAAAGGCCAAGGUUAGUAUGGAGGAAGAGGAUGAAGAGGAAGAAGAGGAGGGCAACCUCGAAGAUACGAAGUAUGCCUAUCAUGAACACAUGGCUCUUGCUUCAAGGCAAUUUUGGAGCAAGAAGAACUCGAGGCCAAACUUCAACAAAAGCAACUCAAGUGGUGCAAAGGGCAAGCAACGGAUGAGGACUUGCUUCAAUUGUGGCAAUGUGAGCCAUUUUGUUGCGGAGUGCCCUUACGAGAAGAGGGAAGACAAUGGUGGCAAGCUCAUUAGAAAAGACAAAGCCAAGUCGUUCCCCAACAAGAGCAACUUCACCAAGAAGACUCCUCCCAAGGCAUUGGUGGUUCAAGAAGAGUACAAUGAGGAUGAUGACAAUGAUGAAGAUGGUGAGUCGGUUGCCAUGGCCUCCGUUGCUAUUGCGAAGACUCCACGGGUGUCUCUCUUCGACUCACCCAAUGAGAACAUCACCGCCAAGUGCCUCAUGGCUAAAGCCACCAAUAAGGUAACCUCCAACAUCAAAACUACCAUCAUCAAUCAUCCUUCUUCGACGGAUAGCAUUGAUGAACAUGAGGGGACAAAUGUGGAGGAAAAUGAGUUUGAGAUCUUUAUGGGUAAACUCAAGGGUAAAUCCAAGAAGCACUUCGUUGCUCUCUUGGAACAACUUGGUGAAGCCAAUGACAUGAUCGAGGCUCACGAGGAUACCAUCUCUAAGAUGGAGGGGCAUAGUCGUGACUAUGCCGAUGAGAUUUCGGAUCUUUCCAAUGCUCUUGACGAAGAGCGUGGUCUUCGUUUGGCUCUUGAGGAGUCAUACAACGAUGAUCAUGCUAAGUUAAAGAAAGAUCUUGAUCAUGCUCUUGUUGUGUCUCGUGUGCUAAACUUCGAGAAGGCAAAACUUGGGGUUGAUCUUGCUAGACUGAAAGAGGAGUUUGGCAUUCUCGACAAGGCUCACAAAGUCUUGAAGGGUGUUCAUGCUAGCCUCAAGGAGUCUCAUGAUCAACUCCAAGUGAAGCUAACAAAGGAGAAAGCCACCUUUCCUCAUAUGGUGCUAAUUGAUAAUGCAAAUGCCACUAAUCCGUGUUGUGAGCAUGUGCAUCUUGUUGAGGAGAAUGCUAAGUUGAAGGAGCAACUUGAGAAAGGCCUUGUGUCAUGCAUACAAGGUGAGAAGAACCUCAACGACCUCUUGAGCAAUGAAAAGGAAGUUGUGGCCAAGGAGGGGAUUGGGUUCACACCCAAUCCCAAGAACAAGAAGAAGAAUGACAAGACCAAGCGACCUCCUCCUCUCAAGCAAACUUUUGUGAAGGAGGGAGAGGGUGCUUCCAAGGAGAAGAGAACAAGGCGAAGGGUGGCGGUGUCAAGAAGAGCAAUACCACUCCUUCCAACAAAGCCGGCGACUUUAAUCCUUCUUAUGUGUUAUGCCGUGCUAGUGAUGGGCAUGUUUAUGCCAAAUUCGUUGGUUCUCCUCAUGAGUACAUUGAAUGGUCUAUUUGGGUUCCUAAGACCCUUGUUGCUAACAUCAAAGGACCCAUUACUAAAUGGGUACCUAAAACCAAGCAUUGAUCUCUUGUAGGUGUUUGCUUCCGGUGGGGGAUCAUGGUUGCUCGAUAGUGGAGCUACAAAUCAUAUGACUGGAAGCAAGGACUUGGUGGUGGACGUGCACAAAAUUCCAUCUAUGCCCACCAAUGUCGAGUGGGGUGAUGCCUCGUCUUCUAAGGUAUUGGGACUCGGCAAAGUCGUCAUUUCUCAUGAUCUCACGAUCGAGAAGGUCAUGCUAGUUGAGUCCCUUGCAUACAAUUUACUUUCUGUUCGUCAACUUGCUAUCAUGGGUUUUGCCACCUUCUUUGAUAUUGAUACCGUGGCCCUCUUGUGGAGCAAGACUCUUAAAGUAGCCUUUGUUGGGCAUGUCGAGAACGGUCUCUAUGUGAUUAACUUUUCGGAGCGACCCACUAAGACCGCGACAUGCCUAAUGGCUAAAGUUGACGUGGGAUGGCUUUGGCAUCGCCGUUUAGCCCAUGUCAAUAUGAGAUCUUUGCAAAGUCUUCUCAAGGGGGACCAUGUCCGUGGACUAACGAAUGUUAGUUUUGCCAAAGAUCGUGCUUGCAGUGCUUGUAUCGAAGGAAAGCUUCAUGAGAAGGCUCACCCUCCCACGACUCUUAUUUACUCGAAGAGGCCGUUGGAGCUCCUUCAUUUGGAUCUCUUUGGGCCUCCAUCCUUUGAUAGUCUUGGGGGUAGAAAGUAUUGCUUGGUAAUUGUGGAUGAUUAUUCUAGAUACACGUGGGUGUAUUUCUUCAAGAGGAAGAGUGAGACCCAACAAACGGUCAUUGACUUUGCAAAUGAAGCCCAACGUCAACACAAUGCAAAGAUCUUGACAAUAAGAAGUGACAACGGCACCCGAGUUCAAGAACUACACCUUGGAUGAGUUUCUCAGUGAUGAGGGGAUCAAGCAUCAAUAUUCCGCACCUUACACCCCUCAACAAAAUGGUGUUGCGGAGAGGAAGAAUCGAACGUUGAUGGAUGCGGCAAGGACCAUGAUGGCGGAGUUCAAGUCUCCAUACAACUUUUGGGCCGAAGCCAUCAACAUCGCGUGUCAUGCUUCAAAUCGGCUCUAUCUUCGCAAAGGCUUGAACAAGACUCCAUAUGAGAUCCUCACCGGUAACAAGCCCAACCUCAAGUACUUUCGGGUGUUCGGGUGUAAGUGUUUCAUUCUCAAGAAAGGUGUUCGUUUGUCUAAAUUUGAGACUAGAGCUCAUGAGGGCAUAUUUGUUGGUUAUGCUACAAACUCCCAUGCUUACCGUGUUCUCAAUAAGUCCACGGGACUUAUUGAGGAGACGUGUAACGUGGAGUUUGAUGAAAAUAACGGCUCCCAAGUGGAGCAAAGUGGUACUUGUGAUGUAGGUGAUGAAAUUCCUCCCCAAGCCAUAAGAAGAAUGGGUAUUGGAUAUAUCCUACCCAUUGAGGAACCCCUUGUGGCCGAAGGAGAAGGACAAUGCUCCACUCAAGUGGAGCCAUCACCAACCCAAGACCCACACGCUUCCGAAGAACAAAGUGAAGGCCCUCAACCUCAUGAACAAGAUCAAGGGCAAGAUCAACCUCAAGAUGGUGGUGAUCCACCAAAUGAUGCCCAAGGUCAAGUUCUUCCCCUCGAGCUAGUUCAAGAUCAAGAACAAGCUCAAGACGACGCUCAAGAUGAUCAAGUAACCCCCCUCACUUCACUUCCGAGGAGGAAUUGGAGCGUCGUGCCGCUAAGAUCGCUUCCAAGCUCACCACCAAAGGUCAUCUCAUGGAGAAUGUGGUUGGAAGCCUAAGAAAGGGGGUAAGCACUCGUAGACAAUUAGCAAACUAUUGUGAACAUCAUGCGUUUGUUUCUUGUGUCGAACCCCAAAAGGUUUAUGAAGCGCUUGAGGACCCGGAUUGGCUCAACGCCAUGCAUGAAGAACUCAACAACUUCGAACAUAACCAAGUGUGGAAUUUAGUGCCAAGGCCAACCGGGAAUCAUAAUGUCAUUGGAACCAAGUGGAUAUUCAAGAACAAGCAAGACGCUCAUGGAAUCAUUGUUCGCAACAAGGCUCGUUUGGUGGCACAAGGCUACUCCCAAGUCGAGGGUAUCGACUACGGUGAAACCUUUGCCCCCGUUGCUCACCUUGAAUCUAUUCGUUUGUUGAUUGCUUGUGCUUCUCAUCAUAAUUUCACUUUGCAACAAAUGGAUGUGAAGAGUGCUUUUCUUAAUGGUCCCAUAAAUGAGUUGGUAUAUGUCAAACAACCCCCCAGGUUCGAAGAUCCCUAUUUCCCCGAUCAUGUGUAUCAACUCCACAAGGCGCUCUAUGGCCUUAAACAAGCCCCACGUGCGUGGUAUGAGCAUCUUACGGAGUUGUUACAAGAUCGUGGAUUCGAAAUCGGGAAAAUCGACCCCACUCUUUUUACUAAGAAGGUCAAGGGGGAGUUGUUUGUGUGCCAACUAUAUGUUGAUGAUAUUAUUUUUGGUUCCCCUAACAAAGCUUUCAAUGAAGAAUUUGCCGCUCUCAUGACCUCAAAGUUCAAGAUGUCUAUGAUGGGAGAGUUGAAGUUCUUUCUCGGAUUCGAAAUCAAACAAAGAAGAGAAGGAACCUUCAUCAACCAAGCCAAAUACACUCAAGACAUGCUAAAGAGAUUCAAGCUAAGUGAUGUCAAGCCGGCUUCCACUCCAAUGCCCACCAAGUGCCAACUUGACAUUGAUCCCAAUGGUAAAGCGGUGGAUCAAAAGGUAUAUCGCUCUAUGAUUGGAUCCUUGCUUUACCUUUGUGCAUCUAGACCGGAUAUCAUGUUGAGUGUGGGAAUAUGUGCACGGUUUCAAGCCGCACCUAAGGAAAGCCACUUUGUGGCGGUCAAGCGAAUCUUUCGAUAUUUGGCUCAUACCCCAAACUUUGGCCUAUGGUACCCAAGAGGAGCAAACUUCAAGCUUGUAGGUUUUUCGGACUCCGAUUGGGCGUGAGACAAAGUGGAUAGGAAGUCCACUUCCGGAGGGUGCCAAUUUCUUGGUUGCUCUUUGGUAAGUUGGUCUUCUAAAAAGCAAAGUUGUGUGUCUCUCUCGUCCACCGAAGCGGAGUAUGUGGCGGCCGGAAGUUGUUGUGCACAACUCUUAUGGAUGAGGCAAACUUUAAAGGAUUACGGUGUCAUUUGUGACAAAGUGCCUCUUUGGUGUGACAAUGAAAGUGCUAUCAAGAUUUCUCUCAACCCGGUGCAACACUUCAAGACAAAGCAUAUUGAGAUUCGGUAUCACUUCAUCCGGGAUCAUAUUAGGCGAGGGGAGAUCGAGCUCAACUACGUCAACACUCAUGAUAACCUUGCAGAUAUUUUCACGAAGCCAUUGGAUGAAGCAAGAUUUCGCGAGUUAAGGCAUGAGCUAAAUAUCAUUGAUUCGAGCAAUGUGGUUUGAACCUUUGCACACCCCUCACAUUCAUUGUGCUUUCUUGUCUAGGUGUAGGCAUGGACGUAGGGGGAGUGUUGUUCUCUCAAUGAACUUUCCCUCCCCCCCACAAUGCAUAAACUGAUCUCACUCUUUCACAUUAGCCAUUUUUGAUGGUACUUGUGCUUCAAAGACGAGCUUUGGUCAUGGGCCCAAGGAUAAUUCUUCGCGGUGCCAUACCAAGUGACUCAAACAUAGGUGGCCUCGGCCACCGCCCUCUCGUAUAGAGGCGUGUGUUUCUUGUUCUCUUGCUAGUGCUCUUGUUGGUCUUCUUGCCGGUGUUUCCCGUCUUUCGUUUUGCACCAUAUGUGUUGAGUCUGGUUUGAGUUGCGCUGGGUGGUACUACCGUUGUGCAUGAGCGGCACUACCGCUGGAGCGGUACUACCGCUCCACGCAGCGGUACUACCGCUUAUUCGGCUAAGCGGUACUACCGCCCCUCACCACGGUACUACCGCUGAGGGGCGGGGCCAGGGGGUUAAGUCGUGGGCAGGGGUGGUUUCCUCCACCCCAUACCCAUUUGCUUCGUUCCCUGGUUCCUCUUCCUCUCUCUCCAGCGCCAUCUCGCCGCGGGAAGGCUCCGGCGGCCCUCCGUCUCCGGACCGUUCCUCUCCAUUUCCUUCGGUGGAGUCGAUCCCCACCUCAUCCUCUUGCCAUGGAUGCCGGUAUUGCUCCCGUUCCUCUUCUCUUCUUGUCUAGAUUUCAGAUCUCGCGUUUUAGGGGCAAUAGUAGUUGCAUCUCUAGAUUUUUGGCCAAAUCUAGGCUUGAGUAGGUUGGAGAAGGCACCUAGACUCUUUGGAUUGAUGUUUAGUAGGUUUAUUUUUGAAUUUGGCAUCCCCGGUAGUGCCGGAUCUGACCACGGCAGUAGGGAUCCGCCGUGCCCCGUCUCGGGCGGUACUACCGCCCAUAUGGCACGGUACUACCGCUGGAGCGGUACUACCGCUCCACGGAGCGGUACUACCGCUUAUGUGGAUAAGCGGUACUACCGCUGAGCAGGCACGGUACUACCGCUGGAUGCCCAGUUCCAUUGUUUCCUACCACAUGUUGAUCCAUCUUUGUUGUGUUUAUUUGGUUUUGAUCGUUCCUUCUGGUUGUUUCUUGUGUCCGUGUGUUUGGUUCCAGGUGAUGAACAUCCUGAGCAGCAAGCCCGUCGUGUCAACCCCGGGCGUUCAACGUCGAAGCGGUACCGCUCAUCUGAGACUGCAGGUGGUUCUUCCAGUGCUUCACAGCCGGCAGGGGGUGCUUCCUCAAGUGCUAAUCCUCCUCGCAAGAAGAAGAUUGCCAGCCGACCGAAGCCAAGUGGCAAGAAAGUGACUGAGAUGUCUAGCAAGGAAUUCUGGGACCGGCGUCGGCGCAACCCCUAUGAGGAAGAACAAGAACCCAAUCUUGUCAACCGCCCGUUCUGGAACCGGUUUCAGUAUGCCACAUACUUUGAUGUGAUCAAGGCUAAGAAGAAUCUCUUUGUCAAUGUUCAUUCCAUCAACACAGAUGCUAUGGAGAAGGACCUUGAGUACUUUGGUGAUGCCCUACAGAUGUGCUCUCAGUUGAACAUUCUCAAGAUCAUGCAGUUCAACAAGGACUUUGAUGCAGAUUUGCUGGCACAGUUCUUUGCCACUGUUCACCUAGGGACUGACGCAGACAGGACUCUGACUUGGAUGACAAAUGGAAAGGUGCUAGCUGUCAAGUGGCAGGCCUUCAUGGAGCUGCUUGAGGUGGAAGAUCAAGGGCUCGAGACUCCAGUUGGUUUUCGUCCUCACCAAAAUGUCACCUCCACUCACAAGCAAGCCCUCUGGCCCUACUGUACUCGGAAGGUCCACCCUGAGACCAGGAAGGAAACCUAUGAGUUGUCUACCUAUCUGGACAUCCUUCACCGUAUCUUCCGCGAGACUCUCUUCCCUCGUAUUGGGAAUCUGGACAUGGUACACUCUUACCUUGUGGACAUGCUUCUCUUCUGCCAGCGUGAGAAGGACGCAAACACCGGCGAGUCUCUGGACAUCUCUCAUGUCAUGUGGUCUGAGCUUCUGGCGGCUGUUUCUGAGCGCAAGUGCCCAAUUUAUGGUCCGUUCAUCAUGUUGCUUAUUGAGAGGGCCUGGAGACGUACCUAUCCUGAGGAGCAGCUGGAAACUGGAGAGUUGGUCUCUCAUGAGAUCAAGCGUCUGAGGAAGAAGGAUAAUUGGGGUAGAUCUGGAGCUCCAUCUUCUGCUGCUGCCAUGGAGAUCGAGGACGAGGCUGAUGCUGGUGAUGAUGAUGAGGAGUAUGUGCCUCCUGGGACAGAGCCUUCUGCAGCUAAGCCCUCUUGGGCAAAGAAGCUCAAACGCAAGAUGAAGAAGCUGUUCUGCCUGGAGUCUCAUGGUCAGUACAUGACUCAUGUGGCUGAGAAGAAGGCAAGAGGACGUCACAAGGAGCUGAUGCAUCAGAUGGGUGCGACAGUCACCAGCGGCUCAGAGGGUUAGAUUACUGAGGAGGAGGAGUGGAUCCAGCAGCACUGUCCGUGGACCGACUCAGAUGCCGAGCAGUUUCCGGGCGAGGAUGGCAGUGCAGAUGAUCACGCAGAGUCCUGAUGUUCGAGAUCCUCAGCAUGCUCUCACCUGGAGCCGUAGGCUAGCUCUUUGCCCCUUUUGGUGUCUCGAUGCCAAAGGGGGAGAGAGUUUAGGGAUUUGCGUCGUUGUGUUGCGAGUGUGUCUUUGCCUUUGUGCUUUCGUUAUGUGCUACUUUGUGCUUUGCUUGGUUUUGUGUUCAGUAAGACUUUAGUUCGCGUCAUAUGGUGUGAGACAUAUGCUACCCUAUCAUUAUCAUAUCUUUAUCUUUGUCUCUAGUCAUUUGAUAUCUCAUGAGUUAUAUGCUUCAUUAUGUUAUAUAUCCUGCUAUCUUGUUUCUCGCUUAGGUUGUUGGUCUCUAAAAUACAGGGGGAGUGUUGAUCCUAGUAUGUGUGUCGUGCAGCUCAAAGCACCUAUCUUGAUGGCACACAUCUAGGGGGAGCCCGUCUAUAUUUUAGAGACUUGGGGUCUGCUUAUGUCCUUUGUUUUUUUCCCAGUUGUGCAAAUCCCGUAUUGUCAUCAAUCCACCAAAAAGGGGGAGAUUGUAAGGGCAUAUUUAUCCCUAAGAUGUUUUGGUGAUUGAUGACAAUGCUUUUGCGGACUAAUCGUGUGCGUUGAGUGUUUUUCAGAGAUUCAUUCUUUUGGCACGAGACGAUUUCCUCCCCUCGGAGCUUAAAGCGAAGACGGUGUAGUCCUUUCGGAUUAGUUUGGUGGACUAGUUUCAUAGGGAUCACCGUACUAUCAAGAGGGGGUCCGUUUUGGAAAGGCUAGGGCGGAAUCAUCACGUACACUUCCUUUGCCCCUCCCUCCGAGCCUUUCCGUUUCGAUGAUGGGCUUGGUUCUCCUUCUUUGUGCCCUCUCUGGUCCCUGCGGUAGUACCGUGGGCCAGAGCGGUAGUACCGCUUGGGUGCUACAAGCGGUAGUACCGCUCUGGAGCGGUAGUACCGCCCAGAGCAGUAGUACCGCUAGUAGCCCCAUGUGUGUACUGUCUCUGGUCCCAGCGGUAGUACCGCGGGACGGAGCGGUAGUACCACUUGGGUGCCACAAGCGGUAGUACCGCUCUGGGCGCGGUAGUACCGCUCUAGAGCAGUAGUACCGCUAGUGGCCCCAAGCCGUAGUACCGCGGUGGUCUCGUGCUAGUACCGCCUCGAUUCGAGGGCUUCUUUUUCGUGUCGGGUUUUACGGUACUGGCGCGGCUGUGGGGGGCCGUAGUACCGCUCCUGUGCGGUAGUACCGCCCUCCCUCCGCGGUAGUACCGCUGUGGGCCAAGCGGUAGUACCGUGCUUUGGGGCGGUAGUACCGCUUAUAGUGGCAAGCGGUAGUACCGCUGGCACAGCGGUACUACCGCUCUCUUCGGGGCAGAAGGGGGGUAACGGUUGGUUUGUUCCCCCCACUAUAUAAAGGGGUCUUCUUCCCCAAAGUUACCUCACCUCUUCCCCCAAAAGCUCCAUUGUUGCUCCAAGCUCCAUUUUCGCCCGAUCUCUCUCCCUAGCCAAUCAAACUUGAUUUGCUCGGGAUUGGUUGAGAAGGCCACGAUCUACACUUCCACCAAGAGAAAUUUGAUUCCCCCCACUUAUCCCUAGCGGAUCUUGUUACUCUUGGGUGUUUGAGCACCCUAGACGGUUGAGGUCACCGCGGAGCCAUAGUCCAUUGUGGUGAAGCUUUGUGGUGUCGUUGGGAGCCUCCAAUUAAGUUGUGGAGAUUGCCCCAACCUUGUUUGUAAAGGUCCGGUCGCCGCCUUCAAGGGCACCAAUAGUGGAAUCACGGCAUCUCGCAUUGUGUGAGGGCGUGAGGAGAAUACGGUGGCCCUUGUGGCUUCUUGGGGAGCAUUGUGCCUCCACACCGCUCCAACGGAGACGUACUUCCUCUCAAAAGGAAGGAACUUCGGUAACACAUCCUCGUCUCCACCGGCUCCACUCUUGUUAUCUCGUUCCUUUACUUUCGCUAGUUUACUUGUGUUAUAUCUCUUACUUGCUUGCGUGCUUGUUGUCGUUGCAUCAUAUAGGUUGCUCACUUAGUUGCAUAUCUAGACAACCUAUUUUGAUGCAAAGUUUAAUUUGGUAAAGAAAAGCUAAAAAUUGUUAGUUGCCUAUUCACCCCCCUCUAGUCAACUACAUCGAUCCUUUCAGCCGGCAGCAAGCUUGAGAAUUAAUUCACUAAACCACAGUAGUAGACAUAUUGAGAAUUCAUAUGUGAUUCACUUCCCAAGCAUGGUUUAUAUGUCGGUAAAGCGACCUAAAGCGAGCAACACCCGCUUUGACGCUUAAGUGACGCCUAAGCGCCUAAAGCGGGCAUAUUUCUAAGUCGCUGUCAGGGCGCCUUACCGCUUAAGCAUCGCAAGACGCUUUAUAAACAAGGUUCCCAACAAAGUUAAAAUACAGCAAACACAGUAAUAACUGCUAGCAAGCCUUGAGAGUUAAUUCACCACAUAAGCUAUAAACCAGCAACCAUAGUAGGAAAUAUAUUAAUAAUUCAUAUGUGAUUCACUUUCAUGUCCCGCCGUCCCUCUUUCCUCUACAAGUGAUGCAUGGCUAUAAUUCUUAAAUGUGCUAGAUCCAUGCUCCUCGAUUCAGUUCAAAAGAGGAACAAGUUUGGAGUGCUGGAGUCAUUGCAAUUGGACAUAUCUCCUUCCCCCCAUUGAACAACGGAACGUAAAAUGAUGUGUUGCCACACCAACAAUGACAACACCAGGAGUUGUAUAUAAUCCGGGUUGGAUAAAUCUCUUCAACCGAGAAGUUGACACAACAUCACUAAAAUAACAUAAUCUUCUGUUCACAGACUCCACGAUCAUUAGUCAAUUAGGGCGAGAAGUGCAUAGCUACAUCUAUUUGGAUUCUCAUUCUCAGGCUAUUGCAGCAAAGUAGAUCACUGUAAACCCUCACACGUGAUCCCUAGGUAAAAGAACAGCAAAUUCCCAGAUUCCCACUUCUAGAUCUGAUCCCUCAAAUGGACACCAUCAGACAUCAGCAGUUUCCCAAUUUGCAUAUAAACUUAAGAGGCAGAUGAAGAAAACGGGCAUACAUCUGAUCGAGCUGCUUGUUGACCUCCUCGACCUCUUCGAGAUCCGUGAGCAGCUGCCGCACGAUGGCGCCUUACGUCAGCGUGUACGCUCGACGCUGGCGAAGAGGGCGUCACCGGACUUGGUGGUCGUGAGAGGCGGCAUCGCCGAGACCAGGGCCGGUGGCAGGCGAGAGAGAUCAGAGGAGAUAACCACUCGCAGAGUCGCCGGUCUCGAGUAGUUGGGUUAUAGGCCAGUUUGGGCUUAUCCUUUUUGUUUUGCGGUGAAAGUUUGGGCUUGGGCUUGCCAACUGUAUAGUCCAUCGGCCCCUAAAAGAGUAGAACGGCCCAUUCUUUCCCACUAAAGAAAAUAAACUAGAUGUUCCCUUUUAAAGCAACAAUUUUCUUUCCCACUAAAGAAAAUAAACUAAAGGUUCCCCACCAAUCCCCUAAAAAACCCUAGUACCAAACAAGGCCUAAAGUAUGAUUCAGAGAACAUCACACGCUGGCACACAUCCAGAUAGGAGGGAAACGCAUGUUAGAAAAAUCACAGCGCAACAAAAACAGAUUAAAACGAUGCAUUUCGAUGGCAUUGCCAGGUGACAGGUUUACUGAAGCAGCAGCACCCCCGACACUUAGUUUGCAACUUCUUACCGGAAAACAAAAGACAUGAAAACAAACCCAUAAUGGAAUACUUUCUUGUUGCAAACUAACAUGAAAACAAAAGACAGUACAUUGACUGAAUCACAGGAGUGCAGACAUUAUUAAAACAUACUGUAGAAGGCAACAGGGUUGUAACUGAGUGAAAAUAAAAUAAGGAACUGAUUAUCAUGACAAUACUUUCAGCAUUCUACAUCCAAAAUGCCACAGGAUCUUGAACGAGUAACGACUUGGUGGUUGCUUUGGGCACUUUGUAGUACUGCGAGUGACAGGUACCGCCAGUCGUCAGUUCUUUACGCUGAUCGUCCAGGCUGAGAGAGAAUGUUGUCAAACGAUACAUCCAGGAACCAGGUAGGCUCAAACCAGGAUCCCUCACCUCCUUGUUGACACACUGCACGAGACAGAAUUUGCUCACGCCUCCCAUAUAGACAAGGGUAGCACCUACAUGCUUAUCCAUUGGGUCACCAGAAACGAACAGAUUCUCCUUGCAGAGAUUCAUCGAAGGGACAGGGCACCGCCCUUCAGGGGUACCAUAGAUGGGCACGUCGCAGCAGUAAAUUUGACCGAGGGUGUCCGGUUCUUUGGAGAGCCCAACAAAGGCCUUGAGGUGCUGGUCAAAGUGACCCUGGCCGUCAAAGGGCAGAACCCAAUUGCCAAGUAGUUUCCAUGAAUGCCUCUCCGUGUCAAAGCUGAAGGUGGCCUCGGUGGUGUCCUUCUUGGUGCUGAUGAGGAAGGUCCGUUCUUCAGGGUGCAAGGAGUAGGAAGUGACGUCACAAACAUUAAAUGGCUGCUGCUCGAGCUCUUUCCACGACCACUCUUUGCUGGAAUUUCGAUGCGAUACCUUGGCUGAGAGCUCCUCCAAGCAGAGCAUCUCGAAGGAGUAAGAGCUCAUAGUGAAUAGCUUGUUGCCGACCGGGAGGUGGUAGAUGGGAUGAAAAAGAUUUCUCUGCCCAGGGCCAGUGGUGACGCACCGCGAGCGGACGUCCAACAUGGGGAAGUAACCUUCCAACAAGUCACCCUCGGGAUCUCUCGGAUGCAUCGCCAAGAUCCUGGUGCCAAAGGCUGAUGUGAAGUACUUAGGAGAUUCACGAGGCGCCACCAUGCGGAAGAAAGGCCGAGGAAAAUGUGGCACCUUGUCUUGGUCGUCUUGGUCUGAGAAAGCAGUCUGCUGAUGGUUCUCGCCGGGCAACAAGUUUACCAUGCGGAUGCUAUAUCCAUGGCACCAGUCGUCAAAGACAAGGUAAAGUCGCUCAGGGCCGCCGCCAUGCUCACAUUUCCGCGGCCGCUUUGGCAUCCUGUUCUGCCUAAUUGCAAACGGGCGGACAAGGUCCAGAUUUUUCCUGAAUUACUCGUGUUAAUUUUAAAUAGAAAUCAAUCAAGCCCAAUCAUCCUACUGCAACUCAACCCGAUAAAUCCAAGUAUCCAGAUCAGAAUCUGGGGCAGCGUAGAAGAAAAGGAAAUCGCAGGUACGUACCUACAGAUCGAAGAUGGUGCAGCGGCAAAACAUCACGACUCACCAACACAGUGGGCAUAACAAUUGAUUGUGUUGGGAGACUACAGCGGCGGUGUGCGGUUGGGCGGCGGGCUUGGGCGGCGGCGGCGGGCGGGGGAAGCUCGGAAGCGAAGGGUUUGGUGGAUUAAGGGAGGAAACCCUAGGGAAGUUCCCGGUGAGGCGGUGACCGGUUGACCUCGUGGGCUGUUCGCAAGGAAAAACCAACUCAUGGGUCGUGAGCCUCGCCCUCCCUACGCAGCCCAGCUCCUUUAUUUUUCCUUGCUCAUCGUAAUUUAUUGAGAGAAGUUCAUGUUACAACUCUGAACUACCACCAAAGUCUAAUAUACAACCCUGAACUUCAAAACUGUCUGAUUUACAACCUCAAACUUCUAAAACCGGACAAGAAUCAACCCUACCUCUAGUCAAGCUGGUUUUAUCCUUGUUUUGACCGGUUUUGGAAUGUUGACCGCAUAGUCGGCGGCCAACUCAGCGCCAUGUCACCCAGCCAUAUAAAACCUAGCCCUCUCUCUGUCUUCACCCUUUCCCACCCCUAGCUUCACCCAGUCCAGCCGCCGCCACCCACUAGUAGAAAACAGGGCUUUGGUCUAGGCAGGGCAAGCCCAUUAAUCCCGGUUCACUCAUGAACCGGGACCAAUGGGGGGCAUAGGUCCCGGUUCAUGAGGCCAGGGCGCGGGUCGGGCCUCGGGGGCCAUUGGUCCCGGUUCGUCUGAGACCAUUGGUCCCGGUUCCAAACACAAACCGGGACCAGUGGGCCUUGCUCCUGGCCCACCACCAUUAGUCCCGGCUGGUGUCUGGAACCGGGACCAAAGGUUUGUUUUUUUACCCACUAAUAUAUUCUACAAUAGCAAAAGAAUCAACUAAAAAGCUUUAAUAAAACUCUAAUAGGAAAAGGAAUCAACUAAAAAGAAUCAAUAAAAAAUAAAAUUGAUGCAACUUAAAUUAUAUAAAAUUUAUGCAACUAAAAAGAAUCAUCUGUAGUGCUUUUCAAUUUUAUGGUCAUUUAGCUCAAAAAUACGAGUGAAUGCCUAAAAAGAACAAAUGAAGUUAGAAAGGGUUGAAAAUUGCUGAUGUGGCUUUGAAUGGUGCAUUUUGAACACACAAAGAGUCUGGAGUUCAAAUAAGUAAAAAAAAUGAAAUCCCUUUGUAACAGAUGAGUUUUCGUCCAAAACCCUGAUACUUCGAAAUAGAUUGUCCGUUUUGUACACGAAGUGCAUCCAGUUUUUGCCGUAGCCCUCUCAACUUUUUAGCACAUGCUAGGUGGGUGAAAUGAUGAUACCAUGCCAACUUUCAACCUUUUCAGAGAUCAUUUGUAGUGCUUUUCNNNNNNNNNNNNNNNNNNNNNNNNNNNNNNNNNNNNNNNNNNNNNNNNNNNNNNNNNNNNNNNNNNNNNNNNNNNNNNNNNNNNNNNNNNNNNNNNNNNNNNNNNNNNNNNNNNNNNNNNNNNNNNNNNNNNNNNNNNNNNNNNNNNNNNNNNNNNNNNNNNNNNNNNNNNNNNNNNNNNNNNNNNNNNNNNNNNNNNNNNNNNNNNNNNNNNNNNNNNNNNNNNNNNNNNNNNNNNNNNNNNNNNNNNNNNNNNNNNNNNNNNNNNNNNNNNNNNNNNNNNNNNNNNNNNNNNNNNNNNNNNNNNNNNNNNNNNNNNNNNNNNNNNNNNNNNNNNNNNNNNNNNNNNNNNNNNNNNNNNNNNNNNNNNNNNNNNNNNNNNNNNNNNNNNNNNNNNNNNNNNNNNNNNNNNNNNNNNNNNNNNNNNNNNNNNNNNNNNNNNNNNNNNNNNNNNNNNNNNNNNNNNNNNNNNNNNNNNNNNNNNNNNNNNNNNNNNNNNNNNNNNNNNNNNNNNNNNNNNNNNNNNNNNNNNNNNNNNNNNNNNNNNNNNNNNNNNNNNNNNNNNNNNNNNNNNNNNNNNNNNNNNNNNNNNNNNNNNNNNNNNNNNNNNNNNNNNNNNNNNNNNNNNNNNNNNNNNNNNNNNNNNNNNNNNNNNNNNNNNNNNNNNNNNNNNNNNNNNNNNNNNNNNNNNNNNNNNNNNNNNNNNNNNNNNNNNNNNNNNNNNNNNNNNNNNNNNNNNNAUGAUGAUACCAUGCCAACUUUCAAAUUUUUCAGAGAUCAUUUGUAGUGCUUUUCAAUUUCAUGGUCAUUUAGCUCAAAAAUAUGAGUGAAUGCCUGAAAAAGAACAAAUGAAGUCAGAAAGGGUUGAAAAUUGCUGAUGUGGCUUUGAAUGGUACAUUUUGAACACACAAAGAGUCUGGAGUUCAAAUAAGUUAAAAAAAUGAAAUCCCUUUGUAACAGAUGAGUUUUCGUCCGAAACCCUGAUACUUCGAAAGAGAUUGUCCGUUUUAUACACGAAGUGCAUCCAGUUUUUGCCGUAACCCUCUCAACUUUUUAGCACAUGCUAUGUGGGUGAAAUGAUGAUACCAUGCCAACUUUCAACCUUUUCAGGGAUCAUUUGUAGUGCUUUUCAAUUUCAUGGUCAUUUAGCUCAAAGAAUGAACUAAUAUAAAAAAGAAUGAAAUAUAAAACUUUUAUGAAACUCUAAUAGAAAAAAUAAUAAAUUAAAAUUUAUGCAACUAAAAUUAUCAAAGUAUUUUCUGUUCAAACAUUAAAAGCAAAAAGAAUUUUCAUAAAGAUUUUUUUGUUAAAACUUUAAUAGCAAAAAGAAUUAUCAUAAACUUUAAUAACAAAAACUAUUUUUGAAUAUAAUGAUAAAACACAGUAAUAUUAAAUAGCAGGAAAAAGAAUCACUCCAAAAUCUAUUUUUAUAGUAAAGUUAAUCACAAACUAGUGAUUCACACAAAUUUCAAAGAAUUCAAAUUGAAAAAUUAAUGGCACUAACAGAAAGUGUAUAAUUUUUAUUACCUAAAACCAAAAAGCAUAACUGAAAAACUAGUAAGUAUUUUGCUAUAACUAGAAACAAAAUAAAAUAAAAAACAAAAAAGACAAAAAACUGGAAAAAGAAUUAAAAAUGCCGCCUACUGGGCCACCACGGCCUGCAUACGACUAUAAACCCGCUAGUUGGGCCAGGAUGCAGGCCCGCAGUAGGCCCACAUGCUGAGAGAGUGGAUUUAGGCCUAUAAGUCUGCAGUAGAGAGGAGCUCGAAGUGGUCGGCUCGGUAGGGCUUAUAAACCACUCCGAGCCCCUCUCGGCUAGCGAGGUGGGACUAAACAUCCCACCGCACUGCGCCAGUUCCAGCACACGACCUUUGGUCCCGGUUGGUGGCACCAACCGGGACGAAAGGGGUGCAUUGGUCCCGGUUCAUCGCACCAACCGGUUCCAAUGCCCAGCUUUAGUCCCGGUUGGUUCCACCAACUGGGACCAAAGGUCUCUGUUUCCCGCCCUUUGGGCUGCUGAAAAGAGGCCUUUGGUCCCGGUUGGUGGUACCAACCGGGACCAAAAGGGUGCAUUGGUCCCGGUUCAUGCCAAGAACUGGGACUAAAGCUUCAUGUAUAUAAGGAACACUUGUGAAAAUUUUGGUUUUCAUCUUGCAGUUUGCCCCCGACGACGCGCGCGGAGACGUCCUCGACGCCGCUAGGCUGCCGGACGCCGUCGCCCCCGCCCCGGAGCCCACGCUGACGCCGGCCGCCGCCCACGNNNNNNNNNNNNNNNNNNNNNNNNNNNNNNNNNNNNNNNNNNNNNNNNNNNNNNNNNNNNNNNNNNNNNNNNNNNNNNNNNNNNNNNNNNNNNNNNNNNNNNNNNNNNNNNNNNNNNNNNNNNNNNNNNNNNNNNNNNNNNNNNNNNNNNNNNNNNNNNNNNNNNNNNNNNNNNNNNNNNNNNNNNNNNNNNNNNNNNNNNNNNNNNNNNNNNNNNNNNNNNNNNNNNNNNNNNNNNNNNNNNNNNNNNNNNNNNNNNNNNNNNNNNNNNNNNNNNNNNNNNNNNNNNNNNNNNNNNNNNNNNNNNNNNNNNNNNNNNNNNNNNNNNNNNNNNNNNNNNNNNNNNNNNNNNNNNNNNNNNNNNNNNNNNNNNNNNNNNNNNNNNNNNNNNNNNNNNNNNNNNNNNNNNNNNNNNNNNNNNNNNNNNNNNNNNNNNNNNNNNNNNNNNNNNNNNNNNNNNNNNNNNNNNNNNNNNNNNNNNNNNNNNNNNNNNNNNNNNNNNNNNNNNNNNNNNNNNNNNNNNNNNNNNNNNNNNNNNNNNNNNNNNNNNNNNNNNNNNNNNNNNNNNNNNNNNNNNNNNNNNNNNNNNNNNNNNNNNNNNNNNNNNNNNNNNNNNNNNNNNNNNNNNNNNNNNNNNNNNNNNNNNNNNNNNNNNNNNNNNNNNNNNNNNNNNNNNNNNNNNNNNNNNNNNNNNNNNNNNNNNNNNNNNNNNNNNNNNNGUGCAUUAGAUGUUAGGUUAGUGUGCAUUUAAGGUUAGUUGAAUUAGAUGUUUUUUAGUAAGUGUUUAAUAGAAUUAGUUAGAAAUAUAAUAGAACUAGUUAAACUAGUUCAUUUUUAGUAAGUACUACUUUAUUUUAUUUAUAGUAAUUGCUUAGUUGAACUAGUUGAUUUAAUAAAACUAGUUUAUUUUACUAUAGAAGUUGUUUAUUUUUAGUAAGUACUACUUUAUUUUAUUUAUAGUAAGUGCUUAGUUGAACUAGUUGAUUUAAUAAAACUAGUUUAUUUUACUAUAGAAGUAGUUUAUUUUUAGUAAGAAAAUUAAUAGAACUAGUUUAUUUUACUAUAGAAGUAGUUUAUUUUUAGUAAGAAAAUUAACAGAACUAGUUUAUUUUUUUGGUUAAAUGAUAUGUCCUUUUUUAGAAAGAUAAUUAAACGAUAUUUUGGGUUGACUUUAAGUCUGUCGAGUCUCCACCAUAUAUGAGAGGACGAAGAAUCCGGGCUGUUGUCGUGGGGGUAGCUUCUCCUUCGUUCCCGUGUGCUAGAAAAUUUGGUGUAAUGCACUAGGGAACGAAAGGAGGAGCUACCAUCACCGACGGGCGCAAAUGUCAGAGAGGAAUUAGUGAGGGAGAGUCUCCACCAUAUAUGAGAGGACGAAGAAUCCCGACUGUUGUCGUGGGGGUAGCUUCUCUUUCAUUCCCGUGUGCUAGACAAUUUGGUGUAAUGCACCCGGGAACCAAAGGAGGAGCUACCAUCACCGACGGUCGAAUAUAUACACCAUGUGAGCUGAGAGUUUUCAAGAAAAGACUCGACAGACCGAUAGUCAACCCGUGAUGAAUAAUAAUGAUCUAAUUUAGUUUUUGUAGUACAUAUAUUUAAAUGUACAAGUUUAAUCUUUGAAUUAUGAACAUAAGAAAUGUCCUAUUCGGAUGACGAAAGUCUCCCAGGGGAGUGCGGCUAGUGCAACAACGACCGAGGUCUGUGCGACAGGCCUCACCUGGACGAAGAUCGGCGCUUUAGCAUUAAGCUCCAGGAGACCUUCGAUGUUGAAACGGUACACAACGACGACAAGUGUUUUUUUCGUAAUUAAUUAAGCACGACUUCAACUAUUUCAACGUGUAAUUUUCAUCUUUUAUAAUUUGACUAGCUUAUCCCAUGCCAUGCAAGACGCUAUGUCUUGGAGAGGAUGGGUUUUGAAGACCAUGAAAGUUUUGAAACAAAGAAAAUUCACCUAAGGACCCAUCAUGGUAUGGAUUUUGAAGUAAAUAUGUACAAUUCUCAGAGUGUAACCCAUUUUGGUUGCCCAAAUUGGGAAGCACUUUGCAAGAUGUAUGGUUUUUAUGAGGAUAUGCUUGUCACCAUGGAUCUUGGUGAUCCUGACAUCGAGCAAGACAAUAUGGACAUUUGGGUCCUUGUUGAUAUGCUUCCAAUUCUACCGCUAUGUGAGUUUCUCAAACAUAGUUAUUAACUAAUUUAUAUUGUUUAUUUCAAAAUAGUUGACAGCUUAUUUCCAUCGACAUCUUAUUUUCAUUCUUCAAACAAUGUGCGGAAGAUGGUAGACAAAACCCACUACACCGAUGGCUCCGAAUUAACUUAUCAGGAGAAAAAUCAUCUGAUCGCAUUUUGUACUGACCUUGAGAAUUACAAUACCUAUUAUGAUACUCCUCCAAAUUAUGGUCAAUACGUGCCACUAGUGCAUGUGUUGAACCAUGGUAACUUCUAUGGAGAUACCUGAUAAUCCCCAAGUGCAGGGAAUCAUCGUAGCAAUUUCCAAAGAUGGAAGUGAUAAGUAUGGAGUGUCGAACCCACAAGGAGCUAAAGGUAAGAUCAAUAUUCUCUCAAGCCCUAUCUGCCACUGAUACGACUCUACAUACACCAAACGUUUGCUUCCAACUAGAAACGAGAAAUAAAACUACGUUGUGGGUAUGAAGAGGAUAACUUUGUAUGAUGUCGGAGAGCUAAAAUAUAAAAGUAGGUGCUGUUAUCAUUAAGUUAGAAUAUAUUACUAAAUAUUAUAAAUAGCGAGUGUGGAAUAAUGAUGGAUCGGUGUGCGGAAUUGUCCUAGGCAAUUGUUAACAAGACCGGUAAUCACUAUUGCAAUUUCAUAUGAGGGAGAGGCAUAAUCUAACAUACUUUCUCUUCUUGGAUCAUAUGCACUUAUGAUUGGAACUCUAGCAAGCAUCUGCAACUACUAAAGAUCAUUAAGGUAAAACCCAACCAUAGCAUUAAAGCAUCAAGUCCUCUUUAUUCCCAUACGCAACAACCCCCUUACUCGGGUUUGUGUUUCAGUCACUCACCAACCGACUAUAAGCAAAUCAUGAACGUAUUGCAACACCCUACAGCGGGAAUCCCUCACGCUUGCGUGACAUGGAGAGCACCGUAGGACAGCACCAAUAAUAAAACAUACAACUCAUACCAAUCUAGAUCAUCAAUCAACCCAAAGACAAAGGAUAUCUACUCAAAACAUCAUAGGAUGGCAACACAUCAUUGAAUCAUAAUAUGUGGCAUAAAGCACCAUGUUCAAGUAGGGAUUACAGCGGGGUGCGGGAGAGUGGACCGCGUAAAAUAGAUGAGGAUGGUGAUGAUGAUGGUGAUGUUGAUGAAGACGAUCACCGCGGCGAUGGUUCCCCUCCCGAUGGCACUCAAGCGCCACCGAGAGAGAGGAGGAGAGGUUCUCCCCCUUGUGCUUCCUCCUCCAUGGCCUCCCCCUAGAUGGGGAGAGGUUCUCCCUCUGGUCCUUGGCCUUCAUGGCGAUUAUGGCCCCUCCGGGAUCCUCCUCCAUGGCCUCCGGUGAUGAUGGCCCCCUCCGGCAGGGUGCCGGAGAGGGCCUAGAUUGAUUUCUCGUGGCUACAGAGGCUUGCGGUGGCGGAACUUCCGAUCUAGGUUUCUUUCUGGAAGUUUGGGUAUAUAUGAGAGGUGUUGGCGUCGAGAACAAGCCAGGAGGGUCUCCGGGCUGUCCACGAGGCAGGGAGGCGCUCCCAGGGGGGUGGGCACGCCUCCCACCCUCGUGGGCAGCCCGGGACUCUUCUGGCCCAACUCUUUGACUCCUUGGCCUUCUUUUGGUCCAAAAAUAAGCUCCGUCAAGUUUCAGGUCAAUUGGACUCCGUUUGGCUUUCCUUUUCUGCGAUACUCUAAAACAAGGAGAAAACAGAAACUGGCACUGGGCUCUAGGUUAAUAGGUUAGUCCCAAAAACCAUAUAAAAUAGCAUAUAAAUGCAUGUAAGACAUCCAAGGUUGAUAAUAUAAUAGCAUGAAUACUUCAUAAAUUAUAGAUACGUUGGAGAUGUAUCAGCAUCCCCAAGCUUAAUUCCCGCUCGUCCUCGAGUAGGUAAAUGAUAAAAGAAAUAAUUUAUGAAGUGUGAAUGCUAGCAAGUGCACAAGUUCGAUCAAUGAUAAUUUCACUCACUUUUUCUAGCAUCAAUAUAUGUCAUAAUAGUAGCUCAUAUUAUAAAACUUUUCAUGAUCAAGUAACAAUCUAUUCACAUGUUAAAGUAUAGAUCAUAGACUUUCUUGAAAACUAACAAACAGUGCUCUUAUUUAUCAAACAAUUGCAAUUCAUCUUAUUUUCAGGAAGGGUCUAUGUCAGAGCUUUGAUUCAGCAAACUCCACAUACUCAACUAUCAUUUAAUCUUUCACAAUUGCUAACACUCACGUGAUAUGGGUUCAAGGUUUUAAUCGGAUACAGAGAAAGAUAGGGGCUUAUAGUUUCGCCUCCCAAACUUUUACCUCAAGGGUAAUGUCAACAAUAAUAGUUCAUGAUAACUUACAUCCAAUUGGAUAUAUAUAUCAGGAUCUUUCCAACACAAUGUGCUUGCCAAAGGAUAAAACAUAAAAAGGAAAGGUGAAGAUCACCAUGACUCUUUCAUAAGGUAGAAGAUAAAGUAAAAGAUAGGCCCUUCGCAGAGGGAAGCAGAGGUUGUCAUGCGAUUUUAAGUUGGAUGCACAAAAUCUUAAUGCAAAAGAACAUCACUUUAUAUUGCCACUUGUGAUAGGGAUCUUUAUUAUGCAGUCAGUCGCUUUUAUUGCUUCCAUAUCACAAGAUCGUAUAAAGCUUAUUUUCUCCACACUAAUAGAUCAUACAUAUUUAGAAAGCAAUUUUUAUUGCAUGUACCGAUGACAACUUACUUGAAGGAUCUUACUCAAUCCAUAGGUAGGUAUGGUGGACUCUCAUGGCAAAACUCAUUUUAAGGGAUGUUUGGAAGCACAAGUAGUAUCUCUACUUGGUGCAAAGAAUUUGGCUAGCAUGAGAGGGAAAGGCAAGCUCAGCAUGUUGGAUGAUCCAUGACAAUAUACUUUAUUUCGGAUAUAAGAAAACAUAACCCAUUAAGUUGUCUUCCUUGUCCAACAUCAACCUUUUAUCAUGUCAUAUUUUAGUGAGUGCUCACAAUUACAAAAGAUGUCCAAGAUAGUAUAUUUAUAUGUGAAAUCUCUCUUCCUUCAAUAUUCUUUCAUGAAUUGGUCAAGUGACCAAUUCCACGUUUGCUAACUUUCAAUGAGUUUACUACCUAUACUUAUUAUGUGUGAAGUCAUUACUCCCCAUGUUAUAAGCAUAUGAAACAUAUAUAAAUUCAGAUUUAUGACAUUCAAUUUAUUCAACCAUUUACUCAUAGGAUAUAUACGUGAAGCACAUGAGUAAAUGACAAACUACUCCAAAAGAUAUAAGUGAAGAACACUGAGUAGUCAAAUAAUUAACUAGCCAUGGGAGGAUUCUUUUUCAUUCAAUAUUUCAGAUCCAAUGAUUUUAUUCAAACAGAAAGUAAAACUGAAAACACGCUCCAAGCAAAACACAUAUCAUGUGACGAAUAAAAAUAUAGCUCCGAGUAAGGUAUACCGAUAGUUUUGAAGACGAAAGAGGAGAUGCCUUCCGAGGCAUCCCCAAGCUUAGGCGCUUGAGUCUUCCUUGAAUAUUACCUUGGGGUUCCUUGGGCAUCCCCAAUCUUAGGGUCUUUCCACUCCUUAUUCUCCUCAUAUCGAUAUCUCACCCAAAGCUUGAAAACUUCAAUCACACAUAACUUAACAAAACUUCGUGAGAUAGGUUAGUAUGAUAAAGAGUAAAUCAUUCACUUUGGUAAUGUCUAAGACAAGGUUCAUAAUUGUUCCCACACAAUGUAUAAUGUACCAUAUCAUUUCUACAAUUUAUAUUGAGAAAUAUAAGCCAUAGAAACUAGAAAACAAGCAAACUAUGCAAUCAAAACAGAAUCUGUCAGAAACAGAACAGUCUGUAAUGAUCUGAACAGCAACCAUACUUAUCCUACUCCAAAAGUUAUGAAAUAAAUUGGUGGACGUGAGGAAUUUGUCUAUUAAUCUUCUGCAAAAAUAAUCAACUCAAAAGCACUCUUCUGUGAAAAAUGGUAGCUAAUCUCGUGAGCGCAAAGUUUCUGUUUUUUACAGUAAGAUCACAUUAACUUUCACCCAAGUCUUCCCAAAGGUCUUACUUGGCACUUUAUUGAAACAAAAGCUAUAAAACAUGAUCACUACAGUAGCUUAAUCAUGUAAACACAUAAAAACAGUAAGGGUAAAUAUUGAGUUGUCUCCCAACAAGCGCUUUUCUUUAAUGCCUUUUAGCUAGGCAUGAUGAUUUCAAUGAUGCUCACAUAAAAGAUAAGAAUUGAAACAUAAAGAGAGCAUCAUGAAGAAUAUGACCAGCACAUUUGAAUAUAAACAACUUCCUAUGCCUAGGGAUUUUUUGAACACAUAAUUUAUAGGAACAAGAAUCAACUAGCAUAGGAAGGCAAAACAAGUAUAACUUCAAAGCUUUAAGCACAUAGAGAGGAAACUUGAUAUUAUUGCAACUCCUACAAGCAUAUAUUCCUCCCUCAUAAUAAUUUUCAGUAGCAUCAUGAUUGAAUUCAAUAAUAUAACCAUCACAUAAAGCAUUCUUUUCAUGAUCUACAAGCAUAUAAAUUUUUCUACUCUCUACAUAAGCAAAAUUAUUCUCAUUCGGAAUAGCGGGAUCACUAGUUCCUAAAGUUGACAUUCUUCCAAACCCGCUUUAGAUGAUAGUAUUAUUCAUAAUCCAAAAGAUAUAAGUGAACUUCAUGGAGCAUUCUACAAUUAAUAUAGGCUAACCAAUAUCCAAGCUCAAAAUGUAUAAGUGAAGCACACGAAGCAUUCUAUAAAACCAUACUCAAAAGAUUUAAGUGAAGCACAAAGAGAAAUUCUAUAAGAUCAUACUUAAAAGAUAUAGGUGAAGCACAUGAAGUAUUCUAUAAAUUGAUGAAGGGACAUAUCAUACUAGCAUGGUUCUUAAAGAAAAAGAAAAACACAAAGGACACAAAUCAUGUGAACAAAACAAAAACCAAGGUAUACCGAUAAUUGUUGAGGAAGAAAGAUGGGAUGCCAACCGGGGCAUCCCCAAGCUUAGAUGCUUGAGUAUCCUUAGAAUAUUUACUUGGGAUGCCUUGGGCAUCCCCAAGCUUAAGCUCUUGCCUCUGUUUAUUCUUCUCACAUCGGUAACUCCUCGUUCUUCGAACACUUCAUCCACACAAAACUUUAACAAAAACUUUGUGAGAUCCGUUAGUAUAAUAAAGCAAAUAACUACCUUUAGGUACUGUUUCAAACUCAUUCCACUUUCAUAUUAGAACUAUAUCUACUGUAUUCCGACUUCUCUAUGGUUCAUACCCUCCGAUACUAGCCAUAGAUGCAUCAAAAUAAGCAAACAACACAAGAAAAACAGAAUCUGUCUAAAACAGGACAAUCUGUAGUAAUCUGGAAGUUUAGCAAACUUCUGUAACUCCAAAAAUUAUGAAAUAAAUUUGAAAAAUUGAAAAAUUUGUACAGAAGUAAUGUGCGAAAAGUUUCAGACCCAUUUGACCUUUCAGUGAAAAAUGUAAAAUCACACGCUACAGCCAAAGUUUCUGUUUUUGUUCUGCACAUACUAAACAAGCAAUCUAAUCAUCCUAAAACCAAAGCUUUACACAUUAAUUUUAUAAUACAAUGGAUAUACACAAGGGGAUAAUUAUAUACAGAGAAACUUCCAUGAAAAAUUAUACAUUAUUUCCGUGAGCAUGAACACAAGUGCUCAAGGUCGACCCUCACUUCUCCAAUGCAUAACUUUCCAAUCACUUCUCUUUUUGAAAAACUUUUUAGGCAUGAGAGGCAAGUAUUUUUUUUGGUAUUUUCAUUAUUUUAGUUUUUUUUAUGUUUCACCCACAACUAAACAGAAGCAAAAAGGAAAAACAAAAUCUACUUAGUGAAGAAAGCAAACAAGCCUACACGAGAAUAUCAACCCCACGCUAUUGCUCCCCGGCAACGGCGCCAGAAAAGAGCUUGAUAAUCCCCAAGUGCAGGGAAUCAUCGUAGAAAUCUCCAAAGGUGGAAGUGAUAAGUAUGGAUUGUCGAACCCACAAUGAGCUAAAGGUAAGAUCAAUAUUCUCUCAAGCCCUAUCUGCCACUGAUACGACUCUACGUACACCAAACGUUUGCUUCCAACUAGAAACGAGAAAUAAAACUACGUUGUGGGUAUGAAGAGGAUAACUUUGUAUGAUGUCGGAGAGCUAAAAUAUAAAAGUAGGUGCUGUUAUCAUUAAGUUAGAAUAUAUUACUAAAUAUUAUAAAUAGCGAGUGUGGAAUAAUGAUGGAUCGGUGUGCGGAAUUGUCCUAGGCAAUUGUUAACAAGACCGGUAAUCACUAUUGCAAUUUCAUAUGAGGGAGAGGCAUAAGCUAACAUACUUUAUCUUCUUGGAUCAUAUGCACUUAUGAUUGGAACUCUAGCAAGCAUCCACAACAACUAAAUAUCAUUAAGGUAAAACCCAACCAUAGCAUUAAAGCAUCAAGUCCUCUUUAUUCCCAUACGCAACAACCCCCUUACUCGGGUUUGUGUUUCAGUCACUCACCAACCCACUAUAAGCGAAUCAUGAACGUAUUGCAACACCCUACAGCGGGAAUCCCUCACGCUUGCGUGACACGGAGAGCACCAUAGGACAACACCGAUAAUAAAACAUACAACUCAACCAAUCUAGAUCAUCAAUCAACCCAAAGACAAAGGAUAUCUACUCAAAACAUCAUAGGAUGGCAACACAUCAUUGGAUCAUAAUAUGUGGCAUAAAGCACCAUGUUCAAGUAGGGAUUACAGUGGGGUGCGGGAGAGUGGACCGCGUAAAAUAGAUGAGGAUGGUGAUGAUGAUGGUGAUGUUGAUGAAGACGAUCACCGCGGCGAUGAUUCCCCUCCCGAUGGCACUCGGGCGCCACCAAGAGAGAGGAGGAGAGGUUCUCCCCCUUGUGCUUCCUCCUCCAUGGCCUCCCCCUAGAUGGGGAGAGGUUCUCCCUCUGGUCCUUGGCCUUCAUGGCGAUGAUGGCCCCUCUGGGAUCCUCCUCCAUGGCCUCCGGUGAUGAUGGCCCCCUCCGGCAGGGUGCCGGAGAGGGCUUAGAUUGAUUUCUCGUGGCUACAGAGGCUUGCGGCGGCGGAACUUCCGAUCUAGGUUUCUUUCUGGAAGUUUGGGUAUAUAUGAGAGGUGUUGGCGUCGAGUGUUGGGGAACGUAGUAAUUUCAAAAAAAUUCCUACGCACACACAAGAUCAUGGUGAUGCAUAGCAACGAGAGGGGAGAGUGUUGUCCACGUACCCUGGUAGACCGAAAGCGGAAGCGUUAGCACAACGCGGUUGAUGUAGUCGUAUGUCUUCACGAUCUGACCGAUCAAGUACCGAACGCACGACACCUACGAGUUCAGCACACGUUCAGCCCGGUGACGUCCCUCGAACUCCGAUCCAGCUGAGUGUUGAGGGAGUGUUUCGUUAGCACGACGGCGUGGUGACGAUGAUGAUGUUCUACCGACGUAGGGCUUCGCCUAAGCACCGCUAUAGUUUAUCGACGUGGACUAUGGUGGAGGGGGGCACCGCACACGGCUAAGAGAUCAAGAGAUCAAUUGUUGUGUCUCUAGGGUGCCCCCUGCCCCCGUAUAUAAAGGAGCAAGGGGGGAGGUGCGGCCGGCCAGGAGGGGGCGCGCCAGGAGGAGUCCUACUCCCACCGGGAGUAGGACUCCCUCCCUUUUCCUUGUUGGAUUAGGAGAAGAGGGGGAAAGAGGUGGAGGAGAAGAAGGAAAGGGGGGGCGCCGCCCCCUCUACUUGUCGUAUUCAGACUAGGGGGGAGGGGCGCGCGGCCCUUGCCCUGGCCGCCUCUCCUCUUCUCCACUAAGGCCCACUAUGGCCCAUUAACCCCCGGGGGGUUCCGAUAACCCCUCCGGUACUCCGGUAAAAUCCCGAUUUCACCCGGAACAAUUCUGAUAUCCAAAUAUAGGCUUCCAAUAUAUCAAUCUUCAUGUCUCGACCAUUUCGAGACUCCUCGUCAUGUCCGUGACCACAUCCGGGACUCCGAACAAUCUUCAGUACAUCAAAACAUAUAAACUUAUAAUAUAACUGUCAUCGAAACGUUAAGCGUGCGGACCCUACGGGUUCGAGAACUAUGUAGACAUGACCGAGACACGUCUCCGGUCAAUAACCAAUAGCGGAACCUGGAUGCUCAUAUUGGCUCCCACAUAUUCUACGAAGAUCUUUAUCAGUCAGACCGCAUAACAACAUACGUUGUUCCCAUUGUCAUCGGUAUGUUACUUGCCCGAGAUUCGAUCGUCGGUAUCUCAAUACCUAGUUCAAUCUCGUUACCGGCAAGUCUCUUUACUCGUUCCGUAGUACAUCAUCCCGCAACUAACUCAUUAGUUGCAAUGCUUGCAAGGCUUAAGUGAUGUGCAUUACCGAGUGGGCCCAGAGAUACCUCUCCGACAAUCGGAGUGACAAAUCCUAAUCUCGAAAUACGCCAACCCAACAAGUACCUUUGGAGACACCUGUAGAGCACCUUUAUAAUCACCUAGUUACGUUGUGAUGUUUGGUAGCACACAAAGUGUUCCUCCGGUAAACGGGAGUUGCAUAAUCUCAUAGUCAUAGGAACAUGUAUAAGUCAUGAAGAAAGCAAUAGCAACAUACUAUACGAUCGAGUGCUAAGCUAACGGAAUGGGUCAAGUCAAUCACAUCAUUCUCCUAAUGAUGUGAUCCCGUUAAUCAAAUGACAACCCAUGUCAAUGGCUAGGAAACAUAACCAUCUUUGAUCAACGAGCUAGUUAAGUAGAGGCAUACUAGUGACACUCUGUUUGUCUAUGUAUUCACACAAGUAUUACGUUUCCGGUUAAUACAAUUCUAGCAUGAAUAAUAAACAUUUAUCAUGAUAUAAGGAAAUAAAUAAUAACUUUAUUAUUGCCUCUAGGGCAUAUUUCCUUCAGUCUCCCACUUGCACUAGAGUCAAUAAUCUAGGUUACACAGUAAUGAUUCUAACACCCAUGGAGCCUUGGUGCUGAUCAUGUUUUGCUCGUGGAAGAGGCUUAGUCAACGGGUCUGCAACAUUCAGAUCCGUAUGUAUCUUGCAAAUUUCUAUGUCUCCCACCUGGACUAAAUCCCAGAUGGAAUUGAAGCGUCUCUUGAUGUGCUUGGUUCUCUUGUGAAAUCUGAAUUCCUUCGUCAAGGCAAUUGCACCAGUAUUGUCAGAAAAGAUUUUCAUUGGACCCGAUGCACUAGGUAUGACACCUAGGUCGGAUAUGAACUCCUUCAUCCAGACUCAUUCAUUUGCUGCUUCCGAAGCAGCUAUGUACUCCGCUUCACACGUAGAUCCUGCCACGACGCUUUGUUUAGAACUGCACCAACUGACAGCUCCACCGUUCAAUGUAAACACGUAUCCGGUUUGCGAUUUAGAAUCUUCCGGAUCAGUGUCAAAGCUUGCAUCAACGUAACCAUUUACGAUGAGCUCUUUGUCACCUCCAUAAACGAGAAACAUAUCCUUAGUCCUUUUCAGGUAUUUCAGGAUGUUCUUGACCGCUGUCCAGUGAUCCACUCCUGGAUUACUUUGGUACCUCCCUGCUAGACUUAUAGCAAGGCACACAUCAGGUCUGGUACACAGCAUUGCAUACAUGAUAGAGCCUAUGGCUGAAGCAUAGGGAACAUCUUUCAUUUUCUCUCUAUCUUCUGAAGUGGUCUGGCAUUGAGUCUUACUCAACUUCACACCUUGUAACACAGGCAAGAACCCUUUCUUUGCCUGAUCCAUUUUGAACUUCUUCAAAACUUUGUCAAGGUAUGUGCUUUGUGAAAGUCCAAUUAAGCAUCUUGAUCUAUCUCUAUAGAUCUUGAUGCCCAAUAUAUAAGCAGCUUCACCGAGGUCUUUCAUUGAAAAACUCUUAUUCAAGUAUCCCUUUAUGCUAUCCAGAAAUUCUAUAUCAUUUCCAAUCAGCAAUAUGUCAUCCACAUAUAAUAUCAGAAAUGCUACAGAGCUCCCACUCACUUUCUUGUAAAUACAUGCUUCUCCAAAAGUCUGUACAAAACCAAAUGCUUUGAUCACACUAUCAAAGCGUUUAUUCCAACUCCGAGAGGCUUGCACCAGUCCAUAAAUGGAUCGCUGGAGCUUGCACACUUUGUUAGCUCCCUUUGGAUCAACAAAACCUUCCGGUUGCAUCAUAUACAACUCUUCUUCCAGAAAUCCAUUCAGGAAUGCAGUUUUGACAUCCAUUUGCCAAAUUUCAUAAUCAUAAAAUGCGGCAAUUGCUAACAUGAUUCGGACAGACUUAAGCAUCGCUACGGGUGAGAAGGUCUCAUCGUAGUCAAUCCCUUGAACUUGUCGAAAACCUUUCGCAACAAGUCGAGCUUUAUAGACAGUAACAUUACCAUCAGCGUCAGUCUUCUUCUUGAAGAUCCAUUUAUUUUCAAUGGCUUGCCGAUCAUCGGGAAGUCAACUAAAGUCCACACUUUGUUCUCAUACAUGGAUCCCAUCUCAGAUUUCAUGGCCUCAAGCCAUUUUGCGGAAUCUGGGCUCACCAUCGCUUCUUCAUAGUUCGUAGGUUCGUCAUGGUCUAGUAACAUAACCUCCAGAAUAGGAUUACCGUACCACUCUGGUGCGGAUCUUACUCUGAUUGACCUACGAGGUUCAUUAACAACUUGAUCUGAAGCUCCAUGAUCAUCAUCAUUAACUUCCUCACUAAUUGGUGUAGGUGUCACAGGAACCGGUUUCUGUGAUGAACUACUUUCCAAUAAGGGAGCAGGUACAGUUACCUCAUCAAGUUCUACUUUCUUCCCACUCACUUCUUUCGAGAGAAACUCCUUCUCUAGAAAGGAUCCAUUCUUAGCAACGAAUGUCUUGCCUUCAGAUCUGUGAUAGAAGGUGUACCCAACAGUCUCCUUUGGGUAUCCUAUGAAGACACAUUUCUCCGAUUUGGGUUCGAGCUUAUCAGGUUGAAGCUUUUUCACAUAAGCAUCGCAGCCCCAAACUUUAAGAAACGACAACUUUGGUUUCUUGCCAAACCACAGUUCAUAAGGCGUCGUCUCAACGGAUUUCGAUGGUGCCCUAUUUAACGUGAAUGCAGCCGUCUCUAAAGCAUAACCCCAAAACGAUAGCGGUAAAUCAGUAAGAGACAUCAUAGAUCGCACCAUAUCUAGUAAAGUACGAUUACGACGUUCGGACACACCAUUUCGCUGUGGUGUUCCAGAUGGCGUGAGUUGCGAAACUAUUCCGCAUUGUUUCAAAUGUAGACCAAACUCGUAACUCAAAUAUUCUCCUCCAUGAUCAUAUCGUAGAAACUUUUAUUUUCUUGUUACGAUGAUUUUCAACUUCACUUUGAAAUUCUUUGAACUUUUCAAAUGUUUCAGACUUAUGUUUCAUUAAGUAGAUAUACCCAUAUCUGCUCAAAUCAUCUAUGAAGGUGAGAAAAUAACGAUAUCCACCACGAGCCUCAACAUUCAUCGGACCACAUACAUCUGUAUGUAUGAUUUCCAACAAAUCUGUUGUUCUCUCCAUAGUACCGGAGAACGGCGUUUUAGUCAUCUUGCCCAUGAGGCACGGUUCGCAAGUACCAAGUGAUUCAUAAUCAAGUGGUUACAAAAGUCCAUCAGUAUGGAGUUUCUUCAUGCGCUUUACACCGAUAUGACCUAAACGGCAGUGCCACAAAUAAGUUGCACUAUCAUUAUCAACUCUGCAUCUUUUGGCUUCAACAUUAUGAAUAUGUGUAUUACUACUAUCGAGAUUCAUCAAAAAUAGACCACUCUUUAAGGGUGCAUGACCAUAAAAGAUAUUACUCAUAUAAAUAGAACAACCAUUAUUCUCUGAUUUAAAUGAAUAACCGUCUCGCAUCAAACAAGAUCCAUAUAUAAUGUUCAUGCUCAACGCUGGCACCAAAUAACAAUUAUUUAGGUCUAAUACUAAUCCCGAAGGUAGAUGUAGAGGUAGCGUGCUGACAGCGACCACAUCAACUUUGGAACCAUUUCCCACGCGCAUCGUCACCUCGUCCUUAGCCAGUGUCCGCUUAAUCUGUAGUCCCUGUUUCGAGUUGCAAAUAUUAGCAACAGAACCAGUAUCAAAUACCCAGGUGCUACUGCGAGCUCUGGUAAGGUACACAUCAAUAACAUGUAUAUCACAUAUACCUUUGUUCACCUUGCCAUCCUUCUUAUCCGCCAAAUACUUGGGGCAGUUCCGCUUCCAGUAACCAGUCUGCUUGCAGUAGAAGCACUCAGUCUCAGGCUUAGGUCCAGACUUGGGUUUCUUCUCUUGAGCAGCAACUUGCUUGCUGUUCUUCUUGAAGUUCCCCUUCUUCUUCCCUUUGCCCUUUUUCUUGAAACUGGUGGUCUUAUUGACCAUCAACACUUGAUGGUCAUUCUUGAUUUCUACCUCCGCAGCCUUUAGCAUUGCGAAGAGCUCGGGAAUCGUCUUAUCCAUCCCUUGCAUGUUAUAGUUCAUCACGAAGCUCUUGUAGCUUGGUGGCAGUGAUUGAAGAAUUCUGUCAAUGACACUAUCAUCCGGAAGAUUAACUCCCAGUUGAAUCAUGUGAUUGCAGUACCCAGACAUCUUGAGUAUAUGCCCACUGACAGAACUAUUCUCCUCCAUCUUGCAGCUAUAGAAUUUAUUGGAGACUUCAUAUCUCUCAAUCCGGGCAUUCUUUUGAAAUAUUAACUUCAAUUCCUGGAACAUCUCAUAUGCUCCAUGACGUUCAAAACGUCGUUGAAGUCUCGGUUCUAAGCCGUAAAGCAUGGCACACUGAACUAUCGAGUAGUCAUCAACACGUGACUGCCAGGCAUUCACAAUGUCUGCACUUGCUGGCGCAGGUGGUACACCUAGCGGUGCUUCCAGGAUGUAACUCUUCUGUGUAGCAAUGAGGAUAAUCCUCAAGUUAUGGACCCAGUCCGUGUAAUUGCUACCAUCAUCUUUCAACUUUGCUUUCUCAAGGAACGCAUUAAAAUUCAAUGGAACAACAAAACGGGCCAUCUAUCUACAAUCAACAUAGACAAGCAAGAUACUAUCAGGUACUAAGUUCAUGAUAAAUUGAAGUUCAAUUAAUCAUAUUACUUAAGAACUCCCACUUAGAUAGACAUCUCUCUAAUCCUCUAAGUGAUCACGUGAUCCAAAUCAACUAAACCAUAACCGAUCAUCACAUGAAAUGGAGUAGUUUUCAAUGGUGAACAUCACUAUGUUGAUCAUAUCUACUAUAUGAUUCACGCUCGACCUUUCGGUCUCAGUGUUCUGAGGCCAUAUCUGCAUAUGCUAGGCUCGUCAAGUUUAACCUGAGUAUUCUGCGUGUGCAAAACUGGCUUGCACCCGUUGUAUUUGAACGUAGAGCCUAUCACACCCGAUCAUCACGUGGUGUCUCAGCACGAAGAACUUUCGCAACGGUGCAUACUCAGGGAGAACACUUAUACUUUGAUAAUUUAGUGAGGGAUCAUCUUAUAAUGGUACCGUCAAUCAAAGCAAGAUAAGAUGCAUAAAAGAUAAACAUCAUAUGCAAUCAAUAUAAGUGAUAUGAUAUGGCCAUCAUCAUCUUGUGCUUGUGAUCUCCAUCUCCGAAGCACCGUCAUGAUCAACAUCGUCACCGGCGCGACACCUUGAUCUCCAUCGUAGCAUCAUUGUCAUCUCGCCAAUCUUAUGCUUCUACGACUAUCGCUACCGCUUAGUGAUAAAGUAAAGCAUUACAGGGCGAUUGCAUUGCAUACAAUAAAGCGACAACCAUAUGGCUCCUGCCAGUUGCCGAUAACUCGGUUACAAAACAUGAUCAUCUCAUACAAUAAAAUUUAGCAUCAUAUCUUGACCAUAUCACAUCACAAAUGCCCUGCAAAAACAAGUUAGACGCCCUCUACUUUGUUGUUGCAAAUUUUACGUGGCUGCUACGGGCUUAGCAAGAACCGUUCUUACCUACGCAUCAAAACCACAACGAUAGUUUGUCAAGUUGGUGCUGUUUUAACCUUCGCAAGGACCGGGCAUAGCCACACUCGGUUCAACUAAAGUUGGAGAAACUGACAUCUGCCAGCCACCUGUGUGCAAAGCACGUCGGUAGAACCAGUCUCGCGUAAGCGUACGCGUAAUGUCGGUCCGGGCCGCUUCAUCCAACAAUACCGCCGAACCAAAAUAUGACAUGCUGGUAAGCAGUAUGACUUAUAUCGCCCACAACUCACUUGUGUUCUACUCGUGCAUAUGACAUCUACGCAUAAAACCUAGCUCGGAUGCCACUGUUGGGGAACGUAGUAAUUUCAAAAAAUUUCCUACGCACACGCAAGAUCAUGGUGAUGCAUAGCAACGAGAGGGGAGAGUGUUGUCCACGUACCCUCGUAAACCGAAAGCGGAAGCGUUAGCACAACGCGGUUGAUGUAGUCGUAUGUCUUCACGAUCCGACCGAUCAAGUACCGAACGCACGGCACCUCAGAGUUCAGCACACGUUCAGCCCGAUGACGUCCCUCGAACUCCGAUCCAGCCGAGUGCUGAGCGAGAGUUUUGUCAGCACAACGGCGUGGUGACGAUGAUGAUGUUCUACCGACGCAGGGCUUCGCCUAAGCACCGCUACAGUAUUAUCGAGGUGGACUAUGGUGCAGGGGGGCACCGCACACGGCUAAAAGAUCAAACGAUCAAUUGUUGUGUCAUUGGGGUGCCCCUUGCCCCCGUAUAUAAAGGAGCAAGGGGGGAGGUGCCGCCGGCCUAGAGGGGGCACGCCAGGAGGAGUCCUACUCCCACCGGGAGUAGGACUCCCUCCCUUUUCCUAGUUGGACUAGGAGUGGAGGGGGAAAGAGGUGGAGGAGAAGAAGGAAAGGGGGGCGCCGCCCCCUCUCCUUGUCCUAUUCGGACUAGGGGGAGGGGCGCGCGGCCCUUGCCCUGGCCGCCUCUCCUCUCUUCCACUAAGGCCCACUAUGGCCCAUUAACCUCCGGGGGGUUCCGGUAACCCCUCCGGUACUCCGGUAAAAUCCCGAUUUCACCCGGAACACUUCCGAUAUCCAAACAUAGGCUUCCAAUAUAUCAAUCUUCAUGUCUCGACCAUUUCGAGACUCCUCGUCAUGUCCGUGAUCACAUCCGGGACUCCGAACAACCUUCGGUACAUCAAAACAUAUAAACUCAUAAUAUAACUAUCAUCGAAACGUUAAGCGUGCGGACCCUACGGGUUCGAGAACUAUGUAGACAUGACCGAGACACGUCUCCGGUCAAUAACCAAUAGCGGAACCUGGAUGCUCAUAUUGGCUCCCACAUAUUCUACGAAGAUCUUUAUCGGUCAGACCGCAUGACAACAUAUGUUGUUCCCUUUGUCAUCGGUAUGUUACUUGCCCGAGAUUUGAUCAUUGGUAUCUCAAUACCUAGUUCAAUCUCGUUACCGACAAGUCUCUUUACUCAUUCCGUAAUACAUCAUCCCGCAACUAACUCAUUAGUUGCAAUGCUUGCAAGGCUUAAGUGAUGUGCAUUACCGAGAGGGCCCAGAGAUACCUCUCCGACAAUCGGAGUGACAAAUCCUAAUCUCGAAAUACGCCAACCCAACAAGUACCUUCGGAGACACCUGUAGAGCACCUUUAUAAUCACCCAGUUACGUUGUGACGUUUGGUAGCACACAAAGUGUUCCUCCGGUAAACGGGAGUUGCAUAAUCUCAUAGUCAUAGGAACAUGUAUUAGUCAUGAAGAAAGCAAUAGCAACAUACUAAACGAUCGAGUGCUAAGCUAACGGAAUGGGUCAAGUCAAUCACAUCAUUCUCCUAAUGAUGUGAUCCCGUUAAUCAAAUGACAACCCAUGUCAAUGGCUAGGAAACUUAACCAUCUUUGAUCAACGAGCUAGUCAAGUAGAGGCAUACUAGUGACACUCUGUUUGUCUAUGUAUUCACACAUGUAUUAUGUUUCCGGUUAAUACAAUUCUAGCAUGAAUAAUAAACAUUUAUCAUGAUAUAAGGAAAUAAAUAAUACCUUUAUUAUUGCCUCUAGGGCAUAUUUCCUUCACAAUAUACCAGCAUGUCUGUCAUGAAUGACACACACGUUUGGUCGGUCCUUCACGAUGGCAAUUUUCACUUGGCGGAAGAACCAUACCCAGCUGGGAAAGUUCUCACCCUCCACAAAUGCCGUGGCAAGUUGUAACACCCCGGAUGUAACUUGCCAUAAUUUGUAACUCCCACUCUUGCCAUUUUCGGCUAUGUGUUAUGAUAUUCCCUCCGUGGUUGGGUUUUGUCUCUCAUUUUGCAUUUUUUUCAUGUCAUGCAUCUCAUAUCAUGUCAUCAUGUGCAUCUCAUUUGCAUACGUGUUCGUCUCAUGCAUUCGAGCAUUUUCCCCGUUGUCCCUUUUGCAAUCCGACACUCCCACAUGCACCGGCGCACCCCCUCUUGUCUCUUUUCGUGAGCGGGUGUUAAACGUUCUCGGAAUGGACCGAGGUUUUCCAAGUGGCCCUGGUAUACCACCGGUAGACCACGUGUCAAGUUUCGUUCCAUUUGGAGGUCGUUUGAUACUCCAACGGUUAACCGGGUAACCGCGAAGGCCUUCUGUGUGUUGCAGCCCAACACCCCUCCAAAACAGCCCACUAACUGUGACACCCAAAAUUUUAUUUGGCUUUUUCAAACUUUUAUUUGAUUUGAAGGGUGUUAUUUAAAAUUUUCUUCUAAAGAACUCUUCCUCUCAAAAACUUUCUUUUAUGAAAAAUGUUUUGUUUGGAUUCACCCAAGACUUGAUUUUGGUCUUGGAGGUUUUUCCAUCUUAUGUGGACUCAAACCCAAGUGUUUUUCAUUUGGAAAAAAAUAUAUUUUUGAAAAUCUUUUAAAUAGCCCUAUGGCAUUUGGAGUGAUCUUUUUCCCCUUUCAAAAAUCCUUCUUGCCAUGACCUAAGUGGAAAUCCCCUCCCAAAAGCCUUUCCCCAUCUUUGUGUCUUGAUAUACUUCAAAUCCAGCAGUUUGAACCUCCCCAUAAAUUUUCCUUCAAUUAUUUCUCAUCAAAAAUAAUUUCUGCCCUCUACUCUAGCUCUUAGAGAUUUACAAAGGAGCUACCCUUUCUACUUUGAAUUUUGCCUCCAAAGCAAUUUCCCUAGCUAGUCCUUAGAGCCCUCAACCAAGAUCCAUGAAGAUCCACUGGUCUCCAGUUCAAAUAUUUCAAAUUGUGCUUGCUGCAAGUUUGGACCAGAUUUGCCAAAUUUGAUGAAAUUCGUUUGAAUUCUCCUCCUAAAAAUCUGAGAAAAUUCAGGCAGCCUCUGGGUGCAUUGAGAGGUCACCUCACCAAGUCCCAGCUCCAGAAAUUUUUUUCUUCAUGCCAAAUCAUUUCGUCGAACACCUGAUGGGCACUGUUUCUGUCAAUGUUCAGAAAUUCAGAGAUACAGUUUCAGUGAGCACUGUCGUUUUCUUCAGAACUCCUUCUCGAUCUCGCCAGUACCGCGGUGGCGCCUUGCGCCAUGUUCUCUCCUUCUUAUCCCUGCGCCGCACGAUCUCCUGGAGGCUUGCGGACGUCGGCAACGAGCAGGCGGAGGUGCGCCACCCCGUGAGCGACGGUAGCAGCGGCUUUGCGGCUGCCAGAGAGAGGCGCAACAUGGACGGCGCCGCCCAAGCCACCCGAGGCCGCCGCGUGGCCAUCCACUCACCCAUGCGUGCUGCCAUCCUUCAUCGUGAACUGCUAGGCGCGGAGCGCGCUCUCUGCCGCCGCCGUGCCCGUACGGCCACCCGGUCGAGGAGCGGCGCAUUACGCCUUGCCCGACCGAGGUUUAGCGGUGGAAUGGCACCAGUGAUCCUCCCUGAUGGUGCCUAGCCACCUAAACCCCCUACCCAACCUCUGCCUCGCCGUAAUCGCUCGCCGGAGAAAUCCAGUUCACGGCCACCCCCUCGGAUCGCCUAUAAAUAGAGGCCCCAAGCUCGAACUCGAACUCACACCACCCCUACGCACCACCAAUACCACGCCAAGCCACUGGUAGAGCCACGAGGGAGCCUUCUUCCCCAACUCCGGCCGCCUCGACCCGCCACGGGACCCAGCUCGAUUCGCUCCCAUGCGUGCACCUCUACCUCUCAGCUCUUGCCAGUAACUUCAUAAUGCAUCCACUCUCCUGACCCGCGCUUCAAUUUGGAGUUUGCAGUGCCCACCAGAGUUCUCCACCAUCGCCCGAACCACCGUCCGCCGGAGAAAGUGUCGCCGUCGACGUGGUGCUCUCCGACGGCCAAGUCCACCACCCACCGACGCGGAAGAACACACUGAACCUCUUGGUACCCUCCGAUCUCCCUGCCUCGCCGUGGUUCAACGCCGGCGACCACCGCAGCCUUCGGGCGCCAGCGAAGUUUUAAACCUGACGGGUGGACCCCCCCGUCAGCCUCUCUUCUUUUCCCCCCUCGAACUGUUUUCUGUUGGCGCCUUCGGGCAAAUGCGCUUCCUCUUUGAGCUGACGCAUUUCUUUCCGAAUCGUUUUCUGUUUUCUCAGUUAAGUCCCUCGAUCUUUUCUAUUUCAUCACAGAUUAGUCCCUGGACUAAAACCCUUAAUCUUUUUAAUAAAAGAUGAUUUUUGAUUGAUUCUUUUUUUGUCAGUCUUAUAUUUUUGUCUAGUUUUUUAUAGUAUUUAUUUGGAAAAUUUUUGGAACAAUUUUUAUGCACGCGAUGAUUUUCACGUUAGUGUACGGUUUCGAUAUACUGUAUGUUCCGGAGGAGGUGACGGAGCCGCGAACUUCGCCGAGCUAGACUCCGACUUCUCCGAACCAGGCAAGCAUGUUUGAACCUUUGAUAUGAUAGGUGUUUUGCAUGUUUGCUUGAAUGGUUGGGCAUGACAUAUGAGCAUCGGUGAGUAUCUCAUUGCAUGCAAGGCAACUAUCUGUGAGUUCCGAAGUUACCGUGAUCUUUGAUGAGAAAUGACCUGAUCAUGUGGUGACAUGAAAGGCAGUAAGAUGGUAGUGUUGUAGCAUGCCAGUCUUACGUCAUCCAAUAAACUCCGACGUUAACGUGGACUGAGCCACGUUACCGUUCUUCCCCUUUCGUGCUGCCACAUGUUUUCUGCAAAGAAUACGGUUUAGUAAGUUGGUAACCUCUUUCCGUGUCACACCAAAUAGAGGGGCCGGGAUGAGGGUUCCAUGGCCCUGGAUUAAAGCCAGUCAUCCGGUCAGGGGGCAUGGUUGUUUCCGGUUGGGACCGAGAGGGGGGCACCCCUUAGAGCGCGCGGUAUAAAUUUGAUCCCAUGCUACGCGAGGUUGUAGCCUCCCCGUCUCAAAGUUUUUCUUGAACGUUGCCGAGGGUGAUUCCUGGCAUCGGAAUGUUGAAUGGGUGUGUACUGGUUAGAUGUGUUUCUCCUAAAACACCGUAAACGGAACUAGUCCCUUGUGACUACUGAAUCCGUUGGCUGUGGUUAAAUAGUACAAACUCUGCAGAGUCAAAUCCUUCCGAGUCAUCGUGUCCAUGGUCAAGGACCAUGGCCGGUAUAUCCAUAUCUACGUCAAUCCUCGUGGUAAAUCCCCGGUGAACAAGCUUGAGUGGUAAACCCGGUUGCAUUGUUAUUCCUGUGGAUGGACUAACCUUUAUUUUAUCUCGUACCUGAAUAUUCCCUUGCAAUGAUUUCUAUUCAUGACCUACUGAAAUAUUAAGUUAUGAAAUAUAAGCCCUUUAUGUGAUGUCGCUCAGACGUCCGACUGUGGCACUCUUGUUAUUUACUUUUGAUAUAGGCCCUUUAUGUGAUGUCGCUCAGACGUCCGACUGUGGCACUCUUGUUAUUUACUUUUGAUAUAAGCCCUUUAUGUGAUGUCGCUCCGACGUCCGACUGUGGCACUCUCAUUAUUUACUUUUGAUAUAAGCCCUUUAUGUGAUGUCGCUCAGACGUCCGACUGUGGCACGCACUGUCUUUUAUAUUCCAUUAUAAGCCCUUUAUGAGGUGUCGCCUUGACGCCCGACUGCGGCAUUGUUAUUACAUUUUUACCCUUCCGAGGAGUCAUUUAGACACUCGAUUGGCCCUCAGUAUUACUUUGGGAUUUCGGGAGGACUACCGCCCGACUUCCCUUUUAUUUUCCAUGCAUUGCUAUCUCAUUGUCUGAGUGCGCUUGUUAAUCUGUUCUUAUGCAUCAUGUUUACAUUUGUUAUAUCUUAUGUCCGAACUGUCUUGCGAGUACUUCCAUAGUACUCACCUGGCUUGUUGAUUUGGCCAGAUGUUGACGAAGGCGAUCUCAUGGAUGAAGAGUUUGAUAGUGAGUCCGAUGCCUAGAGGAAUCCUAGUCAGUCCCGUGCGAUCCUGGAUAUUGGUCACUUGUAUCAUAUACGCUUCCGCCACCCUCAAUGAGUACCCUCGAGCCUCACUCCGACGCUCGAAGAGCUGUUAGAUUUAGGAGUCAUGUCACCCACUUCACUGUGAUAUAUCCACCACCGCUUUUAUCGUGACUUAGUAGUUAUGCCACCCUAUCCGCCUUUAUGUAUUAUUGGCGUGCUUGUAAUAAAUUGUUGAGCAGUCUCCGCUCAACCUUGUAUUAUAUCUAGUACUCCUGGUUUUCUUCUGUGAUCAAGAUAUUGUCUACCAGUGAGAAGGGAUUCUUCUUUACUGGUCCGUAAAAGGGAUCGGUCUCUCAAUAAAUAUUUUUAUUGGAAAACCGGUCGUGACAAGCUUGACACGAGCUUGUCCCUAGUUCCUCGUCGGGACGAGUGUGGUCGGUAUGGCAUGAUGAGAUUUGAUGAGCGAUGACUCUGUGUGUCAUUGGAAAUAUUUUGGUUAUGCUUAUCAUUCGGAGAAUACUUGGACCACCUGAGUCGGUCGUAGGUCGAGUCUUGUUCAGUAACUUCCCCUACUUGUUUUUUACUACCACUGGUCCCUGCCGCAGGUAGGGUACGGUUCAGUAAGUUGUCAACCCCUUACCAAGGCACACACCGUACAGAGAGGCCAUGGUGGAAGAUACCGGAUGCAUCCGGUAGGCAUGCCACCUGGUCCGGGGGCAUGGGUGUUUCUGGUUGGGACCGAGAGGGGGGCACCCCUUAGAGCGCGCGAUAUAAAUUUGAUCCCAUGCUACGUCGAGGUUGUAGCCUCCCCACUUAGAGUUUUGCUUGACAGGUGCCGUGGGUGAUUCCAGACACCGGUGAGUUAAGCUAGUGUGUGCAGGUCAGGCGUGUUUUCAAUUAAAAGGCCGUAGACGGAAUUAGUCCCGAUGGACUAAAUAAAUCCGUUACUCGUGAAAAAAAGUACACCCUCUACAGAGGUUAUAUCUAUUCGGAUAGCCACAUCUUUGUGUAAGGACUACAGUCUGAGAUGGGUCUAGUAACGGUUUUCGGAUGGAGACACGGCUAAACUGGAUCAUAGUAACGGUAUUCGGAUGGAGACACGGCUAAACUAGAUUCUAGUGACGGUCUUCGGAUGGAGAAACGGCUAGACUAGAUUUUGUUUAUGACCUGUGACAUAUGAGGAUUAUGUUUAUGGACUAACCAUUUACAUUAUUUGGAUUAUUGAGUAUCCCUGGGACGGUUCUACCUCCUGGAUAUUCACUGUGAUUAUUCUCAUAUAAGCCCUUUAUGUGGCGUCGCUCAGACGCCCGACUGCGGCAUGUUUGUUAUUUAUUUAUCCUUUAUAAGCCCUUUAUGUGGCGUCGCUCAGACGCCCGACUGCGGCAUGUUUGUUAUUUAUUUAUCCUUUAUAAGCCCUUUAUGUGGCGUCGCUCAGAGGCCCGACUGCGGCAUGUUUGUUAUUUAUUUAUCCUUUAUAAGCCCUUUUUGUGGUGUCGCUCAGACGCCCGACUGCGGCAUUGUUAAUUUAUUUUUACCCCCUUUCGAGGAGUCAUUUCAGACACUCGAUCAGUGCAUUCUAUUCCCAAUCCCGUAUUGCAUGUUCAUAUUUUUCCCGCAUGCGUGCAUCACGGACUUCGUUUAUUUCGUGACAGAAGUUGUGAUCAUAAAUACUUCGGAGCAUGAUUAUCCCUCGUUAUAUUAUACCCGUGUUCUUAAUGUUUGCGAGUACAUUCAAACGUACUCACUGGCUUGUCCCUGGCUAUUGUCUUGGCCAGAUUUCGCGCAUGGAGAUAGCAUUGCGAUGACAGCCCCGGAACCCAUGUAAAGGUGAUAGCAGCCUCGCGAAGAUAGGAGUUAUCCUGGUCAGCUGUUCUUGUGGGAAAUGGAGUCCCAUAGACGCAGAUGAACCACAAACCGCUUCCGCCAUCAACCUCUAGAAACCAAGUGUUGUACUCCUAGGCCACAAUGGUCUUGUACUACAUAUUUUGUACUCUGCUUGGAAAUUCUUGUAUCAAGUUGGUGCCUCAUCAGCUAACAGUAAUCCUGGGGCUGGUGAGCAUAAAGGCCAUUUUCUGGGAAAUUUAUAUCCCGAAAAUCCGGUCGUGACAGACUUGGUAUCAUCACUGGGAUGCAUGUGUAGGAAGGCUUUCGUGGGGCACACAUCCCCAGGAGCAUCAUAAAAAUCAAGAAAAGAGAAUUUGAUGACCUCAAGCAAAGAGGCAUGUCAGUGACAGAAUACAACGGUCAGUUUACCCAGCUAUCUCGUUAUGCCUACGAUGAGCAUUUAACUGAGAACAAAAGGAUGGAAAAGUUUUUGGACGGCCUGGCGCCAGCAUUGAGAUGCCAACUGGUCGUACACACUUUCCCGGAUUUUAAAACUCUGGUUGACAAGGCCAUUACCUUGGAGAAUGAGCGCCGCAGUCUGGAAGAUAUUCAUUAGCGAAAGAGGGACAAGAUGACUCUUGCUCGCAACAACCGAAGCAAGACUGAUGUUCAGAGGAUUGAAGCAAGAAAAUCCACGACAACUGCUAUAAGGCCGACCAGACAAUUUCAUUCCAGGGACAAGGACUUCACAUACCGUCCAGGGGUCACUUUCUAUGCUUGUGGUGAAGAAGGGCACUAUGCCAAACAGUGCCCAAAACCAAGGAACUCGGCCCCCAAGCCGAACAAUGGUGGGAACAAUCCAGCCCCCAAGCGCAACAAUUUCAAUCCCAGCAACAAUCACAGGCAGGGUCACCUGAACCAUGUGACCAGGGAAGAAGCCCAAAAUGCCCCAGACAUCGUACUCGGUACGUUCCCUGUCAACACAGUACCUGCCACGGUUUUGUUCGAUUCUGGAGCUUCUCACUCGUUCGUUUCAAAGAGUUUUGUUUUGCAACAUGGUUUUCCGAUACUUCCCUUGGAAAAAUCUAUGAUCAUCAAGUCCCUCGGGAAUAAGCAGAUCGCUCAGAGUUACUGCCAAGGAGUGAUUAUUGAUUUCGAAAGAUUAAGGUUUCAGGCUAAUCUCAUCGUGUUGGAAAAUUAAGGACUGGAUGUCAUCCUAGGGAUGGACUGGUUGACCACCAACAAAGGAUUUAUUGACUGUUUCAAUCGGACCAUGAUUCUCACUCACCAUCACGGCAAGACAAUAGAAGUUACAGCUCAAGAGAGACCACGGUCACGGCAACAAAAGUUGAACAAAGUGGACAUUUCAGAAUUGAGAAAAGUUCCAGUGGUGUGUGAGUUCCCAGACGUAUUUCCUGAAGAACUUUCCAGGCAUGCCACCAGAUCGAGAGAUAGAGUUCAGCAUUGAACUAGCACCUGGCACCACUCCCAUCUAUAAGAAACCUUAUAGAAUGGCACCCUCAGAGUUGGUAGAAUUGAAGAAGCAAAUAAAGGAAUUACUGGACAAAGGAUUUAUUCGAGCCAGCUCCUCACCUUGGGGUUCGCCAUUAUUAUUCGCCAAGAAAAAGGAUGGGACACUGAGACUGUGUAUAGACUAUCGAGCUCUCAAUAUGGUCACCAUCAAAAACAAAUAUCCGAUGCCACGGAUAAAUGAUUUGUUUGACCAGCUCGCACAAGCCAAGGUGUUCUCAAAAAUUGAUUUAAGAUCGGGAUAUCAUCAAUUGAAAGUACGGACAGAAGAUAUCCCUAAGACAGCAUUCACCUCCAGAUACGGAUUAUAUGAGUUCACAGUGAUGCCUUUUGGACUGACGAACGCCCCCGCAUAUUUCGUCCACCUCAUGAACAAAGUGUUUAUGAAAUUCAUGGACAAAUUUGUUGUGGUAUUCAUUGAUGAUAUUCUGGUGUACUCAAGGACACCAGAAGAACAUACUGAGCAUCUCAGAAUUGUUUUGGGAGAAUUAAGGAAACAUCAAUUGUACGCCAAAUUUAGCAAGUGUGAAUUUUGGCUAAGGCAAGUUGGUUUCCUAGGCCAUAUAUUAACCCAAGAAGGCGUGGCUGUAGACCCAGAAAAAGUCAAAGCCAUACUUGACUGGAAACCACCAGCCAACGUAACAGAUGUGCGGAGUUUCCUGGGAAUGGCCGGAUAUUACAGAAGAUUUAUUGAAGGAUUCUCCACUGUGGCAAAACCAAUGGCACAGUUGCUCAAGAAAGACAAGAAGUUUGUAUGGACGGAAGCGUGCGAGAAAAGCUUCCAAGAACUCAAGAAGAAACUAACAACAGCACCGGUUUUGACCGUGCCAGACAUACACAAGAGUUUUGAAGUGUAUUGUGACGCGUCCCGGAAGGGCCUCGGAUGCGUACUGAUGCAGGAUGGCAAAGUUGUCGCGUAUGCUUCCAGGCAACUACGGAAGCAUGAGGAAAAUUAUCCUACUCAUGACUUGGAGCUAGCGGCCGUCAUCCAUGCACUCAAAGAGUGGAGACACUUUCUGUUGGGAAACCACUGUGAAAUAUAUACGGACCAUAAGAGCCUUAAAUAUAUUUUCACACAACCAGAGCUAAAUUUACGCCAACGACGCUGGUUGGAAUUGGUCAAGGACUAUGAUGUCGGCAUUCACUAUCAUCCAGGGAAGGCCAAUGUAGUGGCAGAUGCUCUUAGUCGGAACCCCAGCCCAGGCAACGACAGACCACAGAACUUGAGGCCUGAGUUUCAGCAGGAGCUCGCUAGACUCAACAUGGUGUUAGUCUCUGAGGGCAAUGUACCAAAUCUGGAGAUACAACCCACCCUAAUGGAACAAAUUAAGAAGGCUCAGCAGGGACAUCCCAGCAUCGAAGGUAUAAAGAGAAAAAUGAGCCUAGGCAAGGCUUCAGAGUUCGUCACAGACAGUGAAGGAAUAUUAUGGUACGGGGACAGACUUUGCAUACCAAACAUUGAGGAACUCAAGCAACAAAUCCUAACCGAAAGCCACACCGCUCCAUACUCGAUCCACCCUGGAGGAACCAAAAUGUACAAAGACAUUCAGGAAAGAUUUUGGUGGCACGGUAUAAAAAGGGAUAUAGCCGCAUUUAUUGCUUGUUGCGACUCAUGUCAGCGCAUUAAAGCCGAGCAUCAAAAGCCAGCAGGGCUACUACAGCCUAACCGGAUACCUGAGUGGAAAUGGGAUGAAAUUGGGAUGGAAUUCAUCGUCGGACUACCUCGAUCGCAACGCAGAAAUGAUGCCAUAUGGGUCAUCACAGACAGGCUAACCAAGGUUGCUCAUUUCAUUCCCGUGAAGACGACCUACUCCACUCAAAGGCUUGCCAAGCUUUAUCUCUCCCGUAUAGUUUGUCUGCAUGGAGUCCCAAAGACUAUAAUAUCCGACCGAGGCACUCAAUUUGUCUCUAAAUUCUGGGAUCACUUACAACAAGCUCUGGGCACUCAACUAGCAUUCAGUACAGCGUACCACCCUCAGACUUAUGGACAAACGGAACGCGUGAACCAAAUCCUAGAGGACAUGCUGAGAGCCUGUGUGCUCACCUAUGGAUCCAGUUGGGAAGAAAGUCUGCCGUAUGCCGAGUUUGCUUACAACAACAGUUACCAAGCCAGCUUAUAGAUGGCACCCUUUGAAGCAUUGUACGGACGGAGGUGUCGUACCCCACUAAAUUGGUCAGAAGCAGGUGACAGUCAUAUCUUCGGCCCAGACAUGCUCAAGGAAGCCGAGGAGAAGGUUAAAUAGAUCAGGGACAGACUCAAGACAGCUCAAAGCCGACAGAAGAGCUAUUACGAUCGAAAACAUCGUGAGGUCAGCUUUGAACCCGGUGAUUACGUAUACCUCCGAGUGUCUCCUAUGAGGGGCCUGCAACGGUUCAAAAUUGAGGGGAAGCUAGCCCCGAGAUUUAUUGGACCCUUCGGUAUAGUUGCACGAAGAGGCACAGUAGCCUACCAGCUAGACCUACCCAAAGAGCUGUCAGACGUCCACGACGUGUUUCACGUCUCACAGUUGAGGAAAUGUGUGAACAACCCGGAGAAGCAUGUAUCUCAUGAGAGCAUUGAUGUGCAACCAGACCUCACCUACAGAGAGCGACCAGUAAAGAUAUUGGAAGAGUCUGAAAGGAGGACCCGUCAGAAAACAACUAAAUUCUUCAAGGUUCAGUGGAGCAAUCACACCGAGGAUGAAGCUACAUGGGAAAGAGAAGAUUUUCUUCAGGCAGAGUACCCACAUCUAUUUGAGGAUCAGCUGAAAUCUCGAGGACGAGAUUUUUCCUAAGGGGGUAGGUGUUGUGACACCAAAAAAUUUAUUUGUCUUUUUCAAACUUUUAUUUGAUUUGAGGGGUGUUAUUUAAAAUUUUCUUCUAAAGAACUCUUCCUCUCAAAAACUUUCUUUUAUGAAAAAUGUUUUGUUUGGAUUCACCCAAGACUUGAUUUUGGUCUUGGAGGUUUUUCCAUCUUAUGUGGACUCAAACCCAAGUGUUUUUCAUUUGGAAAAAAAUAUAUUUUUGAAAAUCUUUUAAAUAGCCCUAUGGCAUUUGGAGUGAUCUUUUUCCCCUUUCAAAAAUCCUUCUUGCCAUGACCUAAGUGGAAAUCCCCUCCCAAAAGCCUUUCCCCAUCUUUGUGUCUUGAUAUACUUCAAAUCCAGCAGUUUGAACCUCCCCAUAAAUUUUCCUUCAAUUAUUUCUCAUCAAAAAUAAUUUCUGCCCUCUACUCUAGCUCUUAGAGAUUUACAAAGGAGCUACCCUUUCUACUUUGAAUUUUGCCUCCAAAGCAAUUUCCCUAGCUAGUCCUUAGAGCCCUCAACCAAGAUCCAUGAAGAUCCACUGGUCUCCAGUUCAAAUAUUUCAAAUUGUGCUUGCUGCAAGUUUGGACCAGAUUUGCCAAAUUUGAUGAAAUUCGUUUGAAUUCUCCUCCUAAAAAUCUGAGAAAAUUCAGGCAGCCUCUGGGUGCAUUGAGAGGUCACCUCACCAAGUCCCAGCUCCAGAAUUUUUUUUCUUCAUGCCAAAUCAUUUCGUCGAACACCUGAUGGGCACUGUUUCUGUCAAUGUUCAGAAAUUCAGAGAUACAGUUUCAGUGAGCACUGUCGUUUUCUUCAGAACUCCUUCUCGAUCUCGCCAGUACCGCGGUGGCGCCUUGCGCCCUGUUCUCUCCUUCUUAUCCCUGCGCCGCAUGAUCUCCUAGAGGCUUACGGACGUCGGCGACGAGCAGGAGGAGGUGCGCCACCCCGUGAGCGACGGCAGCAGCGGCUUUGCGGCUGCCAGAGAGAGGCGCAUCAUGGACGGCGCCGCCCAAGCCACCCGAGGCCGCCACGUGGCCAUCCACUCACCCGUGCGCGCUGCCAUCCUUCGUCGUGAACUGCUAGGCGCGGAGCGCGCUCUCUGCCGCCGCCGUGCCCGUACGGCCACCCCGUCGAGUAGCGGCGCAUUACGCCUUGCCCGACCGAGGUUUAGCGGUGGAACGGCACCAGUGAUCCUCCCUGAUGGUGCCUAGCCACCUAAACCCCCUACCCAACCUCUGCCUCGCCGUAAUCGUUCGCCGGAGAAAUCCCGUUCACGGCCACCCCCUCGGAUCGCCUAUAAAUAGAGGCCCCGAGCUCGAACUCGAACUCACACCACCCCUACGCACCACCAAUACCACGCCAAGCCACUGGUAGAGCCACGAGGGAGCCUUCUUCCCCAACUCCGGCCGCCUCGACCCGCCACGGGAUCCAGCUCGAUUCGCUCCCGUGCGUGCACCUCUACCUCCCAGCUCUUGCCAGUAACUUCAUAAUGCAUCCACUCUCCUGACCCGCGCUUCAAUUUGGAGUUUGCAGCGCCCACCGGAGUUCUCCACCAUCGCCCGAACCACCGUCCGCCGGAGAAAGUGUCGCCGUCGACGUGGUGCUCUCCGACGGCCAAGUCCACCACCCACCAACGCAGAAGAACACACUGAACCUCUUGGUACCCUCCGAUCUCCCUGCCUCGCCGUGGUUCAACGCCGGCGACCACCGCAACCUUCGGGCGCCGACGAAGUUUUAAACCUUACGGGUGGACCCCCCCGUCAGCCUCUCUUCUUUUCCCCCCUCGAACCGUUUUCUGUUGGUGCCUUCGGGCAAAUGCACUUCCUCUUUGAGCUGACGCAUUUCUUUCUGAAUCGUUUUCUGUUUUCUCAGUCAAGUCGCUAGAUCUUUUCUGUUUCAUCACAGAUUAGUCCCUGGACUAAAACCCUUAUAUCUUUUUAAUAAAAGAUGAUUUUUGAUUGAUUCUUUUUCUGUCAGUCUUAUAUUUUUGUCUAGUUUUUUACAGUAUUUAUUUGGAAAUUUUUUGGAACAAUUUUUAUGCACGCGAUGAUUUUCACGUUAGUGUACAGUUUCGAUAUACCGUAGGUUCCGGAGGAGGUGACGGAGCCGCGAACUUCGCCGAGCUAGACUCCGACUUCUCCGAACCAGGCAAGCAUGUUUGAACCUUUGAUAUGAUAGGUGUUUUGCAUGUUUGCUUGAAUGGUUGGGCAUGGCAUAUGAGCAUCGGUGAGUAUCUCGUUGCAUGCAAGGCAACUAUCCGUGAGUUCCGAAGUUACCGUGAUCUUUGAUGAGAAAUGACCUGAUCAUGUGGUGACAUGAAAGGCAGUAAGAUGGUAAUGUUGUAGCAUGCCAGUCUUACGUCAUCCGAUAAACUCCGACGUUAACGUGGACUGAGCCACGUUACCGUUCUUCCCCUUUCGUGCUGCCACAUGUUUUCUGCAAAGAAUACGGUUUAGUAAGUUGGUAACCUCUUUUCGUGUACACACCAAAUAGAGGGUCCGGGAUGAGGGUUCCAUGGCCCUGGAUUAAAGCCAGUCAUCCGGUCAGGGGGCAUGGGUGUUUCCGGUUGGGACCGAGAGGGGGGCACCCCUUAGAGCGCGCGGUAUAAAUUUGAUCCCAUGCUACGCGAGGUUGUAGCCUCCCCGUCUCAAAGUUUUUCUUGAACGUUGCCAAGGGUGAUUCCUAGCAUCGGAAUGUUGAAUGGGUGUGUACUGGUUAGAUGUGUUUCUCCUAAAACACCGUAAACGGAACUAGUCCCUUGUGACUACUGAAAUCCGUUGGCUGUGGUUAAAUAGUACAAACUCUGCAGAGUCAAAUCCUUCCGAGUCAUCGUAUCCAUGGUCAAGGACCAUGGCCGGUAUAUCCAUAUCUACGUCAAUCCUCGUGGUAAAUCCCCGGUGAACAAGCUUGAGUGGUAAACCCGGUUGCAUUGUUAUUCCUGUGGAUGGACUAACCUUUAUUUUAUCUCGUACCUGAAUAUUCCCUUGCAAUGAUUUCUAUUCAUGAGCUACUGAAAUAUUAAGUUAUGAAAUAUAAGCCCUUUAUGUGAUGUCGCUCAGACGUCCGACUGUGGCACUCUUGUUAUUUACUUUUGAUAUAAGCCCUUUAUGUGAUGUCGCUCAGACGUCCGAGUGUGGCACUCUUGUUAUUUACUUUUGAUAUAAGCCCUUUAUGUGAUGUCGCUCCGACGUCCGACUGUGGCACUCUCAUUAUUUACUUUUGAUAUAAGCCCUUUAUGUGAUGUCGCUCAGACGUCCGACUGUGGCACGCACUGUCUUUUAUAUUCCAUUAUAAGCCUUUUAUGAGGUGUCGCCUUGACGCCCGACUGCGGCAUUGUUAUUACAUUUUUACCCUUCCGAGGAGUCAUUCAGACACUCGAUUGGCCCUCAGUAUUACUUUGGGAUUUCGGGAGGACUACCGCCCGACUUCCCUUUUAUUUUCCAUGCAUUGCUAUCUCAUUGUUUGAGUGUGCUUGUUAAUCUGUUCUUAUGCAUCAUGUUUACAUUUGUUAUAUCUUAUGUCUGAACUGUCUUGCGAGUACUUCCAUAGUACUCACCUGGCUUGUUGAUUUGGCCAGAUGUUGACGAAGGCGAUCUCAUGGAUGAAGAGUUUGAUAGUGAGUCCGACGCCUAGAGGAAUCCCAGUCAGUCCCGUGCGAUCCUGGAUAUUGGUCACUUGUAUCAUAUACGCUUCCGCCACCCUCAAUGAGUAUCCUCGAGCCUCACUCCGACGCUCGAAGAGCUCUUAGAUUCAGGAGUCAUGUCACCCACUUCACUGUGAUAUAUCCACCACCGCUUUUAUCGUGAGUUAGUAGUGAUGCCACCCUAUCCGCCUUUAUGUAUUAUUGGCGUGCUUGUAAUAAAUUGUUGAGCAGUCUCCGCUCAACCUUGUAUUGUAUCUAGUACUCCUGGUUUUCUUCUGUGAUCAAGAUAUUGUCUACCAGUGAGAAGGGAUUCUUCUUUACUGGUCCGUAAAAGGGAUCGGUCUCUCAAUAAAUAUUUUUAUUGGAAAACCGGUCGUGACACUAACCCAGCAAACUCACCCCCAUGCUCUCCGUCGUUCGAUCACGAUCGUGUGGGUGAAACCGUGCUUCAUAUGGACUCUCCUAGCUCCCUAUGCCUAUAAAACACCUUCCCCUCCGAAAUCCCGGGUCCAAACCCUAGCCCCACUCCCUCCACGCCGCCGGACGUGUCCGCCCGGCGCCGGACGAACCAGCCGCCGCCGCCCGUAGUCAGUCAGAGCGCGCCACGUGGGCGCCGCCGUCUCCCUCAGCCGCAGGCCCGCCAGGCCCACGGGGAGCCCGCCCCGGGCCAGAUCUCAGAUCCGACCGACGGUUGACUUUCUUCUCCCCCGAAAAUUCUCCAAGUCCUGAAGUUUUUGCAAUAUGUGCUCCUGUUCAUUGCAUCACAUCUCAUUGCAUACUGAUCUGUUUCACGCGUGUAAUAUAUCGAAAUGUUCGUUACGAGAUGCUCUACAUUUUGUUCCAUUGUGCCAUGCUCAUUUGAGUCCAUCUUAAAGCCCAAAUCUCUGAUGCAAGAGUGCUAAGUGAUGUUUACUGCUGUCUGUUAUUAGAACUUAGGGUUUUGUUAUUUUUGUUGCAUAUAAUCUGUGCAUCUUAUGAGUAUGAGCUCUACAUGUGUUUUGAUCUAUGCCAUGCUAUCUUUACAGAGGUGUAUGCCAUGUAUUUUUGUCAUGUAUGUGGUGACUAGAAUAACCAUGCAAACUAGGCUUCGUGAUGUUUCUGAUUUCAGAGACUUGGGAUUUUGCCAAGUCUCUGUGUGCUGUUAUUUUUAUGCCAUUUAAAUUUGAUGCUACAGAGAGAUCCAUGCUUAUUUUGAGAUACUUAAGUAAGGAUGUUUUGUAGAUAUAGUUGUGCUCUAUCCAUUCAUGCCACUGGUUGCAAAUAUGGAGUGACCUAGCAUGUCUCAAUCUUGCUCUACUUUUGCUAUAAAAUGCUCCUGUCAGAUUGUUUACGUGUUAUUCAAAUUUGCCAAGCUUGUUGUAGUUGAUCCAUGCAUGCUAUGAACUUUCUCUUGCCAUGGUUAGCUUCAUAAACAUGCCAUCUUGCUGUAGGUAUGCUUGUUUUGUCAUGCAUUGCCUUGUGUUGAGUGAAUCGAGCUCACAAAGAUGCCUUCAUAAUACUGUUUCUGCCAUACUCUGUUUUCUGCCAAGUCUGAAACCUGUUAACAAAACUUGCUAUGUUUACAUGAGUGCAAUCAUAUCUUCUGAUCCUAUUUGGCUCAUGGUCAGUAAGGGACUUUUUUCUAUGCAUUCAAUAGAUUCAUUCCAUGCCUUGUUUUGUUAUGAUAAAUUCCUGUAGCAUAUGUUUUGCUUGCUCUGAACAUUGCUACCUGAUGCUGUUUAUGCCAUGUUCAGUAUUUUCACCAAGUCUGUGAAUCAGAUAUCUUUUGCACUUUUUCCAUGCUUGUUUGAACCUGCUCUGGUGUGAUUUAGCCGUAGCUCAGUGUUCAUCUUUUGUCAAGCAUUUUGAGUACAUCACUGUCAUAUCCUUUGUUGUUAUGUUGGAGUGCAGUAGCUUAGCUUCUUGUUGCAUUCUUAGUGGCAUCAUGCUAUUAAUCGCAGAAUCGUGUCAUCCUUGUUUUGCUUGUCAUAUGCAAACCGUGCAUCCGAUUCCGGUGAUCUUUAUAUUGAUUUCAACCGAAAUCAUCCCAUCUUUCCAGUGGCAUACUUGGUUUGCCAAGUAGAUGCCUUGUUCAUCAUUUUCCCUUUCGGAGCCCGCAUAUGCAUUGCAUAUCACAUCUCGCAUAUCAUGCAUGUUUUGCAUCAUGUUGCUUGUGCAUUACACCGUGUUUGAUCGUGGCUCCGUUGCUUGUGUUCUUGCUUUGGGUAGAGCCGGGAGAUGAGUACGUGAACCUUGCAGGCAACAUGAGAACGCCUACGAGGAUCAAGCUCUCGACAACUCUGAGAACCUUGCAGGCAAGAUGACCAUACCCUCGAAAUCACUUCUAUCUUUGCUUUGCUAGUUGCUCGCUCUUUGCUAUGCUGCGCUACCUAUCAUUUGCUGAUCAUGCCGCCCAUUGCUGCCAUGUCAAGCCUCUAACCAUCCUUUCCUAGCAAACCGUUGAUUGGCUAAAUUACCGCUUUGCUCAGCCCCUCUUAUAGCGUUGCUAGUUGCAGGUGAAGUUGAAGUUGGUUCCAUGUUGGAACUUGGAUAUUCUGUUGGGAUAUCACAAUAUAUCUUAUUUAAUUAAUGCAUCUAUAAACUUGGUAAAGGGUGGAAGGCUCGGCCUUAUGCCUGGUGUUUUGUUUCACUCUUGCCGCCCUAGUUUUCGUCAUACCGGUGUUAUGUUUCUUGAAUUUGCGUUCCUUACGCGGUUGGGUAUUAUGGGAACCCCUUGACAGUUCGCCUUGAAUAAAACUCCUCCAGCAAGGCCCAACCUUGGUUUUACCAUUUGCCACCUAAGCCUUUUUCCCUCGGGUUUUCGCGAGCCCGAGGGUCAUCUUUAUUUUAACCCCGGGCCAGUGCUCCUCGGAGUGUUGGUCCAAACUAGAGCACCGUGCGGGACCGUCCCUUGGCAACUUGGGUUACGUUGGUACCUGUACGCUUCGCUUAUCCGGUGUGCCCUGAGAACGAGAUAUGUGCAGCUCCUAUCGGGAUUUGUGGGCACAUUGGGCGGCUUUGCUGGUCUUGUUUUAUUAUUGUCGAAAUGUCUUGUAAACUGGGAUUCCGAGACUGAUCGGUUCUUCUCGGGAGAAGGAUUAUCCUUCAUUGACCGUGAGAGCUUAUAAUGGGCUAAGUUGGGACACCCCUGCAGGGUAUUAUCUUUCGAAAGCCGUGCCCGCGGUUAUGAGGCAGAUGGGAAUUUGUUAAUGUCCGGUUGUAGAGAACUUGACACUUGACCUUAAUUAAAACGCAUCAACCGUGUGUGUAGCCGUGAUGGUCUCUUCUCGGCGGAGUCCGGGGGGUGAACACGGUUUCUGGGUUAUGUAUGAACGUAAGUAGGAGUUCAGGAUCACUUCUUGAUCACUUCUAGCUUCUCGACCGAUGCUUUGCUUCUCUUCUCGCUCUCAUUGGCGUAUGUUAGCCACCAUAUAUGCUUAGUGCUUUGCCGCAGCUCCACCAUAUUCAAUCCCUUGUCUUCCUAUAAGCUUAAAUAGUCUUGAUCUCGCGGGUGUGAGAUUGCUGAGUCCUCGUGACUCACAGAUUCUACCAAAACAGUUGCAGGUGCCGAGGAUACCUAUGCAGAUGAUGCAACCGAGCUCAAGUGGUAGUUCGACGAGGACCGUGGUCGUUACUAUGUAUCGUUUCCUGAUGAUCAGUAGUGGAGCCCAGUUGGGACGAUCGGGGAUCUAGCAUUUGGGGUUGUCUUCUUUCAUUUUGGUUCCGUAGUCGGACCUUGAUUGUAUUCUGAAUGAUGUAUGUCAAAUUUAUGCAUUGUGUGAAGUGGCGAUUGUAAGCCAACUCUUUAUCCCAUUCUUGUUCAUCACAUGGGAUUGUGUGAAGAUGACACUUCUUGCGACAAUACCUACAAUGCGGUUAUGCCUCUAAGUCGUGCCUCGACAUGUGGGAGAUAUAGCCGCAUCGUGGGCGUUACAAGUUGGUAAUCAGAGCCAUCCCCGACUUAGGAGCCCCCUGCUUGAUCGAAUCGCUGGCGUUGUUGAGUCUAGAACAAAAAUGUUUUUAGUCUUAGGAUUAUAUAUAUCGGAGAGUAGGAUUCUUUUUACUCCUCAGUCCCUUCGUCGCUCUGUGAGGUCUCCUGACGUAGAAGUUUUGACUCUUCUCUCCUCAAAUUUCACUAAAAUUUUUUUAGGAUCACGCGGGUAUCUUGGAAUCGUUCCGAUGGUUUUGUGACGAGAACAUUGUUCUUGGUGCCUCCUGACAUUUAGGGGUUGUGGCAGUGUCCCGGGGAGUUGAGCUCCGAGGUGUUGUCGUCACAAUUUUAUCGUUGUAGUUCUGGAAUACCUGAGUUUCGCCGACAUUGAAAAUCUCUUUUAUGCAGUUGUUGGUGAGAUAACCUCGACGCCACUCAGUACUGGGGCGGGUGAUCGUGAGUAUUGCCAUAACUCGUAUAACGGAUGCUUUUCGAAGGUUGAGGUAAAUGAUUUCCGAAGGUUUCUUGGUUAUGUGUUGAAGGAUGGAUACAGCUGGAUCUAGGUAUUGUUAGUUUGGGUGAUAUAUUUUGUGUCCCCUAUAUCCCCAACACCUGAUUGCAUAACCAGAAAGUUUCGGGAGUUUAUAAGUGGGAAUUCAAGUAGCUCUUAGCAUUUCUUCCCGCAGAUAUUUGGUUUGUGAUUGGGUAAUCCUUACCACUUAUUUGUUCCAGUUGCACCUUGUUAUUUUAUUCAUCAAUCUCUUAUCAAGUGGCUUCUCACCUUAUGGAAGUGUGAUGAUUUACUAUGGAAUUCAUUCGUUCAUCCUCGUUGGAAUGUUUAUUGUGAAGACUAUAUAUUGCAAUUUCUUUCCGUUGAUUCAACUUGUCUAUCUGUCUAUCAAGAUGCUAAUGGAUGUCACCCUCUUCAGGAUGGCUCCGCCAACGCGUCAGAAUUCGGAACGCAAUGAUGGGAGUCAGGCGAACCCUCCGCCACCACCUCCGCCUCCGGAGGCAUGGAAAGCUAUCAUGGCAGCCACCAACGCCAAUGCUCAGAUGAUUUUGCAACUCUUGCAAGAGCGUACCCAAGGGCAAGGCAACCAAGGUUUUCAAGGCCAAGGCAACCAUCAGCCUCACUUUGCUACCCUCAACCAGUUCCUUGCAAAUCAGCCUAAGUCUUUCAGCUACUGUGCCGAGGCCACAGACGCCGAUGAUUGGCUCGUGGACAUCAACAAGCAUUUUAAAUGUAGCAAUGUCAGGUCUGAGGACUAUGUCAAGUUCGCUUCUUUUCAGCUCAAGGACCAAGCUGCUGAUUGGUAUCAACAAUACAAAGAUUCCAGAGGAGGUCAUGUGAUCACUUGGACUGACUUAUGUCGGGACUUCAAAGCUCACCACAUUCCACAAAGUGUUGUUGAGAGCAAGCGUGAGGAGUUCCGCAAUCUCAAGCAAGGCAACAUGUCUUUGUAUCAAUUCAACAUCCAGUUUCAGAAACUUGCUCGCUUUGCUAAACAAGACGUUCCUGAUGAAAAGAGCAUGAUCUAUUACUUCAGAGGUGGCCUUAGAGAGGAUCUGCAGUUAGCACUCGUUCUUGUUGAGCCUACUCAGUUUGAUCAAUUCUAUAACAUGGCACUGAAGCAAGAAGCUGCUCAGCUCAAGUGUGAGGCUUCUAAGAAGAGAGUCAGGGACGCAGUUCAGUCUUCUUCCUCACUUGUGGCAGCUAAGCAACAGAAGUUUUGGUUGCCUCCUCCUCCUCCGUUUCGUCAGUCGUUCCAGCAGAAGAACAAAGGUGGCCAUGGAUCUUCCCACCCACCCAACCCUGGCUAUCAGAACAAGUCUCAGAAUCAAGCUCCAAGGCCGAAUGCUCCUUAUCAUCGUCCACUCUCAGAGGUGACUUGCAACAAAUGUCAGCAGAAAGGUCACUAUGCUAACAAGUGCUUCAACCAAAGGCGCCUUCCGCCUCCUCCUCCUGUGAGAUCUUCCAGCAAUGCAGUGGUCAAGCAUAUUCCCAAGUCUGCAAAGGUGAACAUGAUGAAUGCAGCUCAAGCUAAGGAUUCUUCAGAUGUGAUCAUGGGUAACCUUUGAGUUAACUCCAUUCCUACAAAAGUCUUAUUUGAUUCUGGUGCAUCGCAUUGUUUCAUGUCAAGAUCGUUCUUUGCAAACAAUGAUUUUACUUGGUCUUACCUGGAUAAACCUUUGGGCAUUGUUUCGCCGGGGAAGGCAAUGAGAGCCAACUCGAUAGUUCCUGAUGUCUCUAUCAAGAUGGGCGAUUAUAAAUUUCUGUCUUCUCCAAUGGUUCUUGGUGAUUCUGAUAUUGAUCUAAUUCUCGGCAUGGACUGGCUUUCUAAGCACAAGGCUCAGCUUGAUUGUGCUGCCAGGGAAAUUCAAUUGACACACUCGUCUGAGGAUGUAAUCAUCUAUGCCGCUCGUGAUGAGACCAUUCGGUUAUUCUCUCUCAAUGAGAAGGGCGAAUUGGAUGCUAUUUCUCAAAUUCCAGUCGUUUGUGAGUACCAAGAUGUCUUUCCAGAAGAGCUUCCGGGUAUGCCUCCUCAUCGGCCAGUUGAGUUCGUUAUCGAUCUUGAGCCUGGCAUUGAACCCGUUUGCAAGCGUCCUUACAAGCUUGGACCCAAUGAGCUGAAGGAAUUGAAGAAACAGCUCGAUGAACAAGAGCGUCUGGGUUUGAUCAGACCGAGUUCAUCUCCAUGGGGUUGUGGAGUUCUUUUUGUCCAGAAGAAGGAUGGCACGGACCGACUUUGUGUCGACUACCGCCCAUUGAACAAGAAGACAAUCAAGAACAAGUAUCCACUUCCCAACAUCAAUGAGUUAUUCGAGCAACUUAAAGGUGCAAAGGUGUUCUCCAAACUUGACCUUCAUAUGGGUUAUCAUCAGAUUCGCAUUCGUGAAGAAGAUAUUCCCAAGACAACAUUCAGAACAAGUUUUGGUUCUUAUGAAUACACUGUCAUGUCUUUCGGCCUUGUCAAUGCUCCUCCAACGUUCUCUCGAAUGAUGAAUUUCAUCUUCAACCCUUAUACCAAUGAAUUCGUGCUGGUGUAUCUUGAUGAUAUCUUGGUCUUCUCCAAGAAUAAGAAGGACCAUGCCAAACAUUUGCGAUUGGUGCUCAACAAGCUCAGAGAGUAUCAAUUCUAUGCGAAGUUUUCCAAAUGUGAGUUCUGGCUUGAUGAAGUUCUUUACCUUGGUCAUAUCAUCUCUGCCAAGGGCAUCGCUGUUAAUCCCGCCAAGGUGUCUGCAGUUCUGGAUUGGGAACCUCCUCAGAAUGUCAAGCAGCUCCGCAGUUUUCUUGGUCAUGCAAGCUAUUGCCGAAGAUUCGUUGAGAAUUUCUCAAAGAUUGCAAAGCCUCUUUCCAACCUCCUCCAUAAGCAUGUGAAGUAUGUCUGGUCUCCUGAGUGUGACGUUGCUUUCAACACUCUCAAAGAGAAACUUGUCUCAGCUCCUGUCUUAACUCCUCCUGACGAAUCCAUGACAUUUGAAGUUUUCUGUGAUGCUUCUCUUCAAGGUCUCGGUGUUGUGUUAAUGCAAGAGAAGAAAGUUGUGGCCUAUACCUCUCGUCAUUUGAAGCCAAACGAAAAGAACUACCCCACUCACGAUCUUGAGUUGGCGGCAGUUGUCCAUGCAUUAAUAACAUGGAGACAUCUCUUGUUGGGAAGGAAAGUGGACAUUUUCACUGGUCACAAGAGUCUCAAGUACAUCUUCACUCAGCCCAACCUCAACCUCAGGCAAACUCGAUGGGUCGAAAUGAUUCAAGAGUACAAUCCGAGUAUUGAAUAUACUCCUGGCAAAGCGAAUGUGAUUGCAGAUGCUUUGAGCAGAAAGGCUUAUUGCAAUAGCUUAAUUCUCAAGCCUUUUCAACCGGAUCUUUGUGAAGCUUUCCGCAAACUGAAUCUUCAAGUUGUCCCUCAAGGUUUUCUUGCCAACCUCAUAGUCUCUCCUACUUUGGAAGAUCAAAUUCGUGAGGCACAACUCCUUGAUGCCAUGGUGAAGAAGGUGAAACGUGGUAUCGACAAGGGCAUUUCCAAAUACAAGUGCUAUCACAUUGAUGACAGAGACACUUUAUUCUUCGAGGACCGGAUUGUGGUUCCUAAAGGUGAUCUAAGGAAGGUCAUAAUGAACGAAGCGCACAAUUCUCUUCUGUCCAUUCAUCCUGGGAAUACGAAGAUGUACCAUGACCUCAAGCAGUCGUAUUGGUGGACUCGAAUGAAGCGAGAAAUUGCUAAAUUCGUGAAUGAAUGUGAUGUCUGUCGAAGGGUGAAAGCAGAACACCAACGACCAGCUGGUCUCCUCCAACCUCUUGCUAUUCCAGAAUGGAAGUUUGAUCAUAUCGAAAUGGACUUCGUGACUGGUUUUCCCAAGUCCAAGCAUGGAAAUGAUGCUAUCUUCGUUGUCAUUGACAAGCUUACUAAAGUGGCUCAUUUUCUUCCUAUCAAAGAAUCUAUCACAGCAGCUCAGUUGGCAAAGCUAUACACCUCCAGGAUUGUCUCCUUGCACGACAUUCCACAAUUGAUUUCUUCAGAUCGUGGAAGCAUCUUCACUUCUAAGUUCUGGGAUUCCUUCCAAAUGGCCUUGGGCACCAACAUUCGUUUCAGCACAGCUUUCCAUCCUCAAACAAGUGGCCAAGUCGAGCGAGUCAAUCAAAUCCUUGAAGACAUGCUUAGGCUGUGUCAUUUCCUUUGGCAUGAAGUGGGAAGAUUGUCUUCCAUAUGCCGAGUUCUCCUACAACAACAACUUCCAAGCGAGUUCGGGCAAGGCCCCAUUCGAAAUUCUCUAUGACAGAAAGUGCCACACUCCUCUCAAUUGGUCAGAGACUGGUGAACGCCAACUUCUUGGCAAUGACUUGAUCACAGAAGUAGAAGAAAUGUGUAAAGUCAUCCGUGAAAAUCUCAAAGCCGCGCAAUCGCGUCAGAAGAGUUACUAUGAUAGCAAGCACUGUGACUUGGCUUUCGAGAUCGGAGACCAUGUCUACCUCCGCGUCUCUCCAAUGAAAGGCACUCGUCGCUUCGGUAUCAAAGGGAAGCUUGCCCCUAGAUACGUGGGUCCUUUCAAGAUCAUUGGCAAAAGAGGCGACCUCGCCUAUCAACUUGAGCUUCCCUCCAACUUUGCAAACGUGCACGAUGUGUUCCACGUGUCACAGCUUCGCAAGUGCUUCAAGACUCCCGAGCGCACCAUCAACUUCGAAGAGAUUGACCUCCAGGGAGAUCUGUCCUAUCAUGAGCACCCCGUUGCUAUUCUUGAGGAAACUGAGCGCAAGACUCGCAACAAGUCGCUCAAAUUCCUGAAAGUGAAGUGGUCUCACCAUUCCGACCGAGAAGCCACCUGGGAACGCGAGGACCACCUCCGUUCCGAAUAUCCGAAGUUCUUUCAGUCCUAGAUCUCGGGACGAGAUCCUCUCGUAGUGGUGGAGUGUUGUAACACCCCGGAUGUAACUUGCCAUAAUUUGUAACUCCGACUCUUGCCAUUUUCGGCUAUGUGUUAUGAUAUUCCCUCCGUGGUUGGGUUUUGUCUCUCGUUUUGCAUUUUGUUCAUGUCAUGCAUCUCAUAUCAUGUCAUCAUGUGCAUCUCAUUUGCAUACAUGUUCGUCUCAUGCAUCCGAGCAUUUUCCCCGUUGUCCGUUUUGCAAUCCGACACUCCCACGUGCACCGGCGCACCCCCUCUUGUCUCUUUUCGUGAGCGGGUGUUAAACAUUCUCGGAAUGGACCGAGGUUUGCCAAGUGGCCCUGGUAUACCACCGGUAGACCACCUGUCAAGUUUCGUUCCAUUUGGAGGUCGUUUGAUACUCCAACGGUUAACCGGGUAACCGCGAAGGCCUUCUAUGUGUUGCAGCCCAACACCCCUCCAAAACAGCCCACUAACCCAGCAAACUCACCCCCAUGCUCUCCGUCGUUCGAUCACGAUCGUGUGGGCGAAAACCGUGCUUCAUUUGGACUCUCCUAGCUCCCUAUGCCUAUAAAAACACCGUCCCCUCCGAAAUCCCGGGUCCAAACCCUAGCCCCGCUCCCUCCGCGCCGCCGGACGUGUCCGCCCGGCGCCGGAUGAACCAGCCGCCGCCGCCCGCAGCCAGUCAGAGGACGCGACGUGGGCGCCGCCGUCUCCCUCCGCCGCAGGCCCGCCAGGCCCACAGGGAGCCCGCCCCGNNNNNNNNNNNNNNNNNNNNNNNNNNNNNNNNNNNNNNNNNNNNNNNNNNNNNNNNNNNNNNNNNNNNNNNNNNNNNNNNNNNNNNNNNNNNNNNNNNNNNNNNNNNNNNNNNNNNNNNNNNNNNNNNNNNNNNNNNNNNNNNNNNNNNNNNNNNNNNNNNNNNNNNNNNNNNNNNNNNNNNNNNNNNNNNNNNNNNNNNNNNNNNNNNNNNNNNNNNNNNNNNNNNNNNNNNNNNNNNNNNNNNNNNNNNNNNNNNNNNNNNNNNNNNNNNNNNNNNNNNNNNNNNNNNNNNNNNNNNNNNNNNNNNNNNNNNNNNNNNNNNNNNNNNNNNNNNNNNNNNNNNNNNNNNNNNNNNNNNNNNNNNNNNNNNNNNNNNNNNNNNNNNNNNNNNNNNNNNNNNNNNNNNNNNNNNNNNNNNNNNNNNNNNNNNNNNNNNNNNNNNNNNNNNNNNNNNNNNNNCGUCGCUCCGCCCGGCGUCGCCGACCCCGCCGCCGUCGUCCUCCGCCGUGCCCCGUCUCCUCCCUCACCGCCCGAGCUCCGGCCACCGGUGUCCCCGUCCUCGAGCUCCGGCGAGCCCGAGCCUCGGCCGCGCCAGAUCUCAGAUCCGACCGACGGUUGACUUUCUUCUCCCCCGAAAAUUCUCCAAGUCCUGAGGUUUUUGCAAUAUGUGCUCCUGUUCAUUGCAUCACAUCUCAUCGCAUACUGCUCCGUUUCACGCGUGUAAUAUAUCAGAAUGUUCGUUACGAGAUGCUCUAAAUUUUGUUCCAUUGUGCCAUGCUCAUUUGAGUCCAUCUUGAUGCCCAAAUCUCUGAUGCAAAAGUGCUAAGUGAUGUUUACUGCUGUCUGUUAUUAGAACUUAGGGUUUUGUUAUUUUUGUUGAAUUUAAUCUGUGCAUCUUAUGAGCAUGAGCUCUACAUGUGUUUUGAUCUAUGCCAUGCUAUCUUUACAGAGGUGUAUGCCGUGUAUUUUUGUGAUCUAUGUGGUGACUAGUGCAAGCAUGCAAACUAGGCUUCGUGAUGUCUCUGUCUGCUGUUAUUUUUAUGCCAUGUAAACUUGAUGCUACAGAGAGAUCCAUGCUCUAGUUGUGCUCUAUCCAUUCAUGUCACUGGUUGCAAUUAUGGAGUGACCUAGGAUGUCUCAAUUUUGAUCUACUUUUGCUAUAAAAUGUUCCUGGCAGAUUAUUUACGUGUUAUUCAAUUUUGCCAAGCUUGUUGUAGUUGAUCCAUGCAUGCUAUGAACUUGAUCUUGCCAUGGUUAGCUUCAUAAACAUUCCAUAUUGAUGUAGGUAUGCUUGUUUUGUCAUGCAUUGCCUUGUGUUGAGUGAAUCGAGCUCACAAAGAUGCCUUCAUAAUACUGUUUCUGCCAUACUCUGUUUUCUGCUAAGUCUGAAACCUGUUAACAAAACUUGCUAUGUUUACAUGAGUGCAAUCAUAUAUUCUGGUCCUUUUUGUCUCAUGGUCAGUAAGGGACUUUUGUUCUAUGCAUUUAGUAGAUUCAUUUCAUGCCUUGUUUUGUUAUGACAAGUUCCUAUAGCAUAUGUUUUGCUUGCUCUGAACAUUGCUACCUGAUGCUGUUUAUGCCAUGUUCAGUAUUUUCACCAAGUCUGUGAAUCAGAUAUCUUUUGCACUUUUUCCAUGCUUGUUUGAACCUGCUCUGGUGUGAUUUAUCCGUAGCUCAGUGUUCAUCUUUUGUCAAGCAUUUUGAGUACAUCACUGUCAUAUCCUUUGUUGUUAUGUUGGAGUGCAGUAGCUUAGCUUCUUGUUGCAUUCUUAGUGGCAUCAUGCUAUUAAUCGCAGAAUCGUGUCAUCCUUGUUUUGCUUGUCAUAUGCAAACCGUGCAUCCGAUUCCGGUGAUCUUUAUAUUGAUUUCAACCGAAAUCAUCCCAUCUUUCCAGUGGCAUACUUGGUUUGCCAAGUAGAUGCCUUGUUCAUCAUUUUCCCUUUCGGAGCCCGCAUAUGCAUUGCAUAUCACAUCUCGCAUAUCAUGCAUGUUUUGCAUCAUGUUGCUUGUGCAUUACACCGUGUUUGAUCGUGGCUCCGUUGCUUGUGUUCUUGCUUUGGGUAGAGCCGGGAGACGAGUACGUGAACCUUGCAGGCAACAUGAGAACGCUUAUGAGGAUCAAGCUCUCGACAACUCUGAGAACCUUGCAGGCAAGAUGACCAUACCCUCGAAAUCACUUCUAUCUUUGCUUUGCUAGUUGCUCACUCUUUGCUAUGCUGCGCUACCUAUCAUUUGCUGAUCAUGCCGCCCAUUGCUGCCAUGUCAAGCCUCUAACCAUCCUUUCCUAGCAAACCGUUGAUUGGCUAAGUUACCGCUUUGCUCAGCCCCUCUUAUAGCGUUGCUAGUUGCAGGUGAAGUUGAAGUUGGUUCCAUGUUGGAACUUGGAUAUUCUGUUGGGAUAUCACAAUAUCUCUUAUUUAAUUAAUGCAUCUAUAUACCUGGUAAAGGGUGGAAGGCUCGGCCUUAUGCCUGGUGUUUUGUUCCACUCUUGCCGCCCUAGUUUCCGUCAUACCGGUGUUAUGUUCCUUGAUUUUGUGUUCCUUACGCGGUUGGGUAUUAUGGGAACCCCUUGACAGUUCGCCUUGAAUAAAACUCCUCCAGCAAGGCCCAACCUUGGUUUUACCAUUUGCCACCUAAGCCUUUUUCCCUCGGAUUUUCGCGAGCCCGAGGGUCAUCUUUAUUUUAACCCCCGGGCCAGUGCUCCUCGGAGUGUUGGUCCAAACUAGAGCACCGUGCGGGACCGUCCCUUGGCAACUUGGGUUACGUUGGUACCUGUACGCUUCGCUUAUCCGGUGUGCCCUAAGAACGAGAUAUGUGCAGCUCCUAUCGGGAUUUGUCGGCACAUCGGGCGGCUUUGUUGGUCUUGUUUUAUUAUUGUCGAAAUGUCUUGUAAACCGGGAUUCCGAGACUGAUCGGUUCUUCUCGGGAGAAGGAUUAUCCUUCGUUGACCGUGAGAGCUUAUAAUGGGCUAAGUUGGGACACCCCUGCAGGGUAUUAUCUUUCAAAAGCCGUGCCCGUGGUUAUGAGGCAGAUGGGAAUUUGUUAAUGUCCGGUUGUAGAGAACUUGACACUUGACCUUAAUUAAAACGCAUCAACCGUGUGUGUAGUCGUGAUGGUCUCUUCUCGGCGGAGUCCGAGGACCGUGGUCGUUACUAUGUAUCAUUUCCUGAUGAUCAGUAGUGGAGCCCAGUUGGGACGAUCGGGGAUCUAGCAUUUGGGGUUGUCUUCUUUCAUUUUGGUUCCGUAGUCGGACCUUGAUUGUAUUCUGAAUGAUGUAUGUCAAAUUUAUGCAUUGUGUGAAGUGGCGAUUGUAAGCCAACUCUUUAUCCCAUUCUUAUUCAUUACAUGGGAUUGUGUGAAGAUGACCCUUCUUGCGACAAUACCUACAAUGCGGUUAUGCCUCUAAGUCGUGCCUCGACACGUGGGAGAUAUAGCCGCAUCGUGGGCGUUACACAAGUGGGAUGAUUUGAUUGUUCCCGUCCACACCAAUAGCAGUCAGGAUUUGCCCUCUAUACUAACCGGUCAGGAAUGUACCAUCCACAAACAUAACAGGAGGACAAUGCCGGAAUGCUUCGAUGCACAUAACAAAAGAGAAGAACACUCGUUUCAACACCUUGAAAUCUGGUAUACUCAGCAACCUCAUGUGAUGUACGUUCACAUAAGUGCCGGGAUUCCUCUCCUUCAGUAUGCCAAGGAGACGGACAACAUUAUCAUAUGAGUCGAAGAACAUCCCAAACCUUUCCUCCAUAGCCUUCUGCUUAGCCCUCCAAGCCUUCCCAUAAGGAAUGACAUAAUUCCAUCUGACCUUCGCUGCUGUUUGGAUGUGUUUUGCUUCCAUAUCUUUCUUCUCUACUAUCUCAGUAUACAUGAGUUGCGCAAUGAGACUUGAAGUCAGGUUCGGAUGCUUCACCAGCAGGUUCUUCCUCACACAAUUAUGUGGGACGAUAAUGGUGACAACCCAGUGGAUGUCAUACUUCGGCACGUGCCCGUGCACAUUCCCUGGACAACCUGUUUCAACACAUUUCACGGUAUAGUUUGUUGGACUUGAUAUGUGUGUCCGGAAAACCCUGUGCGUAGACAUAGCCCACUUUAUCACCGCAUACUUCAAUUUUUUUCUUUGUAUCAAACAUAGCCCCUAUCUGUACUUGGUUCAGAUUAUACUGCCAUGGAGUCUCAUGGCCAUCGUUGACUGUAAGGCCGGUGGAUAUGUCCUGCUCCCAUGCAGAAAGAAUCGGUAUCUCCACUUCAUCCUCAAAAUUUUCAGAAUCCAGUUCCUCCACCAAUCCAUCCUCGUCCUCUUCCUCCAUCACCCUCUGCAUUUCAUCCCCUUCCUCAUCCCCAUCAGCAAAACCAGAACCAGCUAAUAUUAUCGACUGGCUACUCUGCCUAGUAUCAGGACCACAAACAUUGUGUGGCACGUACUCCGACUCUUUCUCGGGUUGGCUAGCAUCCACAUCUUGUGGUUGUGACCCGGAUAAAACAAUCUCGUUAGCCACUUCACUGCCCUGGCCGGGUUCAUACCCCCCGUGGAGUUGUACGGUAUUCUCCUCCUUCGGCACAGGUUGCACAAGUGCAUAUGGGUGGAUUCUUCGGUCUCGGCACCGUCUUAACAAGGACAACCAAUGCUGGCUCCUAUCUAUCGGCAUCAACUCCCACUUGACAUUUUUACAAGAUUUGGUCCACAAUGCAUGCAUGAAUACUGACGGAACAUACUUCAGGAUCCAGCCCGAAACUAGUUGUCAACCAAUACUUCAACUGUCUAAUGUCCAGUCUGUCCGGGUCUGCUAGUGUCAUGAAGCCAUUUUUAAACUCGCUAAGAUCAACCCCCAACUCAUUAUAUCGAACAUUACCAGCGCCGUAGUAAACAUUCAGAUUUACUAAUUCAGACAUUUCCACCUGUCAGACAUUGUCAUCUUAUUAAUCACAACAAACACUAAUAUUACCCGCUACACUAACUAAAAUCCGCUAAAAUGCCACCACAUACAAAUUAACACUAACACAAAUUUUAUUAUCCGCUACACUAACACAAUUAUUAUUAUUCCGCUACACUAACACAAUUAUUACUCCGCUAAAAUGCCACCACAUACAAAUUAACACUACAAUUCGCAAUAUAAUUUAUCUACACUAACUAAACUAUGCAACUCAAAGAAAAUUUGUGAGGACAUGAUUAUACCUUAGCGGAGGUGCUUGCACCACCGAACAACGACAGCACCACCCGCCACCCCCUCGACAACCGGAGGUUCAACUCCAGUCACCCCAAGCCGCACCUCCUCCUCCACAGCUGCUGCUCCCCCACAACUCCUGCUCCUCCUCAUCAACACCUCCUGCCCAACCGCACCUCCUCCUCCCCACCAUGGCUCCUCCUCCCCACCAUGGCUACUCCUCCCCAAACGCACAGAAAACUAUCCCAUAGCAAAAAACACCAUAGGCCGUUUGGGAUUUCUACGAUCUACCGAUUCUGUGGCUUCGAUGUGAAAAUGGGUGGCAAAUGGAGGAGAUCAGCUAGGGGUGGUGAGGUACAGAGAAGAAAUGAGAGAGAGAAAGAAGAAUAGAGGCGAACAGGCGAGAGGAAGGAGACGCCAUGCGGGGCCUUAUGCGCUACUUUUCGGUCGAUGGGAGGCCGAAAAGGCUCUUCGGCCGCUGCCUGGCCGAAAAGGCCCACUUCGGUCGCCGCGAGGCCGAAGCUACUAUUUUUGGCCCGGCCUCCACCGACGCCCGGUUUUCGGCCCAGCUACGCGUGUCUUCGGUGAACCGCGGGCCAAAAAUCCCACUUCGGCCAAACUGUGACCGAAAAGUGCCUCUUCGGCCAACACCGGGCCGACGGGCUGCUACUUUUGGUUUUUUUGCAUUACGUGCUAUAGUUUCCGAAAAUGCUAUAUAAUAUAUCAUAGUUUUGAAAAAAAAUCAACCCCUUCAAGGUGCUAAGGACAAAGGAUUGGCUCAAGCUCAAAAGCUCAAGACUCUACAUUUUACUUUUAGUGAUCCAAGAUCACAUUGAGUCCAUAGGAAAGCCAAUACUAUUAAAAGGGGAUGAGGUGUUGCUUAAUGGCUUGCUUGCUCAAAGUGCUUAGUGAUAUGCUCCAAAGUCCUCAACCACCUUCCAAUAUCCACAUAUGUCCCAAACCAAAAGUCAAACUCGGCCCCACCGAAACAUUCUAUCCGGCGCCACCGAGUUCACUUGACAUAGCCACUGCCACAAACCCUAGUCACUUCGGUCUCACCGAUGGGAUCCCGGUCUCACCGAGAUGGGCUUGCAAACUCUCUGGUUCCUGUUGCAAUAAAUUCGGUCUUACCGAGUUUUGUAAUCGGUCCCACCGAGUUUGCCUGACCAACUCUCUGGUUAGCCUAUUACCAAAAUCGGUCCCACCGAGUUUGUGUAAUCGGUCAAACCGAGAUGAGGUUUUACCCUAACCCUAGCACAUUGGUCCCACCGAGUUGAUCAUAUCGGUCCCAUCGAAAUGCCUAACGGUCACAUUAUGAACUAAAUCGGUCCGACCGAGUUUUCUAAUUCGGUCCCACCGAGUUUGGUGAUUUGUGUGUAACGGUUAGAUUUUGUGUGGAGGCUAUAUAUACCCCUCCACCCACUCUAAAUUCGUGGAGAGAGCCAUCAGAACAUGCCUACACUUCCAGCAUACAUUUUCUGAGAGAGAACCACCUACUCAUGUGUUGAGGUCAAGAUAUUCCAUUCCAACCACAUAAAUCUUGAUCUCUAGCCUUCUCCCAGUUGCUUUCCACUCAAAUCAUCUUUCCACCAAAUCCAAAUCUGUGAGUGAGAGUUGAGUGUUGGGGAGACUAUCAUUUGAAGCACAAGAGAAAGGAGUUCAUCAUCAACACACCAUCUAUUACCUUUUGGGGAGUGGUGUCUCCUAGAUUGGUUAGGUGUCACUUGGGAGCCUUCGUCAAGAUUGUGGAGUUGAAACAAGGAGUUUGUACGGGGAAGGAGAUUGCCUACUUCGUGAAGAUCUACCCUAGUGAGGCAAGUCCUUCGUGGGCGAUGGCCAUGGUGGGAUAGACAAGGUUGCUUCUUCGUGGACCCUUCGUGGGUGGAGCCCUCCAUGGACUCGCGCAACCGUUACCCUUCGUGGGUUGAAGUCUCCAUCAACGUGGAUGUACGAUAGCACCACCUAUCGGAACCACGCCAAAAAUCUCUGUGUCUCCAAUUGCGUUUGCACACUCCAAUCCCAUCCCUUUACAUUCUUGCAAAUUGCAUGCUUUACUUUCGGCUGCUCAUAUACUCUUGUCAUGCAUGCUUGAUAUGUAUUGUGAAUGUUUAAACAUGUGCUAAAACUCCACCUUAACUUGAAGAAACUAAAAACUGCAACUUUUUUUUGCUAAGAGUCUAUUCACCCCCCUCUAGACACCUCUUCUCGAUCCUUUCAAUUGGUAUCAGAGCAUUGGUCUCCAUUGCUUUGGUUUAAACACCUUUUGAGGAAGAUGGAUGAGUCUAUGUUGGGGAGUCUUAGACAUAGAGUGCCUAUACUUGAUGGAGAGUUCUUUCAUGAAUGGAAAAAUGAGAUGCUUGAGAUUUUCAAUGAAUAUCACUUGAACAAGUACAUUACUAGUCCUUGCAUUCCCCCUAGUGAUCCUUUGCAUCCCUCUCUCGAUGAGGAUCUUGACAUGAUUCACAAUCUUAGAACUAUCAAUCUUAUCAUGAGUGGAUUGCCUAAAAAUUUGAUUGCUAGCUUACCUGCUCUUGAUUGUGCUUACACCAUAUGGAGAUUUCUUGAGGAACGGUUCCCAAAUUAUUCCUUGAAAAAUCUAGAUGAGAUUAUCCAUAAGUCUAUCGCCUUGAAUAGGAUGAGUAAUAGUGAUCCUAAGUUUGAUGAUUGCCUGUUUGAGCUUCGUGAUCUCAUGCAUGCCAAAGGAGAUGUUGGAACUAUUAGCAAUAUCAUUUCUGAAAUCAUUAGAAUCCAUAGAGAUGAACAUUGUCACGGUCAUACUUCUAAUGAAUCACCUUCUCUAGGAAAUGAUCAAUUACAAGAUGAUGUUGAACAUGGAUACUAUGAUGAGGAUGAUGAUAAUGACCUUGAUGAUGCAAUGAGACACUUUGGUCUUCUGGCUAAUCUUUCCGGGUACAUGGCUGGAGGAAUGGAAUGUGUCCUUGAUAGUGGAUGUACCGAUCAUAUGACCGGAGACAAGGAUAUGUUUCGUGAGCUUGCUGAAAAUGACGGCACUUGGAAGUAUGUCACUUUUGGUGAUAACUCAAAGGGUAAGGUGGUUGGCCUUGGUAAGGUGGCCAUCUCACAUGAUAGCUCCAUACAAAAUGUUAUGCUCAUUGAAUCUCUUGGCUACAAUUUACUUUCCGUAUCUAGACUUGCUGACUUUGGCUUCAAUGUCCUAUUUACUGAAGUAGAUUGCCAAGUGUUUCGUAGAGAUAAUCAUAAAAUGUUCUUUACCGGUAUACGUAGAGGUGAUAUUUACAUUGUUGACUUCACUAAAAAGGCUCAACCUAGAACUUCCUUAAUUGCUAAAUCUUCGAAAGGCUGGUUGUGGCAUAGAAGGUUAGGUCAUGUGGGCAUGCGAAAUCUUGAUAAGCUUAUUAAAGGUGAUCAUAUCCUUGGAGUAAAAGAUGUUAUAUUUGACAAGGAUAGAUUGUGCAGUUCUUGUCAAGCAGGAAAACAAGUUGGAGGAAGUCACCUCGUGAAGAACAUCAUGACCACGAGAAGACCGCUUGAGCUACUUCAUAUGGACCUCUUUGGUCCCAAUGCCUAUAAGAGUCUCGGUGGAAACUCAUUUGGUCUAGUUAUAGUCGAUGAUUUUUCAAGAUUUACGUGGGUGUUCUUUCUUGAUGAUAAAUCGCAGGUCCAAAUGAUCUUCAAGAACUUCACUAGGAAGGCCCAAAAUCAAUUUGAAGUGAAGAUCAAGAAGGUUCGCAGCGACAACGGAACGGAGUUCAAGAACGCAAAUGUGGAUACCUUUCUUGACGAAGAAGGGAUUUGAUACAUCUCCAACGUAUCUGUAUUUAUUGAUUGUUCCAUGCUAUUAUAUUAUCCAUCUAGGAUGUUUUAUAUGCUAUUUUAUAUGAUUUUUGGGACUAACCUAUUAACCUAGAGCCCAGUGCCAGUUUCUGUUUUUUUCCUUGUUUUUGAGUUUUACAGAAAAGGAAUACCAAACGGGGUCCAAUUGACGUGCCAAUUUUUGAUGAUUUUUUAUGGACCAAAAGAAGCCCCCGGAGUAAAAGAGUUGGGACAGAAGAGUCCCGAGCCGUCCACGAGGGUGGAGGGCACGCCCACCCCCUAGACGCGUCCCCCUAUCUCGUGGACGACUCGGAGACCCCCCUGACGUGAGACCUACACCAAAAAUUCCUAUAAAUACAGAAACCUCCAGGAAAUAACCUAGAUCGGGAGUUCUGCCGCCGCAAGCCUCUGUAGCCACCAAAAACCAAUCGGGGCCCUGUUCCGGCACCCUGCCGGAGGGGGAUCCCUCACUGGUGGCCAUCUUCAUCAUCCCGACGCUCUCCAUGACGAGGAGGGAGUAGUUCACCCUCGGGGCUGAGGGUAUGCACCAGUAGCAAUGUGUUUGAUCUCUCUCUCUCUCGUGUUCUUGAUUUGGCACGAUCUUGAUGUACCGCGAGCUUUGCUAUUAUAGUUGGAUCUUAUGAUGUUUCUCCCCCUCUACUCUCUUGUAAUGGAUUGAGUUUUCCCUUUGAAGUUAUCUUAUCAGAUUGAGUCUUUAAGGAUUUGAGAACACUUGAUGUAUGUCUUGCAUGUGCUUAUCUGUGGUGACAAUGGGAUAUUCACGUGAUCUACUUGAUGUAUGUUUUGGUGAUCAACUUGCGGGUUUAGUGACCUUGUGAACUUAUGCAUAGGGGUUGGCACACGUUUUCGUCUUGACUCUCCGGUAGAAACUUUGGGGCACUCUUUGAAGUUCUUUGUGUUGGUUGAAUAGAUGAAUCUGAGAUUGUGUGAUGCGUACCGUAUAAUCAUACCCACGGAUACUUGAGGUAACAUUGGAAUAUCUUGGUGACAUCAGGAUUUUGGUUGAUUUGUGUCUUAAGGUGUUAUUCUAGUACGAACUCUAGGAUAGAUCGAAAGGAAAGAAUAGCUUCGUGUUAUUUUACUACGGACUCUUGAAUAGAUCAUUCAGAAAGGAUAACUUUGAGGUGGUUUCGUACCCUACAAUAAUCUCUUCCUUUGUUCUCCGCUAUUAGUGACUUUGGAGUGACUCUUUGUUGCAUGUUGAGGGGUAGUUAUAUGAUCCAAUUAUGUUAUUAUUGUUGAGAGAACUUGCACUAGUGAAAGUAUGAACCCUAGGCCUUGUUUCCUAGCAUUGCAAUACCGUUUAUGCUCACUUUUACCACUUGCUACCUUGCUGUUUUUAUAUUUUCAGAUACAAAAACCUAUAUUUGCCUUCCAUAUUGCAAUUGUAUCACCAUCUCUUCGCCGAACUAGUGCACCUAUACAAUUUACCAUUGUAUUGGGUGUGUCGGGGACACAAGAGACUCGUUGCAGGGUUGUUUGAGAGAGACCAUCUUAAUCUAUGCCUCCCAUGGAUUGAUAAACCUUAGGUCAUCCACUUGAGGGAAAUUUGCUACUGUCCUACAAACCUCUGCAUUUGGAGGCCCAACAACGUCUACAAGAUGAAGGUUGUGUAGUAGACAUCAAGCUCAUUUCUAGCGUCGUUGCCGGGGAGGUGAGUGCUUGAAGGUAUAUCUUUAGAUCUUGCAAUCAAAUCUUUUAGUUUCUUGUUUUAGCACUAGUUUAGUUUAUAAAAUAAAACUACAAAAAAUGGAAUUAAGGUUGCCUCAUAUGCUUCAUCUUUUUAAUGUCUUUCGUGAAAAUGAUGGGAAGGAAAAUUGUGAUCAAGUACUAGAAGAAGAAUUACAUAGAAUGCUUGGCAUAAAAUAUGUGAAUGAUGAGCAUAAUUGCAAUGUUGUUAGUAUGAAUUCUUUGAAUACCCAUGAUGCUAAUGAUAUGCAAAGCCACAAGCUUGGGGAUGCUAUGUUUGAUGAAGAUGAUAUGCUUAGUCCCCCAAGUUUUGAUGAGCAAAUUUAUUAUGAUGAAAGCAUGCCUCCUAUUUAUGAUGAUUAUUGUGAUGACACGUAUGCUAUAAAGAAUAAAGAUAACCAUGAAACUUUUCAUCAUGAUUUUAAUUUUCAAUUGAAUUAUGCUUCACAUGAUAGUUAUUUUGUUGAGUUUGCUCCCACUACUAUUCAUCAGAAGAAAUUUGCUUAUGUGGAGAGUAAUAAAUUUUCUAUGCUUGGGGAUCAUGAAAAGAAUGCUUUAUGUGAUGGUUAUAUUGUUGAAUUUAUUCAUGAUGCUAUUGAAAGUUAUUAUGAGGGAGGAACAUAUGCUUGUAGGAACUGCAAUAAUAUCAAGUUUCCUCUCUAUGUGCUAAAAGUUUUGAAGUUAUGCUUUUUUUUGCCUUCCUAUGCUAGUUGAUUAUUGUUCCCAUAAGUUGUUUGCUCACAAAAUCCCUAUGCAUAGGAAGUGGGUUAGACUUAAAUGUGCUAGUCAUAUUCUUCAUGAUGCUCUAUUUAUGUUUCAAUUCUUAUCUUUUAUGUGAGCAUCAAUGAAAUCAUCAUGCCUAGCUAGGGGCGUUACGAUAGCGCUUGUUGGGAGGCAACCCAAUUUUAUUUUUGUUCUUUGCAUUUUGCUCCUGUUUAGUAAUAAAUAAUUCAUCUAGCCUCUGUUUAGAUGUGGUUUUAUGUUUUAAUUAGUGUUUGUGCCAAGUAGAACCUUUGGGAAGACUUGGGUGAAAUCUAUGUGAUCUUGCUGCAAAAAACAGAAACUUUUGCGCUCACGAGAUUAGCUGCCAUUUUUUACUGGAGUGUGAUUUUAGGUUGAUUCUUUUUGCAGAUGAUUAAUAGACAAAUUCCUCACCACCAAUUUAUUUCAGAAUUUUUGGAGUUACAGAAGUAUUCGAAUGAUACAGAUUACUACAGACUGUUCUGUUUUUGACAGAUUCUGUUUUCUAUAUGUUGUUUGCUUAUUUUGAUGAAUCUAUGAGCAGUAUCGGAGGGUAUGAACCAUAGAUAAGUUGGAAUACAGUAGAUAUUACACCAAUAUGAAUUAAUAAUGAGUUCAAAACAGUACCUAAGUGGUGAUUUAUUUUCUUAUACUAACAGAGCUUACGAGUUUUCUGUUGAGUUUUGUGUUGUGAAGUUUUCAAGUUUUGGGUAAAGAUUCAAUGGACUAUGGAAUAAGGAGUGGCAAGAUCCUAAGCUUGGGGAAGCCCAAGGCACCCCAAGGUAAUAUUCAAGGACAACCAAGAGCCUAAGCUCGGGGAUGCCCCGGAUGGCAUCCCCUCUUUCGUCUUCAUUCAUCGGUAACUUUACUUGGAGCUAUAUUUUUAUUCACCACAUGAUAUUUGUUUUGCUUGGAGGUCAUUUUGUUUUGCUUGCUGUUUGAAUGAUAUCCCAAGAUCUGAAAUUAUUAAACGUUAGAGAGUCUUCCAUAGUUGCAUAAUUAUUCGACUACUCAUUGGUCUUCACUUAUAUCUUUUGGAGUAGUUUGUCGUUUGCUCUAGUGCUUCACUUAUAUCUUUUAGAGCACGGUGGUGGUUUUAUUUUAUAGAAAUUAUUGAUCUCUCAUGCUUCACUUAUAUUAUUUUGAGAGUAUUUUAGAACAGCAUGGCAAUUUGCUUUGGCUAUAAAUUUAGUCCUAAUAUGAUGGGCAUCCAAGAGGGAUAUAAUAAAAACUUUCAUAUAAAGUGCAUUGAAUACUAUGAGAAGUUUGAUUCCUUAUGAUUGUUUCGACAUAUGAGGAUGGUAAUAUUAGAGUCAUGCUAGUGAGUAGUUGUGAAUUUGAGAGAUACUUGUGUUAAAGUUUGUGAUUCCUGUAGCAUGCACGUAUGGUGAACCGUUAUGUGAUGAAGUCGGAGCAUGAUUUAUUAUUGAUUGUCUUCCUUAUGAGUGGCGGUCGGGGACGAGCGAUGGUCUUUUCCUACCAAUAUAUCUCCCUAGGAGCAUGCGCGUAGUACUUCGUUUUGAUAACUAAUAGAUUUUUGCAAUAAGUAUAUGAGUUCUUUAUGACUAAUGUUGAGUCCAUGGAUUAUGCGCACUCUUACCCUUCCACCAUUGCUAGCCUCUCUAGUACCGCACAACUUUCGCCGGUACCAUACACCCACCAUAUACCUUCCUCGAAACAGCCACCAUACCUACCUAUUAUGGCAUCUCCAUAGCCAUUCCGAGAUAUAUUGCCAUGCAACUUUCCACCGUUCCGUUUAUUAUGACACACUUCAUCAUUGUCAUAUUGCUUUGCAUGAUCAUGUAGUUGGCAUCGUAUUUGUGGCAAAGCCACCUUCAUAAUUCUUUCAUACAUGUCACUCUUGAUUCAUUGCACAUCCCGGUACACCACCGGAGGCAUUCAUAUAGAGUCAUAUUUUGUUCUAAGUAUCGAGUUGUAAUUCUUGAGUUGUAAGUAAAUAAAAGUGUGAUGGUCAUCAUUAUUAGAGCAUUGUCCCAUGUGAGGAAAGGAUGAUGGAGACUAUGAUUCCCCACAAGUCGGGAUGAGACUCCGGACGAAAAAUAAAAAAAAAGAGAAAAAAGAGGCCAGAAAAAAAGAGAAGGCCCAAAAACAAAAACAAAAAAAUGAGAGAAAAAGAGGGAAGGGGCAAUGCUACUAUCCUUUUACCACACUUGUGCUUCAAAGUAGCACCAUGAUCUUCAUGAUAGAGAGUCUUCUAUGUUGUCACUUUCAUAUCACUACAAAAAAAAGACACAUCCGUGACAUUUUGGGCCGAACGAAUUUUUUUUCUGUCAUACAUAUGACACUUCUAUGACGAUAAUUGUGACAAAACCCGGUAUCAUCAUAGAUGUGGUGGGCUCCUACUUCUAUGACAAAAAAAUCAUGACAGAAAAUGGGCUUUUCGUCCUGGGUGGGCCGUAGACGCAGCUGCAUGACAUUCUUUGGGCCGUCCAUGACGGAAAAAACCGUGGUAGAAGCGAGGGGGAGGAAAAUUUUGGGGAGUUGCCGGUUACGGUGGGAGGUCGGGGGCCGAGCGAUGCGCGUUUCUCUCGUACACUUACGCGCGUGUGUGCGAGGCGUUGGCUCUAACUGAACCCGAGUGAGGCGUUGGGCUCUAACUAAACCCGAGUGAUUGCACUGCAGGCUACGCGUUACUGAACCCGAGCGAUCGAUCGAUGGCUGUUAACUGAACCCAAUCGAGCAAUUCCUUCGCUACUGCUGCUAACUGAAGCCGAUCGAUUGGAUGAACAGUGAGCGUUGCGGGGGGGUUUGGAUGAACAGUGAGCGGUGGCGUUGCCUCUGGAUGAACAGGACCCCGUGGUGUGGAGGGCUGGAUGAACAGUAGACGGUGGAGGGGUGGCCGUGGAGGGGUGGUUGAACAGGACCCCGUGGUGUGGAGGGCUGGAUGAACAGUAGACGGUGGAGGGGUGCCCGUGGAGGGGUGGUUGAACAGGAGCCGGUGGAGUAGCGCGUGUUGGAAAUAUGCCCUAAAGGCAAUAAUAAAAUGAAUAUUAUUAUAUUUCCUUGUUCAUGACAAUUGUCUAUUGUUCAUGCUAUAAUUGUGUUAUCCGGAAAUCGUAAUACAUGUGUGAAUACAUAUACCACAAUAUGUCCCUAGUGAGCCUCUAGUUAACUAUCUCGUUGAUCAAUGGAUGGUUACGGUUUCCUGACCAUGACAUUGGAUGUCAUUGAUAACGGGAUCACAUCAUUGGGAGAAUGAUGUGAUGGACAAGACCCAAUCCUAAGCAUAGCACAAGAUCGUGUAGUUCGUCUGCUAGAGCUUUUCUAAUGUCAAGUAUCAUUUCCUUAGACCAUGAGAUCGUGCAACUCCCAGAUACCGCAGGAGUGCUUUGGGUGUACCAAACGUCACAACGUAACUGGGUGGCCAUAAAGGUACACUACAGGUAUCUCCGAAAGUAUCUGUUGGGUUGGCACAGAUCGAGACUGGGAUUUGUCACUCCGUAUGACGGAGAGGUAUCUCUGGGCCCACUCGGUAAUGCAUCAUCAUAAUGAGCUCAAUGUGACCAAGUGGUUGGUCACGGGAUCAUUCAUUAUGGUACGAGUAAAGUUACUUGUCGGUAAAGAGAUUGAACGAGGUAUUGGGAUACCGACAUCGAAUCUCGGGCAAGUAACGUACCGAUUGACAAAGGGAAUUGUAUACGGGAUUACUUGAAUCCUCAACAUCGUGGUUCAUCCGAUGAGAUCAUCGAGGAGCAUGUGGGAGCCAACAUGGGUAUCCAGAUCCCGCUGUUGGUUAUUGACCGGAGAGUCGUCUCGGUCAUGUCUGCGUGUCUCCCGAACCCGUAGGGUCUACACACUUAAGGUUCGGUGACGCUAGGGUUGUAGAGAUAUUAGUAUGCGAUAACCCGUAAGUUGUUCGGAGUCCCGGAUGAGAUCUCGGACAUCAUGAGGAGUUCCAGAAUGGUCCGGAGGUAAAGAUUUGUAUAUAGGAAGUCCAGUUUCGGCCACCGGGAAAGUUUCGGGGGUCACCGGUAUUGUACCGGGACCACCGGAAGGGUCCCGGGGGUCCACCGGGUGGGGCCACCUAUCCCGGAGGGCUUCAUGGGCUGAAGUAGGAAGGGAACCAGCCCCUGGUGGGCUGGUGCGCCCCCCAUGGGCCUCCCCCCUGCGCCUAGGGUUGGAAACCCUGGGGGUGGGGGCGCCCCACCUGACUUGGGGGCAAGUUCCCCCUUGGCCGUCGCCCCCCCCUUGAGAUUGGAUCUCUAGGGGCCGCCCCCCAGGGCCCCUAUAUAAAGAGGGGGGAGGGAGGGCUGCGCACCCAAGCCCCUGGCGCCUCCCUCUCCCCCCGUAACACCUCUCCCUCUCGCUGAGCUUGGCGAAGCCCUGCCGAGAUCCCUGCUGCUUCCACCACCACGCCGUCGUGCUGCUGGAUCUCCAUCAACCUCUCCUCCCCCCUUGCUGGACCAAGAAGGAGGAGACGUCUCUCCCAACCGUGUGUGUGUUGAACGCGGAGGUGCCGUCCGUUCGGCGCUAGGAUCAUCGGUGAUUUGGAUCACGACGAGUACGACUCCAUCAACCCCGUUCUCUUGAACGCUUCCGCUCGCGAUCUACAAGGGUAUGUAGAUGCACUCCUCUCUCUCGUUGCUAGAUGACUCCAUAGAUUGAUCUUGGUGAUGCGUAGAAAAUUUUAAAUUUCUGCUACGAACCCCAACAGUGGUAUCAGAGCUAGGUCUAUGCGUAGUUACUAUGCAUGAGUAGAACACAAGUUUGUUGUGGGCGUCGAUAUUGUCAAUUUACUUGCCGUUACUAGUCUUAUCUUGAUUCGGCGGCAUCGUGGGAUGAAGCGGCCCGGACUGACCUUACACGUACACUUACGUGAGACAGGUUCCACCGACUGACAUGCGCUAGUUGCGUAAGGUGGCUAGCGGGUGUCUGUCUCUCCCACUUUAGUCGGAUCGGAUUUGAUGAAAAGGGUCCUUAUGAAGGGUAAAUAGAAAUUGGCAUAUCUUGUGGUUUUGGCGUAGGUAAGAAACGUUCUUGCAAGAAACCUAUAGCAGCCACGUAAAAAUUUGCAACAACAAUUAGAGGACGUCUAAUUUGUUUUUGCAGCAUAUGCCGUGUGAUGUGAUAUGGCCAAAAGGAUGUGAUGAAUGAUAUAUAUGUGAUGUAUGAGAUUGAUCAUGUUCUUGUAAUAGGAAUCACGACUUGCAUGCCGAUGAGUAUGACAACCGGCAGGAGCCAUAGGAGUUUUCUUAAUUUAUUGUAUGACCUGCGUGUCAAUGAAUAACGCCAUGUAAUUACUUUACUUUGUUGCUAAACCGUUAGCCAUAGUAGUAGAAGUAAUAGUUGGCGAGACAACUUCAUGAAGACACGAUGAUGGAGAUCAUGAUGAUGGAGAUCAUGGUGUCAUGCCGGUGAUGAUGAUGGUCAUGGCGCCCCGAAGAUGGAGAUCAAAAGGAGAAAAAUGAUAUUGGCCAUAUCAUGUCACUAUUUGAUUGCAUGUGAUGUUUAUCAUGUUUUUGCAUCUUAUUUGCUUAGAACGAGGGUAGCAUAAAUAAGAUGAUCCCUCAUAAUAAUUUCAAGAAAGUGUUCCCCCUAACUGUGCACCGUUGCGAAGGUUCCUUGUUUCUAAGCACCACGUGAUGAUCGGGUGUGAUGGAUUCUAACGUUCGAAUACAACGGGUGUAAGCCAGAUUUACACACGCAAUACACUUAGGUUGACUUGACGAGCCUAGCAUGUACAGACAUGGCCUCGGAACACAGAAGACCGAAAGGUCGAACAUGAGUCGUAUAGAAGAUACGAUCAACAUGAAGAUGUUCACCGAUGAUGACUAGUCCACCUCACGUGAUGAUCGGACACGGCCUAGUUGACUCGGAUCAUGUAUCACUUAGAUGACUAGAGGGAUGUCUGUCUGAGUGGGAGUUCAUUAAAUAAUUUGAUUAGAUGAACUUAAAUAUCAUGAACUUAGUCUAAAAUCUUUGCAAUAUGUCUUGUAGAUCAAAUGGCCCACGCUAAUGUUGCCCUCAACUUCAACGCGUUCCUAGAGAAAACCAAGCUGAAAGACGAUGGCAGCAACUAUACGGACUGGGUCCGGAACUUGAGGAUCAUCCUCAUAGCUGCCAAGAAAGCAUAUGUCCUAGAUGCACCGCUAGGUGAAGCACCCGUUUUCCCAGCAACUCAAGACGUUAUGAAUGCCUGGCAGUCGCGUAGUGAUGAUUACUCCCUGGUUUAGUGCGGCAUGCUUUACAGCUUAGAACCGGGGCUCCAAAAGCGUUUUGAGCAGCACGGAGCAUAUGAGAUGUUCCAAGAGCUGAAAAUGGUUUCCAAGCUCAUGCCCGGGUCGAGAGAUAUGAAGUCUCCGACAAGUUCUACAGUUGUAAGAUGGAGGAGAAUAGUUCCGUCAGCGAACACAUACUCAAAAUUUCUGGGUUGCACAACCGCCUAUCUCAGCUGGGAGUUAAUCUCCCGGAUGAUGCGGUCAUUGACAGAAUCCUUCAGUCGCUCCCACCUAGCUACAAGAGCUUUGUGAUGAACUUCAAUAUGCAGGGGAUGGAGAAAACCAUUCCUGAGGUAUAUUCGAUGCUGAAAUCAGCGGAGGUGGAGAUCAAAAAGGAACAUCAAGUGUUGAUGGUGAAUAAAACCACUAAGUUCAAUAAAGGCAAGGGUAAGAAGGACUUCAAGAAGGACGGCAAAGGAGUUGCCGCGCCCGGUAAGCCAGUUGCCGGGAAGAAGCCAAAGCAUGGACCCAAGCCUGAGACUGAGUGCUUUUAUUGCAAGGGAAACGGUCACUGGAAGCGGAACUGCCCCAAGUACUUAGCGGACAAGAAGGCCGACAACACCAAAGGUAUAUGUGAUAUACAUGUAAUUGAUGUGUACCUUACCAGUACUCGUAGUAGCUCCUGGGUAUUUGAUACCGGUGCGGUUGCUCAUAUUUGUAACUCAAAACAGGAGCUGCGGAAUAAGCGGAGACUGGCGAAGGACGAGGUGACGAUGCGCAUCGGGAAUGGUUCCAAGGUCGAUGUGAUCGCCGUCGGCACGUUACCUCUACAUUUACCUACGGGAUUAGUUUUAAACCUCAAUAAUUGUUAUUUAGUGCCAGCUUUGAGCAUGAACAUUGUAUCUGGAUCUCGUUUAGUACGAGAUGGCUACUCAUUUAAAUCGGAGAAUAAUGGUUGUUCUAUUUAUAUGAGAGGUAUGUUUUAUGGUCAUGCCCUGCUGGUCAAUGGUUUAUUCUUAAUGAAUCUCGAACGUGAUGUUACACAUAUUCAUAGUGUGAAUAGCAAAAGAUGUAAGGUUGAUAAUGAUAGUCCCACAUACUUGUGGCACUGCCGCCUUGGUCACAUUGGUGCCAAACGCAUGAAGAAGCUCCAUGCAGAUGGACUUUUGGAGUCUCUUGAUUAUGAAUCAUUUGACACGUGCGAACCGUGCCUCAUGGGUAAAAUGACCAAGAAUCCGUUCUCCGGAACAAUGGAGCGAGCAACCAACUUAUUGGAAAUCAUACAUACUGAUGUGUGCGGGCCAAUGAGUGUUGAGGCACGCGGUGGCUAUCGUUAUGUUCUCACUCUCACUGAUGACUUAAGUAGAUAUGGGUAUGUCUAUUUAAUGAAACACAAGUCUGAGACCUUUGAAAAGUUCAAGGAAUUUCAGAGUGAGGUUGAAAAUCAACGUGAUAGAAAAAUAAAGUUCUUACGAUCAGAUCGUGGAGGGGAAUAUUUAAGUCACGAAUUUGGCACGCACUUAAGGAAAUGUGGAAUCAUUUCACAACUCACGCCGCCUGGAACACCUCAGCGUAAUGGGGUGUCCGAACAUCGUAAUCGCACUCUAUUGGAUAUGGUGCGGUCUAUGAUGUCUCUUACUGAUCUACCGCUCUCAUUUUGGGGCUAUGCUUUAGAGACUACCGCAUUCACUUUAAAUAGGGCUCCGUCGAAAUCCGUUGAAAUGACACCGUAUUAAUUAUGGUUUGGGAAGAAACCUAAGCUGUCGUUUCUAAAAGUUUGGGGAUGCGAUGCUUAUGUCAAGAAACUUCAACCUGAAAAGCUCGAACCCAAGUUGGAAAAAUGCGUCUUCAUAGGAUACCCUAAGGAAACCAUUGGGUAUACCUUCUACCUCAGAUCCGAAGGCAAGAUCUUUGUUGCCAAGAACGGGUCCUUUCUGGAGAAAGAGUUUCUCUCGAAAGAAGUAAGUGGGAGGAAAGUGGAACUUGAUGAAGUACUGCCUCUUGAAGCAGAAAGUAGCGCAGCUCAGGAAGAUGUUCCUGUGGUGCCUGCACCGGCUAGAGAGGAGGUUAACGAUGAUGAUCAAGGUACUUCGGAUCAAGUUGCUACUGAACUUCAUAGGUCCACGAGGACACGUUCCACACUAGAAUGGUAUGGCAACCCCGUCCUGGAAAUCAUGUUGUUAGACAACGGUGAACCUUCGAACUAUGAAGAAGCGAUGGCGGGCCCAGAUUCCAACAAAUGGCUUGAAGCCAUGCAAUCCGAGAUAGGAUCCAUGUAUGAAAACAAAGUAUGGACUUUGACAGACUUGCCCGAUGAUCGGCGAGCGAUAGAAAAUAAAUGGAUCUUUAAGAAGAAGACGGACGCAGAUGGUAAUGUUACCAUCUAUAAAGCUCGACUUGUCGCUAAGGGUUAUCGACAAGUUCAAGGGGUUGACUAUGAUGAGACCUUCUCACCCGUAGCGAAGCUUAAGUCCGUCCGAAUCAUGUUAGCAAUUGCCGCAUUCUACGAUUAUGAGAUAUGGCAAAUGGACGUCAAAACGGCAUUCGUUAACGGCUUUCUUAAGGAAGAAUUGUAUAUGAUGCAGCCGGAAGGUUUUGUCGAUCCUAAGAAUGCUAACAAGGUAUGCAAGCUCCAGCGCUCCAUCUAUGGGCUGGUGCAAGCAUCUCGGAGUUGGAACAUUCGCUUUAAUGAAAUGAUCAAAGCGUUUGGGUUUAUGCAGACUUAUGGAGAAGCCUGCGUUUACAAGAAAGUGAGUGGGAGCUCUGUAGCAUUUCUCAUAUUAUAUGUGGAUGACAUACUGUUGAUGGGAAAUGAUAUAGAACUCUUGGAGAGCAUAAAGGCCUACUUGAAUAAGUGUUUUUCAAUGAAGGACCUUGGAGAAGCUGCUUACAUAUUAGGCAUCAAGAUCUAUAGAGAUAGAUUGAGACACCUCAUAGGUCUUUCACAAAGCACAUACCUUGAUAAAAUAUUGAAGAAGUUCAAUAUGGAUCAGUCCAAGAAGGGGUUCUUGCCUGUGUUGCAAGGUGUGAAAUUGAGCUCGACUCAAUGUCCGACCACGGCAGAGGAUAGAGAAAAGAUGAGUGUCGUCCCCUAUGCCUCGGCCAUAGGGUCUAUCAUGUAUGCCAUGCUGUGUACCAGACCUGAUGUAAACCUUGCCGUAAGUUUGGUAGGAAGGUACCAAAGUAAUCCCGACAUGGAACACUGGACAGCGGGCAAGAAUAUCCUAAAGUACCUGAAAAGGACUAAGGAUAUGUUUCUCGUUUAUGGAGGUGACGAAGAGCUCGUCGUAAAGGGUUACGUCAAUGCUAGCUUCGACACAGAUCUGGAUGACUCUAAGUCACAAACCGGAUACGUGUAUAUUUUGAAUGGUGGGGCAGUAAGCUGGUGCAGUUGCAAGCAAAGCGUUGUGGCGGGAUCUACAUGUGAAGCGGAAUACAUGGCAGCCUCGGAGGCAGCACAUGAAGCAAUCUGGAUGAAGGAGUUCAUUACCGACCUAGGAGUUAUUCCCAAUGCGUCGGGGCCGAUGACUCUCUUCUGUGACAACACUGGAGCAAUUGCCCUUGCCAAGGAGCCCAGGUUUCAUAAGAAGACCAGGCACAUCAAGCGUCGCUUCAACUCCAUUCGUGAAAAUGUUCAAGAUGGAGACAUAGAUAUUUGCAAAGUGCAUCGGAUCUGAAUGUCGCAGAUCCGUUGACUAAACCUCUUCCGCGAGCAAAACAUGAUCAACACCAGAACUCUAUGGGUGUUCGAUUCAUCACAAUGUAACUAGAUUAUUGACUCUAGUGCAAGUGGGAGACUGUUGGAAAUAUGCCCUAGAGGCAAUAAUAAAAUGAUUAUUAUUAUAUUUCCUCGUUCAUGAUAAUUGUCUAUUGUUCAUGCUAUAAUUGUGUUAUCCGGAAAUCGUUACAUGUGUGAAUACAUAGACCACAAUAUGUCCCUAGUGAGCCUCUAGUUAACUAGCUCGUUGAUCAAUGGAUGGUUACAGUUUCCUGACCAUGACAUUGGAUGUCAUUGAUAACGGGAUCACAUCAUUGGGAGAAUGAUGUGAUGGACAAGACCCAAUCCUAAGCAUAGCACAAGAUCGUGUAGUUCAUCUGUUAGAGCUUUUCUAAUGUCAAGUAUCAUUUCCUUAGACCAUGAGAUCGUGCAACUCCCGGAUACCGUAGGAGUGCUUUGGGUGUACCAAACGUCACAACGUAACUGGGUGGCCACAAAGGUACACUACAGGUAUCUCCGAAAGUGUCUGUUGGGUUGGCACAGAUCGAGACUGGGAUUUGUCACUCCGUAUGACGGAGAGGUAUCUCUGGGCCCACUCGGUAAUGCAUCAUCAUAAUGAGCUCAAUGUGACCAAGUGGUUGGUCACGGGAUCAUGCAUUACGAUACUAGUAAAGUGACUUGUCGGUAACGAGAUUGAACGAGGUAUUGGGAUACCGAUGAUCGAAUCUCGAGCAAGUAACGUACCGAUUGACAAAGGGAAUUGUAUACGGGAUUACUUGAAUAAUCGACAUCGUGGUUCAUCCGAUGAGAUCAUCGAGGAGCAUGUGGGAGCCAACAUGGGUAUCCAGAUCCCGCUGUUGGUUAUUGACCGGAGAGUCGUCUCGGUCAUGUCUGCGUGUCUCCUGAACCCGUAGGGUCUACACACUUAAGGUUCGGUGACGCUAGGGUUGUAGAGAUAUUAGUAUGCGGUAACCCGAAAGUUGUUCGGACUCCCAGAUGAGAUCCCGGACAUCAUGAGGAGUUCCGGAAUGGUCCGGAGGUAAAGAUUUGUAUAUAGGAAGUCCAGUUUCGGCCACCGGGAAAGUUUCGGGGGUCACCGGUAUUGUACCGGGACCACCGGAAGGGUCCCGGGGGUCCACCGGGUGGGGCCACCUAUCCCGGAGGGCCCCAUGGGCUGAAGUGGGAAGGGAACGAGCCCCUGGUGGGCUGGUGCGCCCCCCAUGGGCCUCCCCCUGCGCCUAGGGUUGGAAACCCUGGGGGUGGGGGGCGCCCCACCUGACUUGGGGGGCAAGUUCCCCCUUGGCCGCCGCCCCCUUGAGAUUGGAUCUCUAGGGGCCGGCGCCCCCUAGGGCCCCUAUAUAAAGAGGGGGGGAGGGAGGGCUGCUCACCCAAGCCCCUGGCGCCUCCCUCUCCCCCCGUAACACCUCUCCCUCUCGCUGAGCUUGGCGAAGCCCUGCCGAGAUCCCCGCUGCUUCCACCACCACGCCGUCGUGCUGCUGGAUCUCCAUCAACCUGUCCUCCCCCCUUGCUGGACCAAGAAGGAGGAGACGUCUCUCCCAACCGUGCGUGUGUUGAACGCGGAGGUGCCGUCCGUUCGGCGCUAGGAUCAUCGGUGAUUUGGAUCACGACGAGUACGACUCCAUCAACCCCGUUCUCUUGAACGCUUCCGCUCGCGAUCUACAAGGGUAUGUAGAUGCACUCCUAUCUCUCGUUGCUAGAUGACUCCAUAGAUUGAUCUUGGUGAUGCGUAGAAAAUUUUAAAUUUCUGCUACGAACCCCAACAACGUGCGGUGGAGGCUGGAUGAACAGGAGCCCGUGGAGGCUGAAGGAGGUCGACGGUAGCCCGUGGAGGCUGGAGGAGGUCGACGGUGGAGAUGAACAGUAUCUCGUGGAGUCCCGUUUUGCGGUACGCCACACCCCUCCUGAUGAACAGGACCCCCGUUUCGACCGUAGCACUGCAAGACAAGUCCGUUUCGUCCAUUUUGCGGUAUGCCACACCCUUCCCGAUCAACAGGACCCCCGUUUCGACCGUAGGAGGUCCGUUUCGUCCGUUUUGCGGUACGCCACACCCCUCCCGAUCAACAGGACCCCCGUUUCGACCGUAGGAGGUCCGUUUCCUCCGUUUUGCGGUACGCCACACCCCUCCCGAUCAACAGGACCCUGUUCCGAACGUAGGAGGUCCGUUUCCUCCGUUGUGCGGUACGCCAGGCCUCGUUUCCAUCGCCUGUUUCGUCCAAGCCCUCCCGAUGAACACGACCACGCAUUCCGUUCCGACCCAGCCGGUUGGCUCCCACGCGUUCCGUUGCCUCCCGAUGAACACGACGCAUUCCGCUGCCUCCCCAUGAACAUGAUGUAUUCCGUUGCCUCCCCAUGAACACGAUGACGACGCUGUUUCUCCGUUCUGACCCAGCCAUGUACACGAGCCCUCGCCGUACGUAUGCGCGAGUAGGCGUUCGAGACCCCGCCCGUAUGUACACAUACGUGGCCGUAUUUUCUUUCUUGCACCCUGGCCGCUGUACGUACGUGUACAUUCUACGUGCGCGCCUCUACUACGACACGUGCGCGCCUCUACAUCCACCAGUAUAUAUGUACGUACACGUUCGCGACCAGAAUGACAACGCUACGUACGCUUCGACCAGGUGGGUCCCGACUGUUAGGCACUUCCUUGUCUGGGAAGAUGUAGCUGGUGGGUCCCAGCAGUCAGGGGGGCGAAUCAUUUUUUUUGCCCGGACGCACUUCCUUGCGUGCGAAGAUGUAGCUGGUGGGUCCCAGCAGUCAGGGGGAAACGUUUUUUCGCGAAAUACGGUGGCCCGUUCGGUGGGUCCCUGCUGUCAGGUGGAGGAAUUAUUAUUUUGCGCAUAAUAAGGAGGCACUUCCUUGCUGCGGCCGUGGACCCAGCUGUCAGCCUCUCCACGUACAGUCCACGUCCGAUGGAAGCCGUUCCUUGACCACGUUGACCACGCCGCGCCGAGAGCACCAGGGUGGUGGACGACGGCGAGGCGUAGGAAGGGGACGACGUGGAGCCGGGGAAGACGCGGCAGUGGAUGCCCACGUGUAGAGGAGUACGAGGGUUCACUGGUUCGCUGCGGUGUGAGGCUGCCAUCGCCGCAGAAUAACAGGGGGUGUGGGUGAGUAGAGGGAUGACCUGGCCAGCGGUGGGAGUAGUAGGGGGCGGUGAGGCCUCCGCCGCAUCGCAGCCGGCCACGGGAGGCAGGAGCACGAGGCACGACCGGCGCUGGUUUGGGCGGCUGGAGCAAGAAGACCAGAGGUUGAAGAAGCACUACGGCUGUUGGAUGGACAUUGUACGGUCACUGGAGCUAGAAUCGUGCAUAUUGACUAAGUUGACAAAGGCCUCCGUCCCCGUCAACUUAGUAGGCCCACAAGUCAGCCUGCCAAUAUACUGGGUCCCAGCUAACAGGGGGAGUAUUCAUUUUUUUGUGUGUAAUAAGGAGGCACUUCCUUGCGUGCAAAGAUAUAGCUGGUGGGUCUGAGUUGUCAGCGGCGGUAACGUUUUUUCGCAAAAUACAGAGGCCCUUUCGGUGGGUCCCCGAUAUCAGGUGGAGGAAUCAUUAUUUUGCACGUAAUAAGGAGGCAUUUCCUUGCGUGCAGCCGUGGACCCAGCUGUCAGCCUCUCCACGUACAGUCCACUUCAGAUGCAUGUCGGUUGUUGACCACAUUGACCAGGCCGCGCCGAGAGCACCAGGGCGGUGGACGACGGCCAGGCCUAGGAAGGGAACGACACGGAGGCAGGGAAGACUCGGCAGUUGUUUCCCACACGGAGGGGAGUAUGACUGUACGAGGGUUUACUGGUUCGUCUGCCCUCGCCGGAGAAUAACAGCAGGUGUGGGUGAGUAGAGGGAUGGCUAGGCCAGCGAUGGGAGUACGAUGGGGCGGUGAGGCCUGCGCGGCAGUAGAGCCGGCCGCGGGGAGGAAGGAGCAGGCAGUCCCGCCGGCGCUUUGUUUGAGCGGCUGGAGCAGGAAGAGCAGAGAUUGAAGAAGGACGACGGCCGUUGGAUGGACAUCGUACUGUCACUGGAGCUAGAAUCGUUCAUAUUGACUAAGUUGACAAAGCCCUCUGUCCCCGUCAACUUAGUAGGCCCACAAGUCAGCCUCCCACCAUGGUGGGUCCCAGCUAGCAGGAGGAGUAUUCAUUUUUCUGUGCGUAAUAAGGAGGCACUUCCGGUGGGUCCGAGCUGACAGCGGGGGGAACGUUUUUUUUGCGAAAUACGGUGGUCCGUCCGGUGGGUCCCAGCAGUCAGGGGCAAACGUUUUUUCGCGAAAUACGGUGGCCCGUCCGGUGGGUCCCAGUAGUCAGGGGGAAACGUUUUUUCCGCGAAAUACUGUUGGCCCGUCCGGUGGGUCCUUGUUGUCAGGUGGAGGAAUAAUUAUUUUGCGUGUAAUAAGGAGGCACAUCCUUGCGGCUGCCGUGGACCCAGCUGUCAGCCUCUCCACGUACAGUACUCUUCCGAUGGAAGUCAGUCGUUGACCACGCCAUGCCGAGAGCACCACGGCGGUGGACGACGGCGAGGCCUAGGAAGGGGACGACGCGGAGCUGGGGAAGACGUGGCAGUGGAUGCCCACGUGGAGAGGAGUACGAGGGUUCACUGGUUCGGCUGCGGUGUGAGGCUGCCGUCGCCGCAGAAUAACAGGGGGACUGGGUGAGUGGAGGGAUGGCCUGGCCAGCGGUGGGAGUAGUAUGGGGAUGGUGAGGCCUCCGCGGCAGCACAGCCGGCCAAGGGAGGCAGGAGCAUGCGGCACGACCGGCACUGCUUUGGGCGGCUGGGGCAAGAAGACCAGAGGUUGAAGAAGCACUACGGCCGUUGGAUGGACAUCGUUGACCACGCCACGCCGAGAGCACCAGGGCGGUGGACGACGGCGAGGCCUAUAAAGGGAACGACACGGAGCCGGGGAAGACACGGCAGUGGCUGCCCACGCGGUGGAGAGUACGAGGGUUGACUGGUUCGGCUGCCGUCGCCGGAAAAUAACAGGAGGUGUGGGUGAGUAGAGGGAUAGACAGGCCAGGGUUGUGAGUAUGAUGGGGCCGUGAGGCCUGCCCGGCAGCACUGCCGGCCACGGGAGGCGGGAGCAGGUGGUUCCGACGGCGCUGGUUUGGGCGGCUGGGGCAGGAAGAUCAGAGACUGAAGAAGCACGAUUGCCGUUAGAUUAACAUCUAACGGUCUGACGCUGGUAGAGUCGAUUGUUGACUAAGUUUCUUUUUUAAGAAACCUUGUGUACGCAUGAACUUAGUAGGCCCACAAGUCAGCGUCCAAAUCUGUGGCAGACAACAUAAAGCCCAUUUGCUAUUUUUUAUAAUUUGCAGCCCAUUUGCUAAUUCUUAAGUAAUUUAUUACAGCCCAUUUUCUGCCCAGGACCACGGUCAAAAAGUUCAACCUUAUUUUGCAUAUUUUGGUGGAUUCCAAACUGUUGUAAUCCCGAAAUGAUAAACAUUUUUUAAGAACUUAUUGAUUUGCCAAAAAAAUCAUUUUGUUUUUGUAAGCAAAUAAGACGUGGGACAAUUGAGUUGGUUUAGGGGAAAACCAGUGGUAAAAAAAUCAGCGCUGGGUGGGAAAAAACAACAAAAAAAAGGAUGUAAAUAUGAAAAGGGAAUUUUAUGUGUUUUCAAUAUAAUGAUACGUGUAUAUGAACUAGUAAAACUAUAGGUAGAGAUUAGAAAACGGAUGUAGGACAUGCGUUUCAAGAGGAAAAUAGAACUGGGCUGUGUGUUUGAUUUAGUAAAAAAAACUGCCUGCGGAUGUUGUAAGACAAAAUAUAACUAACGCUGGCGGGCCAGAGGCCAGUAGAUACCUGCUGGAUCUUUGUUCCCCGUUGUCGUCAUGGGCUGGGCCUGUUAAAAACAAAACCAACCCUGGGCAGUCUACAACCCAGUUGAAACUUGCUCGACCUGAAAAAACAAUAUACAUGCUCAAUAAACGAGAGAAUUCUGCAAGUACAGACUGAUAACUGGGAUGCAGCACGGAUAUUGUUUUUUUAUCGUGAUAAUAAGUGCAUGCACUUGUUCCAAAAAAAUUGGAGAACUGGGAAUUCGAACGGCGGGUGCUUAUGCUACCAUCAAAUAAAAAUUAGGUGCCUGAAAAUUCGUUUCAAAACAAAUGAUUCAGCUUUAUAUCCACGCCGACCCUCGGCAUGAUGGUUGGAAGCAAAUGCAAGUUCAUACCAAAAGAUCGUUAACAACAAUACCAACUUGCGGACGACAAGGUAGUACAACUACCAAUACCAAACUAACUUAUAAUCUUUUUACUCUUGGCCCUAGUGUUAGUCCGGUAGAAAAUCUUCUAGAGGACCAGUUCCCGCUCCUUCUCUUGCUCCAGGUCCCCGAGGUGGUACUGGUGCAUCACCCAGUUGGUCCUCUGCUGGUCGAAGUUCCUGUUGGUGUGCAGCACCAGAACCUUUUUUGCUGCCCGUCUGCCGGCCGUUGACCAUCACCGGCAAGGUAUUGCCGGUCUUGUGCCACAUCGCGUGCAUGCCGCACUCCGACUGUAUCUUGCGGCGCUUCCACGUGCCCCUUUUGAAUGCCCUGGAAUUGCGCUGGAAGAAAUGCUUCCUUAGGCCACUUAGUGUGAUACCUGCAGUAUUGUGGAAUACAGGUUUUAGUGUACCUAGUUGGCAUUUUCAUAACAUCUUUGGCAUGUUGCAGUCACUUGUUUCACUUUUUAUUAACUGUGAAAUUGUAAUUGCUUCACCAGGUCUGCGUCUAAAAAGAAAAAUAGAGCUAUAAACAAAGGAAUAUGUUUGUGCAAGUAGACGGCCGAUCGGUGUCUUACCUGGAAGUUUCUCAGGUUGGGUGUAGCAUAUGCCGUGCUCGCUGUCGAUGGUUGGUAUGAACAAAUCGAUGAGAGACUGAAAUCUCGCGCUGUCAGCACUCACUUUGGCCUCAAGGUGCUCGAUCAGCUCCUGAUCCAUGGGAUCGAACUUGAAGCCAGCCGGCAGCACCGACCAAUCCUUCUUCGACUUGCAUUGGUAAUUCCAGUUAUAUGGUACUCAAUGUAUGAUCAAUCGACUGUUUUAAGUGAAUGAUGAAAGAUUUCGACAGAUAAGUGGUACUCCAAAUCUGAAGUCCAGAAUACCCGAACACGCCGCCGGGAUUCUUGUGUCACCUCAGGCGCAGCGUGUUGUCACGUCAAUUCAAUGUGUGGACAUGAUGAAUAAUUUGACCGACGUAUACUAGUACUGCUACUGUACUACUUACUAGUCGUAUUUAGUGUCACAAUUUAUACAUAGGUUUAACUAACAAGUACGCACUUGAAGCCUAACUGAUAUAUAUAUAUAUAUAUAUAUAUAUAUAUAUAUAUAUAUAUAUAUAUAUAUAUGGCUUCUGCACAGCAUCUCCAUCAUCAUUAUCAGUACAUCCUACGUAGGUGAGUUAGGAUGCACUUGAUCCCAGGAAGGUAUCUAUCCUUCAAACUAGAGGAGUGCUUCAAACUAACAAUAGUACAUAAUAUCCAACAAAAGAGGGUCGUGCUACAGCAGCAGAAUACAUGGCUCAGUCUAGAUAUCAGCAUGAAUCAAGUUGUGCAUAUUUGCUGUUGGCAUGAACCACAUCGCCGCAUGUCGGGUUUGCAAAAGCCAUCCAUCGCAUGGAAGCUUGAUGCCUUUCACACACUGUAGAUUAUCUGGCAACAAGCUGUGUCGACGAAUCUCUGGAUAUGGUCAUUCAUGAAACCCAUGGUAUGAUGUGUAAACACAGCCCCCCUCGCGAAUGGAAGUUGCAUAGCACAGUAAUCAUCGCCGGUGAUAUGAUCGAUGAUUGGUUGGAUGAUCGGAUAAUUGAGCCCGAGGAACAAGGAGUGGUUGCCGAGGCUGUAAACCCGCCUCUAGUUGAAUACGCCUGGCCCAACGGAGCUGGGAUCUUUCUUGAACAUGAAGCAGCCAUAGCCAUCAAUGUCACGAACGCCCCACGCAUUGUACUGCAUGUGGUUUGAUGUAAUGGUUUGGUCAAUUUGGUACGUGCGAAUGAGCAUCAAAUGACCGCCGUCAGCUGAACGAGCGAUAAACCACCACCCAUCGGCUAGUAUGAUUCCAGGUCCUGGAAUCAUGAAGGCCAGCGCAUUUGCGUCUGCUGCAACAAUUCAAAUUGGAGACCAAAAGGACAAAAAUAAACAAUCAUGUUCAGAGUAUGUGUGGAAUUAAGAUUAUUACAACAGUGACACGUAUCAUAGACUGAGAAUUGCAAUGCCGUGGUCAUAAUCAUACCCCAAGUUAAAAAAAAUAAGCCAAUGGCUUUCAUAUUCUAGCAACAUGUCAUGGUUCAAACAUCAUGUAACAAUGAGAGGAAAACACCUACGACAGCGCCUACUCAUAUUCACCCAUAGCACUUACUACUACUGUUCUCAUAUCCUACGUCGCACCGAUACGGCGACACCGAUACGAGUAUGGCGAUACGGGAUACGGCAAUUUCUAGAAACAGCAAUAUACGAUACGUCGAGUAUAUAUAAAUAAUUAAUAAAAGUGACAUGUAACAAGAACCAACAUAACAAAAUGUCCUCGACUCUAUUAGUUGCCUGAUUGCCUCCAAGCGUCUUUUCUUUUGUCUUUAAUGAUCCAGGUUCUCAACUCCUCAUGAUGUACGCAAAAUAGAAAAAUACAUUAACAAGCAGCAACAUCAGCAAGCAAUUUUAUCCAACAAACAUCAACAAGCAGCAAUGAGAUAGAAGUGAUUGCCUCCUUUGUGCAGCUAUUUCUCUCGGUGUACUAGUACUACGGACGCUAGCAAGCACAGCCAAACAAGAAUCCAGCAAGCAGGCAAGCACAUACAUCAAGCACACAGCAGCAAGCACACAUCAGAGAUUCAUGUAUCUGAGCCGUAUCGACCGUAUCGGCAUAUCGGAGCCGUCCGGAACGGCGAUACGGCACUUCCCUGGCGUAUCGGUGCUACGUAGUCAUAUCAACUCUAAGCAAUAACAUGCGUUGUUAUAAAAAUCUUGUAAACGAGAGUAACAUAUAGCAAUCAUGAUGUUAUACUCAUAAUAUGUAUUCUAACAAUCAUUAGAUGCCGAUUGUUCUCAUAACAACUCUAACAAUAACAUGUGCGGUCAUAAAAAUCUACGAAAUGAGAGGAACUUAUAGCAAUGAUGUGGUUAUAGACAUGCUAUGCAUUCUAAAUUUGUAACAAAUGAACAAGCAGUCGUAUUCAUAAGGUAAAGAUGAGAUGAGAUAGAACAAUUACACGACGAUAGAUUCCACCAGUAUAGGCAGCCAAUCUGUGCGUCGACCGCGUAAAUGAUGCCAUCGUGCACUAUAGCAUCAGACAGAAAUGUUGCCUCAACAGGAUUGAUGAUGAGCCAUAACCAUGUAUGGCGACCGGAUUCCAGAUAGACUAAUCCCAUGUUGAACAAGGCAAUGAGCUUGUAAUCCAUGUAGUCUUCUGAUGGUGUGGGCACUUCGCAGAUUACAACUUCCUGCAAACAGAGGUCGAGCCAAAAGCUUGACGCGUCUCGUGCGUAGUAGGCAGGAGUGUCCGGCGGGCCGCGAGGCUCGAUGGCGGCGGUAUCCAACGAUGGAAGGGUGAUCUCUCGCUGGGUGUAGAUAUCCACGAGACGCCACGGACUACCGGUGUGGUGGAUGAGGACGAUCCAGUUGGCCUUCAUGCCCGCCCAGUAGUGGCCGCGCAUGAAGGACAUGUGGACGGGUAGUGGUAGCAUGUCGAGGGGCACCACGGCAACCUCCGUAGGAUCGUCAAGUCGGUGUCUGGGCCAGCUGCGAGGAUCGGGCAUCAGCAAGCAGGGUGUCUUGAAAAGAGCCGGCCGGUUGCAGACGAGUAGACGGUACAAAGACACCGAGCAUGCGGCCAGACGGACGAUGCUGAGUAGGUCCAUACGAGUACAGAUCUGCUCCAAGAGAACAUCGGGGAGGGAAUUCCAAUCGUGGCUCUGCGUGUCAGUCGGUUCUGCCAUUGGGGUUUUUGGUGCCUGCGAGCCAGCGGGGAGGUGGAUUUGGGCGGGCGAGCGAAGAAGCUUCUCCUCGUGUGGCCGAGCAGUGAGCGGGGGGAUAUGGUACGCGCGAGCUACCAAGGAAGAUGGCGCGGGCGGGUGAGCAGUGAGCGGGGGUAAAUGGUGUGCGGCCGAUGAUGGGGAAGAGAGGAGGAAGAAGAGUGGAAGACGGGGAAGAAAGUCCAUUAAAUCUCAAUUCUACUAGUACUACUACCAGGAUAUACCGUCCUUCGGAGGGUAAAUAGUUACACCGAUGACAUGUGGGUCUACCACAACAGGGCCCAUAUGUCAGUUAAUGGAGGACAGAGGUGCGUAGGCAUAUUUGCGGAAGCGUGCUCUACUGGCAAACAUGAUGGCAGUACUGGGUAAGGCUGAUUUAGUAACAACAACACGCUGGUUCGGCUUAUUAAUUACGUGUCCCAUCUGCUGCAGAGUGUAUUGUCACUUCACUGCGAAGACUAGUUGAAUAGUUCUCUCUGACCGAGAUGGGGAAUAGUGGAUCGCGAGGACUUCCUUUCUACAGUAUCCCUAUGCCUCUACGCUCACUUCACUCAUUUUGCUCCGUACCUAGUCACUUGUUGAAAUAUGUAGAAAGACAAAUACUCCAUAUUUGGGAACAGAGGGAGGCUUUUACUCCGUACUAUUUGGGAACAGAGGGAGUAUCACCAUAUGGAGGGAACAGAGGAAGCUUGAAAUAUGAACAUGUCAAUGGGAGGGAGUAAGCCCCAUGCAUGCAUGCAUGCAUGCAACAUGCAACACUCACACGUACACAUGGACGCACGCAACACUCACGCACCCAUGCGGCACACAGCACACGACGCAACACACACGCUCACGCUCAAGUGCUCAACCUACUCCCUACGUCCGUGAAAGACUGUACAUUUAGAGAUUUACACAUUGAUCAGGGCAUAAUUAACGCCCAAAAGUAGCAGACUUAUGUGUGCAUGCGAGCAUUGAGAUAAGAAGAUUAAAUGAAGGCCGUUGCAUGCUGUAAUUAAGGAUAGACAUGUAGCCUAUACCUACAGCACAAGUUGGUGCAUUAGUCAAUCAAUAUCGAUUUAGAUUAAAGGCUAAAUGCAUUGGAAGUGUAGAUGUACAUCAUGUACUACACUCUUUGUUUUAUAGCCGAUGUACACUCUUUGUUGGAAGACCGAGGGAGGACACGUGCAUGCACUCACAUACACAGCCAGGGCAGUUUGGGCGCAAGGGUUGGACUCGUGUCGCGCCUGUCUCUGCCAACUGACAGGUGGGAACCAGAAACCAGGUGACAAUUUAACCAGUCAACAAAGUGGCACGUCGACUAUGUGGCCGGUCAGUAGGGUGCAAUACGGUGCUCUACGAUGAGCUAGUGAUCGUAUAAUCGACUUAAAACUAUAUAUAGUGACCGUAAAGAGCGUAUUGUUACAUACAUUGACCGCCAGUGUAUUUUUCUCGUUUAAAAUUAAGCCAUAUUAAUCGGAAAGGACGCAGUAUGGACUACUACUAGUACUAGUACUACUUUGAUGUGUCCCGUCAACUCGCCGAACGAGGAGAAGCUUGCUUACUACGCCUCUCCCUCGCCCACGCGCGCGGUGGUUCGUAGGACGAGGAGUGGGUUUUGACUACAGCGCCCUCUCCCUCUCCCUCUCCCUCUCCCUCUCCCUCACCCUCGCGGUGGACGUGCAUCAGUUCAAUCGGUGUCAGAUUGCCAGAAGCAUAUUGUACUGUAGUAUCAUCAUUGUUGGACCUUCCGAAGAGGCGAAGAGCCAAGUGCAAGGUUCACACGAGUACGAAUUGUUGAACCUCCCAAAGAGGCAAAGAGCCAAGCGCAAGGUUUUAUAGGAGUUGUCGUACUAGUAGGAGUGUACUACAACUAUAGUGAACGAUGCUACUGUAUGAUGCUGCCACGUCACGUAUAUCCAAAGCUGUGCCACCUUUUUUUCUCAAAGAGCGUGUUGGAGCCAGUGCAACAACCACACAAGUUGCACGUACACAUAACACAUUUACUAGUAAUAAAUUCUAAAGGACAAAUGCCAGUAUGCCACACAAGUUCAUCCCCAAUUCAUGUGAUAAAUUUGUGCACGACUAGUCUACAUAUAUUCACAGUGCUACCGUUCACAAUUACCGUACUCCACUUACAUGUUAUAGAUGGGCUACAUGCAUGUCCUCCUCCAGGUUCCAGUCCCAGGUGUUCUUCAUGGAUGGCACGAUCCAUAGCGGUGGGCAACGAGAAUCAUUGUCGCAGCUUUCUAGUCCGGUUCCACACGAUGGAGACUCAUCCAAGCUGAAGCGGCAUAAAUCAGGGAUAGCGAGUCCCAGCAUGUCGUUCAUCCGGUGGUGCGCACUGAAGACACAACCAUGCUUCAUGAACGGCAGGCCUUCCGUGUCGUGCACGGAAGGUGGCAUCCGCUUCACAAUGGGGUAGCUGUCCCCGAUGAAAAGCGAGUAAUCUCCAAGAGUGUUCCUCGGCACCCACAUAGCAUCACGGGGGUCGAACUCGGCGCCGUUCAUCUGGUACAUGCAGCAUCCCAGAUCUGGACACAUGGUGACGUACAUAGUCAAGGUCCAUGCAUAAUAAUGUUGUGCUCAAAUAUGGCGGUCAGUAAUACUGUGCAGCAAAUAGUACUACUCCGGUAUAGAGGAAGUAAAAUAACCGGCUUAUUAUAUAUAGCCACUCUUGGCUACAUGGAUGAGAUAGUAAGACAUGGAAAAACAAAAAUGGUGGCAGCUAGUGGGUUCAAGUCUUCAAGGGCCUAGCUAGCUAUACACUUCCUCCAAGGUAAAAAGUACUCCUACUAGUACUACUAAGUAUACUACUAGUACAACAAUGAAAGAGAAGGCGAGAGGGUUAAAAAUGGAAUACCUGGGUAGAUGGUGACGGUCCGAUCGUGGUAGAUUGUGUGACCAUGUUGCACAUCAGUGGUACCAUGGGUAACGACUGCUAAGAUAGUUGAUCCCAAUAUGCCAAAGUCAGCUACAAGGUUCCAGGUUAGACCGAAUCGCAGAUGCAAAUGCACAUCCAGGAUUGGCGAUCUUAUUUUGAUUGGGGGAUGACUGGUCCCUGCAAAAUAAUGGAGUACUGUUAGGGAUUCAAAUGAUGGUUUGUGCAUUCUGUUUGUAAUCUCCCGUACCGUAGGAUGGCAACAGAUGAAACAAGUCCCCUGGCUUGUCACCGCGAAGAUGCGGCCUAGAUGGCGCACGACGUCUUCGAACGUGUAGGGGUACAAAUCUGCCGCCGCCAACAUGUGCCAGCCUCUGCUGUUACUGCGUCUUGCAUUGAUGGCAAUCCUUAUGUCGAACACCGCGAUGAGAUAGUAAUCGUCGUAGCCGCGUCACUUUGUCGGCGGGUCCGCAAUUGCUAUCUUCUUCAAUCUCAUGUAGGCAUCACCAUACGUAUUCAAGCCCAGCCAGUCCGGAAGCCCGAACCCAAUGGUGGAGAAGGGGUCUACCGGAACGGCCGCACUGCUGUGGAUGUUGUGCAAAAUGAUGGUGGUAUCCGGCCGGAGGUAUGCAAGCCAAUCUUCGUUGGCACCGACCCAGACCUAUAUAUAAGACGGUGGGCAGCGGAGAAAUUACGGGAUGGAAAUGGAAUAACUAAGUACUCCCUCCUUUCCGGUUUAUAGGGCUUAUCUCAAAAUUUUAGUUUUUCCAUUUUAUAAGGCUCAAUUUGGUUGUUUCCCAUCACAUGUUCAGAUUCCAAGGUGCAUUAAAUCAUUGCAUGCAAGUAUUUACAGAAAAUUGACCAAUGCAUGUACUUUAUGCAUGCAUGCAUUGCAAUUAAUGCAUUGAUAAACAUAAUUUUUUGAGGAAAACAAGAGCAUUAAUUAGGUGCUUUUGCAAACUACAAAAAGUAUUCCACCACUCACCAUCUACCUUGGUUGGUGAGAUUUUUGAAUUGAGCCCUAUAAACCGAAAAGGAGGGAGUACUACAUGAUCAAACUCCAUUACUGACCUGCUCAUCGGACAAAAUCCGACUACCUCUCAACGUCGGCAACUCUAGCGGAGUCAACGUGCAACCAUGGCCAGGGAGCGGUGGACUGUUCGAAGGAUUGUCCCAUAGAAGAACCUUCUCCUCGAGGACGCAUGGAAGACCAACAAGCAUGGCCUUUUCCCAAGCCUGUUUAAGCAGCGUCUUGAAAAAGUUGGUGCAGGAAGCACCGAGUCUUGCGGCGGUGAGGACGUCGGAGCGGCGUGCGAUUUCUCCCAGAGGAUCGUCGUCCAAGGUCUCCCAGCCCCGACGAGGAGGAGAACCGCCUGGCGAAUCCAUGGGAGCAGCGACGAACUGCCUUCUCUUCGGGGGGAGGGGAACUGGCGAGGAGGAGAUAAGAGCGUAGUAACCGCAGGGCCUCGUCCCUUCCAACUGUAGAUCGUUCCUCAGCGAAGGGGUGAGGCUAUUAUUUACUACUAGUACUAGCAUUAUGGAACAUUAUGGAAUUGCAUUAUACUGUAAAUAAUAGCACUAGUAAGAAAAUUUUGGCACUAGGUAGUAGUUUUUGGCGUGGAUUAAGAAAUUUUGGGUAUGUUUUUGCCAUUUUUUGUACACACCAACUAGUGUCAAAAAAACGUCUUACAUUAUGUGACGGAGGAGUACGUACUCGUACAGUAGCAGUACUAGUACUACUUUUCUCAACUAGUAGUGCGAUGUACUGUACUUCUAGUCUAGUCUAGUAUAGUGCACCAGUUUUGAACUCUUGAAUCUCAGGGCCAAGGAGCUAUAGUUGGAAGUGGAGGGUACUACUGUUCUCUAGAACCAUCUCUGUACUAUCAAUGCAGGGGAAGUACACCUGCGUAGUGGCCUAGUGGGUACUCUCGGUGCUCUAUUCAGCCGCUCCUCUCACGUAGCUGGCCUACUCAGCCGCUCCUCUCACGCACACACUAGCAGCCUGUUUAUCAGCGACGGUUACUGCGGGGGCAAAACAUUUGAGUUAUUUGAUACAGCGAGACUAGGCUUUUCGCUUCCAUUUUUGGAGGUGUAAUGGAUCUUGUCGAACUUUGUUAGUAGUUCCUUCUUUAUGAAUGAGAUGAAGCAAAGCUUUUGCCUCCAUUUAAAAAAACACGUCAAGAGGAAUUUCUUUUAUAGUAGAGCCGAUAAUGGAGUGAAGUCCAUGCGUGCAAUGCCACAAGCUACAGAGUAGUAGUAGAGCACUUUACGUACAAAGACAUAUUGCACAGUUCCCAAUGCCCCGCCAGGUUUUUCCGGCUCCUCGGGCUUAAUUGGGAGGCGCUAGUUUAAAUAUGCUACUAGCUGAUGAGGAAGCUGUAAGCGAGGUGCGGCUAGGGCGAGCACGCGAGCCACGGGAUGCUAGGAAGGAAAACCCGUUCACGUGGCUAGGCUGUCCAGUGCACCCAGAUUGUGGGGCCGCACGUCCGUUUGACUUGAAAACUCAAACUACCCGUGUAAAAUAUUGGCUCGCAGCGAAGUGUAGUAGUACUAUUUUAAAAAAAGGCCGUCGUGCGUUCGGCCGGGAUCGAACCCACAAAACGAGGUAUACACUCCCGCGACCACUAGUAGUACUCGUUGGAGUACAACGCAACCUAGAAUCGCCUUUUGUCGCUAGUAGUACGUACAUUGGUCCUUACAAGAAACCCUAAUAAUGCAAGAAACCACUAAAAUGCCAAGAAACUACUACCACUUGCAUACGUGGUAGACUUAAGAUAAGACUACCUUAUCGACCAUUGUACAUGCUCUUACCAACAAAAAUCCUCGAGUGACCUCCUACCUCCGGCCCGUCCACCUAGUCAUCCUCGGCCAUGGGACGCAGCUACCGCCGCCGGCAGAAGGCCAGGUCAAAACCGCCGGCGGUGCGGAGCCCAUGUUGCGGCAGCCUGAAUGCCCGCUCCGUCCGGCGCUCGCGGCCGCUAGCUAGCCAAGGUAGCUCCGUCCAGCUGCUUGUCUGCAAGGUUUGCUAGCUAGAUUGGCACGGCAGCGCGGCGGCUUGCUCGCGCGCGCCGCGCUCAGGCCAGCCAUCUGGCUCGAGCGAAGGCCAGCGCGGCGGCUUGCUCGCUCGUGAGUCACGCUCGGGCCAGCCUGCCAACCCGUGCGGAGGCCAGCGCGGCGUCCGGCCCGUCCGGCGGAGCGGCGGCCAACUCGCUCAUCACCGGCGUCACCGACGAACACGCAUCAGUACUGUUUGAAGUAAUGUUCAGGAAAAAUAAUGAUUUGAGGGGAAAUAACAGGAUAGAAGGUCAGAUGUGCGUCCCUCGUGUCAACGGUCAAACAAAAUUGAUUGGUUUAAGCUGCCUCAUCAGCACGGACGUGUGGGCCAACCCUGUCAUAAAUGGGUUUAAACGAACCUAAUCGGUAGGAGUACUAGGUAGUAGUUUUUGGCGUGGAUUAAGAAAUUUUGGGUAUGUUUUUGCUAUUUUUUGUACAAUAGAUUCUUCCUAGGGCUGGUUGAAAGUGGUAGUUUUUUGUUAAAUACUCUACAUAUUGUAAGUAGGAGUGAAAGUUAAGCUUUAGAAGCCAAUAAGCAAGGCUAGUUACAUAGUGCAUAUGUGUACAUUAUUGAAAGUAAAUAUCAACCAUCAGUGACUAAUAUCUUGAUGGAAAACUCGAAACUAUGGAAUACUAGGGAAAAAAUGCAUGGUUGGAAAUACUAGCAAUGUUCAUGUCCGUUGCAACGAAUCAUAAGUAGAAUAAUACUUAUUCACAAACUUGGUUCAAAACACUCUAAUUUUGAUAUACAUAUGUCACUAGAGAUAUAUUGUGUUUCAAUUAGAAUAAAUUCCUUGGGCUGUUUUGGUGAGGUCAGGGAGGGAUGUGGUUGGUUUUAAGAUACUAAUUAUGGGUUUUUUCUGCAAAUUGGUAGACAAGUGGGAUGUUGGUGAGAAAAGGCAACAACUUACCUCACAAUCGUUAGAUGUAGAUCUAAUGGUCAGAAACGACGGAUGGCAGACACACCAGCAUCACCAACAUAGUCUUGUGUAGGAGUACUAGCAAGAUCCAUGCAUUGCAUGGAACAUCAAGAUGCAUUUUUUUAUAAAACACUUGUUGUGAUUGACCCUUGCGGGAGUAAUCCCAUGUGUAAAAACUAAUGAUAUCUCGAGAAAUAUGAGAUAAGGUGAAGAGGAGUGGGGUGUGGUGGUGGUUAGUGGUCGGACUGAGCGGAGGCAUGGGGAUUGACGACGCCGGCAGCGGCCACCAGGCCAGUUUGUUCCAGAGGCUUCCUUUCUUAAUUGCUCAACAAUGAGGUUUGUUGGAGAUAAGGAUGAACGAGGGAAGGCCUUGUCUGCAAAUGUGGAGAGGGGUGCGGGUAUCUUUUAGUUUAAUUUCCAUCCGUCAGAUAUAGAUCGGACGGUCUAUAUUGCAAGAUGGCACACGUACCAUCAUCACCAACUCGGUUUUUUAUAAGAGAAGAAAUAUAAGUAUGGAGAUACAAACGUAUUAUCGAUACUUGCUUCCGUAAACUAGCAUCUACAUUCUAUUCAAUGCCUCGGCAUGUGGGGCCUUAGCACAAUGACCUCUCGACUGUGUGAAACAAAGAUUUUCGCGUCGCCGACAAGGAGGGGGUAACGGCAGCGUGCUUUUUGGCUUGCUCUAGUCCUAGUAGUCAUACUAGGUGGUCUAAGCACGUGUAGAUUUAUUCUUUUUCACGUCUCGUGUUCGCCGUACUGCCACGACUGUUGAUGAAUAGACGGUAAGUUAUUCACAGGGAAACCCUUGUUGAGCGUGUUUGCGAGAGAGAGAGAGAGAGAGACAGUGUGCAUGUGUGAUAUGUUAGAGACUGAGGCAGUGAUAACCGAUUCUUUGUGUCUAUGUGUGUGGAGGAUAGAGAGAGACAUGUACAUGGGGCUUUGUGUUGUGUAACAUGGAGACACAUAUACAUAAUUAGAGAGUGAGUGUGUGAGAUACACAUGCGAACAUGGGGAGAGAUGAGGAUCCAGAUAAAUGGGUGUUUGUGCGUGUCUGUGUGUGUUUGUGCACGCGUUUGUGUGUGAUAGGGAGAGAGUGUAUGUGGAGUAGAGAGACCACUGAUGAUGUAAACCUACUAUAUGGGAAGGGGGAAUGGUGUGACAUGUGUAGUAGCGAGAUAGCACGGGUGCGGGCGGGGGGAGCAGACUAUUUGGAAGAGACAUCGAGUGUGUGUGUGGGAGAGGGGUGGGAGAGCGAGAGAAAGAGAGAGCUAGCGAUGGAGAGAGACAGAGAGAGAGAGGAAGAGAGGGGGUGAGAGGGGUCGUUUGUGUCCAUAAAUGGCAUAUAGAUAGGGAGACAAUGUUGAUGUUGUCUGAAAUUGGCCUAUGAACGGAGACGCAAGGGAAGCGAGUCAUCGUGUGUGUGAUAGGGACUUCAUGAGAGAUCUAGAAUAGAUGGUGUAGAGAACAAUGUGCGAAAUCGAGAACGAUUAUACAUUAGGGAGCUAUGCAAAGAGUCACGACAUAUAUGUAUACGGGGAAGGAGCUGGGGCGGGUCCGCAUGUGGGAGAGAUAGAAAGAGGAGAGUGGUGCACAAGGAGACAAAGUGUGCUUGUUUGCAGUGGGGGUGGUGUGUGAGGUGAGUGCGCGAGAACCACAUAACUAGGGAGAUAGACGUUUGGGGGCGACGUUUUGUGUGUAUGGGAAAUAUACACUCUACAUAGUGCGUGUGCUUGGGUAAGAGAGAUAGCGGGAGACCUAGAGAGUGAGGGAAGAGAUGUGUGCAUGCCCGAGAGACAAAGUGAUAGAGACCUAUGUUGGGGUCCGGACUUUACAAGNNNNNNNNNNNNNNNNNNNNNNNNNNNNNNNNNNNNNNNNNNNNNNNNNNNNNNNNNNNNNNNNNNNNNNNNNNNNNNNNNNNNNNNNNNNNNNNNNNNNNNNNNNNNNNNNNNNNNNNNNNNNNNNNNNNNNNNNNNNNNNNNNNNNNNNNNNNNNNNNNNNNNNNNNNNNNNNNNNNNNNNNNNNNUAAAGAGUGAGGUGUCUAUAUUUGAGGGACUUUAGCGUAAUUGAGAUAUUGUGCACUCAUGGUUGAUCAAUUUGUUUCACAGUUUGUGCUAUGAGAUAACGAUACUUUUGAACAUGAGUGGUAUACCUUGAUGUACCAGAAUUACAAACCUAAGAUUGGAACUUUGGAAUUCGACUCCAUCAUUAGCUUUUGUAAUUCAUUUAAACGGAGGUACAUUUUUUAAGCCGGGAUUUCGUGAUUUCAAAUUCAUAUAUCAAAACCUAGAGAUAUACACAUACGGGCAUGUUCAAACUUUAUGAUCAUCCACUUUAUUCAUACACAUACACAUUUUUUGCUUUAUCAUCAUAUUUAGGAUAAACACAUUUGGAAUUUCAUUUGAAUUGGACCGUAUGAUGGUAUUUGCUUGUAGUAGCUCAAUGAUCCAUAUUUGAAUUGAAUGGAUAAUCUAAGUUUCGAGUUGGAGACAUUGAUUUUCAAAACUUGCACCUUUUUUUUGCGUGCAAAACAAACAAAUUGUCGGCCAUGAUAUCAUAGUCAGCCGUACGAGAGCAGAAUACUUAUAAUUUUAGGCGCCAAAAGCUUUCAAACUUCCCGCUCACAUCGAAAUAUCACGCGCCCGAAAGUUUAGCCCUGCGAUAUUCCUGUUUUACCCCUGCCACAUGAACGGAAAAGGGCUGCUUUGGUAACUCCAUUGUUUUCCCCUCUUUGCCCCCAACAUUCUUCCCCAGAGCCCCUCCCCUUCCCCUCCCCGACCCCCGAACCACGGCAAGCCGCCGAAUCUAGUCCUCCGCCGCAGCGGUGGACCUCACACCCCGCCGGAUCUACCUUCCGCACCUUGGAACCCCCAACUGCCAACUCACCACUUCACCGGAGCCGCUUCAGCGACUGGCUUGUCCACCGCUCCAGAUCUCCUUGACCGCCAUCAUGGUCCACCGCACCGGAUCUGCUUAACCGGCGCCCUCGUCCACCACAGCGUAGGCCCUUCACUGACUCCCUCGUCCGCCCCUUCGCUGGCCCUUCAUACAAGCCCUCGUCCGCGGCAACAGAUCCGCCUCACCGAAAGCACUGUACAACGCGCCCGCCGAAGCCUUCGUCCACUGCACCGGACCCGCUCCACGGGCGCCAUAUUCAACUCCACCGGCCCUGCUUUACCGACGCCGCAGCCUCAUCAGGUUAUUUCGAUUUGUACUCCUUUGGUUUUUCUCUUUAUCGUGCAACUGUUCACUUACCACAGAUGAGCUUUCUUGUAUGUCGACAGGCGUCGCAACCGUAGCACCGGAGCCGCUUCAGCGACGGCGACAGCCGGCCCAAACUCAACCGCAACACGAGCACCAUCGACGAUCCUUAGCUAUCAAGUAUGACAACGAUACCCAUACGCCGCCGAGAAUCAGGUACUAUUAUCCAACGGCCGGCGCCUACGUUCACUUUCCUAGCAUAAGCACCGCACCUUUGAAUUUCUUCAGGGCAUCAUUCAGUUUUUCAUGAGACGCGUUAUUCUGCUUGCACCUGUAGGGCCAUACUUCUGGCAGUGAACAUGUUACAUGUGCUAAAUUACAUACCAGUGCACAUAUAGUUAAUAUGCUUUAGUAUUGUUCUGAUGCCACCUGUUGGUUCCAUCAGACUGCUUAAUGUUCUCUAUGCUUAAUUACACAUCGGUAAACUAGCAUGUGGUUCCGCUGCUUUUUGUUCGUCUUACCCUACAUUUUCUGAUGCUAGCUAUUACAUCACUGCUCCGAGCCUCUGUUCAUUACUUGUUUGUGUGUUCUUGAUCUUCCCAAGUUGCAUGACUAAUUUGAUGCUUCUAUUAAUUAUGGAGCUGCCAACCCCAUCAAGCAAAAUAUUUGUUCUUUUGGGGCUGACACCUCAAACAAGCAUAAAAAUAGAGGGAAGCAGAUAUAUUGUCGUGUAUGCACACACCCUUCUUUCAUUAGUUUAGAUGAACCAUUGAUGAUCAAUUCGGACCAGUGCAUGCGAUUAAAAUUAAUUUUACCUAAAUAGAUGGUGCAGAAUAAACUACAACAACUAGAUUUGCAACCAUGUGAUGCUGACGAUAUCUUCAAAGAACAUUGCAAUAGCAGCUAGGCUUCACAGCAACAUAUGGUAAGCCAGUGUGUUUUAGUACAUGUGAAAUGUAAUGCGAGUGCGAUGCUUUCUUGGCUUGUGCCCUCAACGUGUAAUCCUACCGAAUUACAAAUAGUUCAGUUGUCUGCUUUGCUGUAUUGCUUGAUUCGAAUGCUUGUUUGUUGUUACGCUAUACCUGAGUUGGCCAAUAUGUCAGCAGUGCCUGCUGUACUAUCGUAAAGAAAUGCAUGCCUAUUUCAUUUGAGUCCUUAACUUUUCCUCUCAACUUCAUCACAAGAUUGUCUUCGUAGUUUAUAUGAGGCCACACUUUUAAGUGCUUUCUCAGAUUAUUUCAACUGCUUAGAUGCCUUGGAAACUUAAAUAUAGCGGUUGUACACUCCCUUUCAACUAGGGAUGUCAACUGGGUCCCAUUUAAUCCCGAUUAAAGUCCACUAGUGGUAUGAUAGUUCAAAAGAGUUUUUGUUUUUUGAGGAAAAUGAACUAGGGAGGUAGCAAAAACUAACUAGAUGGGACUGGCGGAUGUCGUUUAUUUGCCACUUACAUCCCUAGUUUCAUCUUACCAUUUUAAUUUCUUUUCGGCUGAUGCUGCUUCGAACCAUUUAAAUAUAGUUUGCCAUGCUCGGCAAUAAUUCGUCCGUCGUUUACCAUGUAAGCUUACUGCCUGGAUCAUACGAUAACUAUCUCUUACUUAUGUCCAGCGGAAACCUUUCAGGAUGCCGUUCACACUAGGACACAAUGUACAACCCCAGAAUCUAUUUGUGGAAGCAGUGCGCUAUCCAUGUUACCAGAUGGUAGCAGUUCAGAGGCAACACCGUCGGAGAGCAGUCUGAGCAUAGAUAUUAUAGUGCUUGAGGCUCUACUAGAGGCAGAAAGAGAUGGUGUGGCUGCCAUGAAUGAGGUAAUCUUUAUCUUGAGGCUGGAAAUUACGGAAUUAGCGGCAUGCAUUAUGCAAGCAACCCAAGAAUUGGAGGAAGUAAGAAUGUUGCAUUUGAAGACGGAGGAGGUCCUGCUGUUUCUGCUAUCUGAAGCCCAAGGUAAUCCCAGUUCUUCUUUAGAUACUAGUUGAAAUUGUCAUUAGAUUAUUGUACUUGCAUGUUGUGUCAUGUCUCUGAAUGGAUUAUGUUGCAAGACCCCCUAUGUUGUCCAUGUGUUCUAAUGAUCCGAAUUUUUUAGGCGAGGUAAUCCUCAGUACUUGUAUGAUUGACAUAAGGUGAACUGUUUUCCGUGUGAGCAUAUUGUAUUGGAUGAAAUAACUGUUUGAAUCAGAGUGUAUCCAACCUACUGAAUUCGAAGAUCACGGCAUUUCUAAAUCAUAAUCAUAUAUAAAGGUGGAAUAAAUCUUUGUUGUGGUUUUGAAGAAAUAGAUAACAAAACGUAUAAUUAUCUGUGGAUAUUCGUAAUCGAAUACAAAUUGGAUUUGAAUUUAGUUUGCCAGGUCCCAGGGCAAACGUGAAUGCUAAUUCUCCCAAGUUUUGAACGAAGCGGCUAAACACCCACUAUAAUUUGUGGGCUGCCCGAAGCAAGUGUUUGCGAGAUGGAAAUUACUGUCUACCCCUGACACUUGACAUCCUUAUCGACUGGAUUUACGCUGCUGUCGAUAGGGGUAGACUAGUAACUUCAAUUAGACGUGACACGACGGCCUCUGAGCCCAUUCAGACACGGUGGGCGCCAAACGUGGGCGGCAAAACACAUUUGAUUCAAGCUCGUCCAAAAGACAUGUGUCUCUUCCUCCAUUUCCCCAUUCAUACACGGUGGGCGACAAAACAAACUCUCCUCGCCCGAAAUCGAUGUAGGCUAAUAUUUUAAAUAGGGGCAGAUGUGUAACUUCCAUCAGACGUGACACAACCGCCCUACCUGUUAGCCCCGUUCAUACACCGUGGGCGCCAACCGUGGGCGGCAAAACACCCUCUCCUCGCCCGAAAUAGUUACCGGCAAAUAUUUGGGAGAUGCGAGAUUACCGUCCUAUCCCCAACCGACGCGAUGUCCGAAAUUUUAAACGGGGGAUAAGGUAACUUUCCCCCAUUUCAGAGAAGCGCAUCCCAAAGUUUGAGAUCCCCCCUCCCCUCCAUUUCCCCAUUCAUACACCGUCGGCGGCAUGACAACCUCCACACUGCGGCCAGCCUCCUCCGUCCGCCACCCCAUCCUCCACCUUGCCGGAGCCGCUACCCCUACCCCGUCGUCCACUGCGAGAGAUGGACGUCUCUCAUCCACGGCGCUGGACCAGGAUCCUUUCAUCGUCUCCUCUCGCUUCAUCGGCGCCGUCGUCCACCUUGCCAUUGCUGCUCCUACGACCGCCUCGUCCACGGCAACAGGAUAUAUCCCCCGACCCGGCCGUCUGCCGUCUAAAGUCUUCUUCCCCGCCGCCGAUAGCCAUCGCACCCGCAGCACCCUCAACGUAUCAGCAUAGGCCUACACGGCGUCGCAAGAGAGGUGGUACUCUUCCAUAUGUGCUUAAGUUAUUGAUCUCACCCGAAAAAUAGAUCGUAAUUUGUUUACUGUACUUUUCUUAUCCGUACCAAAUCGUAGUGGCUAGUUGAAAGCAAACAUUGGUUGCGAAGUAGCUUUGUCCGGUUUGCACCUUCAGAUCCGCCAUGGCACGGGCACUAUACUCGUAAAGCUUAUGGUUUCCCCCCUUUAUAUUCACUACCAUCAUCAUAGGUGCUUCGUGUCGUGCUAGCACUGCUCCUCAAGACCUCAACCCAAAGCUUACGUGUUGAAAUACGAAUCUGAUAUGAUGCUCAUAUCACUAAAAUAGAGAAUGUUUAAUUGGUCACCUAAUGUUCCUAUAUUCGUUUCGAAAAGCAUGUGCGCCACCCACUGGUCCAGCUAGUUCCACUUUCCUGAUUUUUCUCUUGAUGCUUAGGGUUUUCCCCUUUUAUCUACUCUACUAUGAUCUGCGUAGGUGCUUUCUGUCUUACUAGCAUUACUCCACCCUUCAAGCUAAACAACACAACACUCAGAAUUCGAAAGCUUAGUUGUUCAAAUAUGAUUGUGAUAUGAUACUGAUAUUAGUUAACCGACACAUUUAAUUGGUUAACUAAAGGUCCCACUUGAGUUUCCAAAUGCAUGUCGCGACAUAUAGAGAGACAGCAUAAUUGCAUUUCUUUGUCACUUGUUGACCGUACUUUCUUGUCCAUACCAAAUCUUAGUUGUUAUUUCAAAGCAAACAUCGGUUGCUAACUACCCUUUGCGCGGUUCGCAACUUCAGAUCUGCCAUCCCAAUGCCACGGUCAACACUGUACUCAUCAUGCUUAUGUUUUCCCCAUUUUAUGAUGACCACAAUCAGCCUAUGUGGUUCGUGUCGUAAUAGCACUGCUCCACCCAUCGAGCUAAACAAGCUUAGUUGUACAAAUUCAUAUAUGAUAUUAUUGCUGAUAUUAGUAAAACUGAGAGAUGUUUAAUUGGUGAGCUAAAUGUUCCUACUUUAGUUUCGAAAUGCAUGUGAGCCACAUAUGGAGAGACCGGAAAGAAUAGUAUUUCUCUGUGCGCUCUGGUUCAUCAUGGGUGGCCAACCGACAUUGUAUUGAAAGACUUGUAAUAUCUUCAAUCUGCUUGCUCUUCUGCUCUUCUUUAAGAUGAUACUCUUCUCUUGCGGUCGACUGGUCAGGUCGAGUUGUUCUCCCUUAGUAUAUUUUGAAUCUGUCAGGUCAGGUCGACUUGUUCUUCUUUACUAUAUGUUGAAGCUAUCAUCUACGAAGUGUCAUCACUUCUGGAGCUCUCAUAUUUUGAGUAGUAGGCCACAUUAUAUUAAUGCACACAACAAAUUGCAGCAUGCAUGACAUCUUCUAAAAGAAUUGCAGAGAUAGCACAAAGGGGUUUACAGGGAGGCAGUAUUGGAUUAGAAUCACUUCUGCAUUACAAAGAAAAUCUCACUUAUUUUUAUGUUUUCAUGCAUGUUAGAUAUUGAACAUUAUCAAAAUGAAUAUGAGAAUGGGCGCACGAGAGGAAUAUUGCGGAACGAUCCACUGGCUAACAAACUUGGCAUGGUGGAGGAUGACCUAUCUUAUUCACCCAUCAAGGUGCUUGCUCUAACUUUGCAAAGUUGUAUUGGUCGCACAUAUUUUGCAUCUGACCUCUUGCAUUACUUCUACUUUGUUACACCAUCUGCUUAGUUUAAGCAUCAUAUAUGAUUAUAUGCCAUACCUAUCCAUUUUCUGUACCUAUUCCAUGUGUCGUCACACUAUGUUUUUCCAGUCAAAUGUUGUUCUUUCGUAAUAGAUGUCCAAAAGGAAGAGGGUGAGUGCAGAUCCUCAAGGAGUACAAACUAGGUAUUUGGAAAAGGUAGUGGUACCUGUUAAAUCAGAUAGAUCAGCAGCCACAGAAAGCACAGGCCCAACUGUACCACACUUUACCCCUACUCCAGUGGCCAAACCCCUAUUAGAACUGCUGGGAGCCCAGCGUCAGGUACUGUCUAUGAUAUCAAUUCAAAAUGUGAACUCCUAAAUUUCUGCUUGUGCCUUACCUUCUCUCUUGUAUGAAAACUAAUUUCAGAUGAAUCUCCUUUCUCAAAGGAUCAUACGAUCUCAAAACAGUAAUGGGCUCUGCAUUGCUCUUCUCAGUACCUCUCUCCCUUUUGCCUUGUAACGAUGUACUUAAUUAAUUGCUAUUUGAUUAUGUAUCAUCAGUCUGCACCUGAGCUUCAUUAUCCUCUGUUUCUUCCAAUAUUAUUUGAUCUAUAUUUACUCUUUGCAAAAUGUAGAAUAAUGACAACGCUUAUAAAGAAUUUUCUUUGGGGAAUUUAUUGAAUUAUCCUUCCAUCAACAUGGAGAAGGGCUUUGUCCAGCCCGUGUUAACAUGUAAUGUAAGUUCAUCCUUCUCAAGCCUUCAAACUUUGUUCUAGUAUAGAUUUGGAUAGGCAUCAUUUCCUCCACUGCUAUUUGCUUUGCUGUUUACAUCUGAUUGGAUGUUUGCAACAACUACCAGUUUCAAAUUGUAGUUGCAUAAACAUGUUCCUUAUGCAGAACAGAUCCAUUUAUUUGCUUAUAUAAUUGUGAAACCUGUUACGUGUCUCCUUGUUUCUCUUUCAGAAUCGUAUCUCUUACGCCAGGCAGAACUUUAGGGAAGAUAGUGAGCCAAACCAUCUUGAGGACAGCGAGAUGACCCCAAGGUCCUGUCUUGAUGAAGACAGUGAGUUGAAGCUACUCACCAGCAGGUGUGAGACAACCUCUGUGCAGUCGCUGCCUCAAUCAGUUUGACUUCUUCAGUCUCAACUUAAAGCGGAAAGGCUUGCAUCAGCUCAGCUCCAACUUGAAGUCAAAGAUGCAAUGAAGAUGUCAGAGGACUGCCGUGCGCACCAUCAUGCCUUAAAUCUAGUGUUGAUGCAUCUAUCGUUGACACAACUGAGGUCUACUCAGCUUCUUCAGCUAUUUGGGGGGCCCGACCUGGCCAGGCCUAGUGCCUUCUGAAGUGCUCUCAGUUUUGUAUAUUCUUUUGUCGGCGCGUUUAUUUGCACUGGUGGCGAACUUUGAUGCCCAGUGGAUGUAAUAUGUGAUAGCCGUGAUAGCCUAGCGUAAGUUGCUUGCUUAUUUAUUCCUUGUUGUCUCAUUUAUUUGUUUGCUUGUAGUCAUUGUAGUUCUUUUUCCGCGGUUUGCUAGUGGCUGCAAUAACCUAUUUUUUAAAACUAGGCUACAAUAACCAUGGGCUAAUAUUUACUAUAGUGACACUGCGCCUCCUAUGGGCCGUAGAAACAGUGGGCCUUCUACGGGCCGUAGAAACAGUGGGCCUUCUACGGGCCGUAGAAACAAUGGGCCUUCUACGGGCCGUAGAAACAAUGGGCCUUCUACGGGCCGUAUCAUCAAUGGGCCUUAUACGGGUAGUAUGAUAACGUGGGCCAAUAACAGGCCGCAUUAUGGCCGUAAACGGGCUAGAGUUGGAAUCGUCCGUUCAUGGGCUGUGACACCCAAAAAAUUUAUUUGGCUUUUUCAAACUUUUAUUUGAUUUGAGGGAUGUUAUUUAAAAUUUUCUUCUAAAGAACUCUCCCUCUCAAAAAAUUUCUUUUAUGACAAGUGUUUUGUUUGGAUUCACCCAAGACUUGAUUUUUGGUCUUGGAGGUUUUUCCAUCUUAUGUGGACUCAACACCAAAUGUUUUUCAUUUGGGAAAUUAAGCUUUUGAAAAUCUUUUAAAUAGCCCUAUGGCAUUUGGAGUGAUCUUUUCCCCUUUUCAAAAUCUCCUCUUGCCAUGACCUAAGUGGAAAUCCCCUCCCAAAAGCCAUUCCCCAUCUUUGUGUCAAGAUAUACUUCAAAUCCAGCAAGUUGAAUUCCCCCAUCUUUUUGUUUCCAUUUAUUUCUUACCAAAAAUAUUUUCUGCCUUCUAUUUUGAUCCUUGGAGGUUUACAAAGGAACUACCAUUUCUACUUUGAGUUUGGCCUCCAAACAAAUUUCCCUGGCUAGUCCUUAGAUCCCUCAACCAAGAUCCAUGAAGAUGCACUGUUCUCCAGUUCAAAUAUUUCAAAUUAUACUUGCUGCAAGUUUGGACCAUUUUUGCCAAAUUUGAUGAAAUUCAUUUGAUUUCUCCUCCUAAAAAUCUGAGAAAAUUCGGGCAGCCUCUGGAUGCAGUGAGAGGUCAUCUCACCAAGUCCCAGCCCCAGAAUUUUUUUUCUUCAUGCCAAAUCAUUUCGUCGAAUACUUGAAGGGCACUGUUACUGUCAAGCUUAGAAGUUCAGUAAACAGUUUCAGGAACUGCUGUCGUUUUCUUCAGAACUCCUUCUCGAUCUUGCCAGUGGCCGCGGUGGCGCCGUGCGCCCUGUGCUUCCUUCUUAUCCCUGCGCCGCACGAUCGCCUGGAAGCUUGCGGGCGUCGGCGACGAGCAGGAGGAGGUGCGCCACCCCAUGAGCGACGGCAGCAGCGGCCUUUGCGGCUGCCAGAGAGGCGCAGCGUUGGACGGCGCCGUCCAGCGCCGCCCAAGCCACCAGAGGCCACCGCGUGGCCAUCCACUCACCCGUGCACGCUGCCGUCCGUCGUCGUGAACUGCUAGGCGCGGAGCGCGCUCCCUGCCGCCGUCGUACCCGUACGGCCGUUACGUCGAGGACCGGCGUAUUACACCGAGCCCGACCGAGGUUUAGCUGAGGAAUGGCACCAGUGACCCUCCCUGAUGAUGCCUAGCCUCCUAAACCCCCUGCACAACCUCUGCCUCGCCGUAAUCGCUCGCCGGAGCUAUCCCGUUCACGGCCACCCCCUCGGAUCGCCUAUAAAAGGAGGCCCCGAGCUCGAACUCGAACCCGCACCACCUCCACACACCACCAAUACCACGCCAAGCCACUGGAAGAGCCUCGAGGGAGUCUUCUUCCCCAACUCCGGCCGCCUCGACCUGCUUCGGGACCCAGCUCGAUUCACCCCCGUGCGUGCACCUCUACCUCUCAGCUCAUGCCUGUAGUCUCCUAGUGCAUCCACUCUUCUGACCCGCGCAUCAAUUUGGAGUUUUCAGCACCCACCGGAGUACUCCACCAUCGCCCGAACCACCGUCCGCCGGAGAAAGUGUCGCUGUCGACGUGGUGCUCUCCGACGGCCAAGUCCACCACCCACCGACGCGGAAGAACACCCUGAACCUCUUGGUACCCUCCGAUCUCUCUGCCUCGCCGGGGUUCAACGCCGGCGACCACCGCAGCCUUUGGGCGCCGGCGAGCUCCGUUGGAGUUUUUAAACCUGACGGGUGGGACCCCCCGUCAGCCUCUCUUCUUUUCCCCCCUCGAACCAUUUUCUGAUAGCGCCUUCGGGCAAAAAUGCGUUUUCUCUUUGGGCUGGCGUAUUUCCUACCGAACCGUUUUCUGUCUUCUCAAACAAGUCCCUGGUUCUUUUCUGUUUCAUCACAAAUUAGUCCUUGGACUAAAACCCUUAUAUCUUUUUAAUAAAAGAUGCUUUUUGAUUGAUUCUUCUUCUGUCAGUCUUGUGUUUUUGUAUAGCUUUUUAUAGUAUUUAUUUGGAAAUUUUUUGGAACAAUUUUUAUGCACGCAACUAUUUUCAUGUUAGUAUACGGUUUCGUCAUACCGUAGGUUCCGCAGGAGGUGACGGAGCCACGAACUUCGCCGAGCUAGACUCCGACUUCUCCAAACCAGGCAAGCAUGUUUGAACCUUUGAUAUGAUAGGUGUUUUGCAUGUUUGCUUGAAUGGUCUGUGCAUGGCAUAUGAGCAUCGGUGAGUAUUACGUUGCAUGCAAGGCAACUAUCCGUGUGUUUCGAAGUUACUGUGAUCUUUGAUGAGAGAUGACCUGAUCAUGUGGUGACAUGAAAGGUAGUAAGAUGGUAUUGUUGUAGCAUGCCGGUCUUACGUCAUCCGAUAAACUCCGACGUUAACGUGGACUGAGCCACGUUAUCGUUCUUCCCCUUUCGUGCUACCACAUGUUUUCUGCAAAGAAUACGGUUUAGUAAGUUGCUAACCUCUUUCCUUGUACACACCAAAUAGAGGGGCCGGGAUGAGGGUUCCAUGGCCCUGGAUUAAAGCCAGUCAUUCGGUCAGGGGGCAUGGGUGUUUCCGGUUGGGACCGAGAGGGGAGCACCCCUUAGAGCGCGCGGUAUAAAUUUGAUCCCAUGCUACACGAGGUUGUAGCCUCCCCGUCUCAAGGUUUUUCUUGAACGUUGCCGAGGGUGAUUCCUCGCAUCGGAGUGUUGAAUGGGUGUGUACUGGUUAGAUGUGUUUCUCCUAAAACACCAUAAACGGAACUAGUCCCUUGUGACUACUGAAAUCCGUUGGCUGUGGUUAAAUAGUACAAACUCUGCAGAGUCAAAUCCUUCCGAGUCAUCGUGCCCAUGGUCAAGGACCAUGGCCAGAUUGUCCAUAUCCAUGUCAGUCCCUAUGUCAGUCUCCGUGGUAAAUCCCCGGCGAACAGGUUUGAGUGGUAAACCCGGUCGAACGUUAUUCCUGUGGAUGGACUAACCCUGUUGUUUAUCUCGUACCUGAAUAUUCCCUUGAAAUGAUUUAAAUUCAUGAGCUACUGAAAUAUCAAGUUAUGAAAUAUAAGCCCUUUAUGUGAUGUCGCUCAGACGUCCGACUGUGGCACUCUUGUCAUUCACUUUUGAUAUAAGCCCUUUUUGUGAUGUCGCUCAGACGUCCGACUGUGGCACUCUUGUCAUUUACUUUUGAUAUAAGCCCUUUAUGUGAUGUCGCUCAGACGUCCGACUGUGGCACUCUUGUCAUUUACUUUUGAUAUAAGCCCUUUAUGUGAUGUCGCUCAGACGUCCGACUGUGGCACGCUCGUUAUUUACUUUCGAUAUAAGCCCUUUAGGUGAUGUCGCUCAGACGUCCGACUGUGGCACGCACUGUCAUUUAUAUUCUAUUAUAAGCCCUUUAUGUGGUGUCGCCUUGACGCCCGACUGCGGCAUUGUUAUUUCAUUUGUACCCUUCCGAGGAGUCAUUCAGACACUCGAUUGGCCUUCAGCGUUACUUUGGGAUUUCGGGAGGACUACCGCCCGACUUCCUUUUUAUUUCCCAUGCAUAGCUGUUUUAUUAUCUGAGUGCGCUUUAUUAAUCUGUUCAUAUGCAUCAUGUUUGCAUUUGUUAUAUCUUAUGUCCGAACUGUCUUGCGAGUACUUUCAUAAUACUCACCUGGCUUGUUGAUUUGGCCAGAUGUUGACGAAGGCGAUCUCAUGGAUGAAGAGUUUGAUAGUGAGUCCGACGCCUAGAGGAGUCCCAGUCAGUCCCGUGCGAUCCUGGAUAUUGGUCACUUGUAUUAUAUACGCUUCCGCCACCCGCAAUAAGUAUCCUCGAGCCUCACUCCGACGCUCGAAGGGCUGUUAGUAUUCAGGAGUCAUGUCACCCACUUCACUGUGACAUACCCACCACUGCUUUUAUUGUGAGUCAGUAGUAUGCCACCCUAUCCGCCUUUAUGUAUUAUUGGCGUGCUUGUAAUGAAUUGUUGAGCAGUCUCCGCUCAACCUUGUAUUAUGUUUAGUACUCCUGGUUUUUCUUCUGUGAUCAAGAAAUUGUCUACCAGUCAGAAGGAUUCUUCUCUACUGGUCCGUAAAAGGGAUCGGUUUCUCAAUAAAUAUUUUUAUUGGAAAACCGGUCGUGACAAGCUUGGUAGCAGAGCCAGGCUGACUGUAGGAAGCCACUAGGUGCGAUCACUAAUCGGUUAUUAGCAUUUUUAGUGCUUUUUCAGCAUUUUGCAAAUGUAGCUAUUUUCUGUUGGUCAUCAUAAAUUUAUGAUAUGACUACUCAGAAUUUUUGCCUACUUUUGUAGAUGGCUGGCAGCAACUGCGAGACUCGGGUAUUCACUAAUGUGCCCGAGGGGUUUGUCAAACUCCUCGUCUCCAUCACCAGGCUCGCGAUCGGGCCAGCGACUCGUCCGGAGUUCACGCUUUACCAGCACAAGCUCAGCGACGACGUGUCUAUGCACCAGGCCGUGGUGCAAUUCAAAGGACGACGUUCUGCAUCACGCCAUUUCCGUUUUCUGGGAAGGGCCAUGCCUACGGAGAGGCAUGCCAUGCAGAUGGCCGCCCGUGAGGCGAUAGCUCGCCUUCGGGACAUUCUUCCUUCGAUGAAGACUCGUCGCUACCGCUACCUCCCAUGCCAUGUGCCAUAUACUUGUCACCAUGCAUUCGCCUGCCAUAGGGGAGAGCGAGAUGAAGCUAUCGAGAUGCUUGUUGAGUAUCUCAAGGCUCUGGAGGCAGCUUUCGACGACCUCGUGGACGGUCUUGUGGCUGCCCGUAUGGACUUAGCUCGGGGAUAUUCUGCCAACAGGAUGGAGCUUCUCCAGAUGGCACCGCCACUGACGUUCGUCUCAUCCUCAGCGUCCUAUUCACCUACCAUUUUGGCCACCGCUCGCCGUCUGCCUACCACUGAGGAGUUCGACCAGGUCAUUGCUCCUACUCCAGUCAGAGCUGCACCGCCUGCCGCACCCACACUACCGCCAGUCGCACCCGCGCCAUCUCCCCAGUGCAGUGCUACGCGCCUGGAGCCUAUUAGGGAGGAGGUGGAGGUUGAGUCUCCUGCACCGCUGGGUCUUACCCUAGGCAAGGGGAAGGACAUCUUCACCAUCUCCGACUGAGUGCGCCUAGUUGCCGCGCGAUGUGUAUGCAUGUAUGAUAUGUUUUAUAUGUACUUAAAUUUGUAGUAGUUGUGUGCGCUUCAUUCCGGAGGAGUGUGCUAGCCUAAUAACAUGUCAGGAGUGUGUACGCACAUCCUGAGUGAUGUAUCGUAUGUUUGCGUAUCGCGUGUAAGAUAUGUGCUAAGCAGUCCUUCUCCGUGCGCAGUCAAAUAUUUUCUUGGAAAAUCGUGAGGUCUUUUAAAAUUUUUGUCUUUGCAAGAUUUUCCUUGUGCCACACAGUUCUUCUCAUGAUUUUUGCAAAAUAAUACCCCAGAGUGGAAAAUGUCUCGUCCGUGGACUCGUUCCAUGCCAAAUCCACCCGAAGAAAUUUAUGUAACACAGACAAGCAACAACUUCACACAGGGGCAGUCUAGUCAACAGGACAACGAGGCAGCCUUAUCUCAAGUAUGUCGCCUUUUCGAACAAAGCCAACAACAGCACCAGGAGAUGAUGAAUCACGUCAUCAAUAUGGGAAACCACCGUGAGCCAUACCAACCACACUCCAAGUUGUCUGAACUACAGAAGACACGCCCUCCAACGUUUGCUCACACUGAUAGACCACUUGAAGCCGAUGAUUGGCUUCGAGACAUCGAAAGAAAGUUGAUUAUUGCUCAAUGUUCAGAUCAUGAGAAGGUGCUUUAUGCACCUCACUACCUCACUGGAGCAGCUGCAGCAUGGUGGGAGAACUUCCUACACAUGCAUCCCAGUGAACAUAACAUCACCUGGGAAGAGUUUAAGGAAGGCUUUCGUGGGGCACACAUCCCCAGGAGCAUCAUAAAAAUCAAGAAAAGAGAAUUUGAUGACCUCAAGCAGAGAGGCAUGUCAGUGACAGAAUACAACAGUCAGUUUACCCAGCUAUCUCGUUAUGCCUACGAUGAGCAUAUGACUGAGAACAAAAGGAUGGAAAAAAAUUUGGACGGCCUGGCACCAUCACUAAAAUGCCAACUGGUCGUACACACUUUCCCAGAUUUCAAAACCCUGGUUGAUAAAGCCAUUACGUUGGAGAAUGAGCGCCGCAGUCUGGAGGAUAUUCGUAAGAAAAAAAGGGACAAGACGACCCUUGCUCGCAACAACCGGAGCAAGACUGAUGUUCAGAGAAAUGAAGCAAGAAAAUCCACGACUACUGCUCUAAGGCCAACCAGACAGUUUCAUUGAAGGGACAAGGACUUUACAUACCGUCCAGGGGUCACUUGCUAUGCUUGUGGUGAAGAAGGGCACUAUGCCAAACAGUGCCCAAAACCAAGAAACUCGGCCCCCAAGCUGAACAAUGGUGGGAAUAAUCCAGCCCCCAAGCGCAACAAUUUCAAUCCAAACAACAAUCACAGGAAGGGUCACCUGAACCAUGUGACCAAGGAAGAAGCACAGAGUGCCCCAGACAUCGUACUCGGUACGUUCCCUGUCAACACAAUACCUGCCACGGUUCUGUUUGAUUCUAGAGCUUCUCACUCGUUCAUUUCGAAGAGUUUCGUUUUGCAACAUGGUUUUCCGAUUCUUCCUUUGGAAAAAUCUAUGAUUAUCAAUUCCCCCGGGAAUAAGCAGAUCACUCAGAGUUACUGCCAAGGAGUGAUUAUUGAAUUCAAAGGACUAAGGUUUCAGGCUAAUCUCAUCGUGUUGGAAAAUAAAGGACUGGAUGUUAUCCUAGGGAUGGACUGGUUGACCACCAACAAGGGAUUUAUUGACUGUUUCAAUCGGACCGUGAUUCUCACUCACCAUCUCGGCAAGACAAUAAAGGUUACAGCUCAAGAGAGACCACGGUCACUGCAACCAAAGUUGAACAAAGUGGACAUCUCAGAAUUGAGAAAAGUUCCAGUGGUGUGCGAAUUUCCUGACGUAUUUCCUGAAGAACUACCAGGCAUGCCACCAGACCAAGAGAUAGAGUUCAGCAUUGAACUAGCACCUGGCACCACCCCCAUCUACAAGAAACCUUAUAGAAUGGCACCCUCAGAGUUGGUAGAAUUGAAGAAGCAAAUCAAGGAAUUACUGGAUAAAGGAUUUAUUCGAGCCAGCUCCUCACCUUGGGGUUCGCCAGUAUUAUUCGCCAAGAAAAAGGAUGGGACACUGAGAUUGUGUAUAGACUAUCGAGCUCUCAACAUGGUCACCAUCAAAAACAAAUAUCCAAUGCCACGGAUAAAUGAUUUGUUUGACCAGCUCGCUCAAGCCAAGGUGUUCUCAAAAAUUGAUUUAAGAUCGGGAUAUCAUCAAUUAAAGGUACGGACAGAAGAUAUCCCUAAGACAACAUUCACCUCCAGAUACGGAUUAUAUGAGUUCACAGUAAUGCCUUUUGGACUGACAAAUGCCCCCGCAUACUUCGUCCACCUCAUGAACUAAGUGUUCAUGAAAUUCAUGGAAAAAUUUGUUGUGGUGUUCAUUGACGAUAUUCUGGUAUACUCAAGGACACCAGAAGAACAUGCUGAACAUCUCAGGAUUGUAUUGGGAGAAUUAAGGAAACAUCAAUUAUACGCCAAAAUUAGCAAAUGCGAAUUUUGGCUAAGACAAGUUGGUUUUCUAGGCCAUAUAUUGACCCAAGAAGGCGUGGCCGUAGACCCAGAAAAAGUCAAAGCCAUACUUGACUGGAAACCACCAGCCAACGUAACGGAUGUACGGAGUUUUCUAGGAAUGGCUGGAUAUUACCGGAGAUUUAUUGAAGGAUUCUCCACUGUGGCAAAACCAAUGACCCAGUUGCUCAAGAAAGACAAGAAAUUUGUAUGGACGGAAGCUUGCGAGAAAAGCUUCCAAGAGCUCAAGAAGAAACUAACAACAACACCAGUUUUGGUCGUGCCGGAUAUACACAAGAGUUUUGAAGUGUAUUGUGACGCUUCCCGGAAGGGCCUCGGAUGCGUAUUGAUGCAGGACGGCAAAGUUGUCGCGUGUGCUUCCAGGCAACUACGGAAGCAUGAGGAAAAUUAUCCCACUCAUGACUUGGAGCUAGCAGCAGUCAUCCAUGCACUCAAAGAGUGGAGGCACUUUCUGUUGGGAAAUCGUUGUGAAAUAUAUACGGACCAUAAGAGCCUUAAAUAUAUUUUCACACAACCAGAGCUAAAUUUACGACAACGACGCUGGUUGGAAUUGGUCAAGGACUAUGAUGUCGGCAUUCACUACCAUCCAGGGAAAGAAAAUGUAGUGGCAGAUGCUCUUAGUCGAAACCCCAGCCCGGGCAACGACAGUCCACAGAACUUGAGGCCUGAGUUUCAGCAGGAGUUCGCUAGACUCAACAUGGUGUUAGUCUCUGAGGGCACCGUAUCAAAUCUGGAGAUACAUCCCACCCUAAUGGAACAAAUUAAGAAGGCUCAGCAGGGACAUCCCAGCAUCGAAGGUAUAAAGAGAAGAAUGAGCCUUGGCAAAGCUUCAGAGUUCGUCACAGACAAUGAGGGAGUAUUAUGGUACGCGGACAGACUUUGCAUACCAAACAUUGAGGAACUCAAACAGCAAAUCCUAACCGAAAGCCACACCACUCCAUACUCGAUCCACCCUGGAGGAACCAAAAUGUACAAAGAUAUUCAGGAAAGAUUUUGGUGGCACGGUAUGAAAAGGGAUAUAGCCGCAUUCAUUGCUUCUUGCGAUUCAUGUCAGCGCAUAAAAGCCGAGCAUCAAAAGCCAGCAGGGCUGCUACAGCCAAACCGGAUACCUGAGUGGAAAUGGGAUGAAAUUGGAAUGGAUUUCAUCGUCGGACUACCUCGAUCACAACGCGGAAAUGAUGCCAUAUGGGUCAUCACAGAUAGGCUAACCAAGGUAGCACAUUUCAUUCCCAUGAAGACGACCUACUCCACUCAAAGACUUGCCAAGAUUUAUCUCUCCCGUAUAGUUUGUCUGCAUGGAGUCUCAAAGACUAUAAUAUCCGACCGAGGCACUCAAUUUGUCUCUAAAUUUUGGGAUCACUUACAACAAGCUCUGGGCACGCAACUAGCAUUCAGUACAGCAUACCACCCCCAGACUGAUAGACAAACUGAACGCGUGAACCAAAUCCUAGAAGACAUGCUGAGAGCCUGUGUUCUCACCUAUGGAUCCAGUUGGGAAGAAAGUUUGCCGUAUGCCGAGUUUGCUUACAACAACAGUUACUAGGCCAGCUUACAAAUGGCACCUUUUGAAGCAUUGUACGGACGGAGAUGUCGUACCCCAUUAAACUGGUCAGAAACAGGUGACAGUCGUAUCUUCGGCCCAGACAUGCUCAAGGAAGCCGAGGAGAAAGUUAAACAGAUCAGGGACAGACGCAAGACAGCUCAAAGCCGACAAAAGAGCUAUUACAAUCGAAAACAUCGUGAGGUCAGCUUUGAACCCGGUGAAUAUGUAUACCUACGAGUGUCUCCUAUGAGGGGCCUACAACGGUUCAAGAUUAAGGGGAAGCUAGCCCCAAGAUUUAUUGGACCCUUCUAUGUAAUUGCACGAAGAGGCACCGUAGCCUACCAGCUGGACCUACCCAAGGAGCUGUCCGACGUCCACGACGUGUUUCACGUCUCACAGUUGAGGAAAUGUGUGAGCAACCCGGAGAAACAUGUAUCUCAUGAGAGCAUUGAUGUGCAACCAGACCUCACCUACAGAGAGCGGCCAGUAAAGAUAUUGGAAGAGUCUGAAAGGAGGACCCAUCAGAAAACAACUAAAUUUUUCAAGGUUCAGUGGAGCAAUCACACCGAGGAUGAGGCUACAUGGGAAAGAGAAGAUUUUCUUCAGGCAGAGUGCCCACAUCUAUUUGAGGCUCAGCAGAAAUCUCGGGGACGAGAUUUUUCCUAAGGGGGUAGGUGUUGUGACACCCAAAAAUUUUAUUUGGCUUUUUCAAACUUUUAUUUGAUUUGAGGGAUGUUAUUUAAAAUUUUCUUCUAAAGAACUCUCCCUCUCAAAAAAUUUCUUUUAUGACAAGUGUUUUGUUUGGAUUCACCCAAGACUUGAUUUUUGGUCUUGGAGGUUUUUCCAUCUUAUGUGGACUCAACACCAAAUGUUUUUCAUUUGGGAAAUUAAGCUUUUGAAAAUCUUUUAAAUAGCCCUAUGGCAUUUGGAGUGAUCUUUUCCCCUUUUCAAAAUCUCCUCUUGCCAUGACCUAAGUGGAAAUCCCCUCCCAAAAGCCAUUCCCCAUCUUUGUGUCAAGAUAUACUUCAAAUCCAGCAAGUUGAAUUCCCCCAUCUUUUUGUUUCCAUUUAUUUCUUACCAAAAAUAUUUUCUGCCUUCUAUUUUGAUCCUUGGAGGUUUACAAAGGAACUACCAUUUCUACUUUGAGUUUGGCCUCCAAACAAAUUUCCCUGGCUAGUCCUUAGAGCCCUCAACCAAGAUCCAUGAAGAUCCACUGGUCUCCAGUUCAAAUAUUUCAAAUUAUACUUGCUGCAAGUUUGGACCAUUUUUGCCAAAUUUGAUGAAAUUCAUUUGAUUUCUCCUCCUAAAAAUCUAAGAAAAUUCAGGAAGCCUCUGGAUGCAUUGAGAGGUCACCUCACCAAGUCCCAGCCCCAGAAAUUUCUUUCUUCAUGCCAAAUCAUUUCGUCGAACACUUGAAGGGCACUGUUACUAUCAAGUUCAGAAGUUCAGUAAACCCUUUCAGGAACUGCUGUCGUUUGCUUCAGAACUCCUUCUCGAUCUUGCCAGUGGCCGCGGUGGCGCCGUGCGCCCUGUGCUUCCUUCUUAUCCCUGCGCCGCACGAUCGCCUGGAAGCUUGCGGGCGUCGGCGACGAGCAGGAGGAGGUGCGCCACCCCGUGAGCGACGGCAGCAGCGGCCUUUGCGGCUGCCAGAGAGGCGCAGCGUUGGACGGCGCCGUCCAGCGCCGCCCAAGCCACCAGAGGCCACCGCGUGGCCAUCCACUCACCCGUGCACGCUGCCGUCCGUCGUCGUGAACUGCUAGGCGCGAAGCGCGCUCCCUGCCGCCGCCGUACCCGUACGGCCGUUCCGUCGAGGACCGGCGUAUUACACCGAGCCCGACCGAGGUUUAGCUGAGGAAUGGCACCAGUGACCCUCCCUGAUGAUGCCUAGCCUCCUAAACCCCCUGCACAACCUCUGCCUCGCCGUAAUCGCUCGUCGGAGCUAUCCUGUUCACGGCCACUCCCUCGGAUCGCCUAUAAAAGGAGGCCCCGAGCUCGAACUCGAACCCGCACCACCUCCACACACCACCAAUACCACGCCAAGCCACUGGAAGAGCCUCGAGGGAGUCUUUUUCCCCAACUCCGGCCGCCUCGACCCGCUUCGGGACCUAGCUCGAUUCACCCCCGUGCGUGCACCUCUACCUCUCAGCUCAUGCCAGUAGUCUCCUAGUGCAUCCACUCUUCUGACCCGCACAUCAAUUUGGAGUUUUCAGCACCCACCGGAGUACUCCACCAUCGCCCGAACCACCGUCCGCCGGAGAAAGUGUCGCCAUCGACGUGGUGCUCUCCGACGGCCAAGUCCACCACCCACCGACGUGGAAGAACACCCUGAACCUCUUGAUACCCUUCGAUCUCUCUGCCUCGCCAUGGUUCAACGUCGGCGACCACCGCAGCCUUCGGGCGCCGGCGAGCUCCGUUGGAGUUUUUAAACCUGACGGGUGGGACCCCCCGUCAGCCUCUCUUCUUUUCCCCCUCGAACCGUUUUUUGAUAGCGCCUUCGGGCAAAAAUGCGUUUUCUCUUUGGGCUGGCGUAUUUCCUACCGAACCAUUUUCUGUCUUCUCAAACAAGUCCCUGGUUCUUUUCUGUUUCAUCACAAAUUAGUCCUUGGACUAAAACAGUUAUAUCUUUUUAAUAAAAGAUGCUUUUUGAUUGAUUCUUUUUCUGUCAGUCUUGUAUUUUUGUCUAGUUUUUUAUAGUAUUUAUUUGGAAAAAAUUUGGAACACUUUUUAUGCACGCAACGAUUUUCACGUUAGUAUACGGUUUUGUUAUACCGUAGGUUCCGGAGGAGGUGACGGAGCCGCGAACUUCGCCGAGCUAGACUCCGACUUCUCCGAACCAGGCAAGCAUGUUUGAAACUUUGAUAUGAUAGGUGUUUUGCAUGUUUGCUUGAAUGGUCUGUGCAUGGCAUAUGAGCAUCGGUGAGUAUUACGUUGCAUGCAAGGCAAGUAUCCGUGUGUUUCGAAGUUACUGUGAUCUUUGAUGAGAGAUGACCUGAUCAUGUGGUGACAUGAAAGGUAGUAAGAUGGUAUUGUUGUAGCAUGCCGGUCUUACGUCAUCCGAUAAACUCCGACGUUAACGUGGACUGAGCCACGUUAUCGUUCUUCCCCUUUCGUGCUACCACAUGUUUUCUGCAAAGAAUACGGUUUAGUAAGUUGCUAACCUCUUUCCUUGUACACACCAAAUAGAGGGGCCGGGAUGAGGGUUCCAUGGCCCUGGAUUAAAGCCAGUCAUCCGGUCAGGGGGCAUGGGUGUUUCCGGUUGGGACCGAGAGGGGGACACCCCUUAGAGCGCGCGGUAUAAAUUUGAUCCCAUGCUACGCGAGGUUGUAGCCUCCCCGUCUCAAGGUUUUUCUUGAACGUUGCCGAGGGUGAUUCCUGGCAUCGGAAUGUUGAAUGGGUGUGUACUGGUUAGAUGUGUUUCUCCUAAAACACCGUAAACGGAACUAGUCCCUUGUGACUACUGAAAUCCGUUGGCAGUGGUUAAAUAGUACAAACUCUGCAGAGUCAAAUCCUUCCGAGUCAUCGUGCCCAUGGUCAAGGACCAUGGCCAGAUUGUCCAUAUCCAUGUCAGUCCCUAUGUCAGUCUCUGUGGUAAAUCCCCGGUGAACAGGUUUGAGUGGUAAACCCGGUCGAACGUUAUUCCUGUGGAUGGACUAACCCUGUUGUUUAUCUCGUACCUGAAUAUUCCCUUGAAAUGAUUUAAAUUCAUGAGCUACUGAAAUAUCAAGUUAUGAAAUAUAAGCCCUUUAUGUGAUGUCGCUCAGACGUCCGACUGUGGCACUCUUGUCAUUCACUUUUGAUAUAAGCCCUUUUUGUGAUGUCGCUCAGACGUCCGACUGUGGCACUCUUGUCAUUUACUUUUGAUAUAAGCCCUUUAUGUGAUGUCGCUCAGACGUCCGACUGUAGCACUCUUGUCAUUUACUUUUGAUAUAAGCCCUUUGUGUGACGUCGCUCAGACGUCCGACUGUGGCACUCUUGUCAUUUACUUUUGAUAUAAGCCCUUUAUGUGAUGUCGCUCAGACGUCCGACUGUGGCACGCUCGUUAUUUACUUUUGAUAUAAGCCCAUUACGUGAUGUCGCUCAGACGUCCGACUGUGGCACGCACUGUCAUUUAUAUUCUAUUAUAAGCCCUUUAUGUGGUGUCGCCUUGACGCCCGACUGUGGCAUUGUUAUUUCAUUUGUACCCUUCCGAGGAGUCAUUCAGACACUCGAUUGGCCUUCAGCGUUACUUUGGGAUUUCGGGAGGACUACCGCCCGACUUCCUUUUUAUUUCCCAUGCAUAGCUGUUUUAUUAUCUGAGUGCGCUUUAUUAAUCUGUUCAUAUGCAUCAUGUUUGCAUUUGUUAUAUCUUAUGUCCGAACUGUCUUGCGAGUACUUUCAUAAUACUCACCUGGCUUGUUGAUUUGGCCAGUUGUUGACGAAGGCGAUCUCAUGGAUGAAGAGUUUGAUAGUGAGUCCGACGCCUAGAGGAGUCCCAGUCAGUCCCGUGCGAUCCUGGAUAUUGGUCACUUGUAUUAUAUACGCUUCCGCCACCCGCAAUAAGUAUCCUCGAGCCUCACUCCGACGCUCGAAGAGCUGUUAGUAUUCAGGAGUCAUUUCACCCACUUCACUGUGACAUUCCCACCACUGCUUUUAUUAUGAGUCAGUAGUAUGCCACCCUAUCCGCCUUUAUGUAUUAUGGGCGUGCUUGUAAUAAAUUGUUGAGCAGUCUCCGCUCAACCUUGUAUUAUGUUUAGUACUCCUGGUUUUUCUUUUGUGAUCAAGAAAUUGUCUACCAGUGAGAAGGAUUCUUCUCUACUGGUCCGUAAAAGGGAUCGGUUUCUCAAUAAAUAUUUUUAUUGGAAAACCGGUCGUGAGAUGGGCCGACCAUAACGGGCCAUCGUUAAUAGGCCGUAUUUCAUGACACUAUGAAAAUGGCCCAACGUAUUAACGGACCACAAACGGGCCGACUGUAACCACGGGCUGAAUUUGGCCCACAAGCAGAAAAUGACAGUAACGGGCCGUAAGUAAACGAAUGCUGGAAAUGAGCCCAAGAAUAAAUGUGCUCUGAGAAGGCCGAAAGAUAACAUGGGCUGGAAACGGCCCAACGGAAUAACGGGCCGUUAAUGGGUAUAAAGUGAUACACUGUUCAUUACGGGCCAGUUUCACCACGGGCCGUUAAUGGGUGUAAAGUGAUACACUGUUCAUUACGGGCCAGUUUCACCACGGGCCGUUAAUAGGCCAAGAGUUACAUAGGCCUCAUAUGGGCCGAAAGACGUCAUGGGCCAUACAUGGGCCAGAAGUGAAAACGGGCUGGAAUCAUAUUGGAUGGCCCAGAUGACGCUACUGGGCCUAAUUCGAAUAGGGCGUAACGGGCCUUGGGUUAGCGGGCUGUAAAUGGGCUAUAUGCGAACAGGCCGUUAACAGGCUUUCCAUGGGCCGGCCCGCCACCUUUUGACCAAGUCAAACGGGCCGGCCUUUUCACAGCAAUGGGCCUCUGUUGGGCCGUGCCACGUGUCGACGUAUCAUAGGCGCCUUCUGUCCAAUGAGUGGAUGACAUCUGUCCCAGCGAUGAGCCGACACGUGUUUCCUCCAGCCAAUGAUGAUUUUACAUGUGGGAAAUCCCCAUUGGUCGGGGCUGUUAACGGGUUAUCGGAUCCAAAACCCGACCUGAUAGCUUAACGGCGUUUCGUUACGGUGGAUGCCACGUGUCGGUCACCCUUGACGAAAGCACUUCUGUGACGCGCGAUUUAUCAUCAUGGAAGUGGACACUUCCGUGAUGAUAAUUUUGGUAAUGUCAUGGAACACUUCUACGACAUCACAUGUAUGACUAUCUUGAUUCUGUCAUAAAUUUGUCAUGGAUGUACAUGCAUGACAAAAAACGCGACCUACUGUGACAAACACGUAUCAUCACGAAAGUGUAUUUUUUUGUAGUGUAUACUAGUGGGAAUCUUUCAUUAUAGAACUUGGCUUGUAUAUUCCAAUGAUGGGCUUGCUCAAAAUGCCCUAGGUCUUCGUGAGCAAGCGAGUUGGAUGCACACCCACUUAGUUUCUUUUUGAGCCUUCAUACACUUAUAGCUCUAGUGCAUCCGUUGCAUGGCAAUCCCUACUCACUCACAUUGAUAUCUAUUGAUGGGCACCUUCAUAGCCCGUUGAUACGCCUAGUUGAUGUGAGACUAUCUUCUCCCUUUUUGUCUUCUCCACAACCACCAUUCUAUUCCACCUAUAGUGCUAUAUCCAUGGCUCACGCUCAUGUAUUGCGUGAAGAUUGAAAAAGUUUGAGAACAUCAAAAGUAUGAAACAAUUGCUUGGCUUGUCAUCGGGGUUGUGCAUGAUUUAAAUAUUUUGUUUGAUGAAGAUAGAGCAUAGCCAGACUAUAUGAUUUUGUAGGGAUAGCUUGCUUUGGCCAUGUUAUUUUGAGAAGACAUAAUCACUACAAAAAAAUACACUUCCGUGAUGAUACGUGUUUGUCACAGUAGGUCGCGUUUUUUGUCAUGCAUGUACAUCCAUGACGAUUUUAUGACAGAAUCAAGAUAGUCACACCUGUGCUGUUGUAGAAGUGUUCCAUGACAUUACCAAAAUUAUCAUCACGGAAGUGUCCACUUCCAUGACGAUAAAUCGCGCGUCACAGAAGUGCUUUCGUCAAGGGUGACCGACAUGUGGAAUCCACCGUAACGGAAUGCCGUUAAGCUAUCGGGUCGGGUUUUGGAUCUGAUAACCCGUUAACAGCCCCGACCAAUGGGAAAUUUCCACGUGUAAAAUUCUUAUUGGCCGGACGAAACACGUGUCAGCUCGUCAGUGGGUCAGAUAGGCGCCUAUGAUAUGUCGACACGUGCCACGGCCCACCACCGGCCCAUUUAGCUUACAAGGCCGACCCGUUUGACUUGGUCAAAAGUUAACGGGCUGGCCCAUGAAAAGCCUGUUAACGGUCUCUUCGCAAAUAGCCCAUUUUACGCCCCGUUAACUCACGACCCGUUAGGCCCUAAAGGAAAUCAGCCCAACAACGUCAUGUGGGCCAUCGAAUAUAACACCAGCCCAUUUCACUUUCGGCCCAUGUGUGGCCCACGACGUCUUUCGGCCCAUAUGAGGCCUUCGUAUCUUUCGGCCCUUUACAGGCCCACGGUGACUCUAGCCCAUAAUGAACAGUAAUUUUCAUUGUACCCGUUAACGGCCCGUGAUUUACAUGGGCCGUUUCCAGCCCGUGUUAGCUUUCGGCCUAUUGACGGCCAUACGUUCUUGGGCUCCUUUUCAGCCCUCGAUUACUUCCGGCCCGUUACUGGCUUGUUCCCCUAAUGGGCCAAAUUCGGCCCAUGGCAAGAGUCGGCCCAUUACUGGCCUGUUCCCCUAAUGGGCCAAAUCCGGCCCAUGGCAAGAGUCGGCCCGUUACUGGCCCGUUCCCCUAAUGGGCCAAAUUCGGCCCAUGGCAUGAGCCGGCCCGUUUCUGGCCUAUUAACCCGUUGCGCCGUUUCCAGCCCGUCCUAUAUUCUGGCCCAUUAACGACCCGUUAUGCCUGUGACAGAAUUAAGCCUUUGCUGUCCAACGGCCUGUUAACGGUCGGUUACCGUGCUGGGCCGAUACCAAUUACGCCCGAUUACGGCCCAUGUAGACCCAUUUAUCCGACGGCCCGAGGCCCACCGAUUACAGGCCCAUUUAUCGACGGCCCGUAGGAGACCCAUGGAUCCUACGGCCCGUAUAUGGCCCAUGGUAGUUGCGGCCACUAGCAAACCAGGGAAAAAGAAGACUAGGGAAUAAAUAAGGCCGAAACUAACGCUAGGCUAUUAAGGCGAUUGCACAGAUUACAUCCACUCGGCAUCAAAGAUCGCCACGAGUGCAAAUAUAGGGAACACCCUACACCAUACAAAAAUGGCUUGCUGUUUUCUUCAGCCGGUGGCUGCACGUUAAGAAUAAAUUUUGUAUCGCACCAAAACAAAUUACAACUAUAUAACAAAAGGAAGGUUGGCAUAAAACUUAACAGUCUAGUACAUAAAUGCACCACCAGAAGUUCAGAAGCUCAGUUCAUUUGACCUGACUGUUAUGUUUUCAUGCUGUAUUGUCCGAUGGAGCACCAUAACACUCGCCUUCAUUUCCCCUAGGCUCCUGAAUAACAUAGGAAAUGUCUAAUAGUCUGGUUUCAAAACCAUGCAUAUCUUGACGAUUGAGCAAUGUUUCUCCUUGUUUCACAAAGGGUCUCUGUUAGGGAAUGGACUUGUGUCUGGAGCGCAGCUACAACAUUGCUUUGAGCUUGUAUAUCUUGUUCAUGAGGCAGUUUGGACGAUAUUGCCUUAACAACCAACCCAGUAUUACGCAGGAACGUGCUUUUGGCACUGUUAGUGGACAGGUACUGACCCACUGUAGCAAGAGCUGACAUUGCGGUUAUAGUUGCCUCGCCACCUUCAGAAGGUGGAGGUUCCACCAUUUUUUCCAUAGCUCGCUGAAAAGUUGAGGUUUUACAUUAGUAGUACCAGAACAGAAGAUAUUAAGGAGGCAGCAAAACCAAACAAAAUAGCUUUGGUCUAUAUACAUAACUUAUUCUGGUGAACCCAUGUAAAAUAUUAGUUGUAUUUUAUUACAAAGUACAUAAUAAAACCAGGUUCCAAACAUAUGACCAUGUACCAUCGCUAAUGUAUUGUCUAUUUUUCACAUUGUAUUGAGGGCUAAGGAUAAAGAGACGAAGUUUAUAAUACGGUAAGCAUAGUAUGACAUAAUUCAUAUCACAAAACAACUGAGAACAGACAAACAUGCAAUUGUAACGUUGUGUGGGCAAGUCCAGCACGGAACUACAUUACGGGUCAAGAUCAAAGGAACAUCACUCCUCUCUUUUAAACCUUGUAAGGUGCAAUGAUACGCUAAGACAAUUGUGUAUAAAAUUGAAAAGAGUAAUAGACAUUGGCUGCAAACCAUGCAGUUCAAGGCAGAAGUCAGAGUAAGUAGUAGUUAAAAGGCAUGAGGAUUAAGGACUUACAACAGCGGCUUUGACUGGUGUAGUCAUGCCCUUUUUCUUGCUGGUGUGACAGUCCUUGAAGAUUUCCACAACAUUUGGUUCAGGUACUUUUUGGUCGUUGCGGGCUUUCCUCUGCAUUUCGAACAAGUCAAUAUAGAUCUGAUAAUAUGGUACAGCGAAAAGAGUGAAACAAUAGCUAAUUACAAGAGCCUCGCAGUGUGCAAUAUAGCUACGAGAUCCUGUCGUCUGUUGGAAUUUCACUUUCGUACGGUUUGCCUUGUUCUUUGAACAGUUCACCUACAAGAAGAUAGAUUUGUGUGGCAGAUGCGUAAAUAGGACUUCAACAUGUGAUCUGAUCACGUAUAUAUAAUGUACCUGAUACUUCGGAUUAGACCAGUGUUUAACAAGGCCCCUCCAGUCUUCAUCCGAUAUAUUUUCCACUAGAGAUGUUUGGGAAAGUUCACUGUUAGCCUUGCCUUCAAAGUGAGUUUUCCUCAAGUUAUACUGAUACUGUCGCAGAGCAGACUUGAAAACAUGGGUGCAAGCUUGUCUGGUUGCAUCAUCUUGGCUAUCCAACUUGAACCUCAUCUGUUGAAAAUUAUGGGAGUCUCAUUAUCAGCAACCUAGAAAGUAUGGGACAGAGCAAGACGAUAUUACUAGUUUCCAUAUAUAACCAUACUUACAGAUAAAUGGUCGAGGAAGGUGUUGAACUGGGUUUCGUCUUUGUCAUUCCUGUACUGAAUCCAUGUCGGGAGGAUACGUAUAUGACACCUAACGGCAACCGCUGCCUCUGAUACUAACUUGGCUGACUCUGUAGCAUCACGUGGCCUUUUUAAACCUUCCUCAAAACGGAUCUCCAUUCUUCCUCCUCUAGAUUUAGUUAACCUAUCGAGCAUUAUCCCUAAUGUUUGUUUCCUCUUGCGCCUAGGUGCUAGUCCAACAACGAACAUAGGAAGUGUUAGUGUACAUCAAACUGUGACACUACAUAUAAAGAAGCAUGCAACUGUAACUUGACUCCAGCAACUACCUUCUUGCUGUUGAAGCUCACAAGGUUCAUCUGAUAUUGCCAACUCGUCUUGUGUCAAGAGUGCUUGGGAAGUAGUGUCAGGUGGCAAGGGAGCUUGGGAACGUGCUGCUAGCUCAGUUGACGCACGAGUGAGUCAUGCAGCUGGUAGUACUGUGGUAGGUGUUGCAAGAACUAGGGCUGUCUCUGCUUGUUUGGCGGCAGCUAUUUGUUUCUGUUUGGCUUUUUUUGCAACUCGUGUAGCAUGGGAUGCCUUGUUUAUAGAAUUUUCCGCUGGACUUUGACCUUCUAUUGCACCAUCAGUACCAGCAGAAUCUGCAGGAUUCAUCCGCUUCUCAUUCCCUGCCAUUCUGUGUUUCUUCCUCUUUCUCUGUGCCAUGUUAAGUCAAGCCAACAAGAAAAACGAAUAACAAUUUAGUUCUUCAGAACAAAUUGAUGCGUGAUGCAGACGAACUCAACUUUGAUGUUAGACAACCACAUGAUAGGAGGAUGUAAUAUGUAAGAAAAACAGGACGGAAGAGAUAACCAGAACUAUGAUGUGUAAACUAAGAAGAAGACAUUUCACCAAAUUAGAAGCAAUGCAAUGGAAGGUAGACACCAUAUGAAAGAUGCUACAAAUAUCGCUCUGCCAAGUUAAUAGUGUCCCAUCAUAAAUGGCGUUUAAACAAAUGUGAAGCAGUACAAGAAAUAAAUCAUAUGCAAGAUGCAAACAACAUCACACUACCAUAUUAGAGGUCUCUCGUCAUUAGUGGCAUUGCAUAUUCACAGCUUAUGAUGUGUAAACUAAGGAGAAGGCAUUUCAACAAAUUAGAAGUAAUGAAAGCUAGACACCAUAUGAAAGAUGCAACGAAUAUCACUCUACCAAGUUAAAACUGUCUCGUCAUAAGUGCCAUUUCAACAAAUUAGUGGUACAAGCUAGAAAAUAAUGUGAGAUGUAACCUAUAUCACACUCCAAAGUCAAACGUGUCUUAUGAUAAGUGAUUGUUGCAGGUUACACAACAGUAGUAAUUUGAUGUAAAAACAUGGUGUGAUAGACAGAUAUUGUAUGUUCUAGAAACAGGAACUCGUGUCUUAUUCAAGUAUAAUGUGUAAAGUAAGCAGAUGGAAUUCAACAAAAUUAGAAGCAAUACAAGCUAGACAUCACACAUAACAUGCAACCACAUAUAACAGUGCCAAGUUAGAGGGAGCACCAGUGAUGCUGCACUAGGGGAGACGUGCUCAUCAUAAACACAUCUUUGUUGAGUGUCUAUGCAUGUGUUGUCUUGGAAAUCAUCCUGGGGGUGUGGAGGAGUAGAAACUGUAGAGGCCCUCCGUUCGGAAGGAGCACCUUUAUCCGCUGCUUUGCUAACUUCCUUCCGCUUUAUUGAUUUUGAAUUGUCAAGUAAAACCGACAAGAAAAAGCAAUAAAAUUCUCUCUUCAGAACUCAUUCAUGCAUGAUACUGACAAUCACUACUUUGAUGUAAGGCAAACACAUGAUACCAGGAUGGAAUAUGUACGAAAAACAGGACGGCAUGGCAUGUUCACAACUAUUUGUGUAAACUAAGCAGAAACCAUUCCAGCAAAUAAGCAGCAAUGCAAGCUAGACACCACAUGAAAGAUGCAACCAAUAUGACUCUGCCAAGUUAAAAGCGUCCCAUCAUAAAUGGAAUUUCAACAAAUUAGAAGCAGCGCAUGCUAUAAAUCAUAUGAAAGAUGCAACUAAUAUCGCACUGCAUAUACUAAAGGUGUCUCGUCAUAUUGAUUGAUGCGGGAUACAAAAAAACAAUAGUUUUAUGUAAGGACAUGCUUAAUAGACAGAUGUACUAUGUACUAAAUAUAGGAAGGCAUGUUGCAUUAACAGGUAUAAUGUAUAAGCUAAGCAGACUAGCACAUGCAGUUUAACCAGAUUGGAAGAAUUACAAUCUAGACACCAUAUGCAACAUGCAACUACAUAUCACGCUGCCAAGUUAGAGCAAGCACCUGCGAUGCUAGUGUAGGGGAAAUGCUGUAAUCAACUACAGAGCUACGUUCACUAUCUUCAUCUAGCAUUUCUGUUUCUUGAGAAUCAUGUCGGGAGGCUGACGCUGCAUUCUUUAAAUCAGGAGUAGUCCCCUUGCCUGCCUGCCUCGUCAUAAGUGAUUGAUGAGGGAUACACAAGAACAUUAGUUCGAUGUAAGAACAUGGUUAAUACACAGAUGUACUAGUAUGUACCAAAAAAAGAAAGGCAUGUCAUAUUCAAAGGUAUGAUGUGUAAGCUAAGCAGAUGCAAUUUAACCAAAUUGGAAGCAAUACAAGCUAGACAUCCGGCUGGAGUGGUGAACAUGAUCAUCUAGGACCUGAGAGCCUGGUGGGAGGCGGGCUGCUUUGCCACCAUCGCGGCUUUUUAGUUGGCUUCCAGGUGAUGCCUGUCUUUGCUGGGCUUGUCACUGGCUCGGCCAGUGCCCUGACUAGCUAUUUGUCUUCUGGUGCUCAUGGGAUGGUGGUUCAUGUAAAAAAUAUCUUUCCUUAUCUUAAUACAGACCGACUUCGGCCUUUCGAAUACAAGCUAGACACCAUAUGGAACAUGCAACCACAUAUGACACCGCGAAGUUAAAGCAAGCACCUGGGAUGGUGGUUCAUUGCGAGCGAGGUCAUCAACUCCAGAGCUACAUUUACCGUCUCCAUCUGCUGACAUUGCACCCUUUAUAGCGCAGUAAUGUGCCGUGCCUAGCCGCGUAGAAAGCUGGCACGACUUGUCUCUUUUCUUUUUUGCUUCUCUCGAGGCAGACUCUGAAAUACCCUUGCAUAAAAACACAAUAGUGAGAGUAUGGGUGAAGUGUGUGCAGAACUAGUGCACUGUAAAAGUAGCAGAUAGCAGGUGGCUGAAAAAUAAAUGACAGGAGACAUAUGUUAGCUCUACAACAUUGCAUGGCAAACAAAAUUAGAUUCUACUCCGUAUGAUUUUGUAAUAUAUGAGCACAGGAAAUGCAGGUACUCCUCCAGCACACCACCACAUGUGGUCAUAUCUAAGAUAACAGUCGACUGAAAAUAAAUAGGUCAGUCGAUUUUUUUAAUGAACCGUCCGAUCUAUAAGGAACGGGCAGAUGGCCUUCGUCUACCUCCCGCCAGUCACUGUUGACGAUCUUUCUCGAACCAACAGCGACCACCGGCCCAGACCCCUGCCUCCGCCGCCCCGCCCUCCCAUCGACCUCACACCACCGCCGUGUUUGGCAGCGCCCCCAGGCCAUCCCUUUAAUACCGGCCGACCUCCAGAUCAGGCGCCAGUAGCUCUAGGCCGCACACGCCCCUAAGAUAAACACCAAGGCGUUGCUUCCCUGGCGUAAUAGUCGUACUAGCACCUGUUACGCCGGGGAAUGCUUCCGUUAAUUGGGAAUCAACUGGCCAGAAAUUGAAAUUCAGGGGGGCGACGGACCUCUAGCUAAGGUGAAAUAGUAUAUGAGGAGAAACCUUGUGCAUCGCGAGUUACUAGGAACAUCUAGUAUCAAGAAGAAGCGGUCAACUAGUGUCUUCUGUGGGAUGAAUACAGUGCAAGCAGAGACAUAAGAUUUGCACGAAUAAGGGAAGAGGAGUACCUUUUUGGUUGCCGGUGUGGUCACCUCCACAUGUCGCACCGAUCUUCUUCUUUUUACCGGGGAAACCGAUGUUCUGGAGGGUGCAGGCUUGGACGAACCCAUGGCCAAAUUGUUGACUGUGUUGCCGUGGCCGUAUGUCGGCGGAGGGGAAGCAGAUCUGUGGCGGCGAAGGACGGCGUAGCAGGAACAACUCCGGUGCGGUGGAGGGCGGCGAAGUUGGAGCGGCAGCGGUGAGGCGCAGGACGGCGUGGUUGAACUGGCUCGGGUACGGACGGCUCGGCCUCGGCUUCAACUACUAGUCGUGGAGGGCAUUGCGGUUGAGGUUGCGGUGGACGACGACGUCGGGGUAUCGGCUCCGGCGUGAUGGAGGAGGGCGGCGGUUGAUGGGUGGGAUGGGGUGGCGGACGGAGGACGCCGGGGUUUCGCGGCUGGUGGAGAGGUAGUUUUUGCGCCCAUGGAGUACGAAUGGGGAAUCAGACGGGUGGGGGGAACCAUGUUUCGGUCUGGGACACGCUUGUUUUUGGCUUUUUUGAACAGAAGAUGGGACACGCUUGUUUGAAAUUUGGGGAAAGUACAAACUUUGCCCCCCUAUUAAAUUUCGGACCUACUGCGGGUCGGGGGUAGGAUGGUAAUCCCAGGUGUCCCAAAUAGUGGGCGGGAGCGAUUUCGGCCGCGCGCAUGUGUGCUUCGGCGGCCAUUGUGUAUGAAUGUUUUUCGGAGGCAGUUGCGUGGCGUCUAGAUGAAGCUACAAACCUACCCCGGUUUAGACCUUUGGACGUCAGGCCGGUAGGUUUCACGGGUCGGAGUUAUUAGAAAAGUAAUUUCCUUGUACUACCAAACAUUGGUCUCACGCAGUUUCGGGCGAGUAGAGGCUCUUUUGGCACUUCGUUCGAAAUUUUGAAACACAAGCAUUCAUGUUUAGAGUACUCUUGAACUAUGAGGAUUGACCUAAAUAGACAAUGUUAUAUUUGACCUUGUAUGUUUGAAAACCUGAUUAAAUUAUCCGCUUCUUUUUGAAAUUUUGACACUUGAAAAUCCUAUAACUACGAUUAUUUUGAAAUGCAGGAGCUAAAUUUGAAUCUAUUUUGUACACGACUACAUAUGCUAUUAUGUACAAAAUCAGAGCAAAGAUUGGUGCCCCCAUAAUUUAGGUAUGGUUUACAAAUGCCAUGAUAUCAAAUUCAAAUAAUUGAAUGGACUUCAUGUUGAAGUCGAUUUUUUUAAACCACCUUAAGUUGAAUUCAAAUGUAUGCUAGUUCAUAGGUAGCUAUUUAUAAUGUCCAUUGUGUAACUUUCGUAUGUAUAAUGUGCUUUACACACACAACAUGAACUAUACUCACGUUUAUAUCCGAUUGCUAAAGCGAUGCAUUGUCUGGAGUUCAAAAUACUAACUAUGUGGAUCGACAUGCUCAAAUUCGAUAGAAUCUAGAUGUCUGAUGGAUCAAUGACCGCUCCUUACGCGAAUUGCAAAUAUCAUGAUCCCAUCCUAAUAUUUGGAUACAAUUUAUAUCUUUAAUCAAUGUGUAGAGCAGUCUUUUACGUGUAGUCUCACUCUCAAUCGGUGGUCUCUCACACAUGCUCACACACUCUCUCCCGAGGUGUCUUUCCCGCACACAUGCUCUAGAUAUAACCCUCCCUCCCUCUCGUAACAAUUUACAACUGUUUUCACUAACCUUUAUCACAAGCACUCGUCCUCUCGCAAACAUACACACGCACAAUCCUCAUCGACCCUUUCUAUAUACAUGGACCUGCCUACGUGUCUCAUGUACGGACAUUAUCUUUAUGCCUGUCUCUCAUGCAUUGUCUCACACCUCUCUUCCUAAUCGACGAGUAUGAUUCCAGGAGAGCAUUCUGUAGGAUGCCCCUUAAAGUUAGGUUGGAUGAAUAGUAAUAUCAGAGAUAAAGGGGUUACCUUAGUCCGAGAACCUAGGGUUACAAAUCCUAGCCGGCUUUGUGAGUGGACACAGAGUCCUUCACAGUUCUGCUAUCUUUGUCUUGUACGACUAGUCAUCCAUGGGUCUUCCUAAAUGUGUCACGGGACGAACAAUGUGGCGCAGGACGGAACCGAACGAAGGGCCUCACCUCGACCCACCGGACCUCACGCGGUGACACACCCUCUGCCCCCACGUCUCAUUAUCUUCUCACACCCACACAUACCAACACAAACACCACACACACAGAAAAAUUCUCCUGGUGCCUCUAUUCCCUCCCCCCUUGCAUAUACACACUCAAGGGAAUGGAAUCUCUUGUCGUGACAUCAUAUUUGUCUCUCUGUCUCUAGACCACUCUCAUUUCUAGUGCUAUCUCUCCCACGCCCCCCCCCGUCGGCCCCUCUAUCCAUGCCUCUCUCGAAUACGUAAUACACACACAUACCUCCAUAGGCCCCGCCAAAUGCAUCAACUACACAUUCACACGUGUUACAUCACGUACCCCAUUGAUAUAAAAAGCCCUCUCUUCACGUUUAUUUCGCAUACAACAUUCCUAUUGAAUAAAGUGUGGCCAAAAAUUUAUUUUAGAGUUUCUACAUAUAUACGACAUUACAAAGGUAUAUGGAGGAGUACGAACGCUAAUUUUCAUUGCAUGGUGCCCGCAAUGAUAUUUAUUCCGCACUGUGAAUUUGUAUAUUUUUAUACUAUAUACAAAGUUAGUCAUAAUAAAGAGAAACGAAGAGCAUCUCUCUCUCUCCAUCGCAUACCCCCCUGUACGCCCCUUUCACAUAUGCACACAAAACUAUCUCCAGGUCCUCUAAAAGUAAGCCCCCAGAAAAUUCACGCAUGUUUCAUCUUUCUCUCGCGAUAUAUGCAAUGACGAUCAUUGUAUUUGAAGCGAAAGCACGAUAGGUACAUUGGACUUCAGAAUACACUCAUUACGGUCACCAUUUAUGUUUAGUGGUUAUUAUACAGUCACGGGCUCACCGUACAACUCUGUAUUCGCUCAUGACAUGACUAGUUGACCAGUUAAACGCUCCACGUGGCACCUCUAGUGUUGCAUCACAUUAUCUCACUACCAUCGUGCCCACCUGUCGACUUGUAUCUACUCUACAUCUACACUCUUAUAAAAUACGUAAAAUACACUCUUAUAAAAAACAGAGUUGGUGAUGAUGGUGUGCCUGCCAUCCUGCAAUAUAGGCCGUUCGAUUUAUAUCUGACGGAUAGGAAAGAAACUAUGGCAAUUUUGCAAAAAGGUACCCACACACCUCUCCACAUUUGCAAAUAAGGCCUUUCCUCAUUCAUCCUUUUCUCUCACAAGAUAAACAAGUCACACAAAUGCAUCUUGAUGUUACGUGCAACGCACGGGCAUCUUGCUAGUAAAAAUGAAAACAAACGACAAAAAAAUAUUUGGACGGUGGUUCGAAGUCAUGACCGCGGGCACAGCGGACAAGGUGGCCUUGUAUUGGUAUGCUGAGCCGUCUGUUUUAACACACAGGAGCUGGUGUGGUGAUUAUACACACACGCACGCAUGCACACAAACUGCAUCCACGCAACACUCACACAAACACAUGCACCCACGCACGCACGCAACACUCACACGUACACACGCAGCCACGCACGCAUGCAACACUCACACGCACAUACGCACACAUGCAUGCACACACCACACACCAGUACACCACACGACCAACACACACUCUCACGCUAGAGUGCUCAACCUACACGUGCAUGCGCACACAUCAGGCCCUGACAGACACAUACACAACCAGGUGAUUCCCGCGCAUGGGUUGGAGCCUUGUCGCGCCUGCGUAAAUUUGUGUUUAUCUGACCUUUUCCCUAUGCGAACUGACAGGUGGGACCCACAAGGAACGUGGUCAAUUUAACUAGUCAACAUGGCACCAUGCAGACUAUUUGGCCGGUCAACAGAGUGCAAUCCGAUGCUGAACUAUGAGCAAGUGACCAUAUAAUCACCGCAAAACGUAUAUAGUGACCGUAAUCAGCUUAUUCUGAAGUUCGGUGACCGUAUUACGCUUUUCUCUCAGUAGGCCCUCCAAAACUACAUCUCUACACGUUCUCGCAUGUUACAUCUAACAACUAUGCAAUACAGCACUACUACUACACUCUAACACAAUAAAACAUAUGUGUUUUUAGUUUUACUAGAUAUCAUAUUGUUACUUAUAAUUAUUCAGUUUGCAUACAUUAAAAUUGCCUUUGAAAUGUAUGGCCAGUAUCAUCUACCGCGCGGGAAAAAUCCCGCCCUUUUUUUCCUGUUUAAUCGGGUUUGUAUCGAUGGAUCGUGCGAAACAGCAAAACUAUAGUACUAUACAGUACAAGUGACAGUUCACUGGGCCGUCGUGUCGUCUACUCCUCCGUCGUAAGAGUGGAGCGCUCGCUUUCAUAAAUCUUCUAGUCCCUUUCGCCGACAUGUGGGACAUCAAGCUACCGGGUCCACGUGCCAUACCGGAAUAUAGUGCAGAUGUCAGGACCCCGAUCCUAAGCCACAUCGAUCUAGCAUGUAACACAUCAUAUCACUUUGCGGCCUCACGCACGAUAUUCCCACGGGUGUCGCCUUACAUGCCCCGGGACCGUUUGCGCCUUUUGGCUCGCGUAUAUGAUAGUGUCGCUAACAUCCAUAUGACAGAGAACCCGGGCCGACAUGACUAGUCGUGAACCCAAAGUGGCACUAACUUACGGGGACAGGCAUACAUGAAUCAACAUCGAGCAUGUCGGUCAGCAGCGUGCGAAUCCGGGCUGUAGCACUGGGCUAAUAGGACUCCGGUGAACCGGGCUGUAGCAGGCUAGGCAGGACUCCGGAUGUCACCGCGUGACAUUUCCCCGAAGGGACAGACACAGGAACAAAGUGAAUCACAUGCCGGCCAGUCAAGUGUCCCGGAGCAGUAGUGCUGGGCUAGCAGGACUCCAGUGAACCGGGCUGUAGCGGACUACUAUGGCUCAUGGAAGCACAAGACUACAUUUCCCCAUAAGAGAGGCUACCAAGGAUAAACAAAUAUAUUGUCGGAUCCCACACAUACCAAGCAUUUCAAUCAUACACACAAUAAGCUCGAUAUGUGCAAAUACAACAUGGCAUCACAACAAGACUCUACGACUAGAGUAUUUAUUCAUUAGGCUCCGAAGAGCGAGAAAUUACAAACAUGGGUCUGAUGACCCAACAUUCAGAGCAUACAAAUCAAAGCACAUGCGGAAGCUUAACAUGUCUGAGUACAGACAACUAUAAAUGAAAAAGGCUAAGAAGCCUGACUAUCUACUAGAUCCUGCCGAGGGCACAAGAUCGUAGCUGAGGUAACAAGCUAAACGUCGAAGUCCACGCGGAACUACUAGUGAGACUGACGUCUCUGUACAAAAGCAUAAACUAAGCAAACAUGAGUACAAAUGUACCCAACAAGACAUACAUCAGAACUAGCUACAUAUGCAUCGGUAUCAAUAAAGGGGGUGGUGGAGUUUGACUACAGCAAGCCAGCUUUGACUCGGUGGCUAUCCUAAACUACACUGCAUGUAACUCGUUUGGGGUGGCGCACACGAGUCCACAUAUUCACCAUAUCAAUACACUACUAUGGAUAUGCUCCCGUCUCCCUACGAGAACGCCAUCCAUAACACUCACGCUUAUCUUGCGAGUUUUAGAGUAUCCACUUUCACUUGUCUAUGAACUGUUAUAGGCAAGCCAGAAGUCCUUUUCCGCGGACACGGCUAUUCGAAUAGAUGAUGUUAACCCUGCAGGGGUGUACUUCUUCACACACGCUCUCGCCACUUACCACCAUGUACACGACGUGUAUCUCGGCAACCUUCAAGUGGAAGCCUGGCGAGGGAGUCGGCCAUGACCUGACUAACCACACAAGUCUCUAGUCCAGGUUUAUCGCCUAUUCGGGUUCCAUUCGCAAGGAGAUCCGGCCGGGGUGUCUCUCAUGGCCCCAAACGAUGUGAGCAGGGUUCCCAAGCCCACCUCGACGGAUGGUUUUAUGCUUGGUACACCGUGCCACUAUGCCUAGUCUGUCCCAAGCCCACCUGUACCAGGUGCCACUUGGUAGACUACUAACACUACCUACAAACACCAGAAACUAGUUGCAACUCAUGGACAGAGAUCAUGUUGAUUAAUAAGUCGACAGGGGUCGAGUUACCGGAACCCAAUGUGUGGUAGUAACUGUUCAUGGAUCACAAACACAGAACUCAGUUCCUGAGGACGGCUGCAACGAGACAACCCACCAUGUACUCCUACAUGGCCUCUCACCGCUACCUUUACCAAAUCGUGUUCACACACUUAGCUCUCAACAAUAGGACAUGUUCACACACCUCCGAUUCAUCCCCGAUGAAUCAGACCUGACUCAACUCUAAGAAGUAGCAGGCAUGACAAACAAGCAUGAAUGAGUAGGCACAUCAGGGCUCAAACAAAUCCUACUCAUGCUAGUGGGUUUCAUCUAUUUACUGUGGCAAUGACAGGUCAUGCAGAGGAAAGGGGUUCAACUACCGCAGCAUGUAACAGUUGAAUCGUUGUUGUCCUAAUGCAGUAAAAGAGAGCAGGAGCGAGAGAGUGGGAUUGUAUCAGAAUGAACAAGGGGGGUUUUCUUGCCUGGCACUUCUGAAGAUAGUAUAGUUCUUCAUCGGUGUCAUCGAACUCAUCGUCGGAACCACGUCUAUCGAGAGGGGACAAUUACCGGCAACAGAGAAGAAAUACAAUCAAUGCAAUGCAACAAUAUGAUGCAUGAAUGUGACAUGGCAAUAUGUUGUUGAUUGGGUUAAUGCAACUAGCAGCAAGUUAGAUGGAGUUGGUUUGAACACUAGGUUCAAAUUCAAACUCCACUUAUACUAUUUGUCCUAAACAGCAGCUGUAAGUUGUUCUAACAUACAUGAAAGUGCCAUAUCCAGAUUCUUUGGAUUUUUCGGAUCAUUUUUCAUAUAUAAUUUAUUUCAUUCUGAGUUACGGUUGAUUUUCUAUGAUUUUCAGAAGUUUUAAACAUUUUCUGGAAUUUCUGAAUUGUUUUUAAUCCAGAAAAUGAUUUUCUACGUCAGCCUGACGUCAGUGUGACGUCAGCAGGUCAACUGAUCCUGUCUAGGUCAAACCUGACGUGGGGGUCCUACCUGUCAUUGACACGGUGGCUAAAUAGUGAUUAAUUAAACCUAACAAAACUAAUUAGCAGGCACUAGGGCCCACUGUCAGUGACUCUAGGUGAUUAAUUAGGCGCUAAUGACGGUGGCACGUCAUCAUCGCCGGACUCUGGCCGGCGGCGACCAUUCCACACGGCGGAGCUACAACUAGGCGGCGCUAGGGGCUGCGGUUAGGUGCAGUGCGACCACCAGGAGGGAGCCCAUGCUCGUCCGCAUCCAACGGAGUAGGCAGCGGCGGCUGGGGUGCACUAUACUUGCCGGAGACGAGCUCGCGGCGGCGGCCGAAGCUCGGGUGAGCUCGGGCAGUGGCUGUAGGGCACAUGGGAAGGAUCUGGUGGUGGCUACGGCUCCUGGAGAGGUGAGGAGGAUGACGACGCGUGCGGGAGCGGCUGGUUCGGGCACUGGCCACGGCGGCGCCAUGGCCGGCGACACGGAGCUCUCGGCUCGGGUGGCUAGGCUGGCUAGAGGAGGGUAUUGACUGCGGGGAGAGGGGGGAAACGCUCGGGGGAUCACAACGGUGCCGUAGGGAUGGCCAGCGUGCUCCGGGAAGCCCUGUGGACGACGAAUCGGCGGCGACGAUCUCCGGUGCCCGACGGUGAACACGACGAUUCCGGUGACGUUUUCCGGGCUUCUGGCGUUGGGAGGCUCGGUGAGGAGGAAGAGAGGAACGAGGCGGAGCUCGUGGGCAGCUCCAGGGGGCGUGGGAGAGGUGGUGGCCAUGGCUACGGCGAGCGGCGGCGGCGAACGCGCUCGGUGGUGCUGCGGGAGAGAGCAGAGGAGGGGGGAGGGGGUCCAGGGAGAGAGCGAGAGUGUCGAGAGGGAGUGCGUGGCACUCGGGGCUGGCUCCAGAAGUGGCGGAAGCAGGAGGUGGCUCGGGCGCGUGCCCGCGCGCGGUGGCCACACGCCUCGCGUCCUUCUGGCGUGAGGUGGGAGACGGUGGCAGCUCUGGUGGGCUGGGCCAGGUAAGUGGGCCGCCAGGUAGGUUUGGGGCCAGGUAGGUUUCAUGUUGCCUUUAUUUUUCUUUCUAUUUUCUAUUUCUUUUGCUCUGUUUUGAUUUAGUAAUAAUACUAAACCAUUUCAUAAAAUCCUGGAAAUAAUUAUGGGUGACUUCUGAAUUAUUCCAGUGACCCUUAACAAUUUCCAACAUUUUUGGUGCAUCUGAAAUAUAUAUAGCAUUCAAAUAGCUCCAAUUCAAAUAUGUUUGAAUUAAUUCAAAGACCAUAAAUGCCUUGGAAAAAUGUGCAUGACCUCUGGUAAAGGUUUUAACCUUUUUCCAUAAAUAAUGAACAUUUUUGAAGGGCAUUUUGGGUUUAUUGAAAAUAUUUUUAUUUUGAACCUAGUUGAAUUCAUUUGGUGGUAGGGUCUGGUCAUCCCCAAUUCAAAUUCAUUUGAAUUAAACAUGAUGACAUGAAUGCUUUCAUGCAAUUAACUACAAGCAAUUCUAGGGCUGUGCCAACUCACCCCCACUAAACAAGAAUCUCGUCCCGAGAUUCGAGACGUGAGGUAAGAAGACAGAGGGGACACAAGGCUAACACAAUCUUCACGGUCCAACUUCCCUUCUCGAAGAUGUUGAUUCGUUGCAUCAUCUUGAUCUUGACAUCUUGCUUGAGAACUCCACUCAACAUGACCACGAGAAGAAAUGGAAACUCUAGAAAAAUCGAUCUUCUCGAGGAUCGAGCAACUGACGAUCAACUCACGGAAUGAGGCAUAUAACACCUCUUUAGCUGAGAUGUUCAAACACACUUCGGGAGGGAUUGAAGAACAGAUGACGGGGUUUAAUUUGGUAGGCAACAAUUCCACGCUUGAGGAGAUGGUGAAUGGUUUCAAGAUAGCGAUGAAAUAAUUGCCAUGAUUCCAUAAACGGGCACCUUAGGGAAGGUGGCUCGUAGAAAUAUUCCCUUAAGUGGCAAAAAGAAUUACUUUUGAGUCAGAGAUCAUUGAAACUCUUUAUACCAGCCUAAGGCAAUCACAAAUGAUCGUUUGAAAGAAUUCAAAAGAAUGUCACACUCAAUUUGGAAAGGAAACUAUGGUUAUAGAACAACUCGGCAAAUGGAAGGCACAUUCCAGUUGAUACCAAGGAUAUAACCUAGUGACUGAGCGUGCUUUCAAGAACUUGAGCAUUUCCAUAUUCAUCAAGGUUUUACCAACAUCCGUGCCGAGGAUCCUGGCAACACAUCAUACUACCAUGAUGAACGGUGAUGGAGGAUGCAGGUGCAAAGGAGGACAUCACUUUCUCAGAUUUCUCCUUAGCAAUGCCAAAGAAGCAAAUCUGGAUGAUCGACCGAGAGACAUUUAGCACUCCGCUUCUAAUGUUCUCCUUGAUGUGCUAGUGUAACCCAUUUAUUGAUAUGGUUUGGUAUCUAGAACAUCAAGUAAAAGGUCAGACUUUGGGAGCACAAGAUUCCAUAAGGAACAGUUACGGAAGUAAAUCCUAUGAAAUCCUUAUGGGGAGGUGGCCAACUUCCUCAAUCAGGAUACUACAAUAAUAGGUCUUCCGGCUGGGUGUGUUGGCCACGACAUCCACUUCACCGGGUUACAGAGAGACCAAUAUUACAGUUCUCGGGAAGUUUUCCAACCAUCAUAUCUGCCUGAGAUUCAGAUCUAGUUGGUGUCAGGAUAUUCCAAACACAUCCAGUCUAGAGAGAAAAAUGAAAGUUUGCAACACAAAUCGACGAGAUGGCGUUGCGAGAUUCUCGGGAGAUGAACUAUGAUAGCAAGCUCCAAAACAUGAGCUGGUUCUGCUACAUACAUGUGAACAUGUUGUCCGAGACAUGCAUGACCACAUAGUAGUCUUACAACGAAACACUACCGAGUUCUGAUUGGGAACCAUCAUUGCGGAGAGCGAAGUCCUGCGCAUGUACCUUUGGGUCCUUAAGGAUUAGCAUUUAAGAACUUCUUUUCCUUGAACAAAUCAAUCAGUGGCUUGGUGUGCUAGGAACACAUAUGGAGUGGAGGCGGCCAACCUAUCAAACCAUAGAGCACUUCGCACGUGCAUGACUAACUUGGGAUGAUUCCAGGGGAGGCAGAAAUAAACCUUCUCAAAUUCAUGGCGGCAACUUGCAUCGAAUGCACAUGAUUUAGAGGAAGUCACUUCUUUCAUCCAAACAUAUCCUUCAUGAGGUAGCACGAAGAAAAUACUAGCACAAGUUUCCAACACUAGCUUAAUGUUCAACACGAGUCAUGGAGAAGAUAAGAAUGUUGCCGAUGGGCUCAACAACAAUCCAUCCAAGCUUCCAUAUAGAUGAAAUUCCACAAUUGAUUGAACAUGGUGACAACAUUAUGAAUAACGUUGGUUCUGAUUUGAUUUGAUGACAGCCCAUACACAAAUCAAAGGAUUGGUUAAGACAAUAACGUCGACAAUUGAUCACGAGGAUCAAUCGAUGAAGAUAUCAUCUUUCUUCAACACACACACAAACACAAGAUAUCCCUUUGGAAAUGAACUAAGUUAGACAAGCUUUUAUCUUCCAACUCUCCAAGUUGUUGUUUAGCUUGACCAACUAGCUCAGGGGUAUCCAACACAGAUUCUUGAAGAAGGGUGGUUUACAAGAAACCAACUUGAUUACGAACUCAACAUAGCGGUCAGGUGACAACCUAGUAACACUUCCGAGAAGAUAUUCGGAAAAUCACGAACCACCGAUAUGUUACUAAGCUCGAGAACAAUCUCGCUUUUCAGGGCAAGACGGUAUGAUCAAAUAAGCAAGGGAUUGAAUAAUCCUAACUCAUUGAUCGAAGAGUGCACCGGAAAUAAGGACUAGGUAGCACAAUCUAGAUUAGAAUGAUGAUUCAAUAACCAACACACUAAGAAUGAGAAUAUUGUCCAUUUACUACCAAGCAACGAGGUUGCUAGGAGUAUUGAUUUCACACAUCACGAUUCAUCCGUCGGCAUUCCGGUUACAAUAACACGGAAACCGAGGAAUGAGCAAUGAUGGCAAGAAGGAUUACUGCGUCAAGAGUUCAUAAGAGGUGGUGUAAUUCUCAUGACACUCUUGACAUAAAGAUGGUAACACUCCAAGGUAGAACAGAACAAAAACUCGAUUGACAUUUUGAUCUGUGGAAUACAACUACUUUGACCCAAUCCUAGAUAUGGAUGAGGUACUGGAGUUUGUUUCUCCUAGUCAUUCCAGAAUAGAAGGGCUUGACGAACCACAAGAAUAAUAGGCAUCGAUGAACACGAUCGCACACAUACUCUUGACUAUCAAUUGAUAUAUGAAGGUCGGAAUAUAACUGAAGGGGGACAACUCAAAGGAACAUAUAUCUUUCUGAGUUGUGGAUGCAUAGAUUAGUAUGUCGAGCAAAGCUCAACAUUUCCUCCGGAUAACCCAUGCAGAACGGUAGAACUGGCAGAUCCACAAUAUAACGGAGAACUCAUCAAGAGCACUUCGGUUGCGAUCUUUUGGUUCAACAAAACUUAUGCCAUAUGCAGUUCAUGGUAUUUGGAAGAAGAGAAUACCACAGACCUCGAGGACUAUCGCAAAGGUUACUAAUAUCCUAAAGGAACGAGCAAACACUAGCUACACGAAUUAAGUAGAGUGAAUCUUGGGUUCAAGAACCCAGAAAUAGAAUGCCUACUAACUAAAUGGCAUCACGGGAUGCUUUCGAGAAUAAUGGCCAGAAUCAUCACACUAGGAACACAAAACAUGGCUAGAUUACCUGGUGAUACUCUAGACAUCUAGGUUCAUAAUAAUAGCUCCAACAUAAAUGCCGAGGCUGCAGAGUACCUCAACUCACUAGUUAGUGUGGUUGAUCUGGCACAAAGGAUCUUCAGAAAGGUAAGAAGGAAUUUGCAAUUGCAUCAGACUGUUUAGAAACCUGGGAUGACUCGGAUAGCAUAAUGGUUGUAAAUGCUCAAAAGAUUUGAGACAUCCUGCAAAAUAGUGGCAUGACCACUCAGCAUCACAAUAUCAAGGUUCUGAGGCCAGCUAUGAACACACGGAAGUAGUAGGAACUGAACUGAGACUUGAAUCCAACAUUCCUAUAAGUCUACGGAUUAGUAACACGUGAUCCUGAUGGGAAGAUGAGAAGCCUAGUCCUUAAUCCCCGUAGAAAACAAGAGGCUGACUCAGAUCAGAAGGGCAUAAGGUAAAGGAGUAAAAAGAGCCUUACGUUCCCUUCCACAAUCAAUUCCCUUAUAUAACUAAAGCAUUUCUAGACUCAACUUUGACCAGUUUGGCUUCAUAAACCUACAGGCAGUCAGGCUCUGAUACCAAAGCUGUUAGGACCCUGAUCCUAAGCCACAUCGGUCUAGAAUGUAACACAUCAUAUCACUUUGCGGCCUCACGCACGGUAUUCCCACGGGUGUCGCCUUACAUGGCCCGGGACCGUUUGCGCCUUUUGGCUCGCGUAUAUGAUAGUGUCGCUAGCAUCCAUAUGACAGAGAACCCGGGCCGACAUGACUAGUCGUGAACCCAAAGCGGCACUAACUUAUGGGGACAUGCAUACAUGAAUCAACAUCGAGCAUGUCGGUCAGCAGCGUGCGAAUCCGGGCUGUAGCACUGGGCUAACAGGACUCCGGUGAACCGGGCUGCAGCAGGCUAGGCAGGACUCCGGAUGUCACCGCGUGACAUUUCCCCGAAGGGACAGACACAGGAACAAAGUGAAUCACAUGCCGGCCAAUCAAGUGUUCCGGAGCAGUAGUGCUGGGCUAGCAGGACUCCGGUGAACCGGGCUGUAGCGGACUACUAUGGCUCAUGGAAGCACAAGACUACAUUUCCCCAUAAGAGAGGCUACCAAGGAUAAAUAACUAGAUUGUCGGAUCCCACACAUACCAAGCAUUUCAAUCAUACACACAAUAUGCUCGAUAUGUGCAAAUAGAACAUGGCAUCACAACAAGACUCUACGACUCAGAGUAUUUAUUCAUUAGGCUCCGAAGAGCGAGAAAUUACAAACAUGGGUCUGAUGACCCAACAUUCAGAGCAUACAUGUCAAAGCACAUGCGGAAGCUUAACAUGUCUGAGUACAGACAACUAUAAAUGAAAAAGGCUGAGAAGCCUGACUAUCUACUAGAUCCUGCCGAGGGCACAAGAUCGUAGCUGAGGUAACAAGCUAAACGUCGAAGUCCACUCGGAACUACUAGUGAGACUGACGUCUCUCUGCAAAAGCAUACAUUAAGCAAACGUGAGUACAAAUGUACCCAGCAAGACUUACAUCAGAACUAGCUACAUAUGCAUCGGUAUCAAUAAAGGGGGUGGUGGAGUUUGACUACAGCAAGCCAGCUUUGACUCGGUGGCUAUCCUAACCCACGACUUCAAGUAACUCUUUUGGGGUGGCGCACACGAGUCCACAUAUUCGCCAUAUCAAUACACUACUAUGGAUCCGCUCCCGUCUCCCUACGAGAACGCCGUCCAUAGCACUCACGCUUAUCUUGCGAGUUUUAGAGUAUCCACUUUCACUUGUCUAUGAACUGUUAUAGGCAACCCAGAAGUCCUUUUCCGCGGACACGGCUAUUCGAAUAGAUGAUGUUAACCCUGCAGGGGUGUUCUUCUUCACACACGCUCUCGCCACUUACCACCAUGUACACGACGUGUAUCUCGGCAACCUUCAAGUGGAAGCCUGGCGAGGGAGUCGGCCAUGACCUGACUAACCACACAAGUCUCUAGUCCAGGUUUAUCGCCUAUUCGGGUUCCAUCCACAAGGAGAUCCAGCCGGGGUGUCUCUCAUGGCCCCAAACGAUGUGACCAGGGUUCCCAAGCCCACCUCGACAGAUGGUUUUACGCUUGGUACACCGUGCCACUCUGCCUAGUCUGUCCCAAGCCCACCUGUACCAGGUGCCACUUGGUAGACUACUAACACUACCUACAAACACCAGAAACUAGUUGCAACUCAUGGACAGAGAUCAUGUUGAUUAAUAAGUCGAGAGGGGUCGAGUUACUGGAACCCAAUGUGUGGUAGUAACUGUUCAUGGAUCACAAACACAGAACUCAGUUCCUAAGGACGGCUACAACGAGACAACCCACCAUGUACUCCUACAUGGCCUCUCACUGCUACCUUUACCAAAUCGUGUUCACACACUUAGCUCUCAACAGAAGGACAUGAAAAGCUGUCAGGACCCCGAUCCUAAGCCACAUUGAUCUAGCCUGUAACACCUCAUAUCACUUUGCGGCCUCACGCACGGUAUUCCCACGGGUGUCGCCUUACCAUGGCCCGGGACCGUUUGCGCCUUUUGGCUCAUGUAUAUGAUAGUGUCGCUAGCAUCCAUAUGACAGAGAACCCGGGCCGACAUGGCUAGUCGUGAACCCAAAGCGGCACUAACUUACGGGGACAGGCAUACAUGAAUCAACAUCGAGCAUGUCGGUCAGCAGCGUGUGAAUCCGGGCUGUAGCACUGGGCUAACAGGACUCCGGGAACCCGGGCUGUAGCAGGCUAGGCAGGACUCCGGAUGUCACCGCGUGACAUUUCCCCGAAGGGACAGACACAGGAACGAACUGAAUCACAUGCCGGCCAGUCAAGUGUGCCGGAGCAGUAGUGCUGGGCUAGCCGGACUCCGGUGAAUCGGGCUGUAGCGGACUACUAUGGCUCAUGGAAGCACAAUACUACAUUUCCCCAUAAGAGAGGUUACCAAGGAUAAACAACUAGAUUGUCGGAUCCCACACAUACCAAGCAUUUCAAUCAUACAGACAAUAUGCUCGAUAUGUGCAAAUACAACAUGGCAUCACAACAAGACUCUAUGACUCACAGUAUUUAUUCAUUAGGCUCCGAAGAGCGAGAAAUUACCAACAUGGGUCUUGUCGGUGUCAAAACCGGCGGAUCUCGGGUAGGAGGUCCCGGUCUGUGCGUCUUAGGCUGAUGGUAACAGGAAGCAAGGGACACAAUGUUUACCCAGGUUCGGGCCCUCUCGAUGGAGGUAAAACCCUACUUCCUGCUUGAUUAAUAUUGACGAUAUGAUUAGUACAAGAGUAGAUCUGCCACGAGAUCGUAGAGGCUAAACCCUAGGAGCUAGCCUAUGAUGAUUAUGACUAUAAUUGUGAUCGGCCUUCUAAGGACCAACCUCUCCAGUUUAUAUAGACACCGGAAAGGGCUAGGGUUUACAUGGAGUCGCUUACAAGGAAGGAAACACAAUAUCCGGAUUGCCAAGCUUGUCUUCCACGCAGAGGAGAGUCCCAUCCGGACACGGGACGGAGUCUUGAGUCUUGUAUCUUCACGCUUCAAUAGUCCGGACGAUGUAUAUAGUCCGGCUGCCCGGAUACCCCCUAAUCUAGGACUCCCUCAGUAGCCCCUGAACCAGGCUUCAAUGACGAUGAGUCCGGCGCGCAGUCUUGUCUUCGGCAUUGCAAGGCGGGUUCCUUCUCCGAAUACUCCAAAGUAACCAUCGAACACGUAGACCGUGUCCGGAUCUACAAAAUGAUCUUCACAUACCGCCGUAGAGAGAAUGAUAUUUCACAAUGCAAUCUGCUGACAACUUUUUUAGACAACGUGAUAUGUCAUUACGGUCGGGUAAUUGGAACCGUUUUCCUUCACCAGCCACAGCGCAUAUUGCGAGGCAGUUUCCUUGACACGUCUUGUCAAGGCAGAGAUCGUGUCCCCUUAUCACGGGAUUCUCAUCAAUACGGGUAUGGGUAAUCCCCCCAUGCCAUCAAUCGUGGCGCUUGGGAAAUAAGCGAUCCUCAACGGGCCAGCGGGGAGGCGCACCACUUUCGUCGCCUCUAUAAGGGGAUAAGAGUUCCCCAUUUUUACCCACGCCUUCUUCCUCCUUGGCCCGCUGUUGCCCCCUCGAGCUCCAGCGCUCUAGCUCAAGUCUUCUCCGCAUAGCUAAAGGUGUCCGGAGCAGGAGGCAAGUGGGUGGCUUCCACCGUGAAGGAGAAGCACAUAGCAAAUCUUCGGGCAGCCGGAUACUUGGCCGCGGACAUAGCGCACCGGCUACCAGACGACGGGCAGGUCAUUCCAACCCCGGGACCCCACGAGAGGGUCGUGUUUCUCGCCCAUUUCGUUCGUGGACUGGGGUUUCCACUUCACCCCUUCGUCCGCGGGCUCAGGUUCUACUACGGGCUAGAUUUCCAUGAUCUAGCCCCGAAUUUCAUCCUCAACAUCUUGGCGUUUAUCGUCGUGUGCGAGGCCUUCUUCCGCAUCAAGCCUCACUUCGGCUUGUGGCUGCAAAUCUUCUGCGUGAAGCCGAAGGUCGUGAGCGGCCAGCAAGCGGAGUGCGGAGGGGCCAUGGUGGGCAAGAUGCCCAAUGUCACCUGGCUUGAUGGCUCCUUUGCGGAGACCGUGAAAGGGUGGCAGUCGGGGUGGUUCUACAUCACCGAGCCGCGCGGCGCCAACUGGGCGGCCGCCCCCGAAUUUCGAUCCGGAACCCCUAUGCGGAUCACCUCCUAGGAAAAGAAGGGCCUGGCCUGGGGCGAACCUACCGAGCUGACCGGGCUCCAAAACUGCAUCAAGAGCAUGAAGGACAAGAACAUCAAGCUUGUCAACAUGAUCUAGGUCAUGCUUGUUCGCCCGAUUCUUCCGUGCCAAAGGCGGACAUUCAAUCUGUGGGAGUUCGUCCCGGCCGAACACCAGACGCUUCAGAGGCUCUACGGCAUGAAGCACAAAGACGCAUGGAAGGCACUAUUCAAGGCCUCCAAAGUUCCCCCUCCCAUAUUUUAGGACCAUGGUCUUCAUGCCGUGCGACCUCCUCGUCCGGUGAGUAUUCUAACUACCACCAGAUUCUGUUCUUCCCAAUAUAUUCAUGAGGGAGUAUUAAAUAAUUGUGCAUGUUUGAUCAGGAUUAUGUGGAGAUAGCGGAGCAGAUUGACUGCCCGGCUCCGCUCCCCGAAGGUCCGGCCGAUGCUCUCCUGAUGGAGAUGCUAGUCCCGGCGCCCUACAGGGUGCCAGAGAAGAAGGCCGCCAAGAAGGCCCCGAGGACCAGGAAGGGUCUCCGACGUAAGAUCACAUCGGAAGCCUCGUCCGAAGACGAUGAGGCGCUCUCCUCCCACGAAGGGGAGGAAGAAGAAGGAGGGGCCACCCCAUCCAGAGAGGAUGAGGGGCCUGAGAAGGCGGACCAGGGGGCCAGGAAAGGCCCUCAACGCAAGGCCGUCAUACCCUCAUCGUCUGAUGACGACGAGACUGAUUCCUCCCGCGGAGGCGGGGGGAAACAGGAGGAAACCCUGCUUCCCCGCACUAAGGGGGAGAAGAAGAGGAAAGCCGCCCCGGAGGGGGAGGCUGGGACGUCCAAGAAGGGAAAGGUGUCCCUUCCGGACUACUCCGCCACAGCCGCCCAUAGCAAGGAGGGGUGGCUGCCCAGGGGGAAGCCCCUAGCGCGAUCAUAAGCCCCCGCACUCUAUCGUGACCUUACUUCAUAGUCUUUUUAUAACGCCGAACAUAUAUGCAGUCCGGCCAGGGUUCAUCCUGAGGUAUCAUCUUCGGAUGGAUCCCUGAGCGUUUCAGUGAUGAACUCGCUCCCGACGGCCACUACUCCUCAACCCGCAGAUGACACAGAGGUGUUGUCCCGAAGGCUCCUAGAGCAGGGGGAGGUGGCUCUAGAGACGCCCGGAGGCGGAAUUCCAGAUGUCGGACACGCGGGGUUCAAGAUCCCCGCGGAUCGUCCUGAUGAGAGCCGCAGCAAGCCGGACUCUCAUCCGGAUACUGAGCCGGAGCCUUCAGUGGCCCCGGAUGCUGGCAGGCGGCCCCUCACCAGGGAGGGCGAGCCGUCCGUGCCGAUGACUUCCGCCCCGCCCGAGGCAUCGGAUAGUCUGCUGGGAGCGCUUCGCAGCGCUUCCAUAGAUGACGAGCACCGUACUCUUAUGGGUGCGGUGAUUCAGAAGGUUCUAUCCGCCAAGAGCGGACUGACCGAAGCGUGUACCAGCCUCCUGACAGGCUUUGAGGUAAGUAAUAAAAAUGUGUAAAAUUACCACCCGAUAGGUAGUAGCCCCUGAUACUCUGUUUGGUGUUCGAAAAGAAAAGCCAAACGGAGGGUCAAUUAUAAACCGCAGGAGUCUAACAAUAAGUAUUCAUGUGAAUAAGCAGGCUGUGCUGGUUGCCGCUGCUGCCCGCACAGCCGAGGUCGCCGAACUGAAGCGGGACCUGGAGCGGGCACAGGGAGAGCUCGACCUCACUAAGAGGCAGCUCGAAGAGAACAAAGGUGAGUAAUUCCCCGUUCUCACAUAAUGAAGGAUAUAUAAAAUUGGUUAUGCUAACGACGAAACGUCGUGAUUUCGUAACAGGGGCCACCACCGAAGUGGCCUCUCUGAAGAAAGCGUUGUCCGAGGCCGAAGAUAAGGGGGCCUUGGAACGCACAGAGCGCAGAAAGCAAGAACCUAGAGUGGGCGAGGUACAACAAGAGCUCCGGGACCUCGGCAAGAAGUUCGAGUCCGUGGAGCAGGAUCUGAAGAUUAAAGAGGCCGAGCUUGCGAAGGCCCUUGUGAGUAUGAAAGACGCCAAGGCCGAAGCCGAGAAAGCACAGUCGAAUUCGGAGCUCUCCAGGGGCAUUCGCGGAUCUACCACGCAGCAUAUCAGAUGCCGCGGAGUUCUACCGUGCCCAAGAGGGGAGCUCAACGGAGAAGCUGUUCUGGUCCCAGUAUGCUGGGGCCGAACACCCAAUGCCUCUGAGUGACCAACUGAAACAAUUGGUCGAACUCCAUAGGGUGGCCGAAGUGACUAUGAGAGAUUUCAUAGUCCGGAUGUGGCCUGGUGAGCCCCUGCCGGCUAGCUACUUCGGGCUGAUCAAGCGGAUGGUAAAUGCCUGUCCGCGGCUCGAAGUCAUCAAGCGAUACGUUUGCAUUGAGGGUGCCCGCCGGGCCUUUGCCCGCGCGAAGGUGCAUUGGGGCAAGCUGGAUGCGGAGAAGCUGGUGAAGGACGGGCCGCCCGAGGGCAAGGCGCAUCGCUAUCUGGAGAACUAUUACGAUGGCGUUAUGAAGGGCGCUCAUCUUGUGGCCGAUGAAUGUACCAAGGACACAAUUUUUGAAUGAAUUCACUUCUGUCAUGUUUGUAAUUUAAGGACGAAGUUACUUGCGCUAUGUAGCACUUCUGUAUUUAAAAUAUUACCUUCUGUGCGGCUGUUUAUAAAAUUCUCAAAGUAGGCCAGUCGUCGGCUUCCGCCCCCACAUAACUAGUACUGGGUGUUCCUGGAAAACCCGGACACUCUUUAUCCAAAUGUUUGGUCCCUUAAGGAGGUAUCCGGCGCAGCGAACAAGGCAAUCAGACUAUGCGGCUUUAUAACUUUCACUUAGCCAUAGAAGUCUACAAUUUUAAAUUUCGGCGAAGCCCCUAGAAUCCGGAAGGCUGAAUUGGGGCGCUAUAUACGCCUAGAUCGGACGAAGCCGAUUCCACGCCUAAAGCGGAAAAAUCUUUAAGGAUUUUAAGACCUCUCGAACAGCGACCAGCUCUCGCCACAUCAUGCCGGUCAGUUUUCGGCUUUAUCUACUGAGAUGCUCGUCCGGAAGAACCAGGACACAAUCGCAGUAGUUCUCCCUGCGCUACCUUAGCCGACAUAACGGAACGUAAGGUACCAAAACAAGGGAGUCGGGCUAACCCAACUGUAGACCCAAGACAUGAUUCGGAGCUGAUGCAUAUAGUGCUAUAAGUUCGGGGUGCCGCACUGUUGAAAGUGUUCGGACUUUACUUGCCGUAUUACGGGGUGCCAUAAGAGCCCCUGGCAAACUGACCGUACCAGAGCGUACGGAUGCAAUAUUUAGAUAAACAUUUGUAAGAAAAAAUGCUGAAAUAAGAGUAAUAAGCUGAUGCUAUAUAUGAUCUCCCAUUGAUGAAUAAUAUGUUUAAGCGUAUGUUUUACAAUGAAUGCAUUGAGCGGAGGUAAAUAGGACUAUUUGACAUGUCCCAUCCAGGGGCAGGCCGCGUACAGAUAGAUAAAACAGGUAUAACGAUCGUAAAUAGAUUCCACCUGGGUGUUCCCUUCUGUGCGCAAAGCCUGUUGCCUCCUUGGUUUUCUCCCCUGUAUAGGUCCGACAAUCCGGCUUUUCUGAAGGGGUUGCUCUAAGGCAAUGGCCUGAAAGGUAAAAAGGAAAGGUUAUGAAGGUACGUUGCGGUGAUACCGCACUGUUGACUGAGUCACUUUUGCGCCUCGGCCUGUGCCCAUGGUAUUUUGAGUGCGUAAUUGUGUACGCGUGGCACGAGUGCUGCUUCGAUGGGGUUUGAGCGGAGGCCGGACUGCUAGUCGCGCUCUUGACAUGCCUGGUGAUCCUGUUGCGGGGUGCUCCGGACUCGCUUGACGGUGCUUGAGGUUGUCGUCGCCGGAUUGGUGGUUUGCCAGAGGAGACUGCAUUGUACUUCUGCCGCGAGGGCCGCAGUAUGCUCUUCUGUACGGAGAGAGCGGUCCAUGUUUCCAUUGACUGUUAUGACCCCGCGCGGGCAUGGCAUCUUGAGCUUGAGGUAUGCAUAGUGUGGCACCGCAUUGAAUCUAGCGAAUGCGGUUCGUCCGAGCAGUGCGUGGUAACCACUGCGGAAAGGGACGAUAUCAAAGAUUAACUCUUCGCUUCGGAAGUUAUCUGGAGAUCCGAAGACCACUUCCAAUGUUAUAGAGCCCGUGCAACGGGCCUCUACUCCAGGAAUUACACCUUUAAAGGUGGUUUUGGUGGGCUUGAUCCUUGAAGGGUCGAUGCUCAUUUUGCGCACUGUGUCCUGAUAAAGCAGGUUCAGGCUGCUGCCUCCGUCCAUAAGGACUCGCGUGAGGUGGAAUCCGUCGAUGAUUGGGUCUAGGACCAAUGCGGCUGAGCCGCCGUGACGGAUGCUAGUAGGGUGAUCCCUACGAUCAAAGGUGAUCGGACAAGCUGACCAGGGGUUAAAUUUGGGGGCGAUUGGCUCCAUCGCAUAGACGUCCCGUAGUGCUCGCUUCCGUUCCCGCUUGGGGAUGUGAGUGGCGUAGAUCAUGUUGACCGUUUUCACUUGGGGGCGGGGGGGGGGGGUUUCUUAUGUCCCCCCGUGUUCAGACGCCGGGGCUCCUCGUCAUCGUCGCUGUGCAGCCCCUGGUCCUUGUUUUCGGCGUUUAUUUUACCGACCUAUUUGAACACCCAGCAUUCUCUAUUGGUGUGGUUGGCUGGCUUGUCUGGGGUGCCGUGAAUUUGGCACGAGCGUUCUAGUAUGCGGUCCAGACUGGACGGUCCUUCAUUGCUCCUUUUGAACGGCUUCUUCCGCUGAUCGGAUUUGGAUCCACUGAAUCCGGCGUUGACUGCCGUGUCUUCGGUGUUGUCGCCGUUGUUCCGUCGCUUGUGUCUAUUGCGCCGUGGCUUGCCGUUAUUGUCGCGGACAUCCGAAGUGCCGGAAUGUGGCGUGGUGCUGCUGCGAGCCAACCAGCUGUCUUUGUCCGCGCAAAAGCGGGUCAUUAGUGUUGUGAGAGCUGCCAUGGACUUGGGUUUUUCCUGGCCGAGGUGUCGGGCGAGCCAUUCGUCACGGAUAUUAUGCUUAAAAGCCGCCAAGGCUUCGGCAUCCGGACAGUCGACUAUUUGGUUCUUUUUAGUUCGGAACCGAGUCCAGAAUUUCCGGGCUGACUCGCCGGGCUGUUGAGUAAUGUGGCUCAAGUCAUCGGCGUCCGGUGGUCGCACAUAUGUGCCCUGGAAGUUUUCGAGCAAUGCGUCUUCCAAGUUUUCCCAACUGCCAAUGGAAUUUGCUGGCAGGUUGUUUAGCCAGUGCCGGGCUGGUCCUUUGAGCUUAAGGGGAAGAUACUUGAUGGCGUGUAGAUCGUCUCCGCGGGCCAUGUGAAUGUGGAGAAGGAAAUCUUCAAUCCAUACUGCGGGGUCUGUUGUGCCAUCGUAUGAUUUGAUGUUUACGGGUUUGAACCCUUCUGGGAAUUCAUGAUCCAUCACUUCGUCAGUGAAGCAGAGGGGGUGCGCGGCGCCUCUGUGCCGGGCUAUGUGGCUACGCAGUUGGAAUUGGUCUGGGUUGCUGUGUUCGGCCCGGCUGGACUUGUUGAUAAUGUAUCCGGUCUGACGAUCAUCGUCAUGUGCUGGGGCGCGCCCCCGCGAUCCGUAGAUUGAUCUUGGCUGUCCUGCUCUGUUUUCCAGUAUAUCUUGCAAGUCUUGCCUGUUACCCCGGGCCGUAGUGUAUCGGCGUGGGGGUGCGGGCUGGUAUUCGGGCUGAUACCCCGCUUUAUCCCGGCCAUGAGGUGGCCGGUCAGCCGUUUGGCGCUCGAGUCCAUAUUCCUCGGCUGCCAGGACUUCUGUCCAUCUGUCUGUGAGCAGGUCUUGAUCAGCUUGAACCUGCUGUUGCUUCUUCUUCAGGCUCCUCGCAGUGGCAAUAAGCCGACGCUUGAAGCGCUCCUGCUCCACGGGGUCCUCAGGCACGCCGAACUCGUCGUCGCCGAGGCUAAUCUCGUCUUCGGAGGUGGGCAUGUAGUUGUCCUCCUCCGGUUACCCAUAAGUCGCCUGCGCAUCUGGGCUGUCCUGCCCAUCUUCCUGUUCGGCCUGCUCGAAGGCGGGCUGGUCGGGGUUGUAUUCAUCUUCGACGCCGUCCGGAUUGUUUUCGUCUCCGGUGCCGGCAUUGCCGUGGCUGGGCUUGGAGCGGCGCUGGCGACGCCCAUGCUUUGCUUUCUUCUUGGAGGGGUUAUCCUCCAUUGCCUCAUCGCCAUUGGUUUCUUUCGGGGUGUCCACCAUAUAUAUGUCGUAUGAAGAGGUGGUUGUCCACAGCCCCGUGGGUGGUGGUUUCUGUUCUUCUCCUACAUCGUCGUCCAAACCGUCGAUGUCUUCGGAGUCGAAGUCAAGCACGUUGGUCAAAUCAUCGACCGUGGCUAUUAAGUGGGAGGUGGGUGGGCAACGAAUUCCUUCGUUGCUAGCUUCCCACUCGAGCCGGACAUAGUUCGGCCGAGAGCCUUCUGACAAAGAGAGAGACUUUAAUGAAUUCAGCAUGUCGCCGAAGGGCGAGUGCUGGAAGAUAUCCGCAGUGGUAAACUCCAUUACCGGAGCCCAGCCGGACUCGGCGGGCUCGGGAGCGUGCGGACUGGAACCAACAACCGGAUACGAGUCCGGGGGUCCGGAGUCACAGGCUUCCAAAGAGGUGAGACCUGUGUUCGGCUCCACCGCCGAUGAGUGUGCGGCCUGCGGGGCGGGGUCCAUCCACCCAUCCUUAGGCCACGCAGCCUGCUCCGGAUUUAGGUUCGGGACUACUGCAGAGGUAAUAUCCUGAGCAUUAUCCGACGGUAGGUCUAGGCCGUGCUCAUCGUGACUGCCCGAUUCCGUCGAGGAUCAAGUCUCCGCGGAUAUCGGCUGUGUAGUUCAGGUUUCCGAACCUGACCUGGUGGCCAGGGGCGUAGCUGUUGAUUUGCUCCAGAUGGCCAAGCGAAUUGGCCCGCAGUGCGAAGCCGCCGAACAUGAAGAUCUGUCCGGGGAGAAAAGUCUCACCCUGGACCGUGUUGCCGACGAUUGAAGGUGCCAUCAAGCCUCGCAGCGACGACACAGAGGAACUCUCAAUGAAAGCACCAAUGUCGGUGUCAAAACCGGCGGAUCUCGGGUAGGGGGUCCCGAUCUGUGCGUCUUAGGCUGAUGGUAACAGGAAGCAAGGGACACAAUGUUUACCCAGGUUCGGGCCCUCUCAAUGGAGGUAAAACCCUACUUCCUGCUUGAUUAAUAUUGACGAUAUGAGUAGUACAAGAGUAGAUCUACCACGAGAUCGUAGAGGCUAAACCCUAGGAGCUAGCCUAUGAUGAUUAUGACUGUAAUUGUGAUCGGCCUUCUAAGGACCAACCUCUCCGGUUUAUAUAGACACCGGAAAGGGCUAGGGUUUACAUGGAGUCGGUUACAAGGAAGGAAACACAAUAUCCGGAUCGCCAAGCUUGUCUUCCACGCAAAGGAGAGUCCCAUCCGGACACGGGAUGGAGUCUUGAGUCUUGUAUCUUCACGCUUCAAUAGUCCGGACGAUGUAUAUAGUCCGGCGGUCCGGAUACCCCCUAAUCCAGGACUCCCUCAGGUCUGAUGACCCAACAUUCAGAGCAUACAAGUCAAAGCACAUGCGGAAGCUUAACAUGUCUGAUUACAGACAACUAUAAAUGAAAAAGGCUGAGAAGCCUGACUAUCUACUAGAUCCUGCCGAGGGCACAAGAUCGUAGCUGAGGUAACAAGCUAAACAUCGAAGUCCACGCGGAACUACUAAUGAGACCGACGUCUCUCUCCAAAAGCAUAAAUUAAGCAAACGUGAGUACAAAUGUACCCAGGAAGACUUACAUCAGAACUAGCUACAUAUGCAUCGGUAUCAAUAAAGGGGGUGGUGGAGUUUGACUGUAGCAAGCCAGCUUUGACUCGGUGGCUAUCCUAAACUACGACUGCAAGUAACUCUUUUGGGGUGGCGCACACGAGUCCACAUAUUCACCUUAUCAAUACACUACUAUGGAUCCGCUCCCGUCUCCCUACGAAAACGCCAUCCAUAGCACUCACGCUUAUCUUGCGAGUUUUACAGUAUCCACUUUCACUUGUCUAUGAACUGUUAUAGGCAAGCCAGAAGUCCUUUUCCACGGACACAGCUAUUCGAAUAGAUCAUGUUAACCCUACAGGGGUGUACUUCUUCACACACGCUCUCGCCACUUACCACCAUGUACACGACGUGUAUCUCGGCAACCUUCAAGCGGAAGCCUGGCGAGGGAGUCGGCCACGACCUGACUAACCACACAAGUGUCUAGUCCAGGUUUAUCGCUUAUUCGGGUUCCAUCCGCAAGGAGAUCCGGUCGGGGUGUCGCUCACGGCCCCAAACAAUGUGAACAGGGUUCCCAGGCCCACCUCGACGGAUGGUUUUACGCUUGGUACACCGUGCCACUGUGCCUAGUCUGUCCCAAGCCCACCUGUACUGGGUGCCACUUGGUAGACUACUCACACUACCUACAAACACCAAAAACUAGUUGCAACUCCUGGACAGAGAUCAUGUUGAUUAAUAAGUCCAGAGGGGUCGAGUUACCGGAACCCAAUGUGUGGUAGUAACUGUUCAUGGAUCACAAACACAGGACUCAGUUCCUGAGGACGGCUGCAAUGAGACAACCCACCAUGUACUCCUACAUGGCCUCUCACCGCUACCUUUACCAAAUCGUGUUCACGCAAUUAGCUCUCAAUAGUAGGACAUGUUCACACACCUCCGAUUCAUCCCCGAUGAAUCAGACCUCACUCAACUCUAAGCAGUAGUAGGCAUGACAAACAAGCAUGAAUGAGUAGGCACAUCAGGGCUCAAACAAAUCCUACUCAUGCUAGUGGGUUUCAUCUAUUUACUAUGGCAAUGACAGGUCAUGCAGAGGAAAGGGGUUCAACUACCGCAACAUGUAACAGUUGAAUCAUUGUUGUCCUAAUGCAGUAAAAGAUUGCAGGAGCGAGAGAGUGGGAUUGUAUCGGAAUGAACAAGGGGGUUUUGCUUGCCUGGCACUUCUGAAGAUAGUAUAGUUCUUCAUCGGUGUCAUCAAACUCAUAAUCGGAACCACGUCUAUCGAGAGGGGACAAUUACCAGCAACAGAGAAGAAAUACAAUCAAUGCAAUGCAACAAUAUGAUGCAUGAAUGUGACAUGGCAAUAUGUUGUUGAUUGGGCUAAUGCAACUAGCAGCAAGUUAGAUGGAGUUGGUUUGAACACUAGGUUCAAAUUCAAACUCCAUAUGUGCUUUCUUAAAUGCCACUUAUAUGAUUUAUCCUAAACAGCAGCUGUAAGUUGUUCUAACAUGCAUGAAAAUGCCAUAUUCAGAUUCUUUGGAUUUUUCUGAUCAUUUUUCAUAUAUAAUUUAUUUCAUUCUGAGUUACGGUUGAUUUUCUAUGAUUUUUAGAAGUUUUAAACAUUUUCUGGAAUUUCUGAAUUGUUUUUAAUCCAGAAAAUGAUUUUCUGCGUCAGCCUGAUGUCAGUGUGACGUCAGCAGGUCAACUGACCCUGUCUAGGUCAAACCUGACGUGCGGGUCCUACCUGUCAUUGACACGGUGGCUAAACAGUGAUUAAUUAAACCUAACAAAACUAAUUAGCAGGCACUAGGGCCCACUGUCAGUGACUCUAGGUGAUUAAUUAGGCGCUAAUGAUGGUGCCACUUCAUCAUCGCCGGACUCUGGCCGGCGGCGACCAUUCCGCAUGGCGGAGCUGCAGCUCGGUGGCGCUAGGGGCUGCGGUUUGGUGCGGUGCAACCACCAGGAGGGAGCCCAUGGCCGUCCGCAUCCAACGGAGUAGGCAGCAGCGGCUGGGGUGCACUAUAGUCACCGGAGACGAGCUCGCGGCGGCGGCCAAAGUUCGGGUGAGCUCGGGCGGUGGCUGUAGGGCACAUUGGAAGGAUCUGGUGGUGGCUACCGCUCCUGGAGAGGUGAGGAGGACGACGACGCGUGCGGGAGCGGCUGGUUCGGGCUCUGGCCACGGCAGCGCCAUGGCCGGCGAUGCGGAGCUCUCGGCUCGGGUGGCUAGGCUGGCUAGAGGAGGGGAUUGACUGCGGGGAGAGGGGGGAAACGCUCGGGGGCUCACAACAGUGCCGUAGGGAUGGCCAGCGUGCUCGGGGAAGCCCUGUGGACGAUGAAUCGGCGGCGACGAUCUCCGGUGCCCGACGGUGAACACGAUGAUGCCGGCGACGUUUUCGGGGCUUCUGGCGUUGGGAGGCUCGGUGAGGAGGAAGAGAGGAACGACGCGGAGCUCGUGGGCAGCUCCAGGGGGCGUGGGAGAGGUUGUGGCCAUGGCUACGGCGAGCGGCGGCGGCGAACGCGCUCGGUGGUGCUGCGGGAGAGAGCAGAGGAGGGGGAGGGGGUCCAGGGAGAGAGUGAGGGGGUCGAGAGGGAGUGCGUGGCACUCGGGGCUGGCUCCAGAAGCGGCGGAAGCAGGAGGUGGCUCGGGCACGUGCCCGCGCGCGGUGGCCACACGCCUCGCGUCCUUCUGGCGCGAGGUGGGAGAUGGUGGCAGCUCUGGUGGGCUAGGCCAGGUAAGUGGGCCGCCAGGUAGGUUUCCUGUUGCCUUUAUUUUUCUUUCUAUUUUCUAUUUCUUUUGCUUUUUUUUGAUUUAGUAAUAAUACUAAACCAUUUCAUAAAAUCCUGGAAAUAAUUAUGGGUGACUUCUGAAUUAUUCCAGUGACCCUUAACAAUUUCCAACAUUUUUGGAGCAUCUGAAAUAUAUAUAGCAUUCAAAUAGCUCCAAUUCAAAUAUGUUUGAAUUAAUUCAAAGACCAUAAAUGCCUUGGAAAAAUGUGCAUGACCUCUGGUAAAGGUUUUAACCUUUUUCCAUAAAUAAUGAACAUUUUUGAAGGGCAUUUUGGGUUAAUUGAAUAUAUUUUUAUUUUGAACCUAGUUGAAUUCAUUUUGUGCUAGGGUUUGGUCAUCCCCAAUUCAAAUUCAUUUGAAUUAAACAUGAUGACAUGAAUGCUUUCAUGCAAUUAACUACAAGCAAUUCUAGGGCUGUGACAGCAGAGCAGCCGGGGUGAAGCACCCCAGUCAUGGCGCCGGCGUAGUAAUGAGCAAAUAGGCGUCAAAUCACAAAGUUGCACCUUUCCCGCAGUUAAGUUGGAGGGACGAAGUAAUAAUGCUAAAAAAAGAAGUUGGAGGGACGAAGCAACCAUCAUUUCACUCGUUGCUGAAUCCGCUUCUCCCUCAUCUUCUUCAACUUAACCACGUGUUUCUUCUGCCGUUGUUCUGCCUCAUGUGGGACGCGGAUCGGCUUGGUAAAGCACUGAGACGUGGGACCGCAUGUUAGCAAACCGCCAGGACAACGUCCUCCGAAAAUAAGAAGCCUCACCCGCCAUCCGCGCGGCAAAAUCACCUCCUUUUUACUAAUCUUGAUUCUAUAAUUUUUUAGAUCAAUAUAAUUGAGAUUUGUAUAGAUAGCACACAGGAGCGAAACCAAGUGGUACGGUUAAGGGCAUCCACAAUGUGUAGCCAAAUGUGAAAAUAGCUUUUGGCAUCGUGGGAACCAUUGUGGACGGUGUUGCCAAAGACAAAAAGAUGGAACCGAAGCUCCCUGAUUGAUUGAUUGAAGGAAUAGAAAAAUGCAACUUCUCUCCUCUUUCUCCCAUGCUUGGACGCAUGUAGUACAGUAUAGAGCACAGAGUUUACUCCCCUGUCCCUUCUAUCACAAAUCACAAAGCAGUGAGGCAUCAACUCACAAAAGCACGGACGAAGCAACCAUCAUUUCACUCUUUGCUGACUUCGCUUCUCCAUCGUCUUCUUCGAGAAACCAUCUCACCGCACUAGUACUCCUAGUAGUACUUCCUGGAUGCAAAUAAGGCGGUUGUCUCGGCUGCAGGCGGCACUAGCAAACGACUUACCGUGGUCUCCCUCAAUGGUGUUCGCCGUCAAACGCACUUCGCCAAACCACAAAAAAAGAUAUCGUCAACGUCACCGCAAUGGGGAAGGAAGUCAAAUAUAGUUACUACCUCCAUUUUUUUGUACACAAGGCCAGUAUAUCAAAAUUACAAUUUGCAAAGGGCCACUAACACUAAUCGAGGCAAAAUUGAUGGGGUUAGCAACCAAGGACAUUAAUAUCCCCUGCAUGCAUGCGGAAGUGAGAAGGUUGGUUUGCAUGGUGCUGCAUUAAUCAAGCAUUGAGGAGUGAGAUGGUUAGCUCUUUGGUCUUUGGAGAAAAAAUACGCAUUAAUUUACACGUGAAACGAGGAUUUGUAUCGAUUAAAUCCUGUGAAGGAAACCCCCGCCUUUCUUUUUUAACACUAGUACUCCUAGUACGUACAUACUUAUCCUGUUUGGGUCUAGGCCUUGCAUUGCCAAACUUCGCCACACAUUUUUGCCAAGCUUGCUUAAAGUUUUCAAAAUGAGAAGGAGGUACACUUGCGCACGGCUGUCACGGUCGCACCGCACCCUCACACGGUCGCUCUUGCACGCCGCGGUCGCACCGCACCCUCACACGGUCGUUCCUGCACGCCGCAAACCCAACUAAGGGAACGCACCCUCACUGACACGUGUUGUCGCAUGUGAACAAACCAAACUCAGCCAUCCUAUCGCUGACACAUAAUUUUCGUUCAUAGAGUAUGUUUAUCCAACCGCAUGUUGGGGAGUAUCCGUACGGCCCGUGCGGUGGUCUAUUGGGGAAGAAGACGAGGUGAGGAAGAAGGAAAGAAGGGUUAGGAGACGUAGGAUAUUCAUCCAACUGCCUGAAAUGGUAGACUGACCCAAGUCAAGCGACUUGCAUAACAAAUAUAUGUUUUUACACAGCAAAAGAUCCAUAAAAACAACAACAUAAAGAAAAACUAUCACUGCUCGCGGAAAGAGACGGCCUCGUCGUCUUUGGCUGCCAGCACGAACCAGCCAUCGCUGCCGACGUGUGUCUCCGCACCGUGGUUGUCCUCGGCCUCCAGCUACUCGCUCAAGCGGAGCGUGCGGGCGCUCUGCACGGACGAGAGACAGCCUGGUUCAAGUCGAGGACGUCCGGUUCCGCCUGCAGGAGGGCCUCGAUGGCAGCGGCAUCCACGUGCUCCACGUCGAGUCGAGCCUCCGCUGCCCGGUUCAAGUCCAGGACGUCCAGUUCCGCCUGCAGGAGGGCGUCGAUGAGAGCGGCAUCCGCGUGCUCUGCGUCAAGUCGAGCCUCUGCCGCCCGGUUCAUGUCCAGGACGUUCGGUUCCGCCUGCAGGAGGGCCUCGCUGGCAGCGGCAUCCGCGCGCUCCGCCUCAAGUUGAGCCUCCGCUGCCCGGUCCACAUCCACGACAUCCGGUUCCGCCUGCAAGAGAGCCUCAAUGGCAGCGGCAUGCGCACGCUCUGUGUCGAGUCGAGCCUCUGCCUCCCGGUCCUCCUUUAGUAUCACCAUGUUGAACCGCUGGUCUGCCUGUACCAUGGGGGACUCGGACGCCGGCACAAAGUCGACGUCCAUCGUCUCAUACCCAUCGGGGGCCUUCUGCGUCGCGACCUCUGCCAUGAACAUUGGAUCGUCUUCCUCCUCCUCGUAGCUUGGCUCCAGAGAACUCGGGGAUUGGCCCGCCGCAAAGCGAGCUUGGGAACGGAGGUCUGUGGCAACGACCGCCGCCGCGAUUUCUGCGCGGCGCUCCGGUGUCAGCAUCUUGUAGUAAGUGAUCUUGCAGCGCACCAUGGCUUUUCGGCGAACUAUGGGACGCUUGAUGCGGGCUAGGGGAUCGAAAGGUGGGGGAAUGGGCUGGAGAUUUGGUGUGGUUUUAGGGCAGUGGCUGGCGUAGGCCGAGCAGCGAAGGUUCUGGUGUGAAUAGUGGUUCCGGUGACGACCGGUCAAUCGGUUUUGACUGUACAUCGCUCUUGUCGCGUUCGCGUUGCAGCCCGGCACGCUGGACCCUCCACGUCGCUCAGCGAAUGGAACGCGCUUCGUCUUGUGUUUUCGCUCGCUUGUGGGACCGCGGUUGAGAGCAAACCGACGUCCCUCCCCCGCCCGCGUCAUUUAUUAUACCAGCACUCCCUCCGUUUUGUGCGGAGUAAAUAAAACAGAGGGAGUAUACUACGGAUGAGGAUCCCCUGACGUGGCCGAACCCAUUGAGUAACUGACAUGCGGGGCCUAGCAGGCAUGGGGUCCGCCAGUAAGUGACCGAAAGGGAGGGUAAGGCAGGGAUACCUACGUCAGAGGAUCCACUUCCACUAUACUACUUUGACCAAAUGUUAGAGUAAUAAUAUAUGACAUGCAACUUACACAAAUGUUAGAGUAAUAAUAUAUGACAUGCAACUUACACAAAGCAUACAGGGUCUAAUGCGUUUUUCGAGGCUAACUUUGACCAAAUGUUAGAGUAAUAAUAUAUGACAUGCAACUUACACAAAGCAUACGGUCAAAUUCGUAUGUGAAAGGAGUUUCCAAUGAUAUAAUUUUCACAUUAUACAUCUCAUGUACUAUUAAUCUUGUCAAUAGUCAAAUUGGAAACCAUCUCAAGUACAAAUCUAGGAGUACGUACGAAUCUAACAAUAUUGAUUGGGCGUUGUUGAAUGUUGAUACCUUUUUGAUCAAAGUAGAGAUACUUUGACUACACAUAAAACUUAUAUGUAAACUAGAAAGGAUAGGAGGGAGUAUAUUGUACGUUCAAAAAGUAAAUGAGGCAUGCGAAUGAUACUCGGCGGAAUGUUCAAAUGAGGCAUGCGGGAGGAUGGACUCGACUGGAGGGCGACAUGAUCGAUGGAGAAGAGGGUUGGACAGGAAUGAGAAAUAAGCAAACGCCACAUGAUUAUACUUGAAAGGCUCAAAUAAACAAUAAGUUGUCUCGCUUGGCCGACAUAGUGAAAGGCCUAAUGCGCAACGCGGAGCACUGACGCUCGAAUAUGGCCAGGAAAACAAGGAAACCGACAUGUGGGGCACACCCGUCGGGACGACGUACCGCAGACUAGUCCAAUGGAGGAGCUGGCCCAUGACCUCCUCGCCACCGACAACCGUUCAUGUGGGUCGUUGGGGCCAACAACGGGGCGCAGCUCCAGCACCGCCUCUGGACACGGCGACCGCGGUGAGCGACACGCUCAUAUAGUUGCUAGACACGGUCGGUUUCAGUGUGCCGAGGGUGGCGUUAGUGCUGUGGCACGACCAACGGUAUGUUUGGUUUGUGCCCAAGGUUGCCCCAUCAAAGCAUUGGGUAGCCAAAAUUUUGGUUGAGGUAUUGGUUACCCAUGAUUUGGCCAACAUUGGCAAGAAAAAUGAACUAGAGUUGGCUAGAGUUCAUUGGCAUGCCAAAGAAAUGGCAACCAUCCAAACAAAGACCAAUCUUUGGGUCAUGACCAAAAUUUUGGUUGAGGUAUUGGUUGCCCAUGAUUUGGCCGACAUUGGCAAGAAAAAUGAACUAGAGUUGGCUAGAGUUCAUUGGCAUGCCAAAAAAAUGGCAACCAUCCAAACAAAGACCAAUCUUUGGGUCAUGACCAAAAUUUUGGUAAGGUGCAUUUUGGCCACAAUCCAAACACACCCCAACACCCGGCUCGUCGAGGAUGCACAGGGCGCCGCGACGCGUCCGCGGAGUGGUGUAGCGCGGCCAACUGCAUCCUCUGGACCUGAGACCAUGCCGGGCCGUCUUGCUUUUUCAAUGACAUGCGGGGAUCGCAUGUGAGCAAAGGGCAUCUCCAACGUUGCCACGACCGCAGCUGACUACCCUGCCACACCAAAACCCUCGUCCCUCACGCCGUCGCGUGGUGCGUUCGCAGCCGGCGCCAAGUGCCCGCAUUCAUGCCGUCCAUUUGUAUGUCGUCGUUAAGAGGCUCGGUGCCCGAGGAACCAACUUCGGCGACUUAAUGACGCACCCGGACGCUUGGCCUCACCAGAAUGCGCUACUUAAAGUGGCAACGCCCAGCUAACCUCCACACCAUAGCGCAUCGUCCUCCUACCUGGCACCACAUCCGCCAUGACUGCAAGUGCGAACACUCUGCGGGAGAGCUUGUCUUCGGGGAUGAAGCUCGAGCUCGCCGCCCUCGCUCAAGUCGCCUCUCGCGACGCAAUAGCGGCGUAGCUGGACGCGGACGCGACCGCACAAGCGGUGGCCACGCUGGUGGCCAACGACGGGAGCACCAUCAGCCACGCGUCCUACUUGCCGCCGUCCAACAUCCGGCACCGCCGAGGUCGGGGACUCCUCCGAGGAUGAGUAGGGCAUGGGAGGCGGCAGGGCAUGGUGUGCCAACUGGCCGGUCCGUAUCCCGUGUUCUACUCUUCCUCGCCGGAGACCGCGCGCACCUUCACUUCACGGGUCUUGAACCCCGCCCCCGUACAUAGAGAUCGCAGAUGGAGGACAUUGAUCGCUGCCGUAGAAUAGGUUUAGGGUCGGGUUUCUUUUAUUUUUCUGUCCUAUAAAAGUUCGAAAUGUAAUGAAAAUCUGCCGUGUUUGCAUUAAUCUCGGCCGGUGUAUAUGAACUUUCACAAUAAUAUACAUAUUGUAGGAGUACUAGCAAGAUGCCUGUGCGUUGCACGGAAGAUCAAGAUCUUGUGGGAGAAAAGGAUGAACGAGGGAAAGCCUUAUCUGCAAAUGUGGAGAAGUGUGCGGUUAAAUUGUCAUAGUUUCCUUCCUAUCCGUUAGAUAUAGAUCGGACGGCCUAUAUUGCAGGAUGACAGGCACACCAUCAUCACCAACUCUGCUUUUUAUUGAACCGAGACAAAUCUAACAUGCGAAGUAAAAUAAACACAUAGGGUCUAUACAUACACAAAUUAUCUUAGGCACUCCAGUAGUACGUCCACUACACAUUCACGCAUUUCACAUCUUUCUACAUCUACGGGAACCUACGAAAGGGUUAACGUAAAUUGCCUCUCUCUCUCCUCCCCUGAUUUUCAUGGUGGUGGGCCCCUCCCUCCCCCCAAUCUACAAUCAACAGCUCACACGUUUCACAUUACGUUAAUUACGUAACUUGGAUUACGUAGGUGUAGCAUUACUCGUCCUAAAAAACCCAACUAAGCCAACUUCCCAGCAUAUCGCGCGGGAAAAGACCCGGCCGCGCCGUUUUAGUUGGGAUUACCGGAUUACUAGUAGUAGUAUCGAUGGAUCGUGCGAAGCAACAAUUUUUUUUGAGGGGGCGAAGCACCUAGUUUAAAAGGAAAAAAGGCGGUACACUCACAGCACUCCUGUCGCGGUCGCAUUGCACCCCACACACGUUCGGUCCUGCACACGGCUCACGCAAACGGAACGCGCUUCGGCUUGCCUCUUCACUGACACGUGGGACUGCACUUGGAGAAACCGACCAUGCGCCAAACUCCCCCCGCCCACCGCGCGAAAAUCCUCCCCCCCCCNNNNNNNNNNNNNNNNNNNNNNNNNNNNNNNNNNNNNNNNNNNNNNNNNNNNNNNNNNNNNNNNNNNNNNNNNNNNNNNNNNNNNNNNNNNNNNNNNNNNNNNNNNNNNNNNNNNNNNNNNNNNNNNNNNNNNNNNNNNNNNNNNNNNNNNNNNNNNNNNNNNNNNNNNNNNNNNNNNNNNNNNNNNNNNNNNNNNNNNNNNNNNNNNNNNNNNNNNNNNNNNNNNNNNNNNNNNNNNNNNNNNNNNNNCCGGCAAAGCCGCCCUCUCCGCCGCGCCGAUACAUCGGCGCCGCGGUUCGGCGAUCCUCUCGUUCUCACAGUACGCUCUCGUAGAGUGCCGUCCUCUAGCCGUGCGGUCCACCUCUGGCUACGUUCUUGUGGAGGCGCACGGCGGUCAGCGCCGCCACCGCUGGCGACAUUCGUGUGCAGACGCACGGCGGCCAGCUUCUCCCACGGUACGCGCAUUCUAGACUGAGGCCCCGUUCAUGUCGGUGUAGCGUUGAAUGUUAGCUGAUAGAUGCUGUUAAUCUCACUGUUUGCCGAAGUAGUUUACUGUCAAUAUGCUCUGCUUAAGAAGCUUCCUUGCCCUGUUCUGCAGUCAAUCUACUUAGCUGAGAUGGCAUGCCAAGGCCGAUUAGUUGCUAAAAUAUCCUGCCAUAUAUUUAUUGUGACGUAGAUUGCCAUGGUCUAGUAGCCAAUCUGUUAGGUGAAAUAGCUCUACGACGUUUUAUACUCGAUCUUUGUUGCUGCGAUGGCCUUCGAUAGUUUGAUGGUUGUGUGCUCGGCCUCAUUGACUGCUGAAACAGCCUGCCAUAAUUUAGCACUCAAAUCUGUUUGCUGAAUUAGCUUUACAUAUAUUUCGUUACUUAGAUCUCCUCGUCCAAAUAUCUUGCCAUAGCUUUAGACAUCGACCUAGGUAUUUUUUCUGGACUUCAUAAAAAAGCAUAUAUGUUUUUCCUGUAAUAUCCAGUAGAAGAACUAAUUUGUAUGUCUAACAGAUGGACAGGACUUGGAUAACUUCUGCUCGAAGAUUCUCCGCUGCAUAUGUUGAGGGGGUUGAAAACUUCAUGAACUUUAUCAGAGCUGAGUACGGUGGUCCAAAAUCAGAUGUGCUCUGCCCGUGUAGCAGUUGUAUGAAUUCAGUUACAAGACCCCAGUCAACUGUGCAAAAUCAUCUACACUUGUAUGGGAUGUCGGUCACAUAUACUAGGUGGGUUCAUCAUGGUGAAGCUGUGAACGUCAAUGUUAUUGACUACAUGGAAGCAGCAGAUCACCAUCUUGAUCUGCCUGAUGCUCAGGUGGAAGAGGAGGAGGAGGUGGUGGUGGCGGAGCCAGUGAGUUUGACCAACAUUGAAACAAUGCUACGAAAUGCUCGUGCAUUCUGUGAACUUUCACCUGCAGAAGAAAAACGGUGGGCCCGCAUGUUGGAACAAUGUAACGUUGCUGUCAGCCCAGGAAAUAAGCUGUCAGUAUUCCCAGCUAUGGUCACCUUUCUUCAGGUGAAGACAUCUGAGCGGAUGACCAAGAAAUCAUUCGAUGCGAUGUUGGCUGCUUUCCGCAAAUCUUUCCCAGAUGCGUCUGAGCUGCCACACACCUACAGUAAAAUGAAGAAUUUCCUUCGUGCAGUUGGAAUUGGAUAUGAUAUGAUCCAUGUUUGUAAGAAUAAUUGUGUUCUAUUCUGGAAGGAUUAUGCCAACUUAAGUGAAUGCCCGAAAUGCAAAUCAUCAAGAUGGAAAGAUGGCAAUGCUGUGAAGAGGAUUCCUCAUAAUGUUCUGAGACAUUUUCCAAUUACACCAAGAUUGCAGAGGUUGUUUCAUGAUGCUGAAACAAGAGAGGAUGUACUGUGGCAUUCUAGGAACCAGGAGUACAGAGAUCAGAAUGUAAUGAGUCAUCCAUCUCAUGGUAGUGAGUGGAAAAGCUUCAAUGAUAAACACAAAGAGUUUGCUGCUGACCUGAGAAACAUUAGAAUUGGCUUAGCUUCAGAUGGAUUUAACCCAUUUGGCCACCAGAGCGCCACAUAUAGCAUGUGGCCAGUGCUUGUUAUCCCUUACAACAUGCCUCCAAAUGUCUGCACCAAAGAAUCAAACUACAUGAUGGCCUUGCUCAUCCCAGGUCCAAAAAGUCCUGGAAAGGAUUUUGAUUUGUUCAUGGAGCCUCUUGUGGAGGAACUUCAACAGCUAUGGAAGGGUGUUCUCACGCAAGACCUAUAUAGCAGCCCACCAGCUGAUUUCUUUCAGGGUGCUGUUGUAAUUUGGUGCAUCCAUGAUUAUCCGGCUUUGGGCACUAUGUCAGGGCGAACGACACAUGGUUACAAUGCAUGUGUUCGCUGUGACAGGAAUCCGCUGUCAUACGCAAUACUUAGCAAGAUCUGUUACAUUGGACACCGUCGUUUCCUUGCCAAGGACAAGCCGCAUCCUAGAAAAUACCGAAGACAUGUGUUCAAUGCAAAGCAUGAAAACCGUGAUGCGCCAAAGAGGCUCACCGCCGAUGAGUUGCAAGUGGAAUUAGAGAAGGUCAGGCAUAUUACACUAGGAAACCAUCUUGGUAAUGGUAGCGGGAAAAGGAAGUGUGGCAGGGUAGAAGAGAGAUUAUUGUUUACCCGCAGGUCCACUUUGUGGGACUUGGAUUAUUGGAAAGAUUUGGAUCUGCGGCAUAAUCUUGAUGUGAUGCACAUUGAGAAAAAUAUAUGUGACAGCAUUAUCGGCACACUUCUUAACAUUGAAGGCAAGACGAAAGAUACCUUAAAAUCUAGGAUUGAUUUGACACACCUGGGUAUCAGAAAGGAUUUGCAGGUGCAAGAUGAAGGUAAACCACGGGAUAUGGCACCAGCUGUGUACGUCUUGGACAAGGUAAAAAGAAAAGAAUUCUGCGAGGUCCUGUCACGUGUGAGAUUCCCACAUGGAUUUGCUUUCAACCCUGAAAGGAGAGUCAGUGCAGAUGGAAACAAGGUACAAGGGUUGAAAACUCAUGACUGCCACGUCCUACUUCAAAGGGUUUUACCUGUUAUCCUUAGAGGAUUGGGCCGCCCUGACUUAUACAGAGCAGUUGCAGAGUUGGGACAAUUCUUCAAGGAACUCUGCAGUAGAAAUAUCAGGAUAGAUGCUUUGGAGCGUCUUAGAGACAAGAUACCAACUAUCCUAUGCGACCUUGAGAAGAUAUAUCCUCCAGCCAUCUUUGAUGUGAUGGUGCAUUUGGUUGUUCAUCUACCUGAUGAGGCACUACUUAGAGGUCCAGUACAGUAUGGCUGGAUGUACCCUAUUGAAAGGCGGCUAGGCACUUUCAAGGGCUAUGUUAGGAACAGAGCUAGACCCGAGGGUUCCAUUGCAGAGGCCUACAUUGCUACAGAAGCGUUGACAUUCUGCUCAAAAUACAUUGAAACAGCUGAUCGGCUUAGCAAAGAGGUGGGUGAAGAUAAUCCCGGGCUCAAUGUUUUCGAUUAUUCUGUUCGAGUUACAGGGAAGAGUCGACAAGAGGACAAACCUAAAGAUUUGGACAAAAUGGUUUGGUAUGUGUUGAAUAACUGUUCUGAGAUACUACCUUAUAUCAAGUAAGUGUAGUACUGCAGCUUAUACAUCGUAAUCUACUAAACUUGCAGCACAUUCUUAUAUAUUUAGAUGUUUGACGCGAUCACUAUGUUGUGCAGCAUCUACAAAGAGGAGUUACUGCCGCAAAAUCCAAGAAACAUUGACAAACUGGUUAUGGCAGGAUUUGCGAAAUGGUUCAAGAACCAUGUAAGAUUUUGAAGUGCACUGUCAGUUUUUUUAAUAUAUUGAGUACAUAAGAUGAUCAGCUUGUCUAUUUUCUAACCAUAGGUUAAGAAGAUGCGGGAGGACGGGCAGGUAGUUGAUGAUGCCCUUUACUCACUAGCAGUGGGUCCUGAUACUCGGGUAAGACAUUAUGAAUCUUGCGUUGUUGGAGAUGUGCGCUACAACACCCUUGCACGAGACGAAGGCAGGAAGACACAAAACAGUGCCAUCAUGAGCACGGAUACGUAUGACAAAGAGACAACUGAAAUGUAUGCUAACAUAACAGACAUUGUUCAGUUGCAGUAUAUCUCCAGUUUCGAGGAUCAUCGGUGUGUGGUUCUGUUGUGCUGUCGUUGGUAUAACCUGUUUUCCAGGAUCGCAAAACCCAGAGCUGAUGAUUAUUUCAAAUCCAUCAAUGUCAAGGCGGCGUACCAGAACAACGAGCCUUUUAUUUUGGCAAAUCAAGCAACACAGAUAUUUUUCUUGGAAGACACAUUUGCACGUAGCGAUGACUGGAGAGUAUUGCAAAGGUUUGAGCAGAGGAAAUCGUUUAAUGAAGUUGCACAACAAGAUGAUGCUUACACUGCUCCUGAUGUACAAGAUAACACAGAUGUUCCUAAUAUCUUUGAGAACCAUCACGUCAAUGACACUGGCGAAAAGAUUGCUUGUUGUGCUAUGGACAUACAAGAGUUGAUCAAGAAGAAGCCAACAUUCGAGGACGUUGAGGACGACGAAGAAGAAGAUGACACCAUGGGGAAUUACGAUUCAGACUGAUACACAUGGCGAAGAUGUUGACGCUGCUGCUGCGGAUGAUGAUUACAUUGCUUUUGUCGUAUUUGCCUGUCAGAAGACGUUUUUUUAUCUACUAUGUGAAAUUGUGUUUGCUAUGACAACUGAAACCUAAUGAACAUGUUGUUUAGUAUUUUGCUGUGAGAACAUCACUUGUUAUGUAUGCUGAUUUGUGUUUGGUGAUUGUAUGACAACUAAAACAUGAUGACAUUGUUGUUUAGUUGUACUCAUAUUUGGCUGUGAAACUUGAAUUUGAUGACAUAGUUUGUUGUUGGACUGCAAUUUGCUCGACGUCUUCGAAUGAGAACGAAGCUGACCCGACAGGGCCUCUGCUAUUUAUUUAUUUAUAUGAGAAAAAGGGGAUACCCCCUGAUUUUUCGUUAAUAGAAAUCAUUAGAUGUUCACAACACUACGCCCAGCCUACUACACAGGUUUCAUUCAUUACUAGUUUCAGCAAAGUGCUCAUGUCGUAGCCACUGAAUACAUCACGAGUGCUACAUACACUGCAAAUAAAGAGACAAUCAUCCUACAGAGCACAUCAAUUUUGCCCAUUAUCUUGACAAGCUCUUUCAUCUCCUCAUUGCUGUCAAGGCCAUUCAGCAGCUGUUGCUUGGCCAUGAUCAAAGGAACUGCAUCUUUAACCUUCUGCUCUGCAUCUUCCUCUUCUGUCGUUCCUUCAGUUACUUGUCCAACACCCCAACCUGCUGUUAUUGGGAUUCGUCGGCUAACCAAAUAAUCAGCGUAGUUGCAUUCCCCCACAUCACCAACUUCCCAGAAAUACAAAUCACACGAAUCUUCCCUUUUUGCACAAAUCAAAUUGGAAGAUCAUCAACCAAACUAUUAAAAAAAUCAGCAACUGAAAGCAGCAGAACAACACUUAAACAUAUUAUUACCCCAUGAUUCGGGCAUUUCUAGAAGACUCAGCCAGGGUUGCGGAUUGUGGUUGAGACGCGAUGGAUGACUCUGCGUGAUUUGCAGCAGUGGCACCACACCAACGGCAGCGGGUUGCGAUGAGCAAUCGGCUGCGGUGCGCGUGCCGGCGGGGGUGUGAUGAGACCCACAGGCGAUGGUACGGGUGGCGACUUGGCACAUAUCUGGUUGUUGCCUGCUGAAGAGCAGGUGGAUGAGCAGCCAGCGGACAUGGUUGCUGCGGCCAGAGCUUCUGAUGCUAGGCAGAGUAAGUAGAGAAGAGGAGAAGCGAAUGUUGGAUAUGUCAGUUUCAUUACUUGCAGAGUAGCAUAGCACCAUAUAUAGUCAUAGUCUAGGUUUGGAUUCGAACCAGCUACAGGAGCACGUCUUUCUUUUUUUUUUAAACUCGGCAACGUCUCUUUACUGGUACACUAGCUUGUUUUGUACGCCUUCCCAAGUGUUUGAUUUUCUUUCCCUUUUUUGCGAGGAAGGAAGGAGAACAAAAUUGAGAGUUCCUGGGACUCGAACCCAAGACCUCUCGGUUGAAAACCAAGGGUGCUAGUCACUUAUGUGGCGAACGUUCCCUAUGAGGAGGACGGCAGACGAACGCAUUUUCCUCGCAGUUUUCUUCCUAUAUACAAAAAAGUAUGCUACUUGGUGUCCGCUUAGUCAACAAACGAUUGUGCCAACCUUGACCGUUGGAUUGACAUUCAACGUCUGUCGCGUUUCUUCAGUCUCUUCUUCCUCGAGCCGCCAAAGCCAAACCAGCGCCGGCGGGACCGCCUACUCCCGCCUCCCAUGGCUGGUUGUGAUCUUCCCCGGCUCCUGUUCGUUCCCGUCCGAGGCCUCACCAUCGUCCUCCGCCUUGGUUCGCUCACCGCGGCGCCGCCCUCUGGUGUUGUCAACAUGGACAACAACCGAGAGGAAUAAGGAGAUGACUGUACAUGGUGAGGAUGACAGUACGGACCCAGCAGCGCGCGCAGUAAUUUAUUUUUUUCGGGACGGAGAAGGGUAUCAACUCGGUUGUGUGGGACCCGUGGCCCGUCUAGCCCAGGCUUUUAUUUAAUAUGUUUAGCACAUGACCAGCCCAGUUUGCUUUUUUUCCUUUCUGAAAAUGGCUAGCCAGCUAUUUUGUUUUUUGCAGAAUAACCAACGUAGGCCUACUUGCUUUUCUACGCCCUGCUGGGCCGGAAAUCUUUCAAGACGAGGAGGGAUGCAUUUUGCCCAGAAAAUGGGCUAUAAUUAAUAAGAAAUGGGCUAUAAGUAAUAAUAAAUGGGCUGUAAAAUGAAAAAAAAACAGCAAACAGGCAAUUAGUUCCAAAAUACUGUUUUCUUUCGGAUUUUGAUAUUUUAAAUUUCAUUGUUUUUGUGCGGGUAAAAUUUCAAUGAAUUUAAAUUAAGGUAUAUAUUUAGAUUUAAAAUUAAUUUGAAUCUGGCUAGAAAUUUUGGGCUGUAUGCUGUUUGGGACAGAUUUGGAGGCUGACUUGUGGGUCUACUAGGUUGACCUGCACUUUGGCUUUGUCAACUUAGUCCACAAACGAUUCUAGCAGCAGUGACUGUUGGAUGUUAAUCCAACGGCCGUGCUUCUUCUUCAAUAUCUGAUCUUCUUGCUCCAGCCGCCCAAACCAGCUCCGGUGGGACUGCCUGCUCCCGCCUCCCGUGGCCGGCUAUGCUGCCGCACAGGCCGCACCGCCCCACCCUACUUCAUUGCUGGCCAAGCCAUUCCUCUACUCACCCACACCUCCUGUUAUUUUCCGGCGACGGCAGCCGGGCCAGUAAACCCUCGUACUCCCCACCGCGUGGGCAACCAUUGCCGAGUCUUCCCCGGCUCCAUGUCGUUCCCUUCCUAGGCCUCGCCGUCGUCCACCGCCAUGGUGCUCUCGGCGCGGCCUGGUCAACGUGGUCAACGAACGACAUCCAUCGGCCGUGGACUGUACGCAAAAUAAUGAUUCCUCCACCUGAUAGCUGGGACCCACCGGAAGGCCUCUGUAUUUCGCGAAAAAAACAUUCCCCCCGCGGACAUGUCAGACCCACCAGCUAUAUCUUCGCAUGCAAGGAAGUGCCUCCUUAUUACGUACAAAAAAAUGAAUACCCCCCUGCUAGCAGGGACCCACCAUAGUGGGAGGAUGACUUGUGGGCCAACUAAGUUGACGGGGACGGAGGGCUUUGUCAACUUAGUCAAUAUGAACGAUUCUAGCUCCAGUGACCGUACGAUGUCCAUCCAACGGCAGUAGUGCUUCUUCAACCUCUGGUCUUCUUGCUCCAGCCGCCCAAAGCAGCGCCGGUCGUACCGCAUGCUCCUGCCUCCCGUGGCCGGCUGUGCUGCCGCGGAGGCCUCACCGCCCCCUACUAUUCCCACCGCUGGCCAGGCCCUGCGGCGACGGCAGCCUCACCCCGCAGCCUAACCAGUGAACCCUCGUACUCCUCUCCGCGUGGGCUUCCACUGCCGCUUCUUCCCCAGCUCCGCGUCAUCCCCUUCCUAGGCCUCGUCGUCGUCCACCGCCCUGGUGGUCUCGGCGCGACCUGGUCAACAUGGUCAAGGAACGACUUCCAUCGGACGUGGACUGUACGUGGAGAGGCUGACAGCUGGGUCCACGGCCGCAGCAAGGAAGUGCCUCCUUAUUACGCGGAAAAUAAUGAUUCCUCCACCUGACAGUUGGGACCCACCGGACGGGCCACUGUAUUUCGCGGAAAAAACGUUUCCCCUGACUCCUGGGACCCACCAGCUUCAUCUUCGCAUGCAAGGAAGUGCGUCCGGGCAAAAAAAAAUGAUUCGCCCCCCUGACUGCUAGGACCCACCAGCUACACCUUCGCACGCAAAGAAGUGCGUCCGGGCAAAAAAAACGAUACACCCCCUGACUGCUGGGACCCACUGGCUACACCUUCGCACGCAAGGAAGUGCGUCCGGGCAAAAAAAACAAUUCGCCCCCCUGACUGCUGGGACCCACCAGCUACAUCUUCGCACGCAAGGAAGUGCCUGACAGUCGGGACCCACUUGGUCGAAGCGUACGUAGCAUUGUCAUUCUGGUCGCGAACGUGUACGUACAUAUAUACUGGUCGAUGUAGAGGCGCUCACGUGUCGUAGUAGAGGCGCGUACAUGUCGUAGUAGAGGCGCGCACGUAGCAUGUACACGUAGGUACAGCGGCCAGGGUGCAAGAAAGAAAAUACGGCCACGUACGUACAUACAGGCGGGGUCUCAAACGCCUACUCGCGCAUACGUACGGUGAGGGCUCGUGUACAUGGCUGGGUCGGAACGGAGAAACAGCGUCGUCGUCGUGUUCAUGGGGAGGCAACGGAAUGCGUCGUGUUCAUGGGGAGGCAACGGAAUGCGUCGUGUUCAUCGGGAGGCAACGGAACGCAUGGGAGCCAACCGGCUGGGUCGGAACGGAAUGCGUGGUCGUGUUCAUCGGGAGGUCUUGGACGGAACAGGCGAUGGAAACGAGGCCUGGCGUACCGCACAAUGGAGGAAACGGACCUCCUACGUUCGGAACGGGGUCCUGUUGAUCGGGAGGGGUGUGGCGUACAGCAAAACGGAGGAAACGGACCUCCAACGGUCGAAACGGGGGUCCUGUUGAUCGGGAGGGGUGUGGCGUACCACAAAACGGACGAAACGGACCUCCUACGGCCGAAACGGGGGUCCUGUNNNNNNNNNNNNNNNNNNNNNNNNNNNNNNNNNNNNNNNNNNNNNNNNNNNNNNNNNNNNNNNNNNNNNNNNNNNNNNNNNNNNNNNNNNNNNNNNNNNNNNNNNNNNNNNNNNNNNNNNNNNNNNNNNNNNNNNNNNNNNNNNNNNNNNNNNNNNNNNNNNNNNNNNNNNNNNNNNNNNNNNNNNNNNNNNNNNNNNNNNNNNNNNNNNNNNNNNNNNNNNNNNNNNNNNNNNNNNNNNNNNNNNNNNNNNNNNNNNNNNNNNNNNNNNNNNNNNNNNNNNNNNNNNNNNNNNNNNNNNNNNNNNNNNNNNNNNNNNNNNNNNNNNNNNNNNNNNNNNNNNNNNNNNNNNNNNNNNNNNNNNNNNNNNNNNNNNNNNNNNNNNNNNNNNNNNNNNNNNNNNNNNNNNNNNNNNNNNNNNNNNNNNNNNNNNNNNNNNNNNNNNNNNNNNNNNNNNNNNNNNNCUCACUGUUCAUCCCAGAGGCAGCAUCGAUCGGCUUCAGUUAGUAGCAGUAGCGAAGGAUUCGCUUGAUCGGGUUCAGUUAACAGCCAUCGAUCGAUCGCUCGGGUUCAGUAACGCGUAGCCUGCAGUGCAAUCACUCGGGUUCAGUUAGAGCCCAACGCCUCGCUCGGGUUCAGUUAGAGCCAACACCUCGCACACACGCGCGUACGUGUAUGAGAGAAACGCGCAUCGCUCGGCCCCCGACCUCCCACCGUAACCGGUAACUCCCCGAAAUUUUCCUCCCCCUCGCUUCUACCACGGUUUUUUCCGUCAUGGACGGCCCAAAGAAUGUCAUGCAGCUGCGUCUCCGGCCCGCCCAGGACGAAAAGCCCAUUUUCUGUCAUGAUUUUUUGUCAUAGAAGUAGGAGCCCACCACAUCUAUGAUGAUACCGGGUUUUGUCACAAUUAUCGGCAUAGAAGUGUCAUAUGUAUGACAGAAAAAAUAUUCGUUCGGCCCAAAAUGUCACGGAUGUGUCUUUUUUUUGUAGUGAAUUGCUUUUGUUAGUAUGCUUGAAGUAUUAUUGUUUUCAUGUCAAUAUUAAACAUUUGUUUUGAAUCUUAUGGAUCUGAAUAUUCUUGCCACAAUAAAGAGGAUUACAUUGAUAAAUAUGUUAGGUAGCAUUCCACAUCAAAAAUUCUGUUUUUAUCAUUUACCUACUCGAGGACGAGCAGGAAUUAAGCUUGGGGAUGCUUGAUACGUCUCCAAUGUAUCUACAAUUUUUGAUUGUUCCAUGCUAUUAUAUUAUCCAUCUAGGAUGUUUUAUAUUCAUUUAUAUGCUAUUUUAUAUGAUUUUUGGGACUAACCUAUUAACCUAGAGCCCUGUGCCAGUUUCUGUUUUUUCCUUGUUUUUGAGUUUUACAGAAAAGGAAUACCAAACGGAGUCCAAUUGACGUGCCAAUUUUUGAUGAUUUUUUAUGGACCAAAAGAAGCCCCCGGAGUAAAAGAGUUGGGCCAGAAGAGUCCCGAGCCGUCAACGAGGGUGGAGGGCGUGCCCACCCCCUGGGCGCGUCCCCUAUCUAGUGGACGACUUGGAGACCCCCCUGACAUGAGACCUACGUCAAAAAUUCCUAUAAAUAGAGAAACCUCCAGAAAAUAACCUAGAUAGGGAGUUCCGCCGCCGCAAGCGUCUGUAGCCACCAAAAACCAAUCGAGACCCUGUUUUGGCACCCUGGCGGAGGGGGAUCCCUCACCGGUGGCCAUCUUCAUCAUCCCGGUGCUCUCCAUGACGAGGAGAGAGCAGUUCACCCUCGGGGCUGAGGGUAUGUACCAGUAGCUAUGUGUUUGAUCUCUCUAUCUCUCUCGUGUUCUUGAUUUGACACGAUCUUGAUGUACCGCGAGCUUUGCUAUUAUAGUUGGAUCUUAUGAUGUUUCUCCCCCUCUACUCUCUUGUAAUGGAUUGAGUUUUCCCUUUGAAGUUAUCUUAUCAGAUUGAGUCUUUAAGGAUUUGAGAACACUUGAUGUAUGUCUUGCAUGUGCUUAUCUGUGGUGACAAUGGGAUAUUCACGUGAUCUACUUGAUGUAUGUUUUGGUGAUCAACUUGCGGGUUCAGUGACCUUGUGAACUUAUGCAUAGGGGUUGGCACACAUUUUCGUCUUGACUCUCCGGUAGAAACUUUGGGGCACUCUUUGAAGUCCUUUGUGUUGGUUGAAUAGAUGAAUAUGAGAUACUCCCCCUGUUAGCUAGGACCCAGUAUAGUGGCAGGCUGACUUGUGGCCCUACUAAGUUGACGGGGACGGAGGGCUUUGUCAACUUAGUCAAUAUGCACGAUUCUAGCUCCAGUGACCGUACGAUGUCCAUCCAACGGCCGUAGUGCUUCUUCAACCUCUGGUCUUCUUGCUCCAGCCGCCCAAACCAGCGCCGGUCGUGCCUCGUGCUCCUACCUCCCGUGACCGGCUGCGAUGCGGCGGAGGCCUCACCGCCCCCUACUACUCCCACCGCUGGCCAGGCCAUCCCUCUACUCACCCACACCCCCUGUUAUUCUGCGGCGACGGCAGCCUCACACCGCAGCGAACCAGUAAAGCCUCGUACUCCUCUACACGUGGGCAUCCACUGCCGCGUCUCCCCCGGCUCCGCGUCGUCCCCUUCCUAGGCCUCGCCGUCGUCCACCGCCCUGGUGCUCUCGGCGCGGCGUGGUCAACGUGGUCAAGGAACGGCUUCCAUCGGACAUGGACUGUACGUGGAGAGGCUGACAGCUGGGUCCACGGCCGCAGCAAGGAAGUGCCUCCUUAUUACGUGCAAAAUAAUUAUUCCUCCACUUGACAGCUGGGACCCACCGGACGGGGCACCGUAUUUCGCGAAAAAAACGUUUGCCCCUGACUGCUAGGACCCACCAGCUACAUCUUCGCACGCAAGGAAGUGCGUCCGGGCAAAAAAACGAUUCGCCCCCUUGACUACUGGGACCCACCAGCUACAUCUUCGCAGGCAAGGAAGUGCCUGACAGUCGGGACCCACCUGGUCGAAGCGUACGUAGCGUUGUCAUUCUGGUCGCGAACGUGUACGUACAUAUAUACUGGUGGAUGUAGAGGCGCGCACGUGUCGUAGUAGAGGCGUGUAUGUGUCGUAGUAGAGGCACGCACGUAGCAUGUACACGUACGUACAGCGGCGAGGGUGCAAGAAAGAAAAUACGGCCACGUAUGUGUACAUACGGGCGGGGUCUCGAACGCGUACUCGCGCAUACGUACGGCCAGGGCUCGUGUACAUGGCUGGGUCGGAACGGAGAAACAGCGUCGUCGUCGUGUUCAUGGGGAGGCAACGGAAUGCGUCGUGUUCAUGGGGAGGCAACGGAAUCCGUCGUGUUCAUCGGGAGGCAACGGAACGCGUGGGAGCCAACCGGCUGGGUCGGAACGGAAUGCGUCAUCGUGUUCAUCGGGAGGGCUUGGACGGAACAUCCGAUGGAAACGAGGCCUGGUGUACCACAGAACGGAGGAAACGGCCUUGUGUUCGACCGGCCACGUUUGAAACGGGAUCCUGUUCAUCGGGAGGGGUCUGGCGUACCGCAAAACGGAGGAAACGUACCUCCUACGGUCGAAACGGGGGUCCUGUUGAUCGGGAGGGGUGUGGCGUACCGCAAAACGGAGGAAACGGACUUGUGUUGGAGCGCUACGGUCGAAACGGGGGUCCUAUUCAUCGGGAGGGGUGUGGCGUACCGCAAAACGGGACUCCACGGGAUACUGUUCAUCUCCACCGUCGACCCCCUCCAGCCUCCACGGGCUACUGUUCAUCCACCGUCGACCUCCUCCAGCCACCACCUGCGACUGUUCAUCCACGGGCUCCUGUUCAUCCAGCCUCCACCACGCGCUACUCCACCGGCUACUGUUCAACCAGCCCUCUCCACGGGCUCCUGUUCAACCACCCCUCCACGGGCUACUGUUCAUCCAGCCCUCCAGCGUCUACUGUUCAUUCUGCCUCCACGGGGUGGUCCUGUUCAUCCAGCCCCAACCGGCUCGAUCGAUCGGGGUCCUGUUCAUCCAGAGGCAACACCACGGGAUCCUGUUCAUCCACCCCCACCGGGAACUGUUCAUCCAAACCCCCUAGCAACGCUCACUAUUCAUCCAGAGGCAGCAUCGAUCGGCUUCAGUUAGCAGCAGUAGCGAAGGAAUCGCUCGAUCGGGUUCAGUUAACAGCCAUCGAUCGAUCGCUCGGGUUCAGUAACGCGUAGCCUGCAGUGCAAUCGCUCGGGUUCAGUUAGAGCCCAACGCCUCGCUCGGGUUAAGUUAGAGCCAACGCCUCGCACACACGCGCGUAUGUGUACGAGAGAAACGCGCAUUGCUCAGCCCCUGACCUCCCACCGUAACCGGGAACUCCCCGAAAUUUUCCUCGCCCUCGCUUCUACCACGGUUUUUUCCGUCAUGGACGGCCCAAAGAAUGUCAUGCAGCUGCGUCUCCGGCCCGCCCAGGACGAAAAGCCCAUUUUCUGUCAUGAUUUUUUGUCAUAGAAGUAGGAGCCCACCACAUCUAUGAUGAUACCGGGUUUUGUCACAAUUAUCGUCAUAGAAGUGUCAUAUGUAUGACAGGAAAAAAAUUCGUUCGGCCCAAAAUGUCACGGAUGUUUCUUUUUUUUGUAGUGAAUUUCUUUGUUAGUAUGCUUGAAGUAUUAUUCUUUUCAUGUCAAUAUUAAACUUUUGUUUUGAAUCUUAUGGAUCUGAAUAUUCUUGCCACAAUAAAGAGGAUUACAUUGAUAAAUAUGUUAGGUAGCAUUCCACAUCAAAAAUUCUAUUUUUAUCAUUUACCUACUCGAGGACGAGCAGGAAUUAAGCUUGGGGAUGCUUGAUACGUCUCUAACGUAUCUACAAUUUUUGAUUGUUCCAUGCUAUUAUAUUAUCCAUCUAGGAUGUUUUAUAUUCAUUUAUAUGCUAUUUUAUAUGAUUUUUGGGACUAACCUAUUAACCUAGAGCCAUGUGCCAGUUUUUGUUUUUUCCUUGUUUUUUGAGUUUUACAGAAAAGGAAUACCAAACGGAGUCCAAUUGACGUGCCAAUUUUUGAUGAUUUUUUAUGGACCAAAAGAAGCCCCCGGAGUAAAAGAGUUGGGCUAGAAGAGUCCCGAGCCGUCAACGAGGGCACCCCCCUGGGCGCGUCUCCUAUCUCGUGGACGACUUGGAGACCCCCCUGACAUGAGACCUACGCCAAAAAUUCCUAUAAAUAUAGAAACCUCCAGAAAAUAACCUAGAUCUGUAGCCACCAAAAACCAAUCGGGACCCUGUUUCGGCACCCUGGCCGAGGGGGAUCCCUCACCGGUGGCCAUCUUCAUCAUCCCGGUGCUCUCCAUGAUGAGGAGAGAGCAGUUCACCCUCGGGGCUGAGGGUAUGUACCAGUAGCUAUGUGUUUGAUCUCUCUAUCUCUCUCUCGUGUUCUUGAUUUGACACGAUCUUGAUGUACCGCGAGCUUUGCUAUUAUAGAUGGAUCUUAUGAUAUUUCUCCCCCUCUACUCUCUUGUAAUGGAUUGAGUUUUCCCUUCGAAGUUAUCUUAUCAGAUUGAGUCUUUAAGGAUUUGAGAACACUUGAUGUAUGUCUUGCAUGUGCUUAUCUGUGGUGACAUGGGAUAUUCACGUGAUCUACUUGAUGUAUGUUUUGGUCAUCAACUUGCGGGUUCAGUGACCUUGUGAACUUAUGCAUAGGGGUUGGCACACGUUUUCGUCUUGACUAUCCGGUAGAAACUUUGGGGCACUCUCUGAAGUUCUUUGUGUUGGUUGAAUAGAUGAAUAUGAGAGUUCCGUCAGCACGACGGUGUGGUGAUGAUGAUGAUGUUCUACCGACGCAGGGCUUCGCCUAAGCACCGCUACGAUAUUAUCGAGGUGGAUUAUGGUGGAGGGGGGCACCGCACACGGCUAAGAGGUCCAAGGGGUCAAUUGUUGUGUCUAUGGGGUGCCCCCCUGCCCCCGUAUAUAAAGGAGCAAGGGGAGGAGGCGGCCGGCCAGGGAGAGGCGCGCCAAGGGGGAGUCCUACUCCCACCGGGAGUAGGGUUCCCUCCCUACCAAGUAGUAGUAGGAGUCAAGGAAAGGGGAGAGAGAAGAGAAGGAAGGAAGGGGCGCAGCCCCUCCCCCUAGUCCAAUUCGGACUAGGCCUUGGGGGGCGCGCGGUGUUGGAAAUAUGCCCUAGAGGCAAUAAUAAAAUGGUUAUUACUAUAUUUCCUUGUUCAUGAUAAUUGUCUAUUGUUCAUGCUAUAAUUGUAUUAACUGGAAACCGUAAUACAUGUGUGAAUACAUAGACCACAACAUGUCCCUAGUGAGCCUCUAGUUGACUAGCUCGUUGAUCAAUAGAUGGUCAUGGUUUCCUGACCAUGGACAUUAGAUGUCAUUGAUAGCGGGAUCACAUCAUUAGGAGAAUCAUGUGAUGGACAAGACCCAAUCCUAAGCGUAACACAAAGAUCGUGUAGUUCAUUUGCUAAAGCUUUUCUAAUGUCAAGUAUCAUUUCCUUAGACCAUGAGAUUGUGCAACUCCCGGAUACCGUAGGAAUGCUUUGGGUGUGCCAAACGUCACAACGUAACUGGGUGGCUAUAAAGGUACACUACAGGCAUCUCCGAAAGUGUCUGUUGGGUUGGCACGAAUCGAGACUGGGAUUUGUCACUCCGUAUGACGAAGAGGUAUCUCUGGGCCCACUCGGUAUUGCAUCAUCAUAAUGAGCUCAAUGUGACUAAGUAGUUAGUCACGGGAUCAUGCAUUACGGAACGAGUAAAGUGACUUGCCGGUAACAAGAUUGAACGAGGUAUUGGGAUACCGACGAUCGAAUCUCGGGCAAGUAACGUACCGAUUGACAAAGGGAAUUGUAUACGGGAUUGCUUGAAUCCCCGACAUCGUGGUUCAUCCGAUGAGAUCAUCGUGGAACAUGUGGGAGCCAACAUGGGUAUCCAGAUCCCACUGUUGGUUAUAUGCCGGAGAGAUGUCUCGGUCAUGUCUGCAUGAUUCCCGAACCCGUAGGGUCUACACACUUAAGGUUUGGUGACGCUAGAGUUGUUAUGGGAAUUAGUAUGUGGUUACCAAAUGUUGUUCGGAGUCCCAGAUGAGAUCCCGGACGUCACGAGGAGUUCCGGAAUGGUCCGGAGGUGAAGAUUUAUAUAUGGGAAGUCCAGUUUCAGUCACUGGAAUGGUUUCGGGGUUAUCGGUAUUGUACCGGGACCACCGAAAGGUGUCCGGAGGUCCACCGGGUGGGGCUACCUGCCCCGGGGGGCUUAAUGGGCUGAAUAUGGGAGGGAACCAGCCCCUAGUGGGCUGGUGCGCCUCUCCCCAAGGGCCCAAGGCGCCUAGGGUUGGAAACCCUAGGGGAGGGGGCGCCUCCACCUUGCUUGGGGGGCAAGUCUCCCCCUCCUGGCCGCCGCCCCCCUCUAGAUGGGAUCUAGAGGGGCCGGCCCCUCUCCCCUUCACCCUAUAAAUAGAGAGGGGGUGGGAGGUCUGCUGGACCCUUGCUUUUGGCGCAGCCCCUCCCUCCUCCAACUCUUCCUCCUACUCCGUAGUGCUUGGCGAAGCCCUACAGGAGUACCACGAGCUCCACCACCACCAUGCCGUCGUGCUGUCGGAGUUCUCCCUCAACUUAUCCUCUCCCCUUGCUGGAUCAAGAAGCAGGAGACGUCCCCGGGCUGUACGUGUGUUGAACGCGGAGGUGCCAUCCGUUCGGCGCUAGAUCGGAUCUUCCGCGAUUUGAAUCGCCGCGAGUACGACUCCAUCAACCGCGUUCUUGUAACGCUUCCACUUAGCGAUCUUCAAGGGUAUGAAGAUACUCAUCCUAUCCCUCCCUUGUUGCUAGAAUCUCCAUAGAUUGAUCUUGGUGAUGCGUAGAAAAUUUUGAAUUUCUGCUACGUUCCCCAACAGUGGUGUCAGAGCUAGGUCUAUUGCGUAGAUUCUAUGCACGAGUAGAACACAAGUAGUUGUGGGCAAUGGUUUGUACAAUUUGCUUACCGUUACUAGUCCUAUCUUGAUUCGGCGGCAUUGUGGGAUGAAGCGGCCCGGACCGACCUUACACAUACGCUUACGUGAGACAGGUUCCACCGACUGACAUGCACUUGUUGCAAAAGGUGGCUAGCGGGUGCCAGUCUCUCCCACUUUAGUCAGAUCGGAUUCUAUGAAAAGGGUCCUUAUGAAGGGUAAAUUGCAAUUGGCAUAUCACCGUUGUGUCUUUGCGUAGGUAAGAAACGUUCUUGCUAGAAACCCGUACAGCCACAUAAAACAUGCAACAGCAAUUAGAGGACAUCUAACUUGUUUUUGCAUGGUAUGCUAUGUGAUGUGAUAUGGCCCAAAAGAAUGCGAUGAAUGAUAUAUGUGAUGUAUGAGAUUGAUCAUGUUCUUGUAAUAGGAAUCACGACUUGCAUGUCGAUGAGUAUGACAACUGGCAGGAGCCAUAGGAGUUGUCUUAAUUUAUUGUAUGACCUGCGUGUCAUUGAAAACGCCAUGUAAUUACUUUACUUUAUUGCUAACCGUUAGCCAUAGUAGUAGAAGUAAUAGUUGGCGAGACAACUUCAUGAAGACACGAUGAUGGAGAUCAUGGUGUCAUGCCGGUGACGAAGGUGAUCAUGCCGCGCCUCAAAGAUGGAGAUCAAAGGCGCAAGAUGAUAUUGGCCAUAUCAUGUCACUUCAUGAUUUGCAUGUGAUGUUUGUCAUGUUUACAUCUUAUUUGCUUAGAACGACGGUAGCAUAAAUAAGAUGAUCCCUCAUAAAAUUUCAAGAAAGUGUUCCCCCUAACUAUGCACCGUUGCGAGGGUUCGUUGUUUCGAAGCACCACGUGAUGAUCGAGUGUGAUAGAUUCUAAUGUUCACAUACAAUGGGUGUAAGCCAGAUUUACACAUGCAAAACACUUAGGUUGACUUGACGAGCCUAGCAUGUACAGACAUGGCCUCGGAACACAGGAGACCGAAAGGUCGAACAUGAGUCGUAUAGCAGAUGCGAUCAACAUGAAGAUGUUCAUCGAUGAUGACUAGUCCGUCUCACGUGAUGAUCGGACACGGCCUAGUUGACUCGGAUCAUGUAUCACUUAGAUGACUAGAGGGAUGUCUAUCUAAGUGGGAGUUCAUUAAAUAAUCAGAUGAACUUAAUUAUCAUGAACAUAGUCAAAAGGUCUUUGCAAAUUAUGUCGCAGCUUACGCUUUAGUUCUACUGUUUAAGAUAUGUUCCUAGAGAAAAUUUAGUUGAAAGUUGACAGUAGCAAUUAUGCGGACUGGGUCCGUAUACUGAGGAUUGUCCUCGUUGCUGCACAGAAGGCUUAUGUCCUUAAUGCACCGCUCGGUGUGCUGAACCUCGAGCGUCGUUUGUGGAUGUUGCGAACAUCUGACAUACACGUUUUGAUGACUACGUGAUAGUUCAGUGCGUAAUGUUAAACGGUUUAGAAUUGAGGCACCGAAGACAUUUUUUGAAACGUUGCAGAACAUAUGAGAUGUUCCAAGAGCUGAAAUUGGUAGUUCAGGCUCGUGCCCACGUCAAGAGGUGUGAGACCUCCGACAAGUUUCUUAAUCCUGCAAACUAAGGGAGAAAAGCUCAAUCGUUGAGCAUGUGCUCAGAUUGUCUGAGUACUACAAUCGCUUGAAUCGAGUGGGAGUUAUCUUCCAGAUGAGAUAGUGAUGGUUCUCCAAAGUCACUGCCACCAAGCUACUAGAGCUUCGUGAUGAACUAUAACAUAUCAGGGAUAGACAUGAUGAUCCUUGAGCAAUUCGCGAUGUUUAACACCGCGAAAGUAGAAAUCAAGUAGGAGCAUCAAUUGUUGAUGGUUAGUAAAACCACUAGUUUCAAUAAGGGCAAGGGAAAGAAGGGAUACUUCAUGAAACGGCAAAUCAGUUGCUGCUCUAGUGAAGAAACCCAAGGUUGAACCCAAACCCGAGACUGAGUGCUUCUGUAAUGAGGGGAACGGUCACUGAAGCAGAACUACCCUAGAUACUUGGUAGAUGAGAAGGCUGGCAAGGUCGACAAAAGUAUAUUGGAUAUACAUUAUAUUAAUGUGUACUUUACUAGUACUCCUAGUAGCACCAGGGUAUUAGAUACCGGUUCGGUUGCUAAGUGUUAGUAACUCGAAAUAAAAAGCUGCGGAAUAAACGGAGACUAGCUAAAGGUGAGAUGACGAUAUGUGUUGGAAGUGUUUCCAAGGUUGAUGUGAUCAAGCAUCGCAUACUCCCUCUACCAUCGAGAUUGGUGUUAAACCUAAAUAAUUGUUAUUUGGUGUUUGCAUUGAGCUAGACAUGAUUGGAUUAUGUUUAUCGCAAUACAAUUAUUCAUUUAAGGAGAAUAAUGGUUACUCUGUUUAUUUGAAUAAUACCUUCAAUGGUCUUGCACCUAAAUUGAAUGGUUUAUUGAAUCUCGAUUGUAGUGAUACACAUGUUCAUGCCAAAAUAUAUAAGAUAAUAAUGAUAGUACCACAUACUUGUGGCACUGCCAUUUGAGUCAUAUUGAUAUAAAACGCAUGAAGAAGUCCAUGUUGAUGGAUCUUUGGACUCACUCGUUUUUGAAAAGAUUGAGACAUGCGAACCAUGUCUACUAGUAUAUAUGCAUGAAGAAACUCCAUACAGAUGGAUCGUUUGGACUCACUUGAUUUUGAAUCACUUGAGACAUGCAAAUCAUGCCACAUGGGCAAGAUGACUGAAAGGCCUCGUUUUCAGUGAGAUGGAACAAGAAAGCGACUUGUUGGAAGUAAUACAUUUUGAUGUGUGCAGUCCAAUGAGUGCUGAGGCACGUAGUGGAUAUCGUUAUGUUCUUACUUCACAGAUGAUUUGAGUAGAUGCUAAGUAUAUUUACUUGAUGAAUCACAAGUCUGAAUUAUUGAAAGGUUCAAGUAAUUUCAGGGUGAAGUUGAAGAUCGUUGUGACAAGAGGAUAAAAUGUCUAUGAUAUGAUCAUAGAGAUGAAUAUCUGAGUUAUGAGUUUGGCACACAAUUAAGACAUUGUGGAAAUUGUUUCACAACUAAUACCGCCUGGAACACCAUAGUGUGAUGGUGUGUCCAAACAUCAUAACUGCACUCUAUUGGAUAUGGUGCGUACCAUGAUGUCUCUUAUCGAAUUACCACUAUUGUUUAUGGGUUAGGCAUUAGAGACAACCGCAUUCACUCUAAUAGGGCACCACGUAAUUCCGUUGAGAUGACACCAUAUGAACUAUGGUUUAGAGAAAUAUAAGUUGUCUUUUCUCAAAAGUUUGGGGCUGCGAUGCUUAUGUGAAGAAGUUUUGCCUGAUAAGCUCGAACCCAAAGCGGAUAAAUGCAUCUUCAUAUGAUACCCAAAAUAGUUGGGUAUACCUCCUAUUUCAGAUCCGAAAGCAAAAGUGAUUGUUUCUAGAAACGGGUCCUUUCUCGAGGAAUAGUUUCUCUCAAAAGAAUUGAGUGGGAGGAUGGUGGAGACUUGAUGAGGUUAUUGAACCGUCACUUCAACUAGUGUAUAGCAGGGCAUAGGAAGUUGUUCCUGUGGCGCCUACACCAAUUGAAGUGGAAGCUGAUGAUAGUGAUCAUGAAACUUCGGAUCAAGUCACUACCAAACCUCGUAGGACGACAAGACGCGUACUACUUAAGAGUGGUACGGUAAUCCUGUCUUGGAGGUCAUGUUGCUAGACAACAAUGAACCUACGAGCUAUGGAGAAGCGAUGGUGGGCCCGGAUUCUGACGAAUGGCUUGAGGCCAUAAAAUCCGAGAGAGGAUCCAUGUAUGAAAACAAAGUAUAGACUUUGGAAGAACUACUCGAUGGUCGUAAGGCUGUUGAGUACAGAUGGAUCUUAAAAGGAAGACGGACAAUGAUGGUAAGUGUCACCAUUAAGAUAGCUCGACUUGUCGCUAAGAUGUUUUCCGACAAGUUCAAGGAGUUGACUGCGAUGAGACUUUCUCACUCGUAGCGAUGCUAAGAGUCUGUUGGGAUUAUAUUAGCAGUUACUGCAUUAUUUAUGAAAUCUUGUAGAUAGGAUGUCAAAACAUUGUUUCCUCGACGAUUUUCUUGAGGAAAGGUUGUAUGUGAUACACCAGAAGGUUUUGACAAUCCUGAAAGAUGCUAACAAGUAUGCAAAGCUCCGGCAAUCCUUCUAAGGACUGGAGUAAGCAUCUCGGAGUUGGAAUAUACGCUUUGAUGAGAUGAUCAAAGAUUUUGGGUUUAUACAAACUUUAUGAGAAACUUGUAUUUCCAAAGAAGUGAGUGGGAGCACUAUAGAAUUUCUGAUGAGUAUAUGUUGUUGACAUAUUGUUGAUCGGAAAUGAUGUAGAAUUUCUGGAAAGCAUAUAGGGUUAUUUGAAAAGUGUUUUUCAAUGGAAAACCUGGAUUAAGCUACUUGAACAUUGAGCAUCAAGAUCUAUAAGGACAGAUCAAAAACGCUUAAUAGUACUUUCAAAUGAAUACAUACCGUGACAAGAUUUUGAAGGAGUUCAAAAUAGAUUAGCAAAGAAGGAGUUCUUGGCUGUGUUAUAAGGUGUGAGUAUUGAGUAAGACUCAAGAUCUGACCAUGGCAGAAGAGAGAGAAAGGACGAAGGUCGUCCCCUAUGCUCUAGACGUAGGCUCUACAGUAUGCUAUGUUGAGUACCGCACCUGAAGUGUGCCUUGCCAUGAGUCAGUCAAGGGGUACAAGAGUGAUCCAGGAAUGGAUCACAUGACAGCGGUCAAACUUAACCUUAGUAACUAGUGGACUAAGGAAUUUUCCCGAUAAUGGAGGUGGUAAAAGAGUUUGUCGUAAAGGGUUACGCCGAUGCAAACUUUGACACUAAUCCGGAUGACUCUGAGUAGUAAACUGGAUUCGUAUAGUAGAGCAGUUAUUUGGAAUAGUUCCAAAUAGCGCGUGGUAGUUGCAUAUAGGAGAUGACAUAGAGAUUUGUAAAGCUCACACGGAUCUGAAAGAUUCAAACCCGUUGACUAAUAACCUCUCUCACAAGCGAGAUAUGAUCAAACCCAAUGGGUGUUGGAUUCAUUACAAUCACAUAGUGAUGUGAACUAGAUUAUUGACUCUAGUGCAAGUGGGAGACUGUUGGAAAUAUGCCCUAGAAGCAAUAAUAAAAUGGUUAUUAUUAUAUUUCCUUGUUCAUGGUAAUUGUCUAUUGUUCAUGCUAUAAUUGUAUUAACUGGAAACCGUAAUACAUGUGUGAAUACAUAGACCACAACAUGUCCCUAGUGAGCCUCUAGUUGACUAGCUCGUUGAUCAAUAGAUGGUCAUGGUUUCCUGACCAUGGACAUUAGAUGCCAUUGAUAGCGGGAUCACAUCAUUAGGAGAAUCAUGUGAUGGACAAGACCCAAUCCUAAGCGUAGCACAAAGAUCGUGUAGUUCGUUUGCUAAAGCCUUUCUAAUGUCAAGUAUCAUUUCCUUAGACCAUGAGAUUGUGCAACUCCCGGAUACCGUUGGAAUGCUUUGGGUGUGCCAAACGUCACAACGUAACUGGGUGGCUAUAAAGGUACACUACAGGCAUCUCCGAAAGUGUCUGUUGGGUUGGCACGAAUCGAGACUGGGAUUUGUCACUCCGUAUGACGGAGAGGUAUCUCUGGGCCCACUCGGUAUUGCAUCAUCAUAAUGAGCUCAAUGUGACUAAGUAGUUAGUCACGGGAUCAUGCAUUACGAAACGAGUAAAGUGACUUGCCGGUAACGAGAUUGAACGAGGUAUUGGGAUACCGACGAUCGAAUCUCGGGCAAGUAACGUACCAAUUGACAAAGGGAAUUGUAUACGGGAUUUCUUGAAUCCCCGACAUCGUGGUUCAUCCGAUGAGAUCAUCGUGGAACAUGUGGGAGCCAACAUGGGUAUCCAUAUCCCGCUGUUGGUUAUUGGCCGGAGAGAUGUCUCGGUCAUGUCUGCAUGAUUCCCGAACCCGUAGGGUCUACACACUUAAGGUUCGGUGAUGCUAGAGUUGUUAUGGGAAUUAGUAUGUGGUUACCGAAUGUUGUUCGGAGUCCCGGAUGAGAUCCCGGACGUCACGAGGAGUUCUGGAAUGGUCUGGAGGUGAAGAUUUAUAUAUGGGAAGUCCAGUUUCAGUCACCGGAAUGGUUUCGGGGUUAUCGGUAUUGUACCGGGACCACCGAAAGGUGUCCGGAGGUCCACCGGGUGGGGCUACCUGCCCCGGGGGGCUUAAUGGGCUGAAUAUGGGAGGGAACCAGCCCCUAGUGGGCUGGUGCGCCCCUCCCAAAGGGCCCAAGGCGCCUAGGGUUGGAAACCCUAGGGGAGGGGGCGCCUCCACCUUGCUUGGGGGAAGUCUCCCCCUCCUGGCCGCCGCCCCCCCUCUAGAUGGGAUCUAGAGGGGCCGGCCCCUCUCCCAUUCACCCUAUGAAUAGAGAGGGGGUGGGAGGGCUGCGGGACCCUUGCUUUUGGCGCAGCCCCUCCCUCCUCCAACUCUUCCUCCUACUCCGUAGUGCUUGGCAAAGCCCUGCAGGAAUACCACGAGCUCCACCACCACCAAGCCGUCGUGCUGUCGGAGUUCUCCCUCAACUUCUCCUCUCCCCUUGCUGGAUCAAGAAGGAGGAGACGUCCCCGGGCUGUACGUGUGUUGAACGCGGAGGCGCCGUCCGUUCGGCGCUAGAUCGGAUCUUCCGCGAUUUGAAUCGCCGCGAGUCCGACUCCAUCAACCGCGUUCUUGUAACGCUUCCGCUUAGCGAUCUUCAAGGGUAUGAAGAUACUCAUCCUCUCCCUCCCUUGUUGCUAGAAUCUCCAUAGAUUGAUCUUGGUGAUGCGUAGAAAAUUUGAAUUUCUGCUACGUUCCCCAACACGCAGCCUCUCCUCCCUCUUUCCCCUAAAGCCCAAUAAGGCCCAUAUACUCCCCGGCGAAUUCCCGUAACUCUCCGGUACUCCGAAAAAUACCUGAAUCUCUCGGAACCUUUACGAUGUCCGAAUAUAGUCGUCCAAUAUAUCGAUCUUUACUUCUCAACCAUUUCGAGACUCCUCGUCAUGUCCCCGAUCUCAUCCGGGACUCUGAACUACCUUCGGUACAUCAAAUCAUAUAAACUCAUAAUAUAACUGUCAUCGUAACUUUAAGCGUGCGGACCCUACGGGUUCGAGAACUAUGUAGACAUGACCGAGACACAUCUACGGUCAAUAACAAAUAGCGGAACCUGGAUGCUCAUAUUGGCUCCCACAUAUUCUACGAAGAUCUUUAUCGGUCAAACGGCAUAACAACAUACGUUGUUCCCUUUGUCAUCGGUAUGUUACUUGCCCGAGAUUCGAUCGUCGGUAUCUCAAUACCUAGUUCAAUCUCGUUACCGGCAAGUCUCUUUACUCGUUCCGUAAUACAUCAUCCCGCAACUAACUCAUUAGUUACAAUGCUUGCAAGGCUUAUAGUGAUGUGCAUUACCGAGUGGGCCCAGAGAUACCUCUCCGACAAUCGGAGUGACAAAUCCUAAUCUCGAAAUACGCCAACCCAACAAGUACCUUCAGAGACACCUGUAGAGCACCUUUAUAAUCACCCAGUUACGUUGUGACGUUUGGUAGCACACAAAGUGUUCCUCCGGUAAACGGGAGUUGCAUAAUCUCAUAGUCAUAGGAACAUGUAUAAGUCAUGAAGAAAGCAAUAGCAACAUACUAAACGAUCGUGUGCUAAGCUAACGGAAUGGGUCCAGUCAAUCACAUCAUUCUCCUAAUGAUGUGAUCCCGUUAAUCAAAUGACAACUCAUGUCUAUGGUUAGGAAACUUAACCAUCUUUGAUCAACGAGCUAGUCAAGUAGAGGCAUACUAGUGACACUCUGUUUGUCUAUGUAUUCACACAUGUAUUAUGUUUCCGGUUAAUACAAUUCUAGCAUGAAUAAUAAACAUUUAUCAUGAAAUAAGGAAAUAAAUAAUAACUUUAUUAUUGCCUCUAGGGCAUAUUUCCUUCAGUCUCCCACUUGCACUAGAGUCAAUAAUCUAGUUCACAUCACCAUGUGAUUUAACAUCAAUAGUUCACAUCUUUAUGUGGUUAACACCUAUAGUUCACAUCGACAUGUGACCAGCACCCAAAGGGUUUACUAGAGUCAGUAAUCUAGUUCACAUCGCUAUGUGAUUAACACCCAAAGAGUACAAAGGUGUGAUCAUGUUUUGCUUGUGAGAUAAUUUUAGUCAACGGGUCUGUCACAUUCAGAUCCGUAAGUAUUUUGCAAAUUUCUAUGUCUACAAUGCUCUGCACGGAGCUACUCUAGCUAAUAGCUCCCACUUUCAAUAUGUAUCUAGAUUGAGACAUAGAGUCAUCCAGAUCGGUGUCAAAGCUUGCAUCGACGUAACUCUUUACGACGAACUCUUUAUCACCUCCAUAGCCGAGAAAUAUUUCUUUUAUUCCACUAAGGAUAAUUUUGACCACUGUCCAGUGAUCUACUCCUAGAUCACUAUUGUACUCCCUUGCCAAAAUCAGUGUAGGGUAUACAAUAGAUCUGGUACACAGCAUGGCAUACUUUAUAGAACCUAUGGCCAAGGCAUAGGGAAUGACUUUCAUUCUCUUUCUAUCUUCUUCCGUGGUCGGGCUUUGAGUCUUACUCAAUUUCACACCUUGUAACACAGGCAAGAACUCUUUCUUUGACUGUUCCAUUUUGAACUACUUCAAAAUCUUGUCAAGGUAUGUACUCAUUGAAAAAAAAACUUAUCAAGCGUCUUGAUCUAUCUCUAUAGAUCUUUAUGCUCAAUAUGUAAGCAGCUUCACUGAGGUCUUUCUUUGAAAAACUCCUUUCAAACACCCCUUUAUGCUUUGCAGAAUAAUUCUACAUUAUUUCCGAUCAACAAUAUGUCAUUCACAUAUAUUUAUCAGGAAUGUUGUAGUGCUCCCACUCACUUUCUUGUAAAUACAGGCUUCACUGCAAGUCUGUGUAAAAAUAUAUGCUUUGAUCAACUUAUCAAUGCGUAUAUUCCAACUCCGAGAUGCUUGCACCAGUCCAUAGAUGGAUCGCUGGAGCUUGCAUAUUUUGUUAGCACCUUUAGGAUCGACAAAACCUUCUGGUUGCAUCAUAUACAACUCUUCUUUAAUAAAUCCAUUAAGGAAUGCAGUUUUGUUUAUCCAUUUGCCAGAUUUCAUAAAAUGCGGCAAUUGCUAACAUGAUUCGGACAGACUUAAGCAUAGAUACGAGUGAGAAACUCUCAUCGUAGUCAACACCUUGAACUUGUCGAAAACCUUUUGCGACAAUUCUAGCUUUGUAGAUAGUAACACUACUAUCAGCGUCCGUCUUCCUCUUGAAGAUCCAUUUAAUCUCAAUGGCUCGCCGAUCAUUGGGCAAGUCAAUCAAAGUCCAUACUUUGUUCUCAUACAUGGAUCCAAUCUCAGAUUUCAUGGCCUCAAGCCAUUUUGCGAAAUCUGGGCUCAUCAUCACUUCCUCAUAGUUCGUAGGUUCGUCAUGGUCAAGUAACAUGACCUCCAGAACAGGAUUACUGUACCACUCUGGUGCGGAUCUUACUCUGGUUUACCUACGAGGUUCGGUAGUAACUUGAUCUGAAGUUACAUGAUCAUCAUCAUUAGCUUCCCCACUAAUUGGUGUAGGAGUCACAGGAACAGAUUUCUGUGAUAAACUACUUUCCAAUAAGGGAGCAGGUACAGUUACCUCAUCAAGUUCUACUUUCCUUCCACUCACUUCUUUCGAGAGAAACUCCUUCUCUAGAAAGGAUCCAUUCUUAGCAACGAAUGUCUUGCUUUUCGGAUCUGUGAUAGAAGGUGUACCCAACUAUCUCCUUUGGGUAUCCUAUGAAGACUUACUUCUCCAAUUUGGGUUCGAGCUUAUCAUGUUGAAACUUUUUCACAUAAGCAUCGCAGUCCCAAACUUUAAGAAACGACAGCUUAGGUUUCUCACCAAACCACAGUUCAUACGGUGUCAUCUCCACGGAUUUAGAUGGUGCCCUAUUUAACGUGAAUGUAGCUAUCUCUAAUGCAUAACCCCAAAACGAUAGUGGUAAAUCGGUAAGAGACAUCAUAGAUCGCACCAUAUCAAAUAAAGUACGGUUACGAUGUUCGGACACACCAUUACGCUGUGGUGUUCCAGGUGGCAUGAGUUUGUGAAACUAUUCCACAUUGUUUUAAUUGAAGACCAAACUCGCAACUCAAAUAUUCGUCUCCGUGAUCAGAUCGUGGAAACUUUAAUUUUCUUGUUAUGAUGAUUCUCCACUUCACUCUGAAAUUCUUUGAACUUUUCAAAUGUUUCAGACUUGUGUUUCAUCAAGUAGAUAUACCCCUAUCUUCUCAAAUCAUCUGUGAAGGUCAGAAAAUAACGAUACCUGCCGUGAGCAUCAACACUCAUCGGACUGCAUACAUCAGUAUGUAUUAUUUCCAACAAAUCUGUUGCUCGCUCCAUUGUUCCGGAGAACGGAGUCUUAGUCAUCUUGCCCAUGAGGCAUGGUUCGCAAGCAUCGAGUGAUUCAUAAUCAGGUGAUUCCAAAAGCCCAUCAGCAUGGAGUUUCUUCAUGCGCUUUACACCAAUAUGACCUAAAAGGCAGUGCCACAAAUAAGUUGCACUAUCAUUAUUAACUUUACAUCUUUUGGCUUCAAUAUUAUGAAUAUGUGUAUCACACGAUCGAGAUCCAACAAACCAUUUUCAUUGGGUGUAUGACCAUAGAAGGUUUUUAUUCAUGUAAACAUAACAACAAUUAUUCCCUAACUUACAUGAAUAACAGUAUUGCAAUAAACAUGAUCAAAUCAUAUUCAUGCUCAACGCAAACACCAAAUAACACUUAUUUAGGUUACACUAAUCCCGAAAGUAUAGGGAGUGUGCGAUGAUGAUCAUAUCAAUCUUGGAACUACUUCCAACACACAUCGUCACCUCACCCUCAACUAGUCUCUGUUUAUUCUGUAACUCCUGUUUCGAGUUACUAAUUUUUAGCAACCAAACAAGUAUCAAAUACCCAGGGGCUACUAUAAACACUAGUAAGGUACACAUCAAUAAUCUGUAUAUCAAAUAUAGCUUUGUUCACUUUGCCAUCCUUCUUACCCACCAAAUACUUGGGGUAGUUCCGCUUCCAGUGACCAGUCCCUUUGCAGUAGAAGCACUUAGUCUCAGGCUUAGGUCCAGACUUGGGCUUCUUCACUUGAGCAGCAACUUGCUUGCCGUUCUUCUUGAAGUUCCCCUUCUUCCCUUUGCCCUUUUUCUUGAAACUAGUGAUCUUGUCAACCAUCAACACUUGAUGUUUUUCUUUGAUUUCUACCUUCGCCGAUUUUAGCAUCGCGAAGAGCUUGGGAAUUGUUUUCGUCAUCCCUUGCAUAUUAUAGUUCAUCACGAAGUUCUAGUAACUUGGUGAUAGUGACUAGAGAACUUUGUCAAUUACUAUCUUAUCUGGAAGAUUAACUCCCACUUGAUUCAAGCAAUUGUAGUACUCAAACAAUCUGAGCACAUGCUCACUGGUUGAGCUAUUCUCCUCCAUCUUGUAGGCAAAGUACUGUCAUGAUCUCUAUCGUCACCGGCAUGACACCAUGAUCUCCAUCAUCUUGAUCUAUAUCAAUGUGCCGUCACAUGGUCGUCUCGCCAACUAUUGCUCUUGCAACUAUUGCUAUCGCAUAGCGAUAAAGUAAAGCAAUUAUUUGGCGCUUGCAUCUUAUGCAAUAAAGAGACAACCAUAAGGCUUCUGCUAGUUGCCGAUAACUUCAACAAAACAUGAUCAUCUCAUACAACAACUUAUAUCUCAUCACGUCUUGACCAUAUCACAUCACAACAUGCCCUGCACAAACAAGUUAGACGUCCUCUACUUUGUUGUUGCAAGUUUUACAUGGCUGCUAUGGGCUGAGCAAUAAUCGUUCUUACCUACGCAUCAAAACCACAACGAUAGUUCGUCAAGUUAGUGUUGUUUUAACCUUCUCAAGGACCGGGCGUAGCCACACUCGGUUCAACUAAAGUUGGAGAAACUGACACCCACCAGCCACCUGUGUGCAAAGCACGUCGGUAGAACCAGUCUCGCGUAAGCGUACGCGUAAUGUCGGUCUGGGCCGCUUCAUCCAACAAUACCGCCGAACCAAAGUAUGACAUGCUAGUAAGCAGUAUGACUUGUAUCGCCCACAACUCACUUGUGUUCUACUCGUGCAAAUAACAUCAACGCAUAAAACCAGGCUCGGAUGCCACUGUUGGGGAACGUAGUAGUUUCAAAAAAAUUCCUAUGCACACGCAAGAUCAUGGUGAUACAUAGCAACGAGAGGGGAGAGUGUUGUCUACGUACCCUCGUAGACCGAAAGCGGAAGCAUUAGCACAACGUGGUUGAUGUAGUCGUACGUAUUCACGAUCCGACCGAUCAAGUACCGAACGCACGGCACCUCCGAGUUCAGCACACGUUCAACUCGAUGACGUCCCUCGAACUCCGAUCCAGCCGAGCUUUGAGGGAGAGUUCCGUCAGCACGACGGCGUGGUGACGAUGAUGAUGUCCUACCGACGCAGGGCUUCGCCUAACCACCGCUACGAUAUUAUCGAGGUGGAUUAUGGUGGAGGGGGGCACCGCACACGGCUAAGAGAUCCAAGGGAUCAAUUGUUGUGUCUAUUGGGGUGCCCCCCUGCCCCCGUAUAUAAAGGAGCAAGGGGAGGAGGCGGCCGGCCAGGGAGAGGCGCGCCAAGGGGGAGUCCUACUCCCACCGGGAGUAGGAUUCCCUCCCUUCCAAGUAGUAAGAGUAGGAGUCAAGGAAAGGGGAGAGAGAAGAGAAGGAAGGAGGGGGCGCAGCCCCACCCCCUAGUCCAAUUCAGACUAGGCCUUGGGGGGCACGCAGCCUCUCCUCUCUCUUUCCCCUAAAGCCCAAUAAGGCCCAUAUACUCCCCGGAGAAUUCCCGUAACUCUCCGGUACUCCGAAAAAUACCCGAAUCACUCGGAACCUUUCCGAUGUCCGAAUAUAGUCGUCCAAUAUAUCGAUCUUUACGUAUCGACCAUUUCGAGACUCCUCGUCAUGUCCCCGAUCUCAUCCGGGACUCCGAACUACCUUCGGUACAUCAAAUCAUAUAAACUCAUAAUAUAACUGUCAUCGUAACUUUAAGCGUGCGGACCCUACGGGUUCGAGAACUAUGUAGACAUGACCGAGACACGUCUCCGGUCAAUAACCAAUAGCGGAACCUGGAUGCUCAUAUUGGCUCCCAUAUAUUCUACGAAGAUCUUUAUCGGUCAAACCGCAUAACAACAUACGUUGUUCCCUUUGUCAUCGGUAUGUUACUUGCCCGAGAUUCGAUCGUCAGUAUCUCAAUACCUAGUUCAAUCUCGUUACCGGCAAGUAUCUUUACUCGUUUCGUAAUACAUCAUCCCGCAACUAACUCACUAGUUACAAUGCUUGCAAGGCUUAUAGUGAUGUGCAUUACCGAGUGGGCCUAGAGAUACCUCUCCGACAAUCGGAGUGACAAAUCCUAAUCUCGAAAUACGCCAACCCAACAAGUACCUUCAGAGACACCUGUAGAGCACCUUUAUAAUCACCCAGUUACCUUGUGACGUUUGGUAGCACACAAAGUGUUCCUCCGGUAAACGGGAGUUGCAUAAUCUCAUAGUCAUAGGAACAUGUAUAAGUCAUGAAGAAAGCAAUAGCGACAUACUAAACGAUCGUGUGCUAAGCUAACGGAAUGGGUCAAGUCAAUCACAUCAUUCUCCUAAUGAUGUGAUCCCGUUAAUCAAAUGACAACUCAUGUCUAUGGUUAGGAAACUUAACCAUCUUUGAUCAACGAGCUAGUCAAGUAGAGGCAUACUAGUGACACUCUGUUUGUCUAUGUAUUCACACAUGUAUUAUGUUUCCGGUUAAUACAAUUCUAGCAUGAAUAAUAAACAUUUAUCAUGAAAUAAGGAAGUAAAUAAUAACUUUAUUAUUGCCUCUAGGGCAUAUUUCCUUCACAUUGUUAUAUCUAUGUGCCUCCCGUCCCGAUAUUAUGCUAAGUGUGUGCAUGUGUGCACGAUAUCAAGCGGCCCCCAAAGAAUGUCAUCUUAAGGCUGUGAAAAGGAUAGUGAGAUACUUAAUACAUACACCAAAUUUUGGCAUUUGGUAUCCUAAGAGGUCUUCUUUUGAUCUUGUUGGCUACUCCGAUUCGGACUAUGCCAGAGACAAGGUUGAUAGAAAGUCUACUUCGGGUACUUGUCAAUUUCUUGGAAGAUCUCUUGUGUCUUGGUCCUCCAAGAAACAAAACUCGGUAUCCUUAUCCACCGCCGAAGCGGAAUACAUUGCCGCCGGUUCAUGUUGUGCUCAAUUACUUUGGAUGACUCAAACUCUUAAAGAUUAUGGGAUCAAUGUGAAACAUGUUCCAUUGCUUUGUGACAAUGAGAGUGCUAUUAAGAUUGCUCACAAUCCCGUGCAACAUUCUCGAACUAAGCAUAUUGAAGUUCGUCAUCAUUUCAUUCGAGAUCAUGUUGCUAAAGGGGACAUUGAUCUUAAGCAUGUUCGUGCCGAUAAGAAAUUGGCGGAUAUAUUCACCAAACCGCUUGAUGAGAAAGUAUUUUCCCAUUUGAGAGGUGAAUUGAACAUCAUUGAUGCUUCAAACUUGGAGUAAGAACUCCAUGUGGGUACAUGCAAGGCAUGAGCCUUUGACUAAUCCUUGACUCUUCUCUUAUGAUGAUGAUCAUAUGUCUUGGAUACAUUUGUACCCUUGCAUGCUAUCUAACCCUUGUAGGUACUUGGGUGAAUCUAAUUCUAUGAGAUUGCAACUCACUCACAUCUUGAGCAACCUCUACAUCACCAAGUCUCUACAACAUGGUGGUUGAAGACAAGGAAGCAUGAAACCUUUCAACAUAUCCUUUUGUCAAAUUCUAUAUAUCAACUUUCGUUUGGUAUCAAAUUUCAUGAUUGUCAUGUGGAUACACAAGUGCUCUUCCUUGCAAAACUAACCCAUGUAGGUAGAUGAACUCAAAAUACAAGUGGUGCCCCCAACCAUUGAUGCGCUACAUCAACCUCGAGCACUCCACACAAGUUCAACUACAUGAUCAAGUUCAACACCACCACCAAAGGUAUGAUAUUCCAUCUUAGAGAAGCUUUACCCCAAGAUAUGGGUCAAAGCAGCUCAACAAGAUGUGAAUACAUCAAAUGCUUAAACGAAAAAUGGUAACCCCAUUUUGAGCUUUAACGAUGAGUAUGACUUGUGAUCAAGUGUUCUCACUUGACUCCUAAGUCAAUAUACUCUAACAUAGGUGACUUUGUCACCGCCCAAUUCUAGAUGAAGUUCUCUAGUGUUUCUCCGAGUUCUUGCAUUUGUUCCUUGCAUAUUUGUUCCCCUUCCUUUUAUCAAAAAAUACUUCAUCUAGAUUUUCUUUUCUCUGUUUUGUUCUGCAUUUAUUGCAUCCAAUUCAUUGCAAAUCCUUUUGUUAAUUCCUUGCAAAUCUUUGUGAGAUCCUAUUUGCCUAGUGAGCUGAGGUGACUAUUGCUCUUUCCCUGUGUUGAACUCAGUCUCACUGGUUUGUCACUUUUGGUCCAACCGAACCCUUUCGGUGCAACCGAAGAACACAACUCGGUGUCACCGAUUUCACUGCAAAGAAGAAAAUUUGCCACUAGUUCCUGUUUCAUUUGUUCCAGCUCCACUCGAUGAUUCUUGUCCUCUACCAGCAUCAUAUCCUACAUGCUGCUUUGCUCUGUGACUCAAGGACCAAACCUAUUUUGACUCAUACUCCAGAAGAUCCCUUCUUGAAAAUUGAUGUCAAAGGGGGAGAGAGAGAUCACAUCAAAGCUUACUCACUUCAAAAGGAAGAGAGUACUUCAACAGGGGGAGAAAGGUAAUCACAUCAAAGGCCCCAGAUGCUUGGUGUUCAAGAGGAGAGAAGACACAUGUCUUUAAGAGGGGAAAUACAUGUUUAUGUUAUGUUUCUGUGAUCUGAUCUGCUUUUGCUCUGAUUUUGUUUCCCUAUUUUCUCCCAUUAUCCAAUAUAAGAUUCAGGGGGAGAAAGACUUCUAGGAAGGAAAUCUUUGAAUUCAUUGCACAUCUUUUACCUUUGGGGACAUGUCUGUAUCCAAUAGAGUACCCAGUACUCACUCUCUACAUGUUAUCCCAAUCUUGGUACUCUUGUGCCUUCUUUUGUUUGCUCUGUCUAGUAGAUGUAUCUGUGUUAUCUAACCUUGUUUACUCAGGUUCAUCUCUUCCCAAGCCAGCUCAAGACCAUCAAGGUAAGUAUAUGCAUCACACUUAUGUGCAUGAAGAUCUCUUGCUAAUGUACAUAUUGUUUGCAAGAAGGAAUCAUGAACAUGAAGUUACAUAUAUUCAUAUCAUUUGCUCUGAUGCAUAUAGCCAAGAUACAUGUAACACAUUGCUUACUCUAUCAUGUUUAUGCAUUCACAUGCUCUUACAUUCCUAUUUACAUGAUUGUAUACAUGUAGGGGGGAGCCUAUGCAUGUUACAUGUCUUUCCAAAGCUUUACUUGCUAUUCUCUUUAUCCUUAUCUAAAGCUUUGAUGUGUGUUGUCAUCAAUUACCAAAAAGGGGGAGAUUGAAAGCACAAGUGCUCCCUGGGUGGUUUUGGUAAUUAAUGUCAACAUAUCUCCUGUUGGACUAAUGUUUUUAUCUAGAAUAUUUCAGACAAGUUCAACAGAUGGAGUGGCGUGGACAAGAGGAUGUGGAACCCCUUCAAGGUGCUAAGGACAAAGGAUUGGCUCAAGCUCAAAAGCUCAAGACUCUACAUUUUACAUUUAGUGAUCCAAGAUCUCAUUGAGUCCAUAGGAAAGCCAAUACUAUUAAAAGGGGAUGAGGUGUUGCUUAAUGGCUUGCUUGCUCAAAGUGCUUAGUGAUAUGCUCCAAAGCCCCCAACCACCUGCUCAUAUCCACAUAUGUCCCAAACCAAAAGUCAAACUCGGCCCCACCGAAACGUUCUAUCCGGCGCCACCGAGUUCACUUGACAUAGCCACUGCCACAAACCCUAGUCACUUCGGUCUCACCGAUGGGAUCCCAGUCUCACCGAGAUGGGCUUGCAAACUCUCUGGUUCCUGUUGCAAUAAAUUCUGUCUUACCGAGUUUUGUAAUCGGUAACACCGAGUUUGCCUGACCAACUCUCUGGUUAGCCUAUUACCAAAAUCGGUCACAUCGACUUUGUGUAAUCAGUCAAACCGAGAUGAGGUUUUACCCUAACCCUAGCACAUCGGUCCCACCGAGUUGAUCAUAUCGGUCCCAUCGAAAUGCCUAACGGUCACAUUAUGAACUAAAUCGGUCCGACCGAGUUUUCUAAUUCGGUCCCACCGAGUUUGGUGAUUUGUGUGUAACGGUUAGAUUUUGUGUGGAGGCUAUAUAUACCCCUCCACCCACUCUUCAUUCGUGGAGAGAACCAUCAGAACAUGCCUACACUUCCAGCAUACAUUUUCUGAGAGAGAACCACCUACUCAUGUGUUGAGGUCAAGAUAUUUCAUUCCAACCACAUAAAUCUUGAUCUCUAGCCUUCUCCAAGUUGCUUUCCACUCAAAUCAUCUUUCCACCAAAUCCAAAUCUGUGAGAGAGAGUUGAGUGUUGGGGAGACUAUCAUUUGAAGCACAAGAGCAAGGAGUUCAUCAUCAACACACCAUCUAUUACCUUUUGGAGAGUGGUGUCUCCUAGAUUGGUUAGGUGUCACUUGGGAGCCUCCGUCAAGAUUGCGGAGUUGAACCAAGGAGUUUGUACGGGCAAGGAGAUCGCCUACUUCGUGAAGAUCUACCCUAGUGAGGCAAGUCCUUCGUGGGUGAUGGCCAUGGUGGGAUAGACAAGGUUGCUUCUUCGUGGACCCUUCGUGGGUGGAGCCCUCCGUGGACUCGCGCAACCGUUACCCUUCGUGGGUUGAAGUCUCCAUCAACGUGGAUGUACGAUAGCACCACCUAUCGGAACCACGCCAAAAAUCUCCGUGUCUCCAAUUGCGUUUUCACACUCCAAUCCCAUCCCUUUACAUUCUUGCAAAUUGCAUGCUUUACUUUCCGCUGCUCAUAUACUCUUGUCAUGCAUGCUUGAUAUGUAUUGUGAAUGUUUAAACAUGUGCUAAAACUCCACCUUAACUUGAANNNNNNNNNNNNNNNNNNNNNNNNNNNNNNNNNNNNNNNNNNNNNNNNNNNNNNNNNNNNNNNNNNNNNNNNNNNNNNNNNNNNNNNNNNNNNNNNNNNNNNNNNNNNNNNNNNNNNNNNNNNNNNNNNNNNNNNNNNNNNNNNNNNNNNNNNNNNNNNNNNNNNNNNNNNNNNNNNNNNNNNNNNNNNNNNNNNNNNNNNNNNNNNNNNNNNNNNNNNNNNNNNNNNNNNNNNNNNNNNNNNNNNNNNNNNNNNNNNNNNNNNNNNNNNNNNNNNNNNNNNNNNNNNNNNNNNNNNNNNNNNNNNNNNNNNNNNNNNNNNNNNNNNNNNNNNNNNNNNNNNNNNNNNNNNNNNNNNNNNNNNNNNNNNNNNNNAAACAGUUCAUUCGAAUGAAUUGUAUGCCGUAUAUCACACACACCUUGAUCUGGCUGACUGUUUCUGUUGCUUUCCCUAAUAGCAAACAGUUCAUCAAAGCGAACUAUAUGUCAUAUAUCGCACACACAUUGAUAUGGCUGCCCGUUUUUGUUGUCUUGUCUAAUCGCAAACAGUUCGUAUGGAUCAACCAUAUGCCCAGCAUCGCACACGCAACUAAAAUCUGAACCGUAUUUGAUGUAUUCGCCAUCGCAAACGUUUUGCAUCUUUUUUGACGAUUUUAUUACAUCACCAUUUGCGAUUAAUCCAUCGCACACAGUUUCGUCAAAGGGUCCCUGAUCGUACUGUCGCGUUAGCAGUAUCCUGCAGUAGUGACCCCUUUAUCGCGUUGGGUGCAAGUGUUUGAUUGUUUGUGUAGGUGCAUAGAUUGGAGACUUGUGUGUAUCUCCUACUGGAUUGAUACUUUGGUUCUCAAAACUGAGGGAAAUACUUAUCUCUACUUUGUUGCAUCUCCCUUUCCUCUUCAAGGGAAAACCAACGCAAGCUCAAGAAGUAGCAGGGUUUUGGAGCAAUAUCAUUAAGCACUUGAGCAACAAGAUCAUUAAGCAACACCUCAUCCCCUUUUAAUAGUAUUGGCUUUUCUAUGGAUUCAAAGUGAUCUUGGAUCACUUAAACAAAAUGAAGAGGCUUGAGCUUUUUGCCAAUCCAUUUCCUUAGCAUUUUGAGGGGUCCACAUCUCUAGUCCUUGCCAUGCCAAUCAUUGAACAUCUUGAAAUAUUUAUUUUGAAUAGACAUAGAGAUAUAUGUUGUUAUGAAUUAACAAAACCACCCGGGGAUUAGUUGCACUUUCACAUUCCUUACACGGUCGGGGUUUAUGGGUCCCCCUUGACAGUUCACUUUGAAUAAAACUCUUCCAGCAAGACCCAACUUUGAUUUUAACAUUUGCCUAAUAACAACUAAAAUUUGCAUAGUGAGUAAUUAGCCCAAGGAGUCUUAAUCUACAACCGGGGCCAGUGCUCCUCAUGAGUGUUGGUCCAAACUAGGCGAUGUCCGGCGCCCCCUGGGCAACCAGUGUCUCGGCCAACCCGACGUCUGGCCCAUCCGGUGUGCCCUAAGAACGAGAUACAUGCAACUCCUAUCAGGAUUUAUCGGUACAUCGGGCGGUCUUGCUGGUUUUGUUUUACCAUUGUCGAAAUGUCUUGUGCACCGGGAUUUCGAGCUUGAUCGGGUUAUCCCGAGAUGGAGGUUUUUCCUCCACGGAUCAUGAGAAUUUAUAAUGGACUAAGUUGGGAUACCCCUGCAGGGUUUAAUCUUUUCGAGAGCCGUGCUCGCGGUUAUGGGCGACUUGGAGAUUUACAAUAUCCGGUUGUAGAGAACUUGACACUAAAUCCAAUUAAAAUACACUAACCGCCUGUGUAACCAUGACCGUCUCUUUUCGAUAAAAUUCGGGAAGAGAAUACGGUGGAGUUAUGUUUGAAACGCAAGUAGUCCAAGAUCACUUCUUGAUCAUGUUAAUUUGCGACCGACAUGCGUAUUCACUCGUCUUAUUCUUGUACUCGUAAGUUAGCCACGUAUACAUGCUUAGUGUUUGAUGCACCCUCACCACUUAACCAUGCUAUUCCCAUAAGCUUUGUUAGUUUUGACACCGUGGGUAAUGAGAUUGCUGAGUCCCCGUGGCUCACAGAUUACUACAAACACAACUACAGGUACCUUUGAGACAGACAUAGGUGAAGCGCCACAGAGCUCCAGUGGGAGUAUGACGAGGAUCGUGGGCGUAUGUACGUCUCGUUUCCGGACGAUCAGUACUCGCUUCUUAGUCGGAUAGAUCCCGGGAUUUGUAGCACAGGUGGUCUCUUCUCGUUUGUUUUUGUCCGUAGCCGGACCCUGUCUUCAUUUGAUGAAUGUAUGAAUGUUUGAAUUACAUGUUGUAGACAUGUGGCGAGUGUAAACCUAUAUCUCGUAUUCUCUUAUCUUCAGUAAAUGAUGCGAAGAUAUAACCAUCCUUGCGACGGCCUAGUAUGCGCUUAUGCCCGUAAGUCGUGCCUCGACACGUGUGGGAUAUAGUCGCAUAUCGGGUGUCAGAUCUCUCUGAAGUUUUAUUAAUGUACUCAUCUUAGUUCUUUCGAGCCCUUUCCAGAUUUGUACACAUAAGUGACUUGUUACAGUGAAACUAGAUUUGUCAGCUCUAUCCCUUUUGAUGGACAACAAAGGCAUAAACACACUUGAUGUUAGCAUAACGGCUCCAGAUUAUGUGACGUUAGCACAAGAUACAGUUCAUGUUUGAAAGGAUCGAGAAGAGGUGUCUAGAGGGGGGGUGAUUAGACACUAAGUACCAAAAGUUGCAGUUUUUAACUUCCUUAAGUUCGAGUGGAGUUUUGGCACAAGUUUAACACUCACAAUACAUAUCAAGCAAGUAUGCAAAGAGUAUAUGAGCAGCGGAAAGUAAAGCAUGCAACUUGCAAGAAUGUAAAGAGAAGGGUUUGGAGGAUUCAAACGCAAUUGGAGACACGGAUGUUUUUGUCGUGGUUCCGAUAGGUGGUGCUAUCGUACAUCCACAUUGAUGGAGAUUUCAACCCACGAAGGGUAACGGUUGCGCGAGUCCAUGGAGGGCUCCACCCACGAAGGGUCCACGAAGAACCAACCUUGUCUAUCCCACCAUGGCCGUCGCCCACGAAGGACUUGCCUCACUAGCGGUAGAUCUUCACGAAGUAGGCGAUCUCCUUGCCCUUACAAACUCCUUGGUUCAACUCCACAAUCUUGUCGGAGGCUCCCAAGUGACACCUAGCCAAUCUAGGAGACACCACUCUCCAAGAAGUAACAAAUGGUGUGUUGAUGAUGAACUCCUUGCUCUUGUGCUUCAAAUGAUAGUCUCCCCAACACUCAACUCUCUCUCACAGGAUUUGGAUUUGGUGGAAAGAAGAUUUGAGUGGAAAGCAACUUGGGGAAGGCUAGAGAUCAAGAUUCAUAUGGUAGGAAUGGAAUAUCUUGGCCUCAACACAAGGGUAGGUGGUUCUCUCUCAGAAAAUGUGUAUUGGAAGUGUAGGUUUGUUCUGAUGGCUCUCUCCACGAAUGAAGAGUGGGUGGAGGGGUAUAUAUAGCCUCCACACAAAAUCUAACAGUUACACACAACUUACCAAACUCGGUGGGACCGAAUUGAUAAACUCGGUCGGACCGAUUCAGCAAAUCUAGUGACCGUUAGGAUUUUCGGUGGGACCGAUAUGGUUAGGGUUAGGGCAUAACGUAAUCUCGGUGAGACCGAUUACACAAACUCGGUGGGACCGAUUUUGGUAAUAAGCUAACCAGAGAGUUGGUCAGGCAAACUCGGUGAGACCGAUUACACAAACUCGGUGGGACCGAUUUUGGUAAUAAGCUAACCAGAGAGUUUGCAUUGUAAUCUCGGUAGUACCGAUUGCUCAAACUCGGUGGACAUACACAGAGAGAUUACAAUCCCAUCUCGGUGAGACCGAGAUCCUAUCGGUGAGACCGAUUUGCCUAGGGUUUGUGGCAGUGGCUAUGACAUCUGAACUCGGUGGCGCCGGAUAGAAAGAAUCGGUGGGGCCGAGUUUGACUUUUGGUUUAGGACAUAUGUGGAUGUGGGAAAGUAGUUGAGGGUUUUGGAGCAUAUCACUAAGCACUUUGAGCAAGCAAGCCAUUAAGCAACACCUCAUCCCCUCUUGAUAGUAUUGGCUUUUCCUAUAGACUCAAUGUGAUCUUGGAUCACUAAAAUAUAAAAUGUAGAGUCUUGUGUUUGAAGCUUGAGCCAAUCCUUUGUCCUUAGCAUCUUGAAGGGGUUCCACAUCCUUUAGUCCAUGCCACUUCAUUUGUUGAACUUGUCUGAAACAUACUAGGUAAAAGUGUUAGUCCAACAAGAGAUAUGUUGACAUUAAUUACCAAAAUCACCCAGGGAGCACUUGUGCUUUCAAUGUUGAAGCAUACGAUCACAAUGAGGUAUGCUGCUGGGCAUGAUAACUUAUCUUUGGAAAUAAUCAUAUGGUUAUCUCUUAUGGCUUAAUCUUCUCAUAUGAAAUGUCUCAGCAUUUUGCUUUUGCUUGGAGUAUAUACAUUUCUGAGAAAACUGCCAUUCUUUUUUUCAUUUUGCAGUGGAAGUUUGUCCAACAGGCAUAUGCGUGUCUUGUUGCACUUUCCCAAGCCGUGGCUGCAAAAUCCAGUUUUGUGUCUGUUGUUACAUGAUUGAUCAUGGGUAUUAUAUCACACAUGAAUUGCAGUAUAAUAUGCCUAUCCCGAUCUACAUACAUGAUAAGAGCAUGGUUAAUAGUUUAGCCAGCUGCUGGCUAUAUGAUCUUGUCAUAUCAUCUAUAGUCAAGCUUAUAGCCGGCAAGUAUAAUAGUUGCAUAUAAAUAUGUACUCCCUCCGUCCGCGAAUAAGUGUACAUCUAGCUUUUGUUCUAAGUCAAAGUUUUAAAGUUUUGACCAACUUUAUAGAGAAAAGUAACAGCAUUUAUGGCACUAAAUUAGUAUCACUAGAUCUAUUUUGAAUUGUAUUUGUAUAAUAUACCAAUAUGAUAUCAUAUAUGGUACUACUUUUUUUAUAAAGUUGGUCAAAAUUGUAAAUCUUUGACUUAGGACAAAAGGUAGAUGUACACUUAUUCGCGGACCGAGGGAGUACUAUUUUUUAGAUACAUGACCCACCUCUCAUAACAUGUCUAGGAGCGCGUGCUGCAGCUGGCUGUUAAUCAGCAGCAGUAUUGUAUUUUUUCCCUAAUGUUUGCUAAAAUUGUCUCCCUGGGUCUACCUUUGCUAUUAUCAACUUCGAUAUAGAACCGGACCUUUGGCAUUCUGUUUUUAGUGUUGUCUGAGUCUUCUCUUCUGUCAUUAUUAAUCCAGACACAGGUGAGCGUUUCUAUCAGCAAAACGAUGAAUGACAUGACCAUAAUUCUCAAGAGUCACAGAAGAAAAAAACCUGUACAAUCAAUCUUGACGCCGCAGCCACAAGGAACACCUUCCGAGUUCCGAGUAAUACCGAGACGGAGGGUGCGUAAGCAAGAUGGUGGUCCAGCAUACUACCAGAAGCUCGUUCCGGUGGGAUGACAACUGGGGAGACGGCUGGAAUGGUGAGGAGGCGCCGUCGACAUUAUUGAACUCUAUGCCCAGCCAGCAGUCGAAAGGUCUGGCUUCAAGGAGGUCGAUCAAGGAUGGCGGGAAAGAUUAGCCGGCAUGUCUAUAUCAAUCCCUAUAUUGUUUUCGUUCUUCUAAAAAAGGGAAUUUUUGUGCCCAGCUUUUUUGAUAGAUUUCACGAGGGAAUGUAAUAUGCUGGCACUACUGUUUUUUUAAAUGCAGGAGAGAAGAAACAUGAAUGCUACUUCAACACCAAAUCGGUUUCAUUAGAUUAGAUUUGACAUAAAAUAUAUUUUUAUAUUAUACUCCCUCCUAUCCAAAAUAAGUGUCGCAGUUUUGAACUACCCCAGUUUAGUUCAAAACUGCGACACUUAUUAUGGAUCAAAGGUACUGUAGUAUAUACAUAUUUCAUAUUGUAAAUAUAAACACAUUUUUUCUGUAUACUUGGUCGAAUUUCAAAAGGUCUGACAUAGGACAAAUCUAGAACUUCAAGUUACAAAAGUUUUUAAUCCAAGAAGUGUAUAACUUCAUAGCCGAAAAUGCUUUGUCGAUGAGCUCCGGAAGAUCUUUUCCAGAUCAGUUUAUUCCAAAAAGAUUUGGCAGCUAAUCAGAGUAAAAACACUUCAUUUCCAGGCACUGUUCCAAAGCAGGAAAGCCAUACAAGAUCUCUACAAUACAUCUGCGGUACACAGUCCAGCUGCAAAAUACAAUGAACAGGUGCCUCAAGUAAACAUGACGAUUGUACCAGAAUUACAGCCACGGGGAAAGCAAAACGGAUAUCCAGACAAGCAAACAAGCGCCACCGUGCGGAAGAGCUACCCCUUGAAAUGAAACUAGUCAUCAUCCUUGUAGGGGUAUUCCUCUGGGACUUGCUUG
rnacentral:lncRNA from 1 species